UCCUUUUCUUUUUUUCCCUAAGCUCUUUCUCUCUAUCUCUCUUUUUACCCAACAAAUCCCUAAUGACUAGAAUAUUUUUGUGCAUCUCUCUCUCUCACACACACAACAAUGUAGAAUGUGCUCUCACACCUCUUAAAAAUGAGAGAAAAAGUCCUCUACAAAAUGCCAAAAGGACCUUCCGAGCAAGGAUCUUAAGUUAAGGUUCAUAACCAAAUUAAUGAAUGUAGGUUAAACCUAAGGUGCCAUAGAAAGUCAUGAUAGAAUCAACAAAAAUUUCCCUAAUGGUCUCUAAAAAAUUGCUCAAAUAACAACGAACUACCAAGGGACAUGAUAAAUGGAAGGGAUCCUAAGUGCAUGUUAUGAAAGAGUAUAGGGCAAGGGGAAAAUAAACAUGAAAUAAUAUGUGAGGGUCCGUAGGUUCCACAAUCCAACUGUUUGGAUAUUACCCUUAAAAGCAUGACAUGAUGUAAUAAAUUUGGAAUUCAUUAUUUAUUUAAUGAUGUUCCAAUUUUACUUUUAACCAUUCUUAUUCCAUGUAUUACACUUUAUGAACAUUUUUACCUACAUUUUUUGUAUUAUACGUGACUUAGGUGCAUUAGGAGUUGCACAAAAGAUCUAAAUCAUGGGUUCCUUGCAAAUAGAUGACUUGUUCACAACUAGUUCAUGGGUCUAGGCAACCAAUUAAAGGUAGUAGUGCAUCACAUCCUAAUUUGAGGGAUGACUUGUCUUGGCUAUCAGGAUAGGUUUCCCAAGGUGAGUGCACUGUGUGUAUGGUUACACAUUGGACAAGGCCUGUGAUGAGUCAUAACUUAAGGCUAUCAAGUAGUCAUGACCUCGCCAAACUACUCCAUUGUGUUGUCUCUUAACCUUGAGAGAAUAUUAAGUUUGUGCUAAAGUUAGCAGUGGCUUUGACCUAUGGGUGAGAUCAAAAGUUGAUCAUAUAUUCCCUAUGGAUUAGGUCCCUACUAAUAAAAUUCGGUAACAAUAAUUAUUUUCAAUAAAGGUACCAUGAUAUCUCAUGGGAUUGAAAUAGUGUGUCCCCUUGGGUGAUUCUAAGGAGGUGUGUCAAUGGAAACUAUGGCCAUAGUAGUUCCUUAAGUGGAACUUGACAUAGGUUCUUUGAGAACCAAGAUAUGCCAAUUGAAUACACAAUAGAAAGAUUUGUAACUUAAGGAUAGUAGAGUUAAUCUUGAAAGAUUGAUAGCUUUCACCUUGUUAGACUACGAACACACCAGUUCAUCGGGAGAUUAAAGAUAAUGGAUAACAAGUCACAAACCCGAGCAUGUAAUGUCUUAUUGUUAUUUACAUAAAAUACUAAAAUUCAGUUAAUUCUCUAUAGUGGGAUAUUGAAUCAACUUUUGAAUUGGAUUCUGAGAUAGCCAACUUAUGGGUCCUAGUGGUCCCUACUCUGAGCUCAUAUAUCUUGCUGGCAUAGAUUGUGAAGGUCAGAUUAGCUAUAGGUUCACUUUUUUUCAUAAGAGUGUUUUGGUAAUUAUGCAAGGUUGCACAGAGGUAAGUAAACAAGGUUUUUAGAUUGGGCUAGUUGAUUAAUUAGUAGGCCUUAUUGUAUUAAUUAGUCAAUUAGAACUCAUUUUGGGCUUAAUUAAGUGACCUAAGCUCAUGAGGGCUCAAGUCACUUAAGAUUAAUUAGGAACCUUAUAAAUACCACCUAAGAGUUAGAGUUUCCAUCACUUUUGUCUUCCACCAUCCAGAGAGAAAGAGAGCCAUAACCUCCAACAUUUUUCUUGCUUAUCAAAAGUGUGCUAAGAAUAAGAUUGAGUCAUCGGGUGAAAGAUCAUGGGUUUACGAGACUUCUAACAACCUUAAGGUCAUCUUCAACACUUGGAAUUUAAGAUUUGGGAACAUCCAAACCUAAAAGGUUAGUACUUUAACCCUAAAAGAUCAAUUUUUUAAAAACUGAUAUUGCUUCCAUUGCUUAGAUCUAAGAUGUCAACAUGGAGUGCAAGAUCACGGUUUGAGUCAUCAAGCGAAAAAUAUUAGGUGUACGAGACUUACAAAUUCAUUGUUCAACUCAUUGUUCAACACCUUCACUAUGUGGAAUUGAUUUGGGAACAUCAAAAUCAAAGGAAAAUUUCUCUAAUGACUUUUCUCUUGAUCCUAGAAUGGUAAAAAAUUGAUUUUUGCUUCUGUUGCAUAGGAUCUAGAGGCUUAGGGUAUUUUUGCAUGCACCUAUACGAUAUAGGGUAAGGGAAUGAAGAAAUCCAAGGUUCCUAGCAACGUCUCCUUUCCAUAAUUUUCUUUCUCAUUUCUCAUGUGAUUCGACUCAUGGUAGCUUAGCUUUAAAGGCGUAUCAACAAAAUUUAUACCUUGAAUACUAUUACUAAAGUAGCCAAGCUACUAUAGCAUAGUGGUUCUAGGAUCGUUCACUGAGAAGGGUUUUCGCAAACACAAGUGAUAUUCAAAUUAGGAAAAUAGGUGAUUUUCUUAUAGAUGUUAGCUUUAAAAGAAGAUGCAAAUGUUUUAGAAAGAUUUAAACUAAUCUAAGCUAACAUUAAAAACUAAAAUGAAAGGGUGUAAAAACAAGUUCCUCAAAGAUAGGAUAGCUAUGCUCUGGCUCUUAUGCAAAUUGGAAAUCUCAGGAUAGGCUCCUCGCGUUGGGGUUGCAACUAUGGUGAUGCUUGCUUCCCGAACUGGUAUGGAUUUAGCAAAUCAAGUUUUAAUCCUUUAAAAUGGAAAAACAAAUGGUAGUGAAUUUCAUCAAUGGUUAUUCACCUUAGACUUCCUUUGAAUGGCUCGUAAGAGAUAACUAGUAGUCUAAAGCUAAAAGCUUACCAAAUAUUGGCAACUCAAAGUCAUUCCAGGUGAUAAACUCACCUUUCAAUGGCCAUUGAAAUUGGUUCUAAUGGAUUAAUGCAAAACUUGGAAUUGAAAACCUCACCUUCCAAUAGCUCGUAGGAGAUAACUAAUGGAUAGAAAUCCAAAAGCUUAUCAAGUAUUGGCCGUUGGAAGUUGUCAAAAGGAAAUAAAAACCAAACUUUGCAUUAAUGAACCAUUAAUGAAAAACGACUACCUUACUUUCCGGGUGCGAGAAAUUUCCAUGGGAUUGCAUCCAAGCCAUCACAUAACAUCCAUACUUUGAGAAACUAAAAGUUUUAGCCAAUCAUCCUUUGAGGAAAAACCCUCAGAGGCUGUUUGGCUACUAAGAAAAUAGAAACGGGAGAGCUCUGUAAAAUUUUCUAUCUAUAUAUCAAUAUAUCGAUAUAUCAAUAAUAAUUGUUACAACGGAUGCAAGGGGAUAUAAAUAGAGAAGUUUUUCCAACCUUCCUAGCUAAGAAAUCUUAUGAUUGGUGGAUUACAAGGAGAAGAAUGGAAAUUUAUACAAAAAUAUCUAAAAGAAAAGAUCUCGUGUGGAGUCGGCAGAAACAGGGGAAAAUUCGCACGUUGGAGUUCCAAUUUCGCACUUUGGUUUGAGGUGUGCGAAAUUCCCACACUUUGGACUGAGGAAUUCGCACCUUGAUUUCCAUCGUGCGAAAUUAUCCCUCAGCUUGAUGCAGUUGUCUUCCGAAGGCCAUAUCUUCCUCAUUUCAGCUCCAAAUCGUACACAGUUUGAAGCGUUGGAUUCUUGACUUCCUGAGCUUUGAAAUGGUAUAUAGCAUGUAGAAAAUGGACUUCGGGAAGUGCUCCAAAAGUGCCAAAGAAGACUGCAGCUGCUGUCCUCUAUUUUCCUCUUUGCUUCUCUUAGCUUCUCUUUGCUUCUCUUUGCUUUUCUCCUUUUGUUGGCUUGCUUUGGUGUAGCUAAAAGCUUGCUUUAACUUGUCCAAGUAGCUCCUCCAUCAUUUGGCAUGCUUGAAUUGAUUCAUAAGCUGAUAUAAACAUGUAAACUUGCCACAAAAUGGUUAAAACCAAUUACUAAGGACCUUAAUGAAUUAAUUGGGUUAAAUGAAUAUGAUUACUACACAAAGGUGCUUAAAACCAUUAUAAUUAGGUCUACAAAAUAGCACUUUUUGGUAGUAAUCAUCAUGCUAUGCAUUCCUUUAUUUGUCUUUGUUGCAUUUUUUCCUACUCUCAAACUUGAGACUUAUCUCAAAAUAUAUGGAUAGGGUCUUUUAAAUAAUUCAAGUUAAUUCAGGUAUUAAGAUAGAGCCCUUAAAAGCAUGACAUGAUUUAAAAAAUUUUGAAUUCAUUAUUUAUUUAGUGAUAUUCCAGUUUCACUUUUCUAUAUCCUUAUUCCAUCCAUUAUGCUUUAUAAGUAUUCUUACCUAGAAUGUUUUGCAUUGUACAUGACUUGGAUGCAUUAGGAGUUGUACAAAAGAUCCAAGUUAUGGGUUUUUUGCAAGUAGAUGACUUGUUCACAACUGAUUCAUGGACUUAAGCAAUUCAUUUGAGGCAAUAGUCUACUACCUCAAAAUUAGAGGGAUGGCUAACCUUUGCCAUCGGGAUGGGUUUCCCAUGGUAAGUGCACUAAUGUGUAUGGUUACACAUUGAAUAAGACCUACAAUGAGUCAUGACAUAAGGCUAUCAAGUUGUCAUGAUUUCACCAAGCUCCUUUAUUAUAUUGUCUCUCAACCUUGAGAGAAUACUAAGCUUCUGGCCAACUUAGUGAUGGCUUUGACCUAUGGGUGAGAUCUUAAAGUGAUCAUAUAUUCCUCUAUGGAUUAGGUCACUUUUGAUGAAAGCUGAUAGCAAUAAGUAUUCUCAAUAAAGGAAUCAUGAUAUCUCAUGGGAUUGAGAUAAAUUGUUCUUUUGGGUUGUUAGGACAUUGAGUCUUGUUUAUAUGUUGUUAAUUUUGUUCUUUUUUAUGUUUGGUCAUAGAAGUCUUUUUAGAUAGUAACUUGCUCUCCAUUGAAGAUCAAGCGUUGCAAUCUAUCUAAUCGGGAAGUCAUAAGUAUGUCUAAAAAGGUUUAACUUGUGGCAAUUGAGGAUCCAUUGAAGUAUAAAGAGGAUUGGUAAGUUUUUUGAACUUAAAAUUAAUUUUUGUCAAGUUUUUGAAAAAUAGAGGACACUUAAUGAUUCGUGCCCAGCUGGUGUAUGCCUUGUUGAUUGGUGUUCAAUCAACUGGUGUACUCUGAUUUCGGUCCUCAGAUGGGAGUAAUCAACAAAACCUAUUUCACCAUAUACUAGGGUAGCAUUAGCUAGCAUAGCAUAGUGGCUCUAGGAUCGUCCACAGGGAUGGGUUUUCAAAUUACAAUUGAUAUUAGUUCAAAAACUGAAUUGGUGUUUUUUCUUUUCAAGGUUAGCUUUAAAAGAAAACAUAAAUAUGUUUGAAAAGGUUGGUUUUAAGUGAAACCAAAAAUAAAGUAACUAAAAUUACUUACAAAAAAAAGUGCUUCUUAGAGUUUUAGAUCACUAGGCUCAGGUUCGUCAUACAAAAAAGGAGAUUCCAGUCACUUGGAUCUUUUCCUCGCAUUGGGGAUUUAACAUAUAGUUAUUUCCCAAACCGGUGUGGUACAUAUGCUUCCCCUUAAUGGUUUCAAACAUUAAAUCCCUAUCACUGAAUCAUCUUGCAAUGGUUCAUACCUCUCACUUAGUAUUGGCCAUUCAAGGUGAUCCUUAACCUUGGAUUACCCGUCAAAAGCUCGCAAGAGAUAACUAAUGGAUGUCUCCUGGGAGUUCAAAAGCUUACCAAGUGUUGGUUAUUCUAGAUAAUCCUACAUUUAAACCACCUCCCAAAGGCUCGCAAGAGAUAAACUAGUGUAUCUCAAUGGACGGAGACCACUUGCCUUACCAAGUGUUGGCCUAGGUGAUUUUAAGGGAUUUUAAGUUAACUAAAAAGAUAAAAACCAUUAACGGGUCACACUUUCUCUUCAUUAAAAACUAAAACAACAAAACUUCCACUUUUGCAUUGGGAACCUUACCUAGCUUUCAUCACUCCAAGAAAUAAAAAGCCUAGCCACUCAUCCUCUGGGAAAACAUCCUCAGAGUUCGAUUUGCUAGAAAUAAAAAUAACGAGAAAACAAAAUGAGAAGGUAAGGCAGAGCAAAGCAUUGUGUAUUACUUUCUAAAAAACUAUACAAAGUGUCAUCUCCGAGAAAAACUCCCGAGAGAUCCUUUUAAAAGAAAAAUUACAAUAGAUAUUAUAUAGAGAGGCUAUUCACCCCUCCUGCUAACUUCCCAACCAAGAAAACUUGUCAUUGGUGGGUUACAAGGAGAAAAUAGGGAUUUACACACAAAUAUCUGAAGAUAAAUAUCAAACGGAGUCAGUGCACAAAUAUCUCAAAUUAUAGGUGGAUUUCGCAAGUUCAAAUGCAACUUGCGAAAAUUUCGCAAGUUGAAAUUAUCCAUUUCACAAGUUACGUAAUUGUCUUGCAACUUAUUAGCUCUCUGUCCUGCAGUGAUUCCUUUCCUCUUCCUAUUUCGCAAGUUACGAAAAUUUCGCAAGUUGGAUUCCACAACUUACGAAAUUGUUGGAUGGUUGAUUUCUUCUGUGCUUUUCCUCAUUGCAUCCUUGUUUGGUUUUGGCGAAGGGUUAUGAAGCUCCAAAGCUUAGUUUCUUCAGGAAUUUGAGCUUCAACUUGCUUUGCCAUGAACUAUACAAAGAUCUUCCUCACUCUUGGAUUGCUUUGAUGAUCAAAAGCUAUCAAAAACACCAAAACUUAACACAAUUUGAUUAGAAACGAUUGCAAGGGUCCUUAACAUGCUAAUUGAGUUAAAAGGUAAUAACUACUACUCAAAAGUGUUUAAAAGAGUUAAUUACAAGCUAUAAAAUACACUUUUUGAGUAGUAAUCACUCCCCCCAACCGACACAUUGCUAGUCUCUUAGCAAUGAAGGAGAGAAAAAUAAAAAUAAAUAGUACUAUAAUUUACAACAUCAUGCUGAUCACUUCAAAAAAUUUCAAGUGGCAUGAUGAUCAAACUUUCACAUGGGACAUUAAAGAUAUAAAACUCAAACUUCAACAAGAGUUAUCAAAUAACUUGCCUAAUCACAAUUCAUAAAGAGAAGACAUUAUGCAAAUUUUAGUUUUAAAAGAAUUUCCACUCCCAAAGGGUCAAUCCUUACUUUUCCACAAAAAUCUAAGUGUUACUUAUUAGUUUCUGAAUAUAGUAUGCUGAACUAAUCUCUCCCCCCAACCUAGUUCUUUUUCAAAACUUAGCAAACUAACAACCUCCAAUAGGCUAAGAACGCACCUCAUUUAUUUCACACUAUUUUUUUCUUGUAGGAGUAUAAAGCUUAAAAGUAUUCUUUUUUAAAUUGUCCAUGUAACAGGGGUCCAUCGAUGACUCCCAACCAAUUAAGGUUUAGAGCAUCAAGCUUCAAGGAUCUUUCGACCACUAACUCCUCGGAUUUUACCCCGGACGUUUGAGAUUGGAAUUCAAUACCUAAGCACCUACACUAUGUUAAACUCAACCUAUUCACCUUUGUAACGAGCAUUGAGGUUGGUGACUCCCAACUAAUGAUGGCUUAAGGCACCAGGUUUUAAAGAUUUUCACCAUAUACCCCUCAGACCUUGCUCGGGUUUCAAGGUAAGUAAACAUUAAAGGCUCAUUGGCCUUUUCUAAGGUGUCCCAACACUAUUAAAAUGAGGUCAAAGGUACCAAGUCUAAAAUUUCCUAAGUCAAGGGGCGAAAUAGUUUUUCAUCUUAUAAUCGGAACCUAGUGUGCACAGUGUGUGGUAAGCUUAAAGUGGAAGAAAUAAGGUUGAAUUCAACAGAAGUUUCAACAAUUCAACAACUUUAAUAAGCAUAAUACAAACUCUAAGUCAAGUAAAAAGACAAAAAUUCAAUUUUUCCCAUUUCAUUUUGAGAAUUUUUCCUUGAUAACCAUGAAGAGUAUUCAAUUUUUUUUUAAAAAUUUAGACAAAAAGUAACUAAAUUACCAUUUAUAACCUAGCAUUAUAAACAAUACUUCCUUCGUCAACUCCCCCCAACCAUGCUGAACAUUGCCCUCAAUGUUUGAAGAGUAAUUGAAAAUAAAGGAAGGAAGUGGUACAUUCUGAGUGGAAUAGAGUCUGAAUUGUAUAGGAGAAACCACAUGAUUCAAGAAAACAAAAAAAAAAUGAGUAGAGGAAAUAAAAUAAAAAUAUGCCAAGUAUAGUAAAAAAUGAUGGAUAUGUAUUACUUUAAGAAAGUACAAUAUGAAAUAUGCACAAGUAAUACAUCCAAUCCCAGUAUAUAAAACAUAAAGAACAUGAGAUUAAGAGUUCUACUAUUAUAAGUAAAUACAAAAAUUAGAUAGAUGAUCAAGUAGUGGUGGGAGGAUCAUGUGGAGACAAUGGCUCUACUGUGGUCUCCUGAGUGCUCUAGAUAGGAGUCUCGACCUCUGCUGUAGUAGUCUCCUCAUGGGGCAUAGUCUGCUCUGCUGGAGUAGCCUCCUGAGAUGGAAUAGCUUGCUCAGCUAGAGUAGCCUCCUCAGAUGGAGUUGUAGGCUCUGAUGGACCAGGCAUAUCAUGCUCAGGUGGUGGUGGAAUACCUAAAUGCUACCGUAUCUGACUAAGGAUGGCAGUAUGUUGGGUUUGCAUGGCAAUAAGUUGAUCCUGACGUGCACGUAUGACUGUUAUCUGUUGGGCAAGAACACUUUGAGUAGUACUCAAUGUCUGCAAUGUAUGACAUAGGCCUCUAAACUCUAAACUGCAUAUAGUGAUAGAAGACUUAAAUGGAGGAGGUGCUGAUGUAGCUGGUACAACUGGUAGAGCUUCAAGAGUGGUAGGAGGAGCAAAAAAUGUAGCCUCGAGCGUGGGCACUGUAGAAGGUGCUGCAGGGGCAGGUAGUAUGAUCUCUGUAGGUAUCUCAGCCCGUUGUGCCUGUGGUGGCUGCUCAUCCUAUGGUAACUCUGGAGGUGCUGGCAUAUUUGGGGCUCCUGGGGGUGCAACAUAGGUCGUCAAACGAUUCCAUUUGUCGAGAGUGAAUAGCUCUCGAAAAAUGAGGCGGUGCUCAAGCUGAGGCUCAGAAGGAUAGCCCAAAUGCUCUAAUAUCUAAUAGAGCAGGUUGGGAAAAAGUAAUGGAAUGGCAUUUGCUCUCUGGAGCUUCUUCCUAUGGACCUUCUCUUUAAAGUAGAGAAGAGAGGUCAUAAUCAAAAUAUGAGGGCCAAAAUAGAAACCCUCUGAUAUCCGGAAUAAAGCCUCCAGUAUAGCUCAUAUCCUCUGCACCAUAUGCUGAAGUGGAAAUAUGUUGGGACGCAACACCACAUCUAGAAGAAGCAUCCCAGGUGGAAACUCCUUCCUAAGAAGAAAUGAGCGUGUAGAGGUCCCCUUAGACAAUAUACGGACCAUGUUUCUCUGAGAGAAAUGGGACCACUCUCUGUAAUCUGCUGGACUCAUAGGCUCAUAUGGCAUGUGCAGGGCCUCUGCAAUGUGUCUAGCUCUUAGGAUACCAUGGCGUCCAUCAAUAGUGAAGUGGAUGACAGUAGGAUCCCAGACGCGAUGAGUAGUCAUAGACUGAUAAAACUCUAGUGCUACUUUGGGAUAGAAAAAGUCCCUAGGAGUCAUCAGGUGCUCCAAAUGGUUUCUCUGCAGUAGGCAAAAUGAAUCUCUAAGUUCUGGUUGCUGUCUGAAAGUCUCCAUAUCAAAACAUAGCUUGGAGUGGAAUGGCCUAGCUCGACAAUCCAAAUUUCCCUCUAUAGGUGGCUGUGUAACCAUAGGUCGCCUGAUAAUCACUUCUAGAGUCAUCCUAGAAGGAAUUUGAGACUCUGUAGCAGGGGGCUGAGGCUGUGGAGGUGCAGAUGACUCUCAUGGGCCUGAAACUCUGGCUUUCUUUGCAGAAGGGCGAUGAACUGAUUUCUUGGGGUGCGAAGUGCUUGCCCCAGGUGUAGUGGGUGAUCUCCUCGUCUCGUACCUAUGCUGAGGAGGGCUAGAUGGCACUCCAACCUCAGAAGGUGGAAUGGUAAAGGCCUGUGGAGCCUCAGAUGUGGAAUCCCGCGUAGGUGAAGCUCUUGGCAUUGGAUUGCGGGUUGAUGGAGAUGCGAUGUGGGCUCUUCUUGUCUUGGCCAUGGCUGAAAUGGAGAGGCUUGUGUUCCACAGGGUGAGCGGAGGUGCGCGAAGUGGUUCUUCUUCAAACGCACAACCUCUGGGCUUCCUACUAUAGAAUUUGGGGGGUUUCGCAACUUAUAGGGUUAUUUCGCAACAUGAAAGGGUUGUGCGAAAUGAAAAUGGAAAAAAUCAGAGGUUUAAAUAUGAAUUUAAACGUCGGUUGGCAUUUUCGAAAGUUAGCCUAAAUUCGCAAGUUGGUUCGCAAGUUGCCCCUUUUCGCAACUUGAUUCACAGGCUGUGAAACUUGAAAUUGAACUUGCGAAAUGGCACACGUGUGCUUGGAGGUGCUUUCGCAGGCUCCAAAAAUUUUCGCAAGUUGAAUAGUGGACUUACGAAUUUGAGCUUUGAGGAUUUCACAAGUUGGACCCUAUUUUCACAAGUUGGAAUUUUAGCUUGCAAAAUUUUCGCAAAUUGAAAUAUUGCUCUAUUUUUCAGGCUUUUUCUCCUUCUUUGGUUCUUUAAGGCUUUCCUCCAAUUCCUUUGAAGUUCCUCCUAAUUUUGAUCAUCCAAAAAGUCUACGUUAGAUCAAAAUAAAAUAAAUUCAAGCUAGAAUUAAAAUUAAAACAAAUAAUAAAGCUUUUAAAUCAACAAAAUUGAAACAAAAAACAUGGACUUUGGUUAGUCUUCAAAAAGACUAAGUCCAUCUACUCCUUUUUGGUUAAGAUUGUUGUGGCUCAAGAAGACUGACUUCCUCCUUGUCUUGAUUGAAAGGCUUCAUGAAUGGCUUGAAACGGUGGUCAUUGACUUUGAAAGUGUCUGUGCUGUUGGAAUUGAGUAGUUCAACUACUCCAUUGGAAUGCACUUGGUGAAUAAUGAAAGGGCUUAUCCACCUUGAUUUUAGCUUUCCUGGAAAGAUGUGGAGCCUAGAGUUAUAGAGUAAGACUCUUUAUCCCUUUUGAAAUUCUUUGUUGGAGAUUAACUGAUCAUGCCACCUCUUCAUCAUAUGUUUUGAAAUUUUGGAAUUGAUGUAGGCAUCAUUUCUCAAUUCCUCCAUCUCAUUAAGGUCUAAGCACCUCUUCAUCCCGACUCUGUUCAAGUCCAUGUUUACCUUCUUAAUUGCCCACCAAGCCUUGUAUUGAACUUCCACAGGGAGAUGGCAUGCUUUACCAUAGACUAGGCGAUAAGGAGACAUGCCAAGAAUAGUCUUGUAAGUUGUUCUGUAUGCCCAUAGUGAAUCAUGGAGCUUAACAAACCAAUUUCUUCUACUUGUGUUCACCACCUUCAUCAAUAUAUUCUUGAUUUCCCUGUUUGCUAACUCAACUUGCCCAAAAGUCUGAGGGUGGUAAGGUGUAGCUACCUUGUGCUUCACCCCAUACUUGGCUAAGAGAGUUUCAAAAGGCUUGUUGCAAAAAUGAGUACCUUCAUCACUGAUUAUGGCCUUGGGCACCCCAAAUCUUGAGAAGAUGUUCUCUUUGAGAAACUUGAGAACAACUCUGUGGUCAUUUUGUUUACACAGGAUUGCCUCAACCCAUUUAGAAACAUAGUCUACCCCCACCAAAAUGUAAGAGUUACCAAAAGACAUAGGGAAAGGUCCCAUGAAGUCAAUGCCCCAAACAUCGAAAAAAUCAACUAUAAAAUGGGGUUCAUAGGCAUUUGGUUCCUACAUGUUAACUUCCCAAGCCUUUGGUAUCUAUCACAGCUCUUGCACAUGGCGUGAGCAUCUUUGAAAAGUGAUGGCCAACUGAAACCUGAUUGCAACACCUUCAUGGCUAUUUUCUGAUAGGCAAAGUGGCCUCCACAUGCACUUUCGAGGCAAUGACUGAGGAUCCCCUGUUGCUCUUGUUCAGGGACACACUUCCUUAUUAUUUGAUCUGCACAAUACUUGAAAAGGAAAGAUUCUUCCCAAUAGUAGGCAUGAAUUUUUGUAAAGAAGUGCUUCCUAUCUUGUGCUUUCCACUCACUUGGAACUUCACUAGUAACUAUAUAGUUAGCAAUAUGAGCAUACCAAGGAGCAUCUUCUAACAACAUGAGUGACUCCUUCGGAAAAUCAUCAUUAAUAGGAAAACCAUGGGAAUUAUGCGAUAUAGCCAGCCUAGAAAGGUGGUUAGCUACCACAUUCUCCACUCAUUUCUUGUCUUUGAUUUGGAGAUUGAACUUUUGUAGUAAGAGAAUCCAUCUAAUCAGCCUUGCUUUUGCAUCUUGCUUUGUCAAUAAGUACUUCAAAGCUGAGUGGUCAGUGAAAACCACAAUGAAAGACCCUACCAGAUAAGCACGAAAUUUGUCCAAGGCAAAAACUACAGCGAAAUAAUUCUUUCUCUAUGGUUGUGUAGUUUCUUUGUGCUUCAUUUAAUGUUUUACUUGCAUAGUAGAUCACAUAGGGCUUUCCAUCAUCUCUUUGACCAAGAACAACUCCUAUAGCAAAGUCAUUGUGAUUACUACUCAAAAAGUGUUAUUUCAUAGCUUGUAAUUAACUCUUUUAAACACUUUUGAGUAGUAGUUAUUACCUUUUAACCCAAUUAACAUGUUAAGGACCCUUGCAAUCAAUUCUAAUCAAAUUGUGUUAAGUUUUGGUGUUUUGAUAGCUUUUUGAUCACCAAAGCAAUCCGAGAUUGAGGAGAGUUCUUUGGAAUCCAUGGCAAAGCAAUGGAAAGCUUAGAAACAUGAAGAACCGAAGCUUUGAAGUCCUUUGCCAUAAGCAAAUCUGGAAUGCAAGGAGUUUGGGAUCCUCCCUAAAAAAUGCCACGUGGCUCUCUCUCCCUUAUGUUGAUGCCUUGCGUCCUAGUGAUCCACGUAGCUACCAAGUGGACGCACGCUUUCAACCCUGAUUGAGUUCUGGUUCAGUCUUCCCUACAAAAGAUGUCCGGACAGGGCGUCCGGGCACACCAUCGGAGGGCGGCGGAACGUGGGCUGUGGCAGGCUGUUGAUUACUACUCAAAAAGAGCUAUUUGAUAGCUUGUAAUUAACUCUUUUAAAUACUUUUGAGUAGUAGUUAUUACCUUUUAACCCAAUUAACAUAUUAAGGACCUUUGCAAUCACUUCUAAUCACUUUGUGUAAGUUUUGGUGUUUUUGUUAGUAAUUUGAUCACCAAAGCAAUCCAAGAUUGAGGAGAGUUAUUUGGAAUCCAUGGCAAAGCAAUGGAAAGCUCAGAAACAUGAAGAACCAAAGCUUUGAAGCUUUAAAGUCCUUUUCCAUAAGCAAUCCGGAAUGCAAGGAGGGGAAGUAAAGAGAAAAUCUGCCAUGAAGCAUUCUUGAUGACAGUCAUUUUAGCCACUUUUGGAGCACUUCCUAAAGUCCAAUUUAUGCAUUCUAUGUGUCGUUUCAAAUAUUAGGAAGUCAAAAAUCCAAUGCUUCAAACGGUUCACAAAUCGGAGUUGAAAUGAAGAAGUUAGAGCCAAUGGAAGCAGAUCACUCCAAGGUGAGGGCCAAUUUCGCAGGGCUGCGAAAUCAGCCUUUGGCUGCGAAAUGAUUUCGCAGCCAUCUUGUUCGUCUGCGAAAUUUCGCAGCCAUUUUGUGCGCCUGCGAAAUUCUCCUGAGUGCUUCCAGAUAUUUUCGACCGACGUUUUUUGAUAUUUUGCUUCAAAUAUUUGUUGUCUAAAUCCCAAUUCUCUCCUUGUAAUCCACCAAUUAUAGGGUUCCUUAGUUGUUAAGUAAGAACACAAGGGUAAACAACCUCUUAUAUAUUGUUUUUUAAUUUUCAUUUUCUAUGGAUCUCGGGAGCUUGUUCUCAGAGAAUCAACUUUUUGUAUAGUUUGAAAGGAAGUAAAACACAGAGUUUUGCUCUGCCUUACCUUCUCACUUUGAUUGUAUUUUUCAUUCACUAGCCAAACAAGCUCUGAGGAUGUUUCUUCAGAGGAUGGGUGGCUAGGCUUUUUGUUUCUUGGAGCUAAGGUAAUCGGGGAAGGGCCGAAUGCAAGAAUUGGUAGUUUUGUUGUUUCAGCUGUUAAUGAAGAGAAAGUGUAACCCGUUUAUGAUUUCUAUGUUUUUAGUUAACUUAAAACGCUUUCAAUUCACCUGAGCCAACACUUGGUAAGGCAAGUGAUCUCCGUCCAUGGAGAUGCGCUAGUUUACCUCUUGUGAGCUUUUGGGAGGUGACUUGAAGGUGGGAUUUUCUAGAAUUGCCAACACUUGGUAAGCUUUUGGACUCUAAGGAGACAUCCAUUAGUUAUCUCUUGCGAGCUUGAGAAGGGAAGUCCAAAGUUAAUGAUCACCUUGAAUGGCAAAUGCUAGGUGAGAGGCACGAGUCAUUGCAAGUUGCAUCAGUGAGAGGGAAUUAAAGCUGAAAUCCAUUUAAGGGAUGCAUCUGUACAACACUGGUUGGAGAGUGAACUAUAUGUUAACUCUCCAAUACGAGGAAAUGAACCAAGUGACCGAAACUCUGUUUUUGCAUGAGGAACCUCCCCUGUGAACCUGAAUGAUUACUACUCAAAACAUGCUAUUUUGUAGCUUGUAAUUAGCUCUUUUAAACACCAUUGAGUAGUAAUUAUUACCUUUUAACCCAAUUAGCAUGUUAGGAGCCCUUGCAAUCGUUUCUAACAAUUGUGUUAAGUUUUGGUGCUUUUUGAUAGCUUUAUGCUCACCAAAGCAAUUUAAGAAUGAGGGAGAGCUAUUUAUAGUUCAGGGCAAAGCUUUUGAAAGCUUAAAUUUAUGAAGAAAUCAAGCUAUGGAGCCUCAUAAUCCUUUGCCUUAAUCGUUCAAAGUUUACAAGGGAGAAACAAUGGAGAAGAAGAAAACAGGGGAUGAAAACAGGGGACACAGCUGCAGUCUUUUAGUGCACUUUUGGAGCACUUUCCAAAGUCCAUUCUUUACAUUCUAUAUACCAUUUCGAAGCUCAGAAAGUCAAGAAUCCAAUGGUUCAAACCACGUAUGAUUUGGAGCUGAAAUGAGGAAGAUAUGGACUUCGGAAGACAACUGCAUCAAGCUGAGGGACAAUUUCGCACACCACUGUUUAAGGUGCGAAAUCCUCAGUCCACUGUGCGAAAAUUUCGCACACCUCAAACCAACAUGCGAAAUUGGAACUCAGCGUGCAAAAAUUGGAUAUUUUUGCCGACUCUUUUUCUUCUGAUAUUUUUGUGUUUAAAUUUCCAUUUUCUCCUUGUAUUCAACCAACCAUGUAAUUCCUUAGCUAGGAAGUAUCCAAGGAAGGGUAAAACUACCUUCCUAUAUAAAUUCUCUUGUAAUCACUGAAAACAGAUCUUCGUCGGGGAGCUUUCUCCAGGAGACCAACUAUUGUAAAUUUGUUACUUAGUGAAAUACAGAGAUCUCUUUUACUUUCCUUUUCUCUCUUCUAUUUUCUAUUUUCUUGCAAGCCAAACACCCUCUGAGGAUGUUUUCCCAGAGGAUGAGAGGCUAAGCAUUUAGUUUCUUGGAGUAAAGGAAGUUAGGUGAAAAGUCCAGAUUAAAAGGUGGAAAGUUUCCGUGCAUUAAAUUCAGGUAGUUGGAGUCCAUAAAUGGUUUCUAAAGCCAAGGUUUUGCCUUAAAUCCCUUAGGAUCACUUUGACUGGCCAAUACAUGGUAAGCUUAAGGUCUCUGUGGAUGCUUAUUGCUAGAUCCAUAUCAGUCCAUUAGUUAUCAUGUACGAGCCAUUGGAAAGUGAUUCAAGGUGAUAGCCCAUAGUGUCUUAAGCCAUUAAUGGACCUUGAUUACCAUCUCUAGUGAUUUUUAUGGAUUAAAACUUCAUUGUCAAACCUAUACCGGUUCGGGAAAUAACUAUAGGUUAAAUCCCCAAUGCGAGGAGAAAAAUCCGGAAUUUUCCACUUUGCAUCUGGAACUUGAACCUAGCAACCUUUAGCUCCGGGAGACUUUCUUUCUUCCACUUUUUACUUAGUUCUAUGUGAGUUUAGUUUAAAUCACCACUUUCAAAACAAUUUUAUUUUCUUUUAAAUUUCAAGUUUGUGCUAAAGGAAAUCAUCAGAAUCAAUUUCUAAUUUAGAGUCUAUCAUUGGUAGAGUGAAAACCCAUCCCUGAGUUCGACCCUAGAACUGCUAUACUAUAGUAGCUUUGCUACGCCAGUAUAAGGUCAUAGGUUUUAUAAAUGUUUUUGAUUAAAAGAUCCGGCUGGGAAGUCAAGCGAAGAAUCACUGAACCUCCAAGGAAUGUUUUCUUUAUAAAGUAAUUCCCAUUACUUUCUUUUUAGUUAGCUUGUAACCAAAUCUUUUUCAACCAAAGUUUAUGUUUUCUUUUGAAUCUAACCUUGAAAUGAAAAGGCACCAAUUCAACUUUGAAUUGGUAUCGGUUGUAAGUCGAAAACCUUUCCCAGUGAACGAUCCUAGAGCUACUAUGCUAUACUAGCUUAUGCUAUCCUAGUGCAUGGUGAUAUAGGUUAUAAAUUUUGUUGAUUAAUCCCAUCAGAGGACCAAAAUCAAGGGCAUCAGCUGGGAAUACACGAAUCAGCUGUCGGAAUGACGUAGCAAGGCUUGCUCACUUUAGUCAAUGAUCCGGACAACAUAUCCGGAUAGGAUAUGCUAUCGUCCGGGGUGUGAUGAUCGCGAGUACCGUGUGCUUCUCCCUGAGGGAGUCCGGAUAGGGGAGCGCGCCACGUGUCCUCUUGGGGAAUUCGGAUGGAGUGCUCCGGAUAGCAAUGCGCGCUCCGUGUCAUCAGGGGGAGGGGUCCCUACACCUUGCACACGCAGACGGUCCCCCUUGCGACGUUCCACCUUCUCCGGAUAUCUCACAUCCGGAAUUCUGUCCGGCCGACGUUCCACCUUCUCCGGAUAUUUCACAUCCAGCGCCUGACGCCGGAUGGGAGAGGAGGGCGUUUCAACUUCCCCGGUCAGACAUAUCCGGAUCCUCUGAUAGCGCUUACCCGGAGAGUUUCGCAGCCAUUUUGCAUAGUGCCGCGGUGUUCUCUUGAAGCUUCCCGAUAUGUGCGACCGACAUUUUGAGAUAUUUUUCUUUAGAUAUUUGAUGUCUAAAUCCCCAAACUCUCCUUGUAACCCACCUAUCAUAGGAUUCCUUAGUCUUUAAGUAAGAACAAAGGGUGAAUAACCCCUUAUAUAUAGCUUUGUAAUUUUCUUUACAAGAAAGAUAUAUAAUGUAAUCUCUCGAGAGCUUGUUCUUAGAGACAACCUUUUGUAUAAGUAAGAAAUAUAUCUACAGAGCACUUGCUCUGCUUUUCAUAUAUAUUUUUGUUUUCUCGUUAUUUUUCUUUCUAGCCAAUCAAACUCUGAGGAUUUUUCCUCAAAGGAUGAGAGGCUAGGCUCUUCGUCUCUUGGAGUGAAGAAAGCUGGAUAAGUUUCCAAAUGCAAGAAUUGGAAGUUUUGUUGUUUUAAGUUUUAAUGAAGAGAAAGUGUGACCCGUUAAUGGUUUUUAUCUUUUUAGUUAACUUAAAACGCCUUCAAUUCACUUGGGCCAACACUUGAUAAGGCAAAUGGUCUCCGUCCAUUGAGAUACACUAGUUUAUCUCUUGCUAGCCUUUGGGAGGUGGUUUGAAGGUAGGAUUUUCUAGAAUAGCCAACACUUGGUAAGCUUUUGGACUCUUAGGAGACAUCAAUUAGUUAUCUCUUGCGAGCUUUUGAUAGGUAAUCAAAGAUUAAGGAUCAGCUUGGAUGACAAAUGCUAGGUGAGAGGCACGAGCCAUUGCAAGAUGCAUCAGUGAGAGGGAUUUAGUGUUUGAACCCAUUAAGGGGAAGCAUCUGUACCACACCGGUUAGAGAAUUAACUAUAUGUUAAUUCUUUAAUGCGAGGAAAAGAAACAAGUGACCGGAACUCUCCUUUUUGUAUGAGGAACCUGAGCUUAGUGAUCUAAACUCCAAGAAACACUUUUCUUAGUAAGUAAUUUCCAUUACUUUAUUUUUGGUUUCUGAUUCGUGCCCACUUGGUGUAUCAACUGAUUCAUGUCCAACUGGUGCUCCUUGAUUGAGGUAGUAAUCAACAAAAUUUAUAACCUAUUACACCAUGAACUAGGGUAGCAAAGACAAAGCUACUAUAGCAUAGCGGCUCUAAGAUCGUUCACUGGGAUGGGUUUUCACUCCACAAUUGAUAUCAAUUCAAAGCUGAAUUGGUGCCUUUUCAUUUCAAGGUUAGCUUUAAAAGAAAACAUAAAGAUGUUUAAAUGAAAAAGGUUUGGUUUUAAACUAACCAAAAAUAGUAACUAAUUUUACUUACAAAGAAAAGUGUUUCUUGGAGUUUAGAUCACUAGGCUGAGGUUCCUUGUACAAAAAGGGAGUUCCGGUCACUUGUUUCUUUUCCUCGCAUUAGAGAAUUAACAUAUAGUUAAUUCUCUAACCGGUGUGGUACAAAUGCUUCCCAUUAAUGGGUUCAAACACUAAAUCCCUCUCACUGAUGCAUCUUGCAAUGACUCAUACCUCUCACCUAGCACUUGCCAUUCAAGGUGAUCUUUAACCUUGGAUUACCCGUUAAAAGCUCGCAAGAGAUAACUAAUGGAUGUUUCCUUAAAGUCCAAAAGCUUACCAAGUGUUGGCUAUUCUAGAAAAUCCUACCUUCAAACCACCUCCCAAAGGCUCGCAAGAGAUAAACUAGUGAAUCUCAAUGGAUGGAGACCACUUGCCUUAUCAAGUGUUGGCCCAGGUGAUUUAAAGGCGUUUUAAGUUAACUAAAAAGAUAAAAACCAUUAACGGGUCACACUUUCUCUUCAUUAAAAACUAAAACAACAAAACUUCCAAUUCUUGCAAUUGGAAACUUACCCGGCUUUCUUCAUUCGAAGAGACAAAGAGCCUAGCCUCUCAUCCUCUGAGGAAAAAUCCUCAGAGUUUGAUUGGCUAGAAAUAAAAAGAAUGAGAAAACAAAAAUAUAUAUGAAAAGCAGAGCAAGUGCUCUGUAUUUUACUUCCUUCCAAAACUGUACAAAAGAUCCGUCUCUGAGAACAAGCUCCCGAGAGAUUGAUCAUAUAUAAAGAAAAUUACAAACUAUAUAUAAGAGGUUAUUCACCCUUUUUCCAAACUUAAUAACUAAGGAAUCCUAUGAUUGGUGGGAUACAAGGAGAGUUUGGGGAUUUAGACAUAAAAUAUCUAAAGCAAAAUAUCUCAAAAUAUCUCAAUUGUCGGUCACACAUAUCUGGAAGCUUCAGGAGAAUACUGAAGAAAAAUAUCUCAAAAUGUCGGUCACACAUGUCAGGAAGCUUCAGGAGAACACCGUGGCACUGUGCAAAAUGGCUACGAAACUCUCCGGGUAAGCGCUAUCAGCGGAUCUGGAUAUGGCUGACCGGAGAAGUUGAAACGCCCUCCUCUCCCAUCCGGCGUCAGGCGCCGGAUGCGAAUAUCCGAAUGGAAUGGCGGCGGAGCAAAAUUCCGGAUGUGAGACAUCUGGGUGGAAUGGCGGCGAAGCAAAAUUCCGGAUGUGAGACAUCCGGGUGGAAUGGCGGCAAAGCAAAAUUCCGGAUGUGAGACAUCCGGGUGGAAUGUCGGCGGAGCAACUCCAUCCGAAUUCCCCGAGAGAACAUGUGGCACGUUCCCCUAUCCGGACUCCCUUAGGGAGAAGCACACGGCACUCACGAUCAUCACACACCCGGACGAUAGCAUAUCCUAUCCGGAUAUUCUGUCCGGAUGAAAAGAAGAGAAAAGAGCCCACAUUCCGCCGCCCACCGAUGGUGUGUCCGGACGCCCUGUCAGGAUGAUAGCAUAUCCUAUCCGGACAGCUCUUCAUUGCUUUGCCAUGGAUUCCAAAGAACUCUCCUUAAUCUUGGAUUGCUUUGGUGAUCAAAUUACUAACAAAAAACACCAAAACUUACACAAUUUGAUUAGAAUUGAUUGUAAGGGUCCUUAAUAUGUUAAUUGGGUUAAAAGGCGAUAACUACUACUCAAAAGUGUUUGAAAGAGUUAAUUACAAGCUAUGAAAUAACACUUUUUGAGUAGUAAUCAGUUUCACUUAAAAACCAACCUUUUUCAACCAAAGAUUAUGUUUUCUUUUAAAGCUAACCUUGAAAUGAAAAGGCACCAAUUCAUCUUUGAAUUAAUAUCAAUUGUGAAGUGAAAACCCAUCCCAGUGAACGACCCUAGAGCCACUAUGCUAUGCUAGCUAAGGCUAUCCUAGUACAAGGUGUAAUAGGUUAUAAAUUUUGUUGAUUACUCCCUUCUGAGGACCACAAUCAAGGGACACCAGCUAAACACGAAUCAGCUAAGACACCAAUUGGAAACGAAUCACAUUGGCAUCACACAUCACUUCAAAAGGUAGUUGCCAGUUAGGAGCCCUCACCAUUGGAGCGGUUGUCAAGAACUGCUUCAGUUGCUCAAAACUCUUUUGACAUUUUUCAUCACAUACAAAUUUAGCAUCCUUCAGCAAUAGUUCACAAAGAGGCUUUGAAAGUUUAAAGAAAUCUUUAAUAAACCUCCCGUAGAACCCAACAUGGCCAAGGAAUUGCCUCACUCCUUUUACAGCUGUUGGGGAUGGCAAUUUCACAAUAAGUUCCACCAUUGCUUUAUAAACUUCAAUGCCUUUCUUGGAGAUGAUGUGGCCAAGGACAAUUUCUUGUUGUACCAUAAAAUGACAUUUCUCCUAGUUAAGCACUAAGUCUUUUUCAAUGCAUCGGUUCAGAACAAUUCCAAGUUGACUAAACAUUCCUCAAAUGUGCUUCCAUAUAUGGUGAUAUCAUCUAUAAAAACUUCCAUAAUACGCUCCACCAUAUCACUGAAAAUGCUUAACAUACAUUGUUGGAAUGUUGCAGGUGCAUUGCAUAAACCAAAAGGCAUUCUUCUGUAGGCAUAUGUGAUUACUAAUCAAAAAGUGCUAUUUCAUAGCAUGUAAUUAACUCUUUUAAACACUUUUGAGUAGUAGUUAUUGCCUUUUAACCCAAUUAACAUGUUAAGGACCCUUGCAAUCACUUCUAAUCAAUUUGUGUAAAGUUUUGGUGUUUUGAUAGCCUUUUUGAUCACCAAAGCAAUAUGAGAUUGAGGAGAGUUCUUUGGAAUCCUUGGCAAAGCAAUGGAAAGCUCAAAAACAUGAAGAACCAAAGCUUUGAAGUCCUUUGCCAUAAGCAAAUCCGGAAUGCAAGGAAGGGAAGCAAAGAGAAAUCUGCCAUGAAGCAUUCUUGAUGACAGUCAUGUCAGCCACUUUUGGAGCACUUUCUAGAGUCCAAUUUAUGCAUGCUAUAUGUCGUUUCGAAGCUCAGGAAGUCAACAAUCCAAUGCUUCAAACAGUACAUGAUUCGGAGUUGAAAUGAAGGAGUUACAUCUAUUGGAAGCCAAUCACUCCAAGUUGAAGAAAGAAUUUUACACGGCUGCGAAAUCACCCUUUUGUUGCGAAAUGAUUUCGCAGCCAUCUUGCACAGUGCUCUGGAAUUUCUCCUGAAGUUUCCCGAUAUUUGCGACCGACUCUUUUAGAUCUUUUCUUCAGAUAUUUUUGUAUAAAUUUCCAUUCUUCUCCUUAUAAUCCACCAACCAUAAGAUUUCUUAGUUAGGAAGGUUGGAAAAACGUCUCUAUAUAUAUUCCCUUGCAUCCACUGUAAAAGAUAUAGAUAUAUCAUAUAUAGAAUCAACGAACAGAGCACUUGCUCUGUUUUUCAUAUAUAUUCUUGUUUUCUCGUUAGUUUUCUUUCUAGCCAAUCAAACUCUGAGGAUUUUUCCUCAGAGGAUGAGAGGCUAGGCUCUUCGUCUUUUGGAGUGAAGAAAGCCGGGUAAGUUUCCAAAUGCAUAAAUUGGAAGUUUUGUUGUUUUAGUUUUUAAUGAAGAGAAAGUGUGACCCGUUAAUGGUUUUUAUCUUUUUAGUUAACUUAAAACGCCUUUAAAUCACCUGGGCCAACACUUGGUAAGGCAAGUGAUCUUCGUCCAUGGAGAUGCACUAGUUUAUCUCUUGCGAGCUUUUGGUAGGUGGUUUGAAGGUAGGAUUUUCUAGAAUAGCCAACACUUGGUAAGCUUUUGGACUCCAAGGAGACAUCCAUUAGUUAUCUCUUGCGAGCUUUUGACGGGUAAUCCAAGGUUAAAGAUCACCUUGAAUGGCAAAUGCUAGGUGAGAGGCACGAGCCAUUGCAAGAUGCAUCAGUGAGAGGGAUUUAGUGUUUGAACCCAUUAAUGGGAAACAUCUGUACAACACCGGUUAGAGAAUUAACUAUAUGUUAAUUCUCUAAUGCGAGGAAAAGAAACAAGUGACCGAAACUCUCCUUUUUGUAUGAGGAACCUGAGCCUAGUGAUCUAAACUCCAAGAAACAUUUUUCUUUGUAAGUAAAAUCAGUUACUAUUUUUGGUUAGCUUAAAACCAAUCCUUUUUCAUUCAAACAUCCUUAUGUUUUCUUUUAAAGCUAACCUUGAAAUGAAAAGGCACCAAUUCAACUUUGAAUUAACAUCAUUUGUGAAGUGAAAACCCAUCCCAGUGAACGAUCCUAAAGCCACUAUGCUAUAGUAGCUUUGUCUUUGCUACCCUAGUAUAUGGUGUAAUAGGUUAUAAAUUUUGUUGAUUACUCCCUCAAUCAAGGAGCACCAGCUGGACAUGAAUCAGCUGAGACACCAAUUGGGCACGAAUCAAAUGGCGCCAUUGCCGGGGAUGGUGCCACUUUACAGUGAUAUCACCUUUUCAGAGUACUUGUGAUCUUCAUCACAAGUUUGGUGACUUUUCUUUUCCUUUUACUAACUCUUUUUAUUGUUCAUAUUUUAGUAUACCUUUUAUUUAGUUUUUAGUUUACCUUAAUUUUUUUUCUUUGAAUUGUUUUUCUUUUGUGUUCACUGUUUUAAAUUCACAAAUUGCUAGUUGUGCAUGCCAUAUUGAAUACCAUAGCAGAGAAAGCCAUGAACUUCAUGAGUUAUGUGGUUGAAGUCUCAAGAGGAUGGGAUGAACCAAAUGCUAGAGAUAUGGGAAGAAUGACGUCUCAACCUAAUGCUAAGGGUGAGAUGUAUAUUUUAAAUGACGGCAUAGACAUGAGGACAAAGUUUGCAGCUAUGGCAAGGAGAUUAGAAGAGCUAGAAAUGAAGAAGAUGCAUGAAGUGCAAGCCAUCUCUCAGACACCAUUGCAACCUAUGCCCUGUUCCAUUUGUCGAUCUUUUGAGCACUUGGGGGAAGAGUGUCCUACCAUUCCAGCCGUGAGGGAAAUAUUUGGUGAUUGCAACACCUACAAUUCCAAUUGGAGGGACCAUCCAAAUUUCUCUUGGAAACCACAGCCACCUCAGUAUCAGCAACCUGCUCAAGCACCACAGCAAGCCUCAAGCCUUGAACAAGCUAUGGUGAAUCUUAGCAAGGUCGUGGGAGACUUUGUUGGAGCUCAGAAAUCCAUCAAUGCUCAGUUCAGUCGAAGAAUUAACAGUGUAGAGAGUUCAUUGAUUAAAAGGAUGGAUGAAGUGCAAAAUGAUCUAUCUCAUAAGAUAGAUAAUCUCCAAGAUUCAAUCUCAAGGUUUGCCAACCUCAACAUAGUGCAAGAGAAAGAAAACUCUCCUUCUCAACCUUAUCAAAAUUCCAUGAGUAUCCAUGAAAUGGAGGCUAAGGAGGGAGAACCUUCACAAAAGAGGGAAGUUAAAGAAGUGAUCACUCUGAGGAGUGGUAAAGAGGUUGAUCUGCCCACAUGCAAGCUAGAGCAUAAGGUAGAGAGUGAAACAGAGAAAGAAAAGAGGGAGGAAAUCAAAGGAAAUAAAAAAGGGAAAAGCAUAGAGAAAGAUGACUAUAUAGAUGAAGAACCACAGAGGAUAGUCAUCAAGAAAGAAUUGAUGAAGAAACACAUGCCUCCACCUUUUCUCCAAGCUUUGUAUGAGAAAAUCAUACAAACCAAGUCUCAAGUGAGGGAUGCAAGCUUCAUAUGGGAUCCGGGCAAGUUAAAUCAGGAUCAAAUUUUUUUUAUGGACUUAGUCUUUCUAAAGACUAGCUAGUCCAUAUCUUUUUGUUUUACUUAUUACUUGUUUUAAUUUUGAUUUCAAUGCUUUAAUUCUAAUUUGUUUUUAUGUAAUAUAGGUUUUUGGAUGAUCAAAAUCAGGAGGAAUUGCAAAGAAAUUGAAGGAAAGUCGUUUGGAGUAAAAACGGAGAAAAAACAGGGCAAAAACAGGAGGAAAACAGGGGUCUGCGAGAUUUCGCAGCCUCAGGCCCCUCUCUGCGAAAAUUUUCGCAGCUGCGAAACCAAGUUUUGGCACACGAGUGCCAUUUCGCAGCACAGUGACUCCCAUUUCGCAGCUGCGAAACGGUUGCGAACCACCAAAGCAUGAAAGAUCCUAUUUUCGCAAGGAAAGCUCCAUUUCGCAGAGGAUUUCGCAGCUGCGAAACCACUUUUGGCACACGAGUGCCAUUUCGCAGCACAGUGACCCUCAUUUCGCAGUUGCGAAACGGCUGCAAAAUGCCAAAGCGUAAAAACUUCCAAUUUCGCAGCCAAAGCUCCAUUUCGCAGGGUGUUUCGCAACUGCGAAGCCACUUUUUGGCACACGAGUACCAUUUGGAAGCCCCGUACACUCAUUUCGUAGCUUUGAAAUGGCUGCAAAACCUCCACACCUUAAAAUCCUUCAGCGCGCACACCAUAAACAGACAUGUCACAACCGUACCCCCAUUUCGGCAACUGUUGGACACAAUUCGAUCACUUACUGAACCUCAAAUUAUACAUACCAUAUCUUGUUUCAAAUCUUGGGAAGUCAGGAGUCCAUAGCUUCAAACAGUGCUCGAUUUGGAUUUGAAACGGAAAAGUUAUGGCCGUUUGAAGAUGACUGUGCAAACCAUAAGCGGAAAUGUCGCACCUCCAUUUUGCUACUGUUGAACACAUUUUUGAAACACUUCCUGGAGCUCAAAUUAUGCAUACCAUAUCUCUUUUCAAAUCUUGGGAAUUCAGGAGUCCAUAGCUUCAAACGGUAUGCGAUUUGGAGAUGAAAUGAAGAAGUUAUGGCCAUUUGAAGACGAACAUGCAAAGCUGAGCGGGAAUUUUCUUCCCAUUUGGCUGCGAAAUGAUCUCCAAGCUUCAAAAUGGCUGCGAAAUCACUUUUGAGCAGCGAAAUGGCUAUGAAAUGAUCUCCAAGCUUCAAAAUGGCUGCGAAAUCACCUACAAGCUUCGAAAUGGCCUUCAAAUUGCGAAAUUGACUUGCAAAAUGGAGGGUGAUUUGCAAAAACACCUUGCAAAGCCAAGGAAAGUUGCUAAAAUGCCAACAGAGCCCCGCGACCAUGCAUAUGAAGAGGAGAGCCCCGCGCACCCUGAGAUCACACACACUAAGCCUCUCAUUCCAUUUCUGACUUCCUAAAACCAUCAGAGCCCAUAGCUCCAGCUCAGAGCUCAUAGCUCCAACUGAGAGCUCCAGUUGAAGAGACUAUGCCACCUAAGGAGACUACCAGAACAGAGGCCAAAGUCCUGAUCCAACCCAUUCAAGAGGCCACCACAGAUGCAUCAGCUCCACAGGACCCUACCAUUGCUUGAUCAUCUUUUUACUUUUUGUCUUUACAUAUUAUAUUAGUAUAGAUAAUUCCAUGUUUUGAUGUCUUAUAUUCUGAGAUUGGAUGUAUUACUGAUAAUACAUCAUAUAUAGACAUCAUUUUUGUUUAAACUUAGCAUUUUUCUAUUUUCACUAACUCUGUUGUUUUUUUGAAACAUGUGGUUUCUCCUAUACGACUCAGACUCCAUGUCACUCAGGAGGUACCAUUUCCUCCCUAUUUUUCAAUCGCUUUUGUCACAUUGAGGACAAUGUUCAGCUUGGUUGGGGGGAGAUUUGAGGAAGUAAGUAUUGUUAAUAAUGCUAAAUUAUUUUGGUAAUUUAGUUGCUUUUUGCUUAAUUUAAAAUUUUUUUUCUACUCUCCAUGGUUAUUAAGGAAAAAUUUUCAAAAUGAAAAGGGAGAAAUUGAAUUUUAGUCUUUUUACUUGACUUAGAUUUUGUAUUAUGCUUACUAAAGUUGAUGAAUUGUUGAAACUUCUAUUGAAUUCAACCUUAGUUCUUCCACUUUAAGCUAUUCACACACUGUGCACAAUAGGUUCCGAGUAUAAGAUGAAAAACUAUUUCCCUCUUGACUUAGGAAAAUUUUAGACUUGGUACCUUGACCUUAUUUAAUAGUGUUGGGACACCUUGUAAAAGGCCAAUGAGUCUUUGAAGAAAAAAAAGAAAGAAAGAAAAAAUGUUUGCUUGCCUUGAAACCCGAGCAAGGUCUGAGGGGUAUAUGGUGAAAAUCUUUAAAACCUGGUGCCCUAAGCCUUAAUUGGUUGGGAGUCACCGACCUCAAUGCUCGUUACAAGGGUGGAUAGGUGGAGUUUAACAUACUGUAGGUGCUUAGGUAUUAAAAUUCAUUCUCAAAAGUCCGGGGUAAAAUCCGAGGAGUUAGUGGUUGAAAGAUCCUUAAACCUUGAUGCCCUAAACCUUAAUUGGUUGGGAGUCAUCGAUGGACCCCCGUUACAUGGACAAUUUAAAAAAGAAUACCUUUAAGCCUUGUACUCCUACAAUGAAAAAAUUGUGAAAAAAGAGGUGCGUUCCUAACCUAUUAGAGGUUGAUCAGUUUGCUAAGCUUUGAAAAAGAACUAGGUUGGGGGGAGAGAUUAGUUUGACAUACUAUAUUCGGAAGCUAAUAAAUAACACUUAGAUUUUUGUGGAAGAGUAAGGUUUGACCCUUUGGGAGUGGAAACUCUUUUAAAGCUUAAAUUUGCAUAAUGCCUUCUCUUUAUGAAUUGUGAUUAGACAAGUUAUUUAAUAACUCUUGUUGAAGUUUGAUUUUUAUUUCUUUAAUGUUCCAUGUGAGAGUUAGAUCACAUCAUGCCACUUGAAAAUUGUUUUUUGAUCAGCAUGAUGUUGUAAAUUAUAGUAAUGAUUAUUUUUAUUUUUCUCUCCUUCAUUGCUAAGGGACUAGCAAUAUGUCGGUUGGGGGGAGUGAUUACUACUCAAAAAGUGCUAUUUCAUAGCUUGUAAUUAACUCUUUUAAACACUUUUGAGUAGUAGAUAUUGUCUUUUAACCCAAUUAACAUGUUAAGGACCCUUGCAAUCACUUCUAAUCAAUUUGUGUAAAGUUUUGGUGUUUUGAUAGCCUUUUUGAUCACCAAAGCAAUAUGAGAUUGAGGAGAGUUCUUUGGAAUCCUUGGCAAAGCAAUGGAAAGCUCAAAAACAUGAAGAACCAAAGCUUUGAAUUCCUUUGCCAUAAGCAAAUCCGGAAUGCAAGGAGGGGAAGCAAAGAGAAAUCUGCCAUGAAGCAUUCUUGAUGACAGUCAUGUCAGCCACUUUUGGAGCACUUUCUGGAGUCCAAUUUAUGUAUGCUAUAUUUCUUUUCGAAGCUCAGGAAGUCAACAAUCCAAUGCUUCAAACGGUGCAUGAUUCGGAGUUGAAAUGAAGGAGUUACAGCCAUUGGAAGCCAAUCACUCCAAGUUGAAGAAAGAAUUUUACACGGCUGCGAAAUCACCCUUUUGUUGCGAAAUGAUUUCGCAGCCAUUUUGCACAGUGCUCUGGAAUUUCUCCUGAAGUUUCCCGAUAUUUGUGAUCGACUCUUUUAGAUCUUUUCUUCAGAUAUUUUUGUAUAAAUUUCCAUUCUUCUCCUUGUAAUCCACCAACCAUAAGAUUUCUUAGUUAGGAAGGUUGGAAAAACGUCUCUAUAUAUAUUCCCUUGCAUCCACUGUAAAAGAUAUAGAUAUAUCAUAUAUAGAAUCAACGAACAGAGCACUUGCUCUGUUUUUCAUAUAUAUUCUUGUUUUCUCGUUAGUUUUCUUUCUAGCCAAUCAAACUCUGAGGAUUUUUCCUCAGAGGAUGAGAGGCUAGGCUCUUCGUCUUUUGGAGUGAAGAAAGCCGGGUAAGUUUCCAAAUGCAUAAAUUGGAAGUUUUGUUGUUUUAGUUUUUAAUAAAGAGAAAGUGUGACCCAUUAAUGGUUUUUAUCUUUUUAGUUAACUUAAAACGCCUUUAAAUCACCUGGGCCAACACUUGGUAAGGCAAGUGAUCUCCGUCCAUGGAGAUGCACUAGUUUAUCUCUUGCGAGCUUUUGGUAGGUGGUUUGAAGGUAGGAUUUUCUAGAAUAGCCAACACUUGGUAAGCUUUUGGACUCCAAGGAGACAUCCAUUAGUUAUCUCUUGCGAGCUUUUGACGGGUAAUCCAAGGUUAAAGAUCACCUUGAAUGGCAAAUGCUAGGUGAGAGGCACGAGCCAUUGCAAGAUGCAUCAGUGAGAGGGAUUUAGUGUUUGAACCCAUUAAUGGGAAACAUCUGUACAACACCGGUUAGAGAAUUAACUAUAUGUUAAUUCUCUAAUGCGAGGAAAAGAAACAAGUGACCUAAACUCUCAUUUUUGUAUGAGGAACCUGAGCCUAGUGAUCUAAACUCCAAGAAACAUUUUCCUUUGUAAGUAAAAUCAGUUACUAUUUUUGGUUAGCUUAAAACCAAUCCUUUUUCAUUCAAACAUCUUUAUGUUUUCUUUUAAAGCUAACCUUGAAAUGAAAAGGCACCAAUUCAACUUUGAAUUAACAUCAUUUGUGAAGUGAAAACCCAUCCCAGUGAACGAUCCUAGAGCCACUAUGCUAUAGUAGCUUUGUCUUUGCUACCCUAGUAUAUGGUGUAAUAGGUUAUAAAUUUUGUUGAUUACUCCCUCAAUCAAGGAGCACCAGCUGGACACGAAUCAGCUGAGACACCAAUUGGGCACGAAUCAAUAUGUUCCAAAUGGACAUGUGAAAGUGGUUUUCUCCUGGUCUUCAACAUCAAUUUCUAUUUGAAAAUACCCGGAGAAGCCAUCCAAGAAACAAUAGAAAGGAUGGCCUAAGACUCUCUCCAACACUUGAUCAAUAAAUGGCAAUGGAAAAUGAUCGUUCCUUGUCACAACAUUCAAUUUUCUAUAAUCAAUACACACCCUCCAACUUGAAGUGAGGCGUGUAGCAACUUCUUCUCCCUUAUCAUUUUGCACUACUGUGAUCUCUGAUUUCUUUUGCACUACUUGAGUAGGACUCACCCAUGGGCUAUCUGAUAUGGGGUAGAUAAUACCGGCCUGAAGUAGCUUAAGAACUUCAGUUUGCACCACCUCUUGCAUAUGAGGAUUCAAUCUUCUUUAAGGUUGACGAAUUGGCUUAUUUUCUUCUUCUAUGUACAUAUGAUGCGUACAGACUAAAGGGCUGAUACCUUUCAAGUCAGAUAUUUGCCAUCCUAUUGCUUUCUUACAUCUCUUGACAACUUCAAGUAAACACUCCUCCUGAGGAGUGGUAAGAGAUGAAGAUAUAACAACAAGGCACUUCUUAUUCUCUUCUAGGUAUGCAUACUUCAACUCCGUGGGUAAUGGCUUCAAACUAAGCUUUGGGGCCUUCUCUUUAACAGCUUCUUGUAUCUCCUCCUCAUUGAACAAAGGUAGAAUUUCUUUUAUCCUCCUCUAACCUGGUAGAGUAGCAAGCAAAUUUGAGGGUUCAGGCAACCCUUCAUCAAGAUCCCUAAGACUUUCAUUCAACUUCUCUUGUAUUUUCUAAUUACAAUGCUCCUCCACUAAAGUGUCAAUGAUGCACACCUCUUUUGGACCUUCUUAUUCUUUCAGCUUGAUUGGCUUCUUGGACAUAUAGAAGAUAUUGAGUUCCAAUGUCAUGUUCCCAAACAUGAGUUGCAUGAGUCCAUUCCUACAAUUGAUGAUUGCAUUUGAUGUAGCUAGGAAUGGUCUUCCAAGUAUGAUAGGAACAUAAUUCGUUUCCUUGACAAUUGGGUCCGUAUCAAGAACAAAAAAAUCCACUGGAUAGUAGAAAUUGUCAACUUGAACUAAGACAUCUUCAAUCAUCCCUCUUGGAAUCUUCACUGAUCUAUCUGCUAGAGAUAGAGUGAUUGAUGUUGGCUUCAAUUCACCAAGUCUCAAUUGCUUGUAGACAGAGUAUGGUAGCAAAUUCACACUUGCCCCCAAGUCCAACAAAGCUUUCUCCACUAAAGUCCCUCCAAUCAUCACUGAGAUGGUAGAGCAGCCUGAAUCUUUGUACUUCACUGGAGACUUGCACUGUAUGAUGGCACUUACUUGCUCAAUCAAGAAGGUUUUCUUAUUCACAUUCAACCCUCUUUUGAUAGUGCACAAGUCCUUCAGGAAUUUUUCAUAAGUCGGCACUUGUUUGAUCAUGUCUAGCAAUGGGAUGUUGACCUUCACUUGCCUCAAUACUUCAAGAAUUUCUGAUGCAUUGCUGAUUCCCUUUUUCCCAUGCAAAGAUUGAGGAAAAGGUGGAGGCAUGUGUUUCUUCAUCACAUCUCCAUUGAUAACUAUCUUCUCUGGAUCUUCAUUCACUAUUGAAUCAUGGUCCUCUUUCCUUCCAUUGCUUCAUUUCUUCUUUCCUUUGAUUUCCUCCAUUUUCUCUGUCUCUUUUUCACUCUUUGUUUCAUCAUGUGGCUUGGGUGUUGGUAGCUCAACCUCUUUACCACUCCUCAGAGUGAUCACGGCUUUGAUGUCCCUCACAUGUGAAGAUUCUCCCUUAUGAGCUUCCACUUCAUGGAUACCCUUGGGGUUUUGGUGAGGUUGAGAAGGAAACCUUCCCUUCUCUUGCACUGUGUUAAGGUUGGUGAGCCUUGAGAUUGAGUAUUGGAGAUUAUCUAUCUUUUGAGAUAAAUCGUUUUGCAUUCCAUCCAUCAUUUUAUUCAAUGUAUUCUCUACACUGUCAAUUCUUUGAUUGAGUUGAGCAUUGAUAGAUUUCUGGCCUCCAACAAAAUCUCCCACGAUUUUGCUUAGAUUCACUAUUGCUUGCUCAAGAUUUGAAGCUUGUUGAGAUGCUUGGCCUGGUUACGUGUACUGAAGUGCUCUUGGUUUCCAGGAGAAAUUUGGAUGGUUCCUCCAAUUUGAAUUGCAGGUAUUUCCAUAUGAAGCAUUGUUAUUGGUCUUGAAUUGUCCAAUGAUAUUCGCUUGAUCCCCAAACAUUUCUCUAACACCUGGAAUUGUAGGACACUCCUCCACCAAGUGCUCAUAAGAUUGACAAAUGGAACAAGGCAUAACUUGCAUUGGUGUUUCAGAAACGGCUUGCAUUUCACGUAUCUUUUUUAGUUUUAGCUCCUCCAAUCUUCUUGUCAUAGCUCCAACUUUUGCUUUCAUGUCAAUAUUUUCGUUCAAGGUAUACAUCCCAACCUUAACUUUAGGAUCAUUUGGUUGAGACUUCAUUUUUCCCACUUCUCCCUUGUUCGGUUCAUCCCGUCCUCUUGAAACUUCAUCAACAUAAUUCAAGAAAUCCAUGGCUUCCUCCGGAUUCUUACUCAUGAAAUCUCCUCCACACAUAGUCUCUAGGAGUUGCUUCAUUGAGGACGACAUACCGUCAUAAAAGUAGCUUACCAAUAGCCAUGUAUCAAAGCCAUGGUGAGGACAAGCAUUGAUAGCUUCCAUGUAUCUCUCCCAACACUCAGAAUUUCUCAUUCUCUUUAGCUGAGAAGUUUGAAAUUUGCCUUUUCAAGCCAUUGGUCCUAUGAGUAGGAAAAAAUUUCUUGAGAAAUUUAGCUUGCAAAUUAGUCCAAGUUCGGAUAUUCCUUGGCCUUAAAGAAUUAAGCCAAAUCUUGGCCUUAUCCUUUAGAGUGAAAGAAAAUAGUUUUAGCCUCAUCAAGUCAAUUGAAGCUUCGGCCUCUUGGAAUGUAUUACAAACAUCUUCAAAGUCUUUGAUGUGCGCGUAGGGAUUCUCACUUUCCAUCCCAUGGAAAGUAGGUAGAAGUGGCACAAUAUGCAGUCUGAUUACUAGCUGCUCUGUAAGAGGCACUAUGCAUGAUGGUGCACUCAUACGAGGUGUAUGCAUGCGGUCCCUCAUUGAUCUGAAUGCAUUGGGAUUGUCCUGUUGACCAUGGUGACUAUGUUGAUCUUCAGGUGUAGCUUCCAUGAUGUUCAAGCACAAUUCCAACUCUGUUUAGUGAGGUGUUUCAAUUUUUACAAGUCUUCCUCCACUGCCUCGUAUCCAAUAUGGCAUACACAACUAGUAACAACUGUAACAAAAACAAAGAAAACAAUACUACAAAAAAAAAAAAAAACUAAGAUUAACUAAAAACUAAAUUAAAAGAUAGGCUAAAAUAUGAACAAGUAAAAGAAACAAUUAAAAAUAGUUAGUAAAAGAAAAGAAAAAUCACCAAACUUGUGAUGAAGAUCACCAAACUUGUGAUGAAGAUCACAAGUGUUUUGGAAAAGGUUAUAUCACUAUAAAGUUGGCACCAUCCCCGGCAAUGACGCCAUUUAAUUCGUGCCCAGCUAGUGUAUGCCUUGUUGAUUAGUGUUUAAUCAACUGGUGUACUAUGAUUUCGGUCCUCAGACAGGAGUAAUCAACAAAAUUUAUAAACCUAUUUCCUCAUAUACUAGGGUAGCAUUAGCUAGCAUAGCAUAGUGGCUCUAAGAUCGUCCACAGGGAUGGGUUUUCAAAUUACAACUGAUAUUAAUUCAAAAACUGAAUUGGUGCUUUUUUUUUUCAAGGUUAGCUUUAAAAGAAAACAUAAAUAUGUUUGAAAAGAUUGGUUUUAAGUGAAACAAAAAAUAAAGUAACUGAAAUUACUUAUAAAGAAAAUUGCUUCUUGGAGUUUUAGAUCACCAGGCUCAAGUUCGUCAUACAAAAAAGGAUAUUCUGGUCACUUGGAUCUUUUCCUCGCAUUGGGGAUUUAACAUAUAGUUAUUUCCCGAACCGGUGUGGUACAGAUGCUUCCCCUUAAUGGUUUCAAACACUAAAUCCCUAUCACUGAAUCAUCUUGCAAUGGUUCAUACCUCUCACCUAGUAUUGGCCAUUCAGGGUGAUCCUUAACCUUGGAUUACCCGUCAAAAGCUCACAAGAGAUAACUAAUGGAUGUCUCUUGGGAGUCCAAAAGCUUACCAAGUGUUGGCUAUUCUAGAUAAUCCUACCUUUAAACCACCUCCUAAAAGCUCGCAAGAGAUAAACUAGUGUAUCUCAAUGGACGGAGACCACUUGCCUUACCAAGUGUUGGCCUAGGUGAUUUUAAGGGAUUUUAAGUUAACUAAAAAGAUAAAAACCAUUAACGAGUCACACUUUCUCUUCAUUAAAAACUAAAAUAACAAAACUUCCACUUUUGCAUUUGGAACCUUACCUAGCUUCCUUCACUCCAAGAAAUAAAAAGCCUAGCCACUCAUCCUUUGGGAAAACAUCCUCAGAGUUCAAUUUUCUAGAAAUAAAAAUAACGAGAAAACAAAAUGAGAAGGUAAGGCAGAGCAAAGCUCUAUGUAUUACUUUCUGAAAAACUAUACAAAGUGUUGUCUCCGAGAAAAACUCCUGAGAGAUCCUUUUAAAAGAAAAAUUACAAUAGAUAUUAUAUAGAGAGGCUAUUCACCCCUCCUACUAACUUCCCAACCAAGAAAACUUGUCAUUGGUGGGUUACAAGGAGAAAAUAAGGAUUUACACACAAAUAUCUGAAGAUAAAUAUCAAAUGGAGUCGGUGAGCAAAUAUCUCAAAUUACAGGUGGAUUUCACAAGUUCAAAUGCAACUUGCGAAAAUUUCGCAAGUUGAAAUAAUCCAUUUCGCAAGUUGCGUAAUUGUCCUAUAACUUAUUAGCUCUAUGUCGUGCAGUGAUUCCUUUCUCUUCCUAUUUCGGAAGUUGCGAAAAUUUCGCAAGUUGGAUUCCAUAACUUGCGAAAUUGCUGGAUGGUUGAUUUCUUCUGUGUUUUUCUUCCUUGCAUCCUCAUUUGAUUUUGGCAAAGGGUUAUGAAGCUCCAAAGCUUAGUUUUUGCAGGAAUUUGAGCUUCAACUUGCUUUGCCAUGAACUAUACAAAGAUUUCCCUCAUUCUUAGAUUGAUUUGGUGAUAAAAAAGCUAUCAAAAACACCAAAACUUAACAUAAUUUGAUUAAAAACGAUUGCAAGGGUCCUUAACAUGCCAAUUGAGUUAAAAGGUAAUAACUACUACUCAAAAAUGUUUAAAAGAGUUAAUUACAAGCUAUAAAAUAACACUUUUUGAGUAGUAAUCACUCAAGCAAGGAGCAGUGAUCAACCCACCAAAGUGGGCUUGAGAGGUAAUGAAUUUUCAGCCAAGAUUCUUUCACAUAAAUUUGAUUUGGAAGUCUUUUAAAACCAAACCUCUUUGAGAUUUACUCCUAUGUAUACCUCCUUAUAAUCCCUUAAGGGUUAGAGAUCGAAAAGAGAUCAUAGAGAGUUUAAAGAGAUUUCAAAAUGGAGUCUCCUAGAGUGAAAGCCUAAAGGGCCACAACAUUCAUAAUCUCUCAUUCAAGGAUUUGAUAUUUGAAUCUUGGUUUGAAGACCUUCAUCCCUUCAACAAGGCUGAAGUGUAUUCAUUGGAGCAAUCAAAGGUUGCUACAUCGUAGAUGUGGUUCAAGUUGUAGGUACUGAAGAGCAAGUCUUUAGGGUAAAGGAGCCAGGUAAAUCUGUGUAACUUGAUUUCAUAUAAUGGAUUUAGAUUAGUGGGUCUUAGACGUCAUGGUUUUUUAUCUCCAUAGUUAAUGUGGGGGGUUUUCCAUGUAAAAAUUCGAUGCCCAUUGCAUAUCUGUUAAUGUCAUUACUAUAUCUUUGAAUACUUGAUUAUCAUUGUUAUCCCUAACAACUUGUAGGUUAUCCCUAAUAGAUUAAAACUAUAUUUUAAUUCUUAAAGAUUUCAAGUAUAAUUCAUUUGGUUAUACAAGGUAUCCUUGGGAUCUCUUAGGAUAAAAUUUGAGGAUAAUAUAUAUAAAUAUUUAUUUUAAAUUUUAAAAACACCCAUUCAUCCCCCCUUUGGGUGUUCCCUAUUGGACUUUUGAUUUUUUAUGGGUGAUCCUAAAUUAAGGAAUUACUAAGAGGUUGUGAUUUUGGUAGUAUUUAAUGGAAUAAAUUCUUAUGAAGUUUUCAUGAGAGUAUUUAUUAAAUUGGAAAGGUGCAAGGACAAGGAGAGUAAAUUUGUGAGGAAUUUUAAAUAUGAGAGAAAAAUUUCCUUUAGUAGAUAAGGUGCUCUCAAGAUUUUCAAAAUCUCAUAAAUUGUUAAUUUCCUUAUUUCACUAGAGUUUCCAAUUUGGAAAUUUUCAUUAGAGAUAAUUUAUCAUUAAAAGAUUAUUACCAAAAGGCUUAGUAAUUUGAUGGAAAUAAAUUUUUUUUGAAACAUUUCCAAGAUAAAAUAUUUAUUAAUUGGAUUUGUGUAAGAGAAAGAGAAUUCAUUCUCUUAUUACACUAGGUUUCCAAUUAUGAAAUAAAUAUUUUUGGAAAUUCUCAAAAAUAGAUAAUUUAUUCAUCAAAGUAAUUACUAAGGAUUUAAAAUGUUCUUAUCUAUCUUAAAAUAUUAAGUGGGAGAGGGUUCUAAGCAAGCCCACGACCUCCAUUGUCAAGCCCAUUUUGAUUUGGGUUCAUCACCACCCUUUCAAGAUGUAUUGGAAAAAAGAACUAGAUUGUGUAAUGAUGCACUAAAAAAGAAUACAUGCCUAAAAUAUAUGAUCCUUUCUUGAGUAGACCAUAUCAUGGAACAAUAAAAAAAAUGUUUUCACCUUCAAUCAUAAAUGACACUUCUAGAGAAAAUUAUAUUAGACAUGUUUGCAGUGGGAGUGACCACCGCUUCAAUGAGGUUCUUUACUUGGUGACAUUAAUAGUUCAAGAACAAUGGUUAUACACUUGACAUUGCAUAUGAAGUAGUAGAAUCACCCCCAUGUGGUCCUGUUUGCAUUGUCCAUAGGCCAAAUUUAGAAAGUAUGUUGAUCUUAGCUUUAUAUACCUUCAUGUUUAAGACAGGAAGAUCAAUUUGAGAGAGUCUCUAACUAGUAAUAAGGUCAUGAUAUGCCCCACGUAAGCUUGAUUCUUAUGAUACUAGGAUACUUUGCAAAAGGACAUGUAGUUUGAGAGCACUAGAUUUUUGCUAAAUUAAUUACCAAUUGCCUUGAAUGCACAAUUAUGUCAUAUGCAUGGUUAUUUUCUUUGUUACAUAUAUCAUAUUGGUUAUUUAUUAUCACUUUGGACAAAACCCAACUAAUCAUUUGGACUUAGUAUUAUUCCAGAUAUAAUAACUAUGUACUUGCAUAGAAGCUAGUUUAAGUAGAGCUAGCUAAUCCUUAUGAAUAACCUAGCAAAAAAAAAUAGUGGCGUAUUAGAGGUGGUAUUAGAAGAGUUAGAAGACCAAGUGUUUAAUACUUUAUCUUUAGAUAAUGUGUUGCAAUAACAACAUGUGUCUAUUAGUAGGGACUUUGAUAUUCUAUUUUUAGUCUACAAGGAUUAUUUGGUUAUAAGGGCAGGUUAACUUAAAGAAGCUACCCUUAGGACUAUUAUGAACAUCGGAUUUUAUAUGGUCUUGAGGACCUUGCCAGUUUCUUCAGGAUGGUUAAAGGGAUUCUUAAAGAACAUAGGGUUAUAUAAAUACUUUCUUACCAAAUCAAGAUGACCCUUUUGGGCUAGAUUAAGUGACCCAAGCCUUGAUAGGCUCAAGUCACUUAAGCCCAGUGGACAAUGCUAUAAAUACCCCCUUAUUCAAUUAGUCGUCUUCCACUUUUAGAAAGAAAAAGAGAGCUAAAGCUUUUUUCUUUCCAUUACCCAUAGUUUGGAAUGCCAAGAUCGUGGUUCAAGUCUUCGGAUGAAAGAUCUUGGGUGUAUGAGACCUUUAAACUUUUUCUUUUCCACGUGGAAUUGAUCUAGGAACAUCCAGAUCCAAGUAUGAGUACUACAUAUCUAGAUCUAUAAUUAAUGAUGAUUUUUAUUGCCAUUUUACUCACUAUGAUAGAUUUAAAGAUGCCUAGGGAUAGAUGCAUGCACCCCACAAGAUCUAGGGACAAGGAAUAGAGAUAUUUAGGUUUCCCAACACUAUCACCAAUAACACACUAAGAGCUAUAAAUUAUGCACUCAGUGAAAUAUGAUGAGAAUAGCACCCUCUAAGGGUGAUAAACAAUAUUUUACACUUAGAGAGCACUUCAAUAGCGCAACUUUAAGUGAUAGUGUAGAUUGCAUGUUUAGGAAGCCACCAUAUUACACACUUAAAGAACUCUUCUCAAAUUGCGCUUGGUUAAAUAGUGCACAUUUCUUAGGCAUCCAACAAUGGCACACCCAACAUAGGAGAACCCUUUGUAGGUUGUGCACUCUAAAGGCAUCAAUCCACAUUGUACACUUGGAGAAGUGCACUUAAAGUGUACACCAUUGAGUAAAGGUUUAGAUUGCUCACCUAAGAGUUAGGCUACAUAGUGUACCUCCUAUUAUGCACUAGCAGAACCUCUAUCAAGCUAUGCACCAUUCAAGCGCACCUUAUCCCAACAUGUAUAGUGCUCACAAAACUAGUAACCAUUAGUGCAUUAUUCAUUCAACAAUAAAUCAAAUGCAUAUCAAUAUUCAUUAAUGCGCAAUUUUGUCACCAAUAACUUAGUACACUUCCCCUUAAUAAAGCGUCUUCUCUCACUUCAAGAAGUGCACCCCAUAACUCAUCUCACUACAUUAUCCUAAUAACUUCACCAGGCAUGAGCUCCAAAAAUUAAUCUUUCAUCAAGUUGCAUACCAAAUAGUGCCCCUAAGGCUCCUAAAUGUUCAAUCAUCACAUCAUUAUGUUGCCACACUAACAAAACAAGAAGUGCAACCACCAUUCAUACUACACUGACAUGUUUUGACUAAAACGACCACAUCGAUACAUUACUUAUUAGGAUAGAGCCUUUAAAAGGAUGAUGUGAUGUAAUAAACUUUUGGAUUUUAUUGUUUAUUAAAAAAAUUUCUAGUUCACUUUUAUAUAUCUUAAUUUCGCACAUUAUACUUUGUAAGAAAUCUAAUCUGUAUCUUUUGCAUUGUAUAUGACUUGGGUACAUUGGCAAUUGCAUGGAAGAUUCAAGUCACGAGUUCCUUGCAAGUAGAUGACUAAUUCACAACCAAUUUGUGGGCUUCCCAUUAGAAGUUCUAGUGCACUACCUCCUAAUUCAAGAGAUGGUUGGUCUUGGUCAUUAGGAUGGGUUUCUCAUGGUGAGUAUACUAGUACAUAUAGCUACACAUUGGAUAAGACAUACGACGAGUCAUGAUUUAAGGCAAUGAAGUAGUCGUGACGCUACCAAGAUUCUUUAUUAUAUUGUUUCUCACCCUUGAGAGAAUAUUAAGAUUGUGUUAAAGUUAGCAGUAGCUUUGACCAAUAGGUGAGAGAUCAUAAGUUGAUCAUAUAUUUCUUAUCGAUUAGGUCGCUAUUAGUGGAAGUUGGUAGCAAUAUGUAUCUUGAUAGAGGCACCAUGAUAUCUCAUGGAAUUGAAAUAGAGUGUCUCUUUGGUGAUCUUAAGGAGAUGCGUUCAUGUAAAUUAUGACUAUAAUAAUUCCUUAAGUGGAACUUGGCAUAUGAUCUUAGAGAACUAAGAUAUGUUAGUUGAAUACACAAUAGGAAGAUCUAUAACUCAAAGAUAUUAGAGCUAGUAUUGAGAUGUUGAUAACUUUCACCUUAUUAGAUUAUGGACACCAAUUUGUAGGGAGAUUGAAUGCAAUAGAUGGUAGAUCACGAACCCGAGCACUUAAUGUCUCAUUAUUAUUAACAUAAGGUAUUGGAGUGCAAUUGAAUCUCUAUAAUAGGAUGUUGAAUCAACUUUAGAAUUGGAUCCUAUAGGACCAUUCCAAUGGUCCUUGCUUGAGCUCUUAUACCUUAAUGACACAAUCUAUGAGGUUUGGAUUAACUUCAGGUCCACUUUUGUGCAUAAGGGCAUUUUGGUAAUUACAUAAGGUUACAUAACUGUUAGUGAAUAAAGUCUUUACAUUGAAUUAUUUAGGACCUACUUUUUACUAGAUUAAGUAGCGUAAGCCCUUGGUGGGCACAAGUCACUUAAGCUCAAGUAGGGAACCUUAUAAAUACCCCUUAGGGGUUAGGGUUUCCAUCACUUUUUGAAGUGAACCAUCUUCCACCAUCUUCCACCAUCUUGAGAGAAAGAAAAAACAAGAGCCAUAGCCUCCACCCUCCCUUCCUCCCCACUUGUUGUGUGUUAAGAUAAAAAAGAGCCAUCAAGUGGAAGAUAUUAUGUAUUUGAGACUCUAACAACUUUGAUUUUCAACUUCACUACAUGGACUAGAUUUAGGAACAUCAAAAUCUUAGAUAAUGUUUUCUAAUGCAUAUUUUGAAUCUUAUUAUUGUUUUAAAAAAUGUAAUUUGGUCUUUGUGCAUUGGAUUUAGCUUUGGAAGAUUUGCAUGUACUUAACUUGAUCCUAGAAUAGGAAAUGAAGAGAUUUGAGUUUCCCCACAUCACCUACAUGGGCAAGAGGUGUAGCUUAGAGGAAUAAAUUUGAAGUAAUAAAAAGGAGAGAGAUUUUUCACCUAUAAAUAUGGGAACUGUAGAUAGCAGUCUCUUUUACAGGGAGACUUUCUUAGAGGUGGCACCUUAUCUCUUAGAGAGGAGAUACAUUCUUUUCUUCUGGAGUAAAGGUGUUAAGAAAAUAAGUUAGUUUUUUUUUCUCUCUUUUCCUAUUCUUGUAAUUUAUUUUUUAUUUUAGUAAAGUUUUUUGUUUUUAAUUUCAAUAAAGAUUUUGGUCUUAAAUUUUAAUAAAGUUUUUUGUUUCAACUUGAUGUUUCUAUAUUCAUUUUUGUGUGUUUUCUUUUCUAUCCUUGUGUUUUUGUUUCUUAGUUUGUGAAGGGGACUAAGGUCUCGUAUCUUUGUUUGAUUCACCGUGAUUUAGCUAUCUAUGGUUGAAAAAGGCUCUACUAAGGUCUAUGGUCAUGAGAACCAAAAUGAGUCUCCACAUGCCAGAGUUAAUGGUUAUGAGGACCAAAAAGAGUAACCAUGGUCAUGAAUCUAUUAGAUAAGAACAAACUUUUUGACAUAAGAAUAAACCCAUCUAAAUCAUUUGAUUGAGAUGACCAAAAGGAGAAAUUAGAUCUAGUUGAGCCUUUGUUGAGGUGGUUGAUUCUCUUAUUAAAUAGAACCAUGUUUUUGGUGCAAAACCCUUUGCUCGAUCUAAAAGCCACAAGCACUAGGCUAGGACCAAGUGAGUGAGUUAAGCUUGAGAGAAGGAAUUUCAAUGACUUUCCUAUCUAGAAGCCUGUGUUCUUUUUCUUUUCAAUUUAUAGAUUUCCUACCUCUUCCCACCCAAAAAAAGGAAGAAAAAAAACACUAAAAAUAUGUUUCAUCCUACACACUCACACCCUAGGUUCCCACCUCUGAUAUUGUCAAUCCUAAGUUAUUUAUGGAGACGACCUAAUCUCUAUACAACUAUUAGUUCCUCUUUGUUUCUUUAGUUUAAGAACUAAAAGUUUCAAUUACUAAACUAGUUUAAAUUUUGCUUGAAUAAAAUUUUAUUAUCAAAUCAUUUUCACAUUAAUUUUAUUAUUUUAUUUUUAAACCUGCAAAUACAAACCCGAACCAAAUAACACUCUUGUUGUCACAAUACAUAGGAGUAGGACGAGAAAGAGAAACACCGAUAUCAACAAGUAACCAACAUUACAAAACUAUCUUUCUAGUGGUAGAUGGAAUAUUAUGAAACAAUAGUUUGUUUCUUGGUCUUUUUAAAACAAAAAGGCAAAUCCCCCAAUAAAAUAUACAAAAUCUAGUAAUAGACUUGAGAUCCUCAAGAUCACAAACCCAUAAUCAGUAUCAAAAUAUGCAUGCAACUCCAAAGAGGAAGUGGAUAGAAGUAGAAGGCUCCAAAAUAAAGUGCCCUUAAUAUACCAUAGAAUAUGAAGAACAACUACCCAAUGAACUAUAGUAAGGGAAGCAACAAAUUGAUUAACAAUGUGAAAAACAUAAAUAAUGUACCAUCAGAAAAAGAAUAAUGAACAUUAACUUCAAGAGGAGUAUCAAUAGUCUUAAUAUCAAUAAGGUGAGUACAAUUGAGAAUAUCAACUAUGUAUUUAAACUACGAGAGACGAAACUUUUUAGAGAAUAAGCUAUCUCAAUACCCAAAAAGCAUGGUAGAAAGCUCAAAUCCUUCAUAAGAAACUAAGUUUGAUUUCAACAUUACAAUUCCAUCAACAUCAUCACGUAUGAUAAUCAUGUCAUCAACAUGUAGAGAAAGUAGAAUACCCAUUGUAAAUUAGGUGGAAUUAAAAUGAAUGAAUGGUUUUUUCUAUUCUCUUUUUAUUUAGCAAAUCCUUUUGAUGCCCAUUGUAUGCUUCUUGUGUAGCUGGGGUAUAUAGUUUUCUUUAAAUUUUAUAAUAUGCUCUUCUAGCUUAUUAGAAAAUCAUAAAGAGGACCCCUUUGGCUUUUUUUUAUAUUAUUUUUCUAUACUUAAAUGACAAAAAUGAUGAUUGAGGUUUGGCUUUCUUGCUUAUAUAUACUCUUUUGGUAAAUGCUUCAAAGCAUAUUCAUGAUACUAUCCUCUUAAUCUUGAGGAUGAGGUAGCAAAACUUCACGAAGGUAUUUGCAAAGUAGAAUGUACAACUUCUAGAUUAAAUUUGUUUGGAACUGUUUAUAAAGUUUGGAUUUGAAAUUAUUAUGAACUAUUUUUAAUAAAGUAUGAUUUUUAGAAACCUUAUCAUGUAAUCUAUUUAUACAAAUAAUAAUAAUAAUAAUUUCGAUGUCUUCUACAAUAUGUUUUCACUUCUAUAUUGUCUAAAUAACAUUUUCUAAUAUGUUGUCAUAUGUAUGUUUUCUAAUAUUAAUUUCUUCCAAUAUUUUACUUGGGAAUGAAAAUGAAAUACUAUAAUAACAACAUUUAGUUUGAACUAAGUUAAUUUAAUUUUGUUUUUUUCCCUACACACACAUAUAUAGAGCCCAUCUAAAAAAGGAUUGAUUGGGGUUCAAUUCUUUGAACAAAUUUCAUCAUAAAUGAAAAUAUCCUAUUAAAAUUGUAACAAUGAAUCAAUUUAAUUAGUAUAAACAUAUUCUACUAAUUUAAUCAUGUAUAGUUUACUAUAAAAUAUUUCUAAUUCUUUCUUAUUUCAAACUAAAAAGUUAAUUUUUUAAUCAAAACUUUUUGUUUUUAAAAAUAAGUGAUACAAAAGGUUGACAAUUUUUUUUUAAAAAAAAAAAACAUAGAAGAAGAAUAAAUUUAUGAUAUAUGAAAUAUGUAUAUAUCUCAACUUAGAAUUAUUGUAUUCUAUGUAAAGAGGAUAUAUAAAGAGACUGGGUCAAUAAAUUAUCUUAUUGAAUAUUUGAUUGAACAUGAUAUAUGGUAAUUAAUGGAUGAGAUCAUUUACCCUAUCCUAAAGCUAACCAAUCCUAGGAUAAGAUAUGUUAUCUCAUCUCUUAUCUCAUCCAAUAUUAUGUAUAUCAAGUCAAGUAAUACAAUUGAGUUGCAUGGGAUGUGGACUACUAUUACUUUAAGAAGAAAUAUAGAAGUGAUAUAAACUAUUAAUAAGUACCAUAUGGGUAACUCUGAGUGAUUCAAUUUAACAUCCACCUAUCUAAAUAUAUUUAUAAUAGAUCAUCUUGGCUUAUGAAAAUUACAAAGUUGAAACAAAAUUUGGAGCACAACUAGUAAUAUGAAAACAAAUCAAAAUUGGUAUCAUCGCUACAUGCUAGUUACCUAAUUAUAUUUCUAGAGCAUUCAAUUGCCAAAGUGAAAUCCCAUGAAAAGGGCCAAGAAAUGGUGAUUGAGUAAGAAGCUUUGAUGAGAUGUGUUGCAUUGUUGGACGAGAUCUCGGAUUAGAAUGUAUGCAUUUGAGUGCCAACCAAACCACAAGAACUACAUCUCUAGCAACUUGUUGAUCUUGAGGAGAUGGGAGACGUGAAUCUAACAUAUCAGUGAGCAUUAUGUUUUGAGUUGAUGAGGAAGACAAUAAGGUGAAAAGUUCUCCUGGAUGCUUUCCCAUCAUUGUCUCAAGCGCCACCACUCCAAAGCUGUAAACAUCACAUUUUUCUGUCACGACCAUAGUGUAGGCAAGCUCUGUUAAGAAUCAAAACAAGAAAAAAAUAUUACACAUAUGAGCAAGAAACAUUCAUUUAGUUUUCUCAUAUUAUCCAUACUUAUAAAACGUUGAGAAUAUUUCAUAGCAUUGCAUUGACAUUUGGCUACAUUUUAUUUCUAAAUUAUGAUGAAAUUAUGUUAAUUUUUACAACUUAUAUGAAACCUUCGAAAAACCAUUCUAAGGAGAUUUUAAAAAUAUUUGGGACUUACUAGGAAAAUGAAGACAACUAUUUAGAAAAUGCUUGAGAGACCAUUGAUAAGUAUUUUGUAUAUAAAGUUCUCUUACUCUCAAAUAUCUCAAACCAUUUUUUACAACAUUUUUUAAAUAACCAUUAAGAAUUUCCUUUCUUUUUUUUUUUUUUGGAACUUUAGACGAAAUAAUUAAAAAAUAUAUAUUUAAGAUAUUUCAACUUCUAUGAAGGCCCUUUGGGCCCAUAACAAAUAAUAUCUACAUAGUUACGAGUGGGUCAUUACAAAUUGUAUUAGAGUUAAUCUAUAACCAUUAUGUAGAAGUUUGUUUGGCUCUACAAUCUCAUGGGACAUAAAUAGGAUGUUGUGUUUGCAUAAAGGAUGAGUGUGUUAUCCCACUAUAGAUAUGAAACAAAAAGUUCUGACAUUAAAUAUGAAUGAGUUUCCCUUAACCUUAUAGACAAUUUUUAAAUUCAUGUGGGCUCCUUGGACCCAAAGUGAAGAAUAUCUAUAUAGUUGGGAGCUAUUAUUUAGUUUGCAUGAGAAAUAUAAUGAAAAAUAAUAUAUUAAAGAUUUAGAAGAAUUUAUUCACUUUCAAGCUCUUCAUAAUUUUGAAAUAAGUAAUAAUAGUAGAAAAAGUUUGGUUUGGCUAGUAAUAAUAUUUCCUUUCCUUUCAUCCAACAUAAUUUGUGACUUAUAUGAAGUAUAUAAUAAGAAGUAUGAUUGUACUAAAUACUUCGAAUCUCAAAGAUAACAAACUUAUUAAAACGAAAACAACCAAAAGUUCAAAAGAUAUAUCGAAAGAGUAAAAGCUGAAAGAAAAACUGGUGUGUACUUACCUGGUGCUAUGUAACCAUAAGUGCCUGAAAGAAGGGUUUGAUUAGAUGAAUCAGGAUGUAGCAGUCUAGAGGUGCCAAAAUCCGAUAGAAAAGCAUCCAAUUUGGAGUCCAAAAGAAUAUUAUUGCUUGAUAUGUCCCUAUGAAUAAUGGGUGGAGUACAAUCAUGAUGCAUGUAGCAUACGGCAUGGACUAUGCUUUUAACCACAUUCACCCUUUUAAUCCAAUCCAAUUCCAAAGCUUCAACUUCAUUACUCAAUACACAAUACAAGCUUCCUCUUCCCAUGUAAUUGUAAAUCAAAAACAUGCAUCUUUUGUGUAGACAAUAGCCUUGAAGUUUUACAAUAUUUCGAUGGCGUAUCUUUGAUAAUAUUUGCACCUCAUUUUGAAAACUUUUCAAGUAUGUUGCCUCAUCUGUUUCCCAUCCAUGAAGCUUUUUCAGGGCUACCACAUUGCCUGUAGGCAAUUGAGCCUUGUAAACACUGCCAUAGCCUCCUGUACCUAUGCAAUAUUUGAUGUCAAAGUCUUCUGUUGCUUUAAUGAUAUCUUCAUAGGCAAUCUUCCCAUCAUAGUUCCAUACUGAAAAUAUAUCUCCAUUUUUUGUUGGUAUUUCCUUGGUUUGAAUUUUUCUUGUCUUCCGUGAAAGCAGGAGAAACCCAAGGACCACAAAAAAAAAGAAACAAGGUUGUAGACAAAGAAAUAACAAUGAUGCGUGUGGUUUUGUAUUCUUCUUUGCAAUGAGGCAAGCCUUUGAUGUCACCACAUAAACCUUUGUUAUUGUCAAAUGAACCUUGGGAAAAUUUAGACUGCAAUUCAAAGGGUAUAUGACCCUCUAAAUCAUUGUAUGAUAAAUCAAGUGAUGGCCUUAUGUGGUCAUAUAUUAGAAGAGUAGGAAUGGAACCAGAGAGUUUAUUGUGGGAGAGAUUCAAGUAUACUAAGCGCUUCAAGUUUUGGACUUGGGAAGGUAUCUUUCCAUGGAUCAAGUUGUCACUAAGGUCGAGUCUAGUUAGAUUAUUCAAAUUUCCUAUCGAAGAAGGGAUCUGACCACUGAUUUGAUUUCCACUAAUGUUGAACUCAUGUAAAUGAAUGAGAUAACCCAAAGAUGAAGGAAUAACACCGGUAAGAUUGUUGUGAUCCAAUCUAAGAUGGAUUAGAUUCUUCAGAUUCCAAAUUAUAGGAGGGAUAGAACCAUUGAUUUGAUUAUAACAAAGAUACAGAUCUGUCAAAUUGGUAAGAUGACCAAAUGACAAGGGGAUGCCACCCUGGAUUUGAUUGUUGAAGAGAUGUAAAUAAGUCAAAUUGGUAAGAUGACCCAAAGAGGAAGGAAUAGCACCGAUGAGGGAGUUAUGACUAAGGCACAAUUGAACCAAAUUCUUUAAAUUUCCGAUUUCAGAAGGGAUGGAACCGUUAAUUCGAUUGAAAUUAAGGAAUAAGUAUUCCAGAUUGCUUAAAUUGGCAAGGGGGGAAGGGAUGACACCAGAAAGAGAGUUAGAAACCAAAUACAAAUGAGUAAGAUUCUUCAAAUUCCCAAUUUGGGAAGGAAUAGAACCAUUGAUUUCAUUGAUGCUAAGGUCUAAAUAUUUCAGAUUCUUCAAAUAUCCAAGAGAGGGAGGGAUGACACCAGAGAGCCCAUAGUUAAAACUCAAAUCCAAAUGAAUAAGAUUCUUCAAAUAUCCAAGAGAGGAAGGGAUGACACCAGAGAGAUUGUUAUAAGCCAAAUCCAAUUCCUCUAAUAGAGUGAGGUUACCCAGUGAAACAGGUAGCUCACCAUAAACAUCACAUUCAGAUAUACGGAGGUAAGUGAGUUUUGUAAGCAUACCUAUCUCAUCUGGGAUGCGACCAUAGAUGGAAGAAUGGCUAACGUAGAGAUGGAGGAGGCUGGGAAAUGAAGAAAACUUCAACUUGCUAAGCUCAACCAUUUUACCAUCGAUAUAUGAAUAGGUAAUUCGAACGACAUGUCCCUCCGUAUUGCAGGUGAUGCCUUCCCAUGUGCAGUGAUGAGAAGUCGUGUUUUCCAUGUACCACCACCAAGUGGAGUUGCGGAGAGCCUCGGCCUCAGCCUCCACCUGUGCCUCCGUUGUAGCAGCAGCAGCAGGUGGUGAUGAGAUCAAGAGCAUGUUAUAUAAUAACAAUACCAUUGAAACCACCAACGCCCUACAAGUAAUGGAACACCACUCCAUUUUUGCUUGUUUUCGAUUAAUAUUGCUUUGCCCCAGUUUCAGCCUUUAUUAACUCGUGUUUCAGCGGCUGCAACUCAAGCCAGUCAAAGAAGUCGGCUGGAAAUUCAGCGGAAAUGAAGAUAAGAUCAAGAGCAUGUCAUAUAAUAACAAUACCAUUGAAACCAACCAACGCCCUACCAGUAAUGAAACACCACUCCAUUUUUUCUUGUUUUCGAUUAAUAUUGCUUUGCCCCAGUUUCAGCCUUUAUAACUCGUGUUUCAGCGGCUGCAACUCAAGCAAGUCAAAGAAGUCGGCUGCAACUCACGCAAGUCAAAGAAGUCAGCUGGAAAUUCAGCGGAAAUGAAGAUAAUUAAUAUUUUUGAAAUUUUAAAAUAAAAACUCAAACGAUAAUGAUAUUAUAAAAAAAUAAUAUUCACAAUUUUUUUUUAAAUUAAUUUUAGGAAAUAAUAAAACCUCACCUGUAUUUAGAAAAUGAUAUAAUAUUUUCUAACUCUAAAUAUAUGUAUUAUAAAAAUAUUACAAAUUUUAACGUUAUGUCAAUCAUUGCAAAAUAAAUGUUUUAUUUACCUUAUUAAUUUCAUUAAUUCUAAAAAGGAAAUCAAGGCAAAUUCUAUUUUAUCUUUUCUUCUUUUGUCUUCAAAUCAUACCUACUUUACAGGUGUUGAGCAAACUACAUAAAGUCAACCAAGUCUUCGUGGGCUCAUGUGGCUGGAAACUAGGUGGAUGAAGUAUGAAUAGAGCAAAAAUGUAUACCUAAAAAAAUAAAAAACUUCUAUAAGAAAAUGGUAGAAAUCUUGUACUGCAAUGAUACCUGAUCAACAACUCAAAUAAAAAUAAAAAUAAAAAAUUAAUUAACUUUUAGAAACUAAAUCAAAUUUUCAUCUUGAAAAAUUCCCACUUCAGUUUUACAACCACUUAAACAACAUUCCGUAGUAUGAUUUCACCAAUAGUUAUCAUGUAAGUAUAUAUAUAUAUAUAUAUAUAUGAUUGAGUGGGAAAUAUAAUUGAAAGUGAGAGUUUACAUGCGUUCUAAAUUAUAUGCAUUGCAUAAAAUACAAACUUUUCAACUCUUUUUAAUUUUUUUUAUUUUAUAAAUAUUUUUUUAAUGUAAUAUGUAACUUGAUAAAUAAGAGAACAAAAAAUGAUGAAAGUCAUAUAUAUUAAAAAUAAUAAAAAUAUAAAAUAAUUGAGGGGGAAAUACAAUUGAAAGUGAGAGUUUGCAUGUGUUUCAAUUAUAUGAAUUACACAAAGUACAAACAUUUCAAUUUUUUUAAAAAAAUUUAUUUAUUAUUUUAGAAAUAUUUUUUUAAUGUAAUAUGCAUGGUUUUAAAAACUAGAUGAGACCGUCGAUCGGUCACCGUUUCUAUCCGAUUCACACCUUUGAGUUGGACAGUUUUUGAAUCGCCUUGAGACUGAUGAACCGAUUGACCUGACCGAUUUUGGACAAAAAGAACGGUUCAAAAAAUAUAUAUCAAUCUCAAAACACUAUCACCAUGAUGACGCCAUUCUGACGGUCCUAACAUUGACUCUUCCCAUAAGUAAUAAUUCAAUAAAUUGUUUUAAAGUUUUGAUAUAGAAAUGUCAAAGUGACUAAAUUUGUGGCUCUAAAUUAAUAAUUUUGUGAAUUUUAAAUUUAGUUAUUAAAUAAGUUAAAAAAAAAUCUUGAUAUUUGAAUUGAUUAUCUUUAAAGAGAAAAACUUUAAAAUAUCCAUUAUAUACAUAUAAAUAUGUUAUUGAAUGAAAAUACCAAUUAUAUACAUAGAAGUUUGUCAUUGAUUGAAAAUAAGAUAUGUGAUAGAGAAAAGUUAUUUUUUUGGUAUCAUAAUUAAAUUUAAAAAAUAAAAUAAAAUAGUGAAUUAAUAAUUCAAUAACAUAUCAAUAUUUUAAUUUUAACAUUUCAUAUCUGUGGUUAAAUAUGAAUUAUUAAAUAAAAAUGUCAUAAAAUAAUAUUUGAAUAUACAAACCCAAGAUUAUGAGUCUUUCACUCACAUUUUUAUAUUUUUUUUUAUAUUUUAUAUUUUUAUUUUUAUUUAUUUUAUUUUUUUAUUUCCAUUAUUAUUUAUUUUCAUUUUACAAUUGUAAUUUUUUUAACUUUAUGGUUUCUAAAAUUAUAAUUUUAAUUCAAAUAAAUGAAAAUAUUAUGAUUUUAAAUAAAUUUAUGAAAAUAUUGUGUUACUCAUAAUUUAUCAUUUUUAUUUUUAAAAUUAUUUUUAAUUUUAAUAAUAUAUAAAAAUAUAUAUUUAUGACGUCACCGGUUCAAUGCCGAUCCGACUAGUGAACCGGUAACUUUUUCAUUUCAAUGAUCGAUUCGAUUAUGAAAACAUUGGUAAUAUAUCAAAGAAGAUAAAAAUCAUUUAAAUAUAUUCUAGCCUUUUACCCAUCAUUCUCUAAAAAAAGAAUGAAAUGUUGAAGAUUUUUGUAACUUGACAUGCAGAAGAUAAAUUUAUAUUUUUUGAUAUAAAAAAAUUAUAAAAAUUGAAAAAUAAAAUUAGGGACAUUGAUCAUAUAAUACAAUGGAUGUCAUUAGCAAAUUCUAAUAAGAAGGUAAAAAAAUUAUACCCUUUGUAAGUGCAUUUUUAAUUUAAGUUGAUAAUUUUAUCUUUUUUAUUCACAUGUAGGACAAUUUAUAUUACUAUAUCAUAUACUUCAUCAAAGAUUUAAUGUUUCUAAUAAUUAAUCAAGGAUGAAAAGGGUUUUUUUUUUUUUUUUUUUUUUUUUUUACAUAUAACGAAAACUAAAAUUAUUUCUUGUUUUUAUUUUUUUUACAUAAUAGCAAAUAUUUCUUAUUUUUUAUUUUAAUAGUAAUAAAUAAUAAAAUUAGAAUUAUUAAACAUUUUAAUAUAAUUAUAAACUAAAACAUACUACAUAACACAUUAAAACCAUCAACGCAUUAUUUGAUCAUUAUCUUAAUUACAUGGUUAGCCGAGAUUGUUGAGGGUUCGCAUUACCGGGACCACUGCAACUGCCUGAUGGACGCGCCUCCUCAAUUGAAGAUUAUGCUUCCUUUCUUCGACCUGCAAAAGAUGUUCGGAUAGGGCGUCCGGACACACCCUCCGAUGAUUUUGUUAGUUUUUCUCUCUUAACACUUUGAUAUUCUCUCUUGGGCCCUCCUCCUUAGGAAAAAUGCUUACCUUCUUUUAUUGUGUGGGGGCCUUUUAGAGUGCUAGGAGCUUUGUCCCUUUUAAUGGUGGGAAGACUUUUUGGCUUGUCAUGAUGGUGCUUAGAUGGUGGCAGAGCCAUCAUUAUCCUGCAGGUGGCUGUAAGAGAUUAUUGGGGGGAUGACUUGUCGUCAUCCUUGUCUUUUCAUCCUGCAGGCGGUGCAGGGCAGGUCGUGGCAAAUUGCCUGAAGUGACCUAGAAGGGUCCUGUCAAGCUAUUGAGUCUGCUUUUAGUAGUAUGAAUAAUGAUGGCCCGUGAAACGCGAUCAAGACUUUUGUCUAAGACGCUAGCCACUGAGUCCAGACAGGACAUCCGGACAAGGGAGGUGUGGAUGGCAUGCCCGUCCCAUGGUCAUCUGGAUGGAGGGUUGGACGCGCCACGUGUCCAAUGGAGGAGUGCUCUUAUGGUGGGAUAUUAGAGUAUGGGAGGAUUCUCACCUCCAUCAUUGCCAGAGUCAUAUGCUGCCAUGGUGCUUAUGCUGCUUUCACUGCACACAAGUUAUUUUGAGUUUCUAAUUAACCUUAACAGAACAAUAAAAAUUAGACUCCAAAAGAAUCAAGUGAUUAAAUUAAGUUAAAUACACACCUCUUUUAUCCACCAAAAGCAAACCUAAAUUAAAAGAUGAAAAAAAAAUAAAAAAUCAAGGAGCUGAAGUACUUACUAAGAUAAUUGGAAAUGGGUCACGAAGCUUAAGAAAAAUUUAAAAAUUAGAAAUUUAAUUCCUUCUCCAAAGCACUGCUGACAAAGGAGAGAGAACUUUAAUGUUAGCACUGAUUCAUUCCCAAUUGGUGUCUCAGCUGAUUCAUGUCCUCUCAAUGGUCCCUGAUAAUGGUACCAUUUGAUUUGUGUCCAGUUGGUGUUCCUUGAUUGUGGUCCUCAAAAGGAAGUAAUCAACAAAAUUUAUAACCUAUAUCACCAUGCAUUAGGAUAGUCUUAGCUAAUAUAGCAUAGUGGCUCUAGGAUCGUUCACUAGGAAGGGUUUUCAACUUACAACUGAUACCAAUUCAAAGUUGAAUUGGUACUUUUUCAUUUCAAGGUUAGCUUAAGAAGAAAACAUAAACUUUGGUUGAAAAAGGUUUUGUUUUAAGCUAACUAAAAAGAAAGUAAUGGAAAUUACUUAUGAAAGAAAGCAUUCCUUGGAGUUUUAGGUUCAAAGAGGAGGCUCCUCAUGCAAAAACAGAGCUCCGAUCACUUGAAUCUUUUCGUCGCAUUAGAGAAUUAACAUAUAGUUAAUUCUCUAACCGGUGUUGUACAGAUGUUUCCCUUUAAUGGAUUUCAGCACUAAUUCCCUCUCACUGAUGCAACUUGCAAUGGCUCAUGCCUCUCACCUAGCAUUUGCCAUUCAAGGUGAUCAUUAACCUUGGACUUCCCUUCUCAAGCUCCAAGAGAUAACUAAUGGAUGUCUCCUUAGAGUCCAAAAGCUUACUAAGUGUUGGCAAUUCUAGAAAAUCCUACCUUCAAGUCACCUCCCAAAAGCUCGCAAGAGAUAAACUAGUGCAUCUCCAUGGAUGGAGAUCACUUGCCUUACCAAGUGUUGGCUCAGGUGAAUUGAAGGUGUUUUAAGUUGACUAAAAACAUAGAAAUCAUUAAUGGGUCACACUUUCUCUUCAUUAAUGGCUGAAACAACAAAACUACCAAUUCUUGCAUUUGGGGCCUUACCUGGCAACCUUAGCUCCAAGGAACUAAAAGCCUAGCCACUCAUUCUCUGAGGAAACAUCCUCAGAGCUUGUUUGGCUAGUAAGAAAAAUUAAAUAAUAUACAAUACAAUCAAAACGAGAAGGUAAGGCAGAGCAAAGGCUCUGUAUUUUACUUCCUUGCAAAACUAUACAAAGGAUGUCUGAGAACAAGCUCCCGACCUCUUGUAAUGGAAAUUACAAACAAUAUAUAUGAGGGUAUUUACCCUUUGUUCUUGCUUGAUAACUAAGGAAUCCUAUGAUAGGUGGAUUACAAGGAGAGUUUGGGGAUUUAGACAUCAAAUAUCUAAAGCAAAAAAAAAAUCUAAAAAUGUCGCAAAUAUCGGGAAGCUUCAAGAGAAUUUCGCAGCCGUGCAAGAUGGCUGCAAAAUUUCGCAGCAUGAAGGACACCAUUUCGCAGCCAAAGGCUGAUUUCGCAGCCAUCCUCUUGUGAUUUCGCAGUCCGCGAAAUUGGCCUCAACUUGGAGUGAUCGGCUUCCAAUGGCUCUAACUCCUUCAUUUCAACUCCGAAUCACGUACCAUUUGAAGCGUUGGAUUUCUGACUUCCCGAGCUUCGAAACGACAUAUAGUAUACAUAAUUUGAGCUCCAUGAAGUGCUCCAAAAGUGGCUGACAGAGACUGUCCUCUAGAAUGUUUCAUGGUAGAUUUCUCUCUUUGCUUUCCCUCCUUGCAUUCUGGAUUUGCUUAUGGAAAAGGACUCUAAAGCUUCAAAGCUUUGGUUCUUCAUGUUUUUAAGCUUUCCAUUGCUUUGCCAUGGAUUCCAAAGAACUCUCCUCAAACUCGGAUUGCUUUGGUGAUCAAAUUACUAACAAAAACACCAAAACUUACACAAUUUGAUUAGAAAUGAUUGCAAAGGUCCUUAAUAUGUUAAUUGGGCUAAAAGGUAAUAACUACUACUCAAAAGUGUUUAAAAGAGUUAAUUACAAGCUAUCAAAUAGCACCUUUGAGUAGUAAUCAAGCACAAAAAGGGAUCUUCGUGAUGCUAUAUUUUACACCGCACAUGCUUGUGUCUUCUAUACCUUCCAAUUUGCAAAUAACUCUGCCUCUUCUAAUCCACAUCAAUCAAUGGUUUCCUUCUCAUAUUUCCAAUUGAUUGAUCUGAUCUGAUUUUCAAAGUGGGUACAUGCAUCUUCUUUCUAACAUGGAGAUUACUUGCCAAGCAAUUGGCUGCGCGCAUUAAUCAUUUCCCAUGAUAUCUAGUUGCAUAAAGAAAAGUAAGCUCUCAAGCCUUUUGCUAAUUGAUUAAAAUCAUAGUGAAGAAGACAAUAAUUACAUAAUAAUCAAAUACUGUUCACAGUGAAUGAGACAUGAAAGCUCUAAGCAUUUUCAAAAUUCUUCUACUAAGUGAACAACCAAAUUGUAUCCAGUGUAAAGGUCAAAUCAUCUUCAAGUAACUUGCCUGCUUCUCAUGGUGCAUUAUCUAAAAAUCUAAAAAUCUUGUGACGAAUGACUAAGGCUUCCAAGAAUAUUUGAUGUAUUGAGCCAACAAAUAUUAGACAUAGAAUCGACACACAUAAGUAUUGUAGUCCUUUGUCCUACUAAAAAGAAUGAAUAAAUUAUUAGAUCAAUUAUUAGUGUCUGAAUACUGUAAUUUAAGUGUUAUAUUCUUGCUUACUUCACCACAAUAUUAAAGAAGAUUUGACAUUAAAAAAAAGUAAUAAUUAUUCAUAUUCAUGCCAUGAACAAGGACCUCUUUUAUGUUAUGGAUAUAUAAAAUAUAUUAACAAUCCAUUAUGCUAUGUUUGAGAGCUCACACACAAAACAAAGUAUUGGAAUAAAUUAAUAUAAAUUCAGGACUGAUAGCUCCUAUCCUACUUCCGCCCUUUUUAUGAAAGCAAUUUCCCAUGCUUGGGCCAAACUUGUGAUCGGGAGGAGCAAAUUGGGGUGGGUAAGCAUAAUUGAUAUUUAUUCUUGCCCAAUUUUCCCCUCAAUUUCUGUAAUUCGAUUAUAACAAGCUAAAUUAGGUAUCAAUAAUUACUAUGAGAAAAAAAAAUGGGAUUAAAGGUAUUUCUCUUCUUAGCAAUCAUACAUUACAAAGAGAAUCAAGAUUGCUUACCUAUCAAUUUUCUUUUCUUCUACAACAAGUUAAAAUUAUAGAAUAAAAUAAAUUAAUAAAAUGAAAAUACUAGCAACCAAACUAGUAAAAAAUUUGUUGGACCUUCAAAGAGAUGAUGAAGAGAAUACUAAAAAUGAUGAAAAUAUUGUUGGCAACAACAAUAAGAGUAUAGUACUGAUGUGACAACAAUAAUGACAAAGAUUACUAUGACAUUAGAGGGAAAGAGUACCCAUGAUGCGAAUCAUUCAUAGAGAUGUGAACAACGAUAGUGAUAGAGAUGACUAUGAUACUAGAGCUAUAAUUGGAGUGAAGCUAAGAUAAGUUCCUCACAAGCGUUGAGGUUCAUUGAUAAGAAUUAUCACAUCAAUUUCUUGUCUUAAGGAUGCUCAUCUUUGCUAUAGUUUUUUUUUUUUUUUUAAUCUUUGAAUUUUGGGAUAAUUUUGUUUUGGACCCAGCUAGGCCCAAAAAUUAAGUAUUGGUCCAUAUAAGUUCACCAUUUAAGCCCAAGACCCAAAGGAAGUGUGAAAAUCGAGAAGAAGGAUAUGAAUUUUUUAUCUUUCUGAAAAUGACCUUUGUUGACUAUGAAAAAAGAAUUUAGAAAAAUCCACUCUGAAAUUCUAUUUAUGUUACCCUAAUUUUACUCUCUUCGACAUUUCAUUUCAGCCCUAGAUAGUGGCAUUUUUCAUCUCUUCCAAUUUCCUCCCUCGCUUCCAUUUCAUUUGAGGCCUAAACAUUGCCCUAAUCUCUGAGGCGAUUUCCUUAUCUCUCAAUUUCGUCUCUCCCAACCAUUUGAUUUCAAGCCAGUGGCAUUUGUCAUCUCUACUGAUACAUUACCCUCAUCAAUCCCCAUCGAUGUUACCCUUCGUGUCAUAGUAGUUGGAUAUUUGAGGUUAGUUGGUUCUCCAAUUUCAUUUUCUCUUGAUUUCGUCUCUCGACCAUUUGAUUUCAACCCAAAUACAUUGCCCUAAUUUCUCUCCUGAUUUCAAUUUGUUGUCUAUUGUUCUCUCGUCAAUCCCCACCGGCGUUGCCCUCUAUGUCAACCGUAGUUGGAUAUUUGAGGUUAGUAAGUUCUCUAAAUCUAGCCCUAGAUUUGUUUAAUCCUACAUUUUGUUUAAUUGUCAUUGGUAUGGGGAGAGAGAUUCUUGUUUUCUAUUAACCUUCAGUUUACGAAGUAAAUUUAGGGUGCUAUUAAUAUUUUUUGCAACCUAUCUGUGAAUGGAAAUAGUUUUUAUUUAUUAUAGUGUUUUUUUUUGCUGAGAUACAUAGGUGACUUAUGAAAUUUGGGUGCUUGGGUUUUCUCUUUUUACACUAAUGGAUUUUUUCGAUAGUUGAACCAAAUUCUAGGGAAGGAAUGUUUCAAAAUUAUGCACCAUCCCUACUUAAUUUUUGGAUAGUAGUAUUCAUUUGUACCCUGUUUUAUUGGUGAUACUACUAGUGGCCCCCGUUUUUUGUUCCAAGAUAAACAUGCUUAGUUGUUAUCUGCCUUUUAUGAGUGGUUAUGAAUUGUUCUCCUCAUGACAUAAAUUGAAAUUAUUAUGCGCCUAAAUAUAGUGAGUAUCUAAAUGGAAUUCGAUGAUGGCACCAAGAAAUAAAAUGUGCCAAUAUUCUUAAAAAAAUAAAAAUAAAAAUUAUUGACCAUGUUACCCUUCAACCUUGAGGACUAGGGUUAUGGAAUCAGAUUCAACCAACAUUGGCUCACACUUACCUCAAUAUGAGCAUGAACCUGUGUCCCGUGUGAAGGAAUAGAUAGCUUAUAUGACUUAUCAACACCAUUUUGUAACUACACAACACAACAAAUUUCACUGGCAGAAUUGGCAUUUCUUCAAUAAAAUAAACAGAAUAAUGCAAACUAAAACAAACUUCGAACAACUUUUAGAGACAAACAUGUGAAUAUGAAAAUAAAGUUCUAAUGAAAAAGGAAAUCAUACACUACUAUUUUCCUUAAGGAAAAGAAUUUUGUUCCAAACCUUCGGCUCAGGGUUUGAUUUCCACCUCAAAAAAAGUACUCAUCAAAUAGAAUGUAUAGAACAUCACUACAGUUCCCAUACCAAGUCAAUUUUUAAAUUUUUGUAAGCAUAAAUUGAAAUUAUAUGAACAGUAAAACUCCUAUGCAUUACAGUACCUAAAAACCGAAUCUCUUAUCUUCAUUCAUAAAAAAAAAGUGCUUACUCAAAAGUUGUAUUCAGAUCAUGAUUUAACUUCAAUUAUUUAGAGAUCUCCUUAUGGAAUAAAUAAAAGGGUUUGCUUGAACAAUGUCAAGUGUACCAAAUGGACUUGGUUUUCUUAAUCAAGUCUCUGAAUCAGUGUUAAGUUUGCUUUAAUAAUAGAAAGGUUUUUUUAUUCUGUUAGUAGUUCAGAGUCAUAUGCACACGAGCAUAGGUGUAAAUGAUGCUAUGAACAAGCUGUGGAACCUCAAAUUAGUUUAUCAAUGUAAGGUUGAAGACCUAGUCAGGUACUUCAUUCAUAGGAACAUGAAUUACUUUUAUGAAGAUUAUGGAGCAUAAGAUCACAUAUGUUAUUGAAUAAGCUAGGAUUUAGGGCUUGGUAGUUAAAAGUUGUAGUAGAAGUGAUAUUCUGAUGCCUAGGUUAAAUGUUUCAGUAGCUACUAUGUCUCAUGUAUAUGUUAUUAUUUGUUAUUAUUUGUUUCAAUCCAUUAUUCUGAUUUCAGGGAAUGUUUUAUUUUUUUUCAUGCUUGUCUUUAUGAAAAAAAAAAAAAAACUUUCAAAAGUGACCAACACUAAGUCAUGCUAGGGUGAGCAUUUCUUAGGGUCAAACAAGGCACCCACUCCACUUUAGCCCAUGUCGUUGCAAUUUUCAAUAUAAUAGAAAGAACACAAAAUACAAAAAAAGUAAAAAAAAUAUGUUUGUGUUAUUACCUAUUAUUACUUCAAUUGACUGUCAAUAGACUGCGUAAUUAAUAGUUAAAAGUUAUCCAUCUUAACUUCUCCAUUUCAGCAUGCUUAUUUGAUGUGGGUAGGCACCAUUAGUAUAGGGCCUUCCCUAUUAUUAUUCUCCUUCCUAAUACAUAAAGGGGUUUCAAUCAUACAAUUAAUGGGGUCUCAAACAUAAAGAAUUUUAACAAAUAUGGAUGUGACAAUUCAUCCCUAAACCUAAUAAAAAUACCCUCAGUCCUCCACAAACCUUGGUUCCAAUUCCAAAAACUGUACUAACCCAAAAACCACUUCAACAGAUGGAACAUAUUUUCAUGUUCAAAGGAGGUCAUUGGGCAUAUACCCCACUACCAGUUCUGCAGCGACUUUAGAUCUUCAAGGGAAUUCUUGCUUUUCAAAUUUGUUUGACCCAAAGGAAUUGUGGAGGAAUUACAUGAUCUUCACACAAUCUUUUCCCCCAAACUUCACCAUCUUUCUCCACGAACCAUACUCAAAUUCUCUCUUUGAAUUUAUUUUAUUGGACAAUAUACCCAGGUCAUAGCCACAUACACAUUUUAAAGAUAUCUAACAUGGCAACUUCAAUUGAUCGCAUAUAAAACCCAAAUUUUACAAACAUCUGCUAUGGAAAUUUGAAGGGUAUAUUUGUCUAAUAAUAUUCUAUAUCUUCUCUCUCAAUUAUGCAACUUAUAUGGCCCAAAGGUUAAUUUUUCAUUAGAAAUGAGUGUGUGAGUUCUUCAAAAGCAUUUGAAAUCCAUCAAGAUAGGUAGUCUUGUACACCCUUGUAUAGUUAACACAUUUGCCUUGUACACUUAGUGCAAAUGCCUUGUACAGUCAUAGAAAUUCCAUAUAGGUACAACUGAACAAGUGCUUAAGGGUGGGUAAACAAUGUUUCCAUUCUCAUGGAUCAAGGAAAAUGAGAAAAAAAAAUUACCUUAAUUUCGGUUCAUAUUCAUGAUUAGUGGAUGAUCUAAUAAAAUGAAUGAACAUGGUAGACAUCAAAUAAAAUGCAUGCAAUGGGUGUGUGGUCAAGCAAUGUGUGUGAAGAAUGUCCCCCAUGAUUGGAAAAAGUAAAUGAGUAAGUUCUUCAAAAUCAUUUCAAAUCCCUUAAGAUAGACACCCUUGUACACUUUUGUAUAGUUAGUACAUUUGCCUGGUACACUUUGUGUAAAUGCCUUGUAAAGUGGUAGAAAAUCGACAUAGCUACAAUUGAAAAUGAGAGCAUAUGGGUGGGGUAACCACAUUCCAAUGUCAUGGCUGAGCAAAAAUGGGGAAAAUGAAACCCAAUUUAGGUACCUAUUCAUCAUUACUACGGUAGCUCAUCCAAUGAAUGUGUACGAAGAGGAAUGAGGAAUGUCCCACAUCCUUAGAAAAGGGAAAUGAGCAAGCCAGUUUUUCAAAAGGAUUUGAAAUCCUUCAACAUAGGUACCCUUGUACACCUUUGUAUAGUAAGCACAUUUGUCUUGUACACUUAGUGUAAAUGCCUUGUAUAGUGGCAAAAAAUUGACAUAGCUACAACUGAACGCAUGCAUAUGGGUGGGCUAACCAUGUUCCAAUGUGAUGCCUAAGGUAAAAGGGGGAAAUGAAACCCAAUAUAGGUUCAUAUUCAUCAUUAGUACGGGAGGUCAUCAAAUGAACAUGUAUGAAGUAAUAAAAUUGAAUGGGAUCAGUGCGUGAUCAAGGAAUGUGUGUGACAAAUGUCCUUCAUCCUUACAAAAUGGAAAUGAUUUUAAACAGAUUUGAAAUCCUUUAAUAUAGGUACCUUUGUACACCCUUGUGCAGUUAGCACAUUUACUUUGCACAAUUAGUGUAAAUGUCUUGCACAGAGGAAGAAAUUCCAUACAACUACUACUGAAUAUCUGCUCAUACAUAGGUUAAUCAUGUUUGUAAUGUUUUAGUUCAUAAAAUAAGGAAAAACUGAAGUAUCAAUUUCUUCCCCAACUACUAGUCAUCAAACAUAAAGGAGUUUCAAUCAUACAAUUAAUGGGGUUGUGUUUUGGAUCAUAGCAUAAUAAUUUUCAUAAAUAUGAAUGUCACAAUUCAUCCCUAAACCUAAUAAAAACACACUCAAUCCUCCAUAAACCUAGGUUGGAAUGCCAUAAAAUAUAGUUACCCCACAAUUCUACUCCAAAAGGCCAUAUACCUUAUUUAACGUAUUUUCAUCUUCACAGGAGGUUGUUGAGCCACUGGCAUCAUCAUGACCACACUUGUAGCUGCUUUAGAUCUUCGUUGGAGUUAUUCCUUUUCUCUAUUUUGUGUAGUGGACCAACCUCACAAUCAUGACAACCAUCUUCUUUGCUUUUAAUAUACGUUUGAUUUGAAGGAUAGUUAUUAUGGAGGAAUUGCAUCAUCAUCAGAGAAUCUUCUUCCCCAAACUCACCGUCUCUCUCUGUCAACCAUACCCAUUUCUUUUCUUUGGACGAUUGACCCAACAAGAAGAUUUUUAAGUCGGAUUUUUAAGACAAGUGACAUGCCAAACUUAAGGAGAUCUUCUCCAUUUAUGAGUUGCUCACAAUCCUCAGUUGUUGAAGGAAUUGAUUGGGGGACGUCAGAGUCGAGGGAAAAAAAGGGGUAGGAGUGGUGACCGACCUUUAUUUCAAAUUUUUAAGAUAAGUGACGUGGCAUUUUUUUAUUGGUCUCUUAAUAUUUAUAUCCUCCCCAUCAAUUAUGCAACUUAUAUGGACCAAAGCUUAAUUUUUGGGCCCAGUUGGGUCCAAAACCAAUUGUCCCUUAAAUUUUUGCUACUUUUGUAUGUUACUAAUGGAAAUGUUCAUUAUUGAGAGUAGGAAUGACUUUGCUAAAGAUUAAAACUCAUUAUUUCAUGUCGGUGAAAAUGAGUAUGACUUCAAAGGUGGAUAGUGUGAUAAGAUUUAGGGUUUGAGAUUUGAGAGAGAGGGAGUUGUUAAUGGAAAUGGGGUUAUCUUUUUCCACUUUUCACUUUAUAUGGGGAGUAUUUGGAAAUAUUAAGAAUAUAAAAAACAAAUUAAUUUGUCUUUUUCAUUGAUAAGAGGGGCAAGUGGGAGUGGGUUAACACAACCUAAACUUGUCCAAGAUAUAUAAUCCCAUGCUUGACUUGCUUCAGUUAGGAUUUUUUCAAAUCCAUUCCAUUAGAAGUGGCAAUGAUAGCUAAUGCCACAUAUUAAAAACAAAACCAAAAUUAAGUACUAUUUAUUAUUUUUAAAAAGAAAAAUAUGAGGAUGAUGUAAAAUUAUUAGCAACAUGUGUUCAAAAAUCAUUUUGGAAACUUUUUGUCCUCUUGAAAAUGAAUAAUUUAAAAAAAAAUUGUUUUUCAAUUUGUGUUUUAAAUAAGGUAAGUUUUUAACAAUUGAAAAUGAUUAAUUAGUUUUGUAGGUACACUGGAAACUAUUGGUUAGUCGCAAAAUAAGAAUCUUCUAUAAAGUUAAACAAAUGUUUUCCUAAUGAAAUUCAUAAUUUCCCUACAGAUGAUCAAUAUAUCAAAUGCCACAAUAUUGAAGGUCCAUCAAUAAAACUGAGAAAGAUUAAGUUAGUCUAAUUGUUACGCCUACAAAUAAAAGAAAUUGCAAAAUAGCUUAUUCAAAAACCAACUAUACAGACCGAGAUGCAAUAAUACUAUCAAGACUAAGAUCCAUGUCUUUGAUAAUGUUUAUAUUCAAAGUACUUUAAAUGAAAUUCUUGAUGAAAAAAUAACUUAUUAAGCAUUUCUCCAGUAAAUACUAUAAGUGAUUUUUCAACUUUUUAAAUUUUACUAAACGCUUAUUUUUUUCUUUAAAAAUACUUUUUAAAAUUGCUAUCAAAUGGGCUCAAAGAUGAAAAGAUUUCUCAUCUCCAUAUGUCGAUGCAAAUAUAAAUAUAUGAACAUUUCAUUUAGUUUCAUAUGAUAUAGAUGGUAAAUAAUUUAAUUGGUGCAUAUUAUUUUAAAAUUAACUCUUAUAACACUAGUCAACAAUAAGAUCAUCCAAUUCUCUAGUGUGGGAUGCUCAUGUCCAUCUAGUAUGACUCUUAAUUUGUGUAGCCGUAUCUUCGUCCAUCCAUCCAAGGAUUUGGACGGAUAAAGACUAUCCAAGCACUACUUAUUACUACCUGUCAAGCACUAAAUACAAAACACAUUAAGAACAUUGAGUGUCACAACCAUUACUAAGCAUAAAUGACAGACUUUAGAGCUCAAAAACUGUUAUGCAAGCCAAUUAAAAGGCAUUAAAGGCAAUUGAAACACAUGGGACAUGUUAUGGCUUGGCUGAAGAUAAAUAGCCAUCAAACGUCAGAAUGAAGGUAGACAAUUAGAACCCAUUGACCUCUUACCCAACUCCCCUCUGUCUAAUUUAAGCUUCAGAGAGGUGUGCCUUGGAAAACCAUCUGGACACUCUUUAUUGUAGGUAUACUUGUCGUCCAAACCAAGAGGAGGCCAACCAGAUGCAAACAUUGUUGGUCAUGCACCAACAUCUAGGACUUAAAAAAAAAAGAGUGGCAAGCCCCAUGUUGCUUCAACUAGUAGUUGUCAAUUCUAAAUACCCCACACUCCAAAUAACACCCUAAUUAGUUAGGGUUGUUCCAAAUCAUCACUACUCACUCUUAGAAAUUUCAUGUUUAUUCCUUUAAGUUCUUGCCCAUACAAUCAAAAUUCAAAUAAAUUUACUAUAUAACAAAAUUAUUUCCACAUGUAUAAAACUAUUAUAUUUUAAAUAUGAGUCUUUUAUUACGAAGUUUUUUUACAAACUGAUAAAUAAAUACAACAUUAAUUUCAUUUGACAUUUGCUUCAAUAUAUCAUAUAAUGCAUUUCCUAAAUUCCUAAAUAAUUUUGUCUCAUUUAGAUUAAUUAAAUUGUCUUAUGCAUUUCUAAGCUUCCUUAGUAAUUUUAUUUUCGUUUAGAAAAUAGUAACUAGUGUUAUUUCAAUUAGGAAGGUAACUUUACUCUCAUGUGGCUACUUUAUUAAGCAUUUUACUAUUAAGGAGCAUUAUAUAUAUACCAAAAUCUUGCAAGUUUAAGCUUUUAGGAAAAUUGUUAAUUCAACAUCGUAUCAUAAAUUUAUUUCAAAUUUUAUAUAAUGAGUGGAAUUAUGCACUACAAGGAAAAAGGUAUAUGAUGACAUUUAUAACGAGUCACCAUAAACAUAAGGUGUCACUACAACAUAGCGUCACCUUCUCCACUGACACCAUAGAGGGUACCAAUUGGUGACGUAUUUGGAAGUGACACCAAAGUAGAUAAAUGGUGAUCCAUUCAGAAGUGACACCAUAUAUUUCUAGUGAUGAUAAGGUGUCACAUUAAAUACAUCAUCUUUGAGUUAUGAUGUCACAUUAAAUGCAUCACCUUUGAGUUAUGGUAUCACAUCAUUGUAAAUUAUUGUGGAAUAUAUGAUUGGUUUUAGUUGUUGAUUUUUGUAAUGCUUAUGAAUUAAUAAGAUUAAAUUGUUUAUAUUUUGUCCAUAAACAUAACAAUCAUAUUAUAUUUAACUCAUUUUUCUGUAAUGUUUCUAAAAUAACUCAUAAUACAUUGAUCAUCUACUAAUAUUUGUAUAUCAAAUGUUCACAAAAGGAUAGUACGUCCAACAUAUCAAACCCAUCAAAACUAAAAAAGAAGAGUGAAUACAUACCAAAACAUGAUUUAGAAAUGUUAAAGAUCCCAAGAUUCAUGUAUACCUCCAUUUCAUAAGCAUAAAACCAGCUAACCAUAAAAUGACAUAGAAGUCCCAUCUAAAAAUCUAAAUUUCUCAGUUGCAAUUAAAGUAACGUUUAUGUCCUACAACGUAUGACAUAAGAGUUGCAUUUAAAAACCCAAAAUCUUGUUGCCUUCUUCUUUCUUUUUAUUCUCCAUUUCACCCUCCCAAGAGUGUAUACCUGCAUUUCAAAAUUUAAUGAGUUUUAGAGAUUUUUAUUGAAGAAAAUAAGCAUGGAUCUAUGUUAUCAUAAAUGAACAAAUCUAAGAAUUAAUUUUUUUUUCAAAUAGAAACAUUAUUCAAAGAAUAAGCAUUACUAUACAAUACCUAUGGAAAAAUUCAUGUAGUAGCUAAGGGACUCACCAUGCAUGGUGAUCAUGAUGCAUCAACAUGAUUCAUGAUUAGUUGUAGCACAAAAGUAGCCCAUUCUCCUCUAAUUUCAUCGAAUUCUACUUGAGAAUAUGUUUUUUUUAUUACCAAACUGAAAUCAAAUAAGAAAAUAACAUUAAAAUGCAUAACAUUUGGAAGCCUAAAACUAUGUACAAUUCAUUAAAUAAGUAAUACCUUUGAAGCAAUAAUUGUAGGAUCAAAAAUUAUCUCUUUAAUGAAUCUCAUAACAAAGUAGCCACAUUCGAACCCUCCUUCUUGUCUUGGACAGUAAUCGAUCAAUUAUAAAAUAACAUUAGUACUCACAUAUAUAAAUGGUGCAAAUGCAUAAGCUAAUGUGUAAAGAAAAAUUUUUGGAUGUCACCUGCACUAGUUGCUAAGAUGGCUCCCUCUUAGAUGUUUUCUUUGCAGAUAUUCGAAGAGCCCUAUGUAAAUAAGUUACAUUUUUAAAAUACGUAAAUGUUAUAUGUUUUAAUAUAUAUAAAUAAUAAUAAAAAUGUGUUUGAGGUGAAUGUAUUUUUUUUUUAUUUAAAAAUAAUACUAUGAAAAAUAAUAGGAAGAACUUACAUGUUUACGAUAUCCUUUAAGUCCUCACAUGGUUUGUGAUGCAUAGGGUCAAGAUAGUGGACUAUCAUUUUCCUUGGCUCAAGCACUACCUAAAUAUAAACCCUUUAAGUCCUCAUAUCUAUUUCUAUUAACAAAAUAUAAAAACUUUCCAAAACUCAACUACUUAAAUAUAAAAACAAAAUCAAAUAAAAUAUCUAGCUAAUUGGAUUUUAGAAACUAAAUAAACUAUAAAUAAACUAAAUAAAAUAUCUAUGUCCAUGAAUUAAUUGAAGAGGAUAGAAAGACACAGAGAGAACAUGACUAUGGUUAUGAUUUCCAUCUUAUCAUUUCCUGUCAAUACCACACAUACCCAUUUUAAGGUUGGACACUACUUUUGUUGCUAGACUUGGAAAGGGAAUUUCAAAAUUGAAAACAUAAAUAAACCCUUAUGUAAAAAAAAAUAACAUUAAAAUAUAAUUGAGCAUUAAAAUAUUUACUCUCUUUCAUCACUUUCAUUUGAAUAUUAAUAAUCUCUUAUUGAGAUAGAUACUUACAAUUUAACAAAAUAGAAAUUCCUAAUAAUAAAAAAUAUAAAAAUUUCUAUUUCUAUUAACAAAAUAUAAAAACUUUCCAAAACUCAACUACUUAAAUAUAAAAAUAAAAUCAAAUAAAAUAUCUAGCUAAUUGGAUUUUAGAAACUAAAUAAACUAUAAAUAAACUAAAUAUAAAAACUAAAUAAAAUAUCUAUGUCCAUGAAUUAAUUGAAGAUGAUAGAAAGACAUAGAGAGAACAUGGCUAUGGUUAUGAUUUCCAUCUUAUCAUCUUCCGUCAAUACCACACAUGCCCAUUUUAAGGUUGGACACUACUUUUGUUGUUGGACUUGGAAAGGGAACUUCAAAAUUGAAAACAUAAAUAAACCCUUAUGUAAAAAAAAAAAUAACAUUAAAAUAUAAUUGAGCAUUAAAAUAUUUACUCUCUUUCAUCACUUUCAUUUGAAUAUUAACAAUCUCUUAUUGAGAUAGAUACUUACAAUUUAACAAAAUAGAAAUUCCUAAUAAUUAAAAAUAUAAAAAUUUCUAUUUCUAUUAACAAAAUAUAAAAAUUUUCCAAAACUCAAAUACUUAAAUAUAAAAACAAAAUCAAAUAAAAUAUCUAACUAAUUGGAUUUUAGAAACUAAAUAAACUAUAAAUAAACUAAAUAUAAAAACUAAAUAAAAUAUCUAUGCACAUGAAUUAAUUGAAGAGGAUAGAAAGACACAGAGAGAACAUGACUAUGGUUAUGAUUUCCAUCUUAUCAUCUCCCGUCAAUACCACACAUGCCUUCCCGGAUUGGUUCUUUUGGGGUUGGAUACUCUCAACGAAAUUCUAUAUCUCAUUCCCACUUAGAUACAAACAGAAAAAUCAUUCUUUUUUUUUUCCUCUCUUGUUUUUUAGAAAGGAUGAAGAUUAUGUGAUAGUAUAUCUUAAAAAAAUUCUGUACCUGUCAUUCUCACACAAAUACAUAUUAAAAAUCAUUCAUUUUUUCCUGUUUUUCACUUUUUUUUAAGGACUUGAUCAUGUGUUUGGUUUAGAUUAAAAAAAUCAAUUAAUCUAUAGUUUUUUCUUCCAUGCUGGAAGAUUAAACCUAAAUUUUUCUUCCCUACAACUCAAGAAAACACAAUUCACAAAAAUCAUAAUACAAAGAUGUUGAAACAAUUAAUAUAAUGACAUUAAUAAAAGAAAAAAAAAUUAUAGAUCCAAGAGAUUUUGGGUUACCUGGGAGUCCACAAAGUGAAGAAUGUCGGUUUUGAGCGUGUUGACUAUGGAUGGGUGAGAGAAAAGGUUGAAGAAGAUCAUGAUUUUAUAUAUAGGAUUUAUAUAUUGAGAUAUUUUGGAUUGUGGGUGAGAUAUGGAAACAAUGGGAUUUUUAUAUAGUAUCCAUCAUUAUUAAUUCUAAAAGUGGGCUCAUUAAGUUAUAAUACUUAAAAAAAUUUAUUUUAUAUGAUGUCACUUCCCAAAAAAUGACACUAUAAAUAUAAAAUUAAUAUCAUCUAACUACCUCAAUUGAAGAUUUUUUAUAUGAUGUGUCACCUUUAUUAAUUAUAAACCCUAUGGUGUCAUUAUUUUAAAAGUGACACCGUAAAUAGUGACACCAUAAACUAUUUUUGUAGUAGUGAUGAAAAAUGGAAAUGCAUGUGGAUUGAAUUCUUACCUUAAGAUCUCAAAAAUUACUUAAACAGAUUUAAAGUUCUUCCUCAACUCUCUAGAUCUUCAGACCUUUGUUUAAUAAAUCAAACCUAAAGUGAAUUAUAACUUAAUUUAAGUUAUUAAGUAGACUAAACAUAUUUGGUAAAAUAACUUAAUAUUAAAAUGCAAAAUUAAAAAUAACUUUAAGUAGUAAGUCAAAAUAAUUAACUUCUUUUUAAUCCCAAACUUUUUUUCUUUUGGUCUUAUUUACACACAUUUAAUGAGUAUAUAUUAAACAACUAUGACUCCAAAUCCAUGACUCAUUUUUUCUACUAAAUAUUUUAAGGUUAUUUUAUAAAUUUACAAUCUUUAAGUAUGGAUGUUAAAUAACAAAUUUAUUGCUUAAGAUUAAUGAAAAUAAAUAUUAAUUAAAUUUUUUAAUAAUAAACAUGAAUUAAAACUAAUGAGAUAAAUAUGUUAAUUCAAUAACUUAAAAUAAAUUCUAAGUUAAUUUUAUACCUUACUACUUAAAAUAAAAAAAUAAGUAAUAAGUUUUAAGUUAAUGACUUAAAACCAAUUUAACUUAAAGUUAACUUAAGUCAUUAAAUAAUAAGUAUUAAGUUUUACCAAACAUCCAAGUUGACUUUAAGUUAAAUUAUUCUUAAGUUGUUAACUUAAGACUUAUUACUUAAUUGUUACUUUAAGCAUUAAGGUUGUUUUGUAAAGUUAGCUUAAAGUUUAUUCUAAAUCAUCAAAUUAACUCCUUUUCCCUCAUUAAUUUUAACUAAUAUUUAUCUUUAUUGAUUUUAACUCAUAUUUAUUUUCAUUAUUUUAAACAAUAAAUUUAUUUAUAUAACAUUCAUACUUAAAGUAUUGUAGAUAUAUAAUACAACCAUAAAAUGCUUAUUACAAAAAAAUGAGUUAUGGAUGUGAAAUCACAGUUUUAAAAUGUAUUUACUGUGAGCAAAUGAGACAAAAAUAAUUUUACAUUAAGAAUAAGUUAACUAUUUUAACUUAAUACUUAAAGUUCAAAGUAACUUUAAGUUAUAAUAUUAAGUUAUUUUAUUAAGUAGACUAAAUCUAAUUUCUCAAACUUGGUUGCAGAAGCCUAAUGAUAGGAACUCUUUCUUAUUAUACAAAUAAUGAUCACAUGAAAGAGAGUCAUGAUUUUCUUUCAAAAACUUGCACAGUUAUUUCUCACUCAUAUGUUUUGAUGUCUUAUUCCAUAACUUUAGGAAAGCGUAUUGUCACGGACUUAGUCUUUUCCUAAGCUCGUGUGGCACCUAGACAAGUUAAGACACUUGAUCUUGCUAAGUCAGCCUUACUCCCAAUGCUUAGCUUACUAAGCUAAGAUACUCACAACUUGGAAACUUUAGAAGGUGUAGUAGGCAACUCUUAAAGAAUGGAAGCUUUUGUUGCUCAAAGGAAGCUUUACAAGUGCUUUGGGAACUCACUUGCUUGGUUAGGAAGUGAUUUGGGUGGUGCCUUGGCCAAAUGAGGCCUUAACCUAUUUAUAGGCACCAAUAGAACUCUUUGGAACCUUGGAGGGUUCCUUACAAAUCAAGAAUAAUCUAGAAUCUCCUACACUAGUCUAUGUACAAGGGUAUGUACAAGAUGACUUUGGAAGAUUCUAUAACACCCCACACUAUUCCAAUGCUCUCUUAGCCAAGUAUAGAGAUGUGUGGACAUCUCUAGCCCUCUCUAGAAGCUUCCAUGCUCUUCCACUUUGUAGCUAAGUGUAGAUGUUUCCAGGGGUUUCUAGAAGCUUCUCACCUCCUAUAUAAGCCCAUGGGGAGAGUCAUUUGAAGCAUCUUGUGAUUGUAUGGUCUCGAUAGCAUUCAAAUUGCCCUUUUACACUUCCUCUUGGUAUAUGUAGCAAACCUCUUCUUUUGCAACAAAUAACCUCUUUACCACUACCAAAAUAACUUUUAUAUCCUUGUUUAACUUGUGCAAAUCUAGACAUUAGUUUGAGGUUGGAACGUUGGUCUCUAGACAUACAUUAUUUAUUCAUCCUAAUUGCACCAAUGUCUCUAUCUUUGUAAUUUGAAAACAACUUCAAUUAAGGGAUAACAUGCAUGAUAUAAGGUUAUUGUCUCUACAAUCCACUCAAUUUUGUGAUCACUAAUAGGGAUUUAAUCCAAGUGUUAAGUUGACAUGAUAUAUAUAAUUGAUUCAUUACCAAAUAGCUUAAACAUUUAUAUCAUAUAUAUUGAUAGCUUAACAUGUUUUUAAAGCCUUAGUUCAAGGGAGAUCAUGCAUGAUCUUGAGCUUCACACAUAGUUAUUUCUCAUAAUUAUUGAACUUGCAUACAAACCGAAAGAAGGUUUUCUCUUAUACAAGGUAUUGAGGGUUUAGUCCAAGUGCUACCUCAUUACCAAAUAAUUUAAUUAGGGAUGACAAUACAAUAAGUUUUUUUUGGUACUCAUCUCAUCCUACCGUGAAUAGAAUAGGUUUGAAAUGAAGAUAAAUAGGUUAGGGAUAGAGAUUUUUUUACAUAUAUAAACCAAUGGUGGGUUUAGGUAUUACCUUGUACCCUCCUAUCCUAUCGCAUCCCAAGUAUAUGCAUAAUUAAAUUUAAAAAUAGUUUUUUUUUAUUUACUCAUUUUUAACACAAAAUAAUAAUUAAAACAAAAUCUACUUCUUGAAUAAAAUAAAUUAUAAAAAUUUAUAAUAUUUAUUUAUAUAUAAAAUAUAUUUACUUUUAAUAUUUUAAAAUUUUAAAAAUAAAUAGGGUUGGGUGGGGCCUGUGCAACACAAGUAAUAAGAAAUUUUCAUACCAGUAGCCUUGCCCUACCUUACACCGCCCUGUUUAAUUUUUUUAUUGGGUGGGGGUAGCAAUAGAUUUAUAUAAAUGUGACAAGAUUGGAAUAUGGGUGAUCCAUUCCAAACCCGUCCCAUUGUCAUCCCUAAGUUUAGCUUUUAGAUUAUGUUGGUAGCUUAACAAUCACCAACAUUCAAAAGUUCAUGUUGUAGUAUCCUUGUUCUAUUCCAUUACCUAAGGCUGCCUCUUCUUUUCCUUUCUGUAAACACAGUAGUUCUAUUUCAUAUGGCUUUUUUUGCCACAAUAUCCAGACAUCUAUCCACUAUUGAUACCAAACUCUCAUCAUUCUUAUAUGCAGUGGAUGUAGUAUUCUUUUUCUCUCUCCUUUUUCUUUCUUAGGUUUGCCUCCUUUAUUUCCUUUCCCAAACAACACAGUUCUUUUCUAAAUUGCUCUCUUUGCCACAAAGAGCAUUUCAUUUUCUCCUUGGAUUGAAAUCUUUCGUUGGACUUAUUAUAAUAAUUCUAUUUUCUAUCUAUUUAUAAUAUGAGUGUUCCUUCUUUUCUCUACAUCAAACAAAUACUAUUCACAAUAGAUGUCUUGCAACAAACACAAUAGCAAAGAGACUUGCAUCUCAUCAUCAAUUGCCAUUUUCGUAGUAACUAAUUGAUUUACCGUGCUUUGAAAAGCACUUCACAUGGUUGGCCACUGAAGUGUUUCCUUCGACUUCAAUCUAGUUAACACACCUCAAUGUGGUAACUGAAAUGUAACUCACUUUUUUCAGUUGCCUAACUAGACACCUCAGCCAAGUUAUUAGUUUAUUGAAUUAGAAUCUUUUUUAGAGUAAUUUUAAAAAGCGUUUCUAAUAUUUGAAAAUUUUUAUCUUUUAAAGUAUUAUAAAGGUUAAAAAUAUUUUCUAAAAUCACUAUCAAACACACUCUUAAAUUACUAAUCUUGUGAGUCUAACCUUUCACCCCGUCGCCUAGACAAAUACUUUAGUAGAGUUGCUAAAACUUAAUUGGACUGGCCUCUCUAGUUGGAGAAAAUAGCCCUUAAAUAGAUUAGAAACAAGCAAAAAGAAAAAAAAAAAAAGCUUUCUAUAGCAAGAAUUGAACAAGGACUUACAACAAUGUAGAAUAGAUCUCAACUAGAAAUUAGAAAUUAGAAUGUAAACCAACAACACAUUACGAAACACAUGAGUAUCCAUCCAAGAUAAACACCAAUGACCUUACUUGGAAAAAACCCUUCGAGGAGGUGAAAGAAGCCAUUCAAAAAUGAAUGUCCAUCAUAUAAAAUAGGAAUUAAUCGGUGUUCGUGCAAGUCUUUUUCCAAAGAUAUGGGAAGGGAACUAGAAAUGGUGUUAUUCUCAAGCUUACAAAACCAGCACACAGAGUGGAAAGGAUCUCACCAAAUACAAUUGCCACAUUUGAUAUGGAGAAAACCCUUGGUUCAACCAAAACCAAGAAUGGUGAAGAAACAUCCCUAUUCUAGCAUAAAAGCCCAACAUAAUUAGGCUCAAGUUGCUACUGGAAGAAUCAGCCCACACAAUGGGUUUCUUGCGAUAACACAGAGACAGAGGUUCACCAAAUGGUCCCCAAGGACUAGACCCCCCAUCAGAAAAAGGGAAUGUAAUGAGUGGGAAUUGCCAUCAGUAAGGCAUAUGCAGGAGACUCAACUCUCUAGCCAUUGCUCUAUGGAAAUUUAAAAUGCCUUUUGUUAGCUAAUAAUAAAUUUAUGAUUUAUGACAAUAUUCUUUGGAAGAUCUAUUACUGGGAUACAAGUUUCAGAUUUGAGUGAUUUAGCCCUAUGGCAAGAACAUGAUUCUUAAAUGUAAGACUAAAGAGUAUAUUUGUAGUGAUUCUAUGAAGGCCAAAAGUGCUCUCUAAUACUUGAAGCAUUUUUCUUAUAAAAAUUAGGGUCCUAUUCAGUUUAACUUGUUUUUUUCUUACAUUUUUAAAGAAAAUAAAGAACAAUUUGGAAAAUAUGUUUGGAUAUUUCUAUUUCUAUUUUCCCAAGAAUUGAGUUUAGAAAAUGAAAAAGGGGAAAAAUGCCAAAUUGGUAUUUUCAAAAUUUAAUUAAAAAAGUGAAAAGAGUUUCUAAAACGUAAAAACACAAAAGUAAAUAAUGUAAUUAAAAAACAUGAAAGAAAUGCAAAUAUGAAUUUGAUAAUAAUAUUACAAUAUUAUAAUCAUCUUCCUCUUUUUUACCAAUAAUAUUACAUUUUUAUAUUAAAAAAUAAAUUAUUUUAAUAAGCCAAAAUAUGCCCAAUUGAUCAAUUGCUUCGUUAAUUAUAAAUAUAUUAAAAAAAAUAUUAGAGUAUCAAAAUAGAAAUUUUUAUUAAAGUAUCAAAAUAACUAAUAAAACAAAUAAAAUAAAAAAUAAUGAAAAAUAUAAUUUCAUUAUUUUUCAUGUACAAAAAUUAGUACCAAACAAAACAACACAACAAUUGGUCAAUUCCUUUAUUAACUAUUAAUAUACUAUAUUUUUUAUUAUAUAUUAAAAUAACUAUUAGAGAUGAUAAUUGAAAGAGAAUAAUCAAUAAAUACAAUUUAAUUAUUUUCAUUGUGUUUGAUUAAAAAAUAUAUAUAUAUCCAGUACUAAACAAGGUUUCCAAAUUUUUAUUUUUUGAAAACCAGUUUUUAAUUUUUUUAAACAAAAAUAUUACAAAGAAAUGAAAACAUAGAAAAUAAAAAAUAUUUAAAGAAAAAAUUAAAAGUAGAAAAUAAAAACUAAAAAUAUUUUCCAAACCAAAGGCAACUUAAAUUACUGUGUAAUAUUUUAGAAAAUAUUUUUUAAAAAUCUCUAGAAUAAAAUAGAUAAAACAUGGAUCUAAACAUCCUUGCAUCCAUGAAAAUAUUUUUGGAGAUAAAAUCGGAAAUGAGAAUAGAAAAUUAUUUCAUUUUUAUUCAUUUUGAUGUUUAGAUCAUUUAUUAAAUAUAAAAAUAGGAAUAAAAAGUUAUUAUUAUUGGUUUUUUUUAAUAUUUGUUUAAACAGAAGAUAUGUAAAGAUACAUCAACCGAACCCAAUAGGCUUCGGAGAAUUAAAAACAAUGGCUAGUUUGAACUAGCAGACUAAUAAUAGAGACAAUUAUCCAACUUCUCAUACCAAUGUUAUCAUAAGAUAAAAGUUGAAUCAUAAAUACUUGUACAAGACAUUCAUUACUUGAAUUACAAUCUCUGUUUCCUUCUUCAAAAACCCAUAAUAUCAUAAUUAAAGCAAAAAGUGUUAUACACCAAGUAUACAUACCAUGUACAAAGGGUAAAAAAACCCAAAGGGAAAGAACCGGUGGUAAGAGGAUGCGGGGGAGGUGACAUCUCUUACUAUAUAAUCCAUUAGAAUGCCUUGGCGGCCUUGAAAGUAAGGAGCACUGCCAUGGACUUGUAUCCUUGGAGGAGUAAGAGCUGCCUGGCAAUCCUAAAUUUUGAAAUUAGAAGACUCUGCUACUCAGGAGAAGUGGAAGACUCUGCAGUUUAGUCUCCAACCUUGCAUCACUUUCUAUCAGAGAUAGUGAAUCUAAAGUUGCCAUUAUCGGAGUCGGGCCUCCACAGGCUUACUUCUAUUUCAUCAUUGCACAUUUCUGUUGUAUUUCUAGAUAUUCCUUGGCUUCUCUGGCUCUCAAAAACCUCCCUUCCUUUGAAAGUAAAUCCAUCUAUGGGUGCCCUAAAAUCUGGUUCAUAACCUGAAACAUCUUCAGGACUUGAGACAAGUGAAAAGUAUUUUUGUUUUUAAAAACUCAAUCAGGUAUGGCUAUUUGCAACUCAAUCCCAGCUCCAGAUUGUCCUCUCCAUGGACCUAUUUGUUGAAACUCUGAUUAAUUUCAACUUUAAAUUCAGAUGGGAGCUGCUUUAUUCCUUUGACAAAUAGAUGGCUUUAGCAGCAGUUGCAAAGUGACGUUUUCUCUAAACUUGCCGGCCUCAGUUCUGUGCACAAGCAUGGUAAGUUAUACUGUUCUAUUGAAUUUGCAUGCGGUUUUAUGGUUUUAAUAAAUAAAAUAAAUAUAAAGCUAAAGCUAUGUGUAAGCUCUCUUGCCAUGCUUAAUUGGACUGCUAUUAUUUAUUUAAGAUCAAGAGAUAGAAAGUUUUUCUGCAUUUCCAGUUAUAAAUCUAUAAUUGAGUUUGUUUUAUAAACAUAUUCAAGUUUAUUCUCUGUUUUUUCUUUCCUUCCUUUUAUUUUUAUGAUUUUCUAUUAUCAUUUGUGUUAUUAAAGAUGAAAGCUCAUUUUUUACUCGCUUUUAUAGAAGUACUUCUACAAUGAAGAAAUUCAGGUUAGGAUUUUGCUAACACAAUAAAAUCUUUGGCCUGCUUGAUAUCUAGUAUCAAGUUUUGCCAAAGGCCAUAGCUUCUAUUGGUUAUCUAUGAGUCAACCAUUGCUGGAUGGAUAUGAAUAGGAGCUUGUCCUGCCUAUGGGCAGGGAUAUGCGCGCAAUCACCUGUUUUCUGCUUUUUAAGUAUCAAAGUACAAACUAACUGCUUCUACAAUAUCAUUUCCAUUUUAAUCAGCAUUGAAAGUAUGUUGCUUUUUUAAGUAUCAUUUCCAUUUUAAUCAGCAUUGAGUGUGUCCUGUCAUGGUUGGUUGGACCACUUAACAAAAAAACAGCAAGGCCUUUUCUUCAAAAUCUGCAUUCGACAGGUUCUCUGUCAAUUCUUUGCUUUUGCUUUUACGAUAACUUGUUGCAAACUUAUUUAAAAAAAUUGUGCCCUUCUCUUGUUGGCUAGGUAUUUAACUUAUGCAUAAUCUUGUGAUGCAGCUAUGGCUAGAGAUACUGUACUUGUUAUGCUCUUUUCUAGUUGGGCAUGUAAAGGGCUCUAGGGAUGUCCACUUGUCUUCAAGUGCAGUUGAUUUCUUUGGUACAAAAAUGUUGACUACAACUACAGAAGAUAAACUUGAACUAGUUGUUAAGCAAACUCUUUUAUGUUAUAUUAAAAAAUUUCUAAAGAAAAUUUCUAUUGAGAAAACUAGGGAUGUUUUAACCCUCAACCAUAACUUAAUUUGUGUUUAAUGUGUGAUAUUGUCGUCUUUACUUGGAACAUGUCUAUGAUGGUGCUUGUCUAUGUUUCAUCAUUGCUUAUUUAUUUUAUGACGUCUUUGUUGAGCAUUUUAGCUCCAGGUGGAAGAGCUGUGUUGUCUGAGAUGCAUAGGGAACUGUCUCAUUAGUGACUAUGCCAAUUGGAUGAGGAUUCUGGAGAGAACUCUCUAUCUGAUCCAAGUAUCUACUGACUUCUGCCAUGAACUCUUGAAUAGAAGCAAGGAUGGAAGCUAGUUUGUCUGACAUCUCAACUGAACUGUCUAAACUUUGAUAUGAAUCUGAUAUGAUCAAUCGACCUCCAACUCUCCUCUAAGAAUAUGACUUCAAACUCAACCAACUCCUAAACUAACUCCCUACAAUGCAAACAAAAUGGAUGAAGGACAUAAGAUAAGACCCUAAAAGACAACAGUGCAACAUGCAAACACAUGGUCCUGAGGUGGCAAUCUGAAAUCUGGAUGUAUGAUGAGAGCUCUAGAGUCAUAAAGGUGUCCACUGUGAGAUGGCUACAAAUGUGACUAGAGAAUUCCUAUCAAUAAUCCAAGAUGAAAGAGGUGUGAGAAACACACUAUCACGAGAUUGAUACUCCAUCUAUAACCACAUAUCCUUGACUCAACCUUCAACCCAAGCUCCAUAAGAGAAAAGAUAAGGUGAUCAAGGCGACUCUCUCAAAAAAGGUGUGAAUGUGAAAACAUGCCUUUCACCUUUCCAUAAUGAAAAUGUGAGCAUCAAGUUGAAAAUUGAAUCAAGGAUCAAACAAAGAAUGGGAUACUAGGCUCAUGAUAAGUGUACGGUAUAAAGAGAUGAUCAUAAUCAAUGAACAUAUCCCAAAGCAUCAAGCAAGUGACAACAAAGUGAAAGGAUGUGCCAAGCCAAGAGAGGGAGACGAAAGCUCUAGGGAGAAAGCAUGCUAAACUCAUUGAGUGAAAAGAAUAAUCUAAAGCGACAUGACAAAAGGUGAUCCAACUGAUACUGAAACUUGUACCGAUCUCUGAGCACUCUCAAUUGGAAACCAAAGGUAAAAGCACUGGGUCCAGGUGAUGAGUAAGACGGCCCUGAAGGCUCUCAGAUGCACCCACGUGUGAGGAAGGAAUCCUAAUCAAAGGAUCUAAGCUCAUCCUAUAAGUUUAAGGUGGCUUUAAAAAAAGAAAGGUAGGCUUUCAAGGGUCCUUAGAAGAAGCAAUCAUACCCUUCGGUGGUACGCAACCUUCUGUACGCCUCCGAAGAGACGGGGCGCUUCCAUGCAAGGUGGACAUCACCUCCACACAUGCACUACCUCGCAUCCCAGGGGGCUCCUAUGGUGAAGGCCCUUCUAAUGGUUAGCAUAUCUCAUAACUUUGGUCACUCAUCAACAAUCUAAGGUGCAUAGUGAGUUUGUGGGUGCAUCUGAAAAUCCUAUGAAACUAAAAAGAAAACACAUUGGUCACACAAAUAUCCUAAAAUCCAGCUUUGGGCUAUACAAGUCUUCAAAGAUCGGACUCCAAUCAACAUCAAUGUGUCGGCCACCUCCAAAAUGCUCCCAAACAUAGAUAUAGCCCAUCACUAGACCUUACUUCAAAUCACUAGCUUGGUCGAAGAACAAUCAAGGUGAUAAGUCUCAUAUCAAAUAAGAGAUCAAGGGAAACAAAGUCGAUGGAGUCUAAGGAAUUGGAAAUAAGGGGAUAGGUGUGAGACCCACACGAACAAGCAAUACAUGCAUCAUGUAGAAGGAGAGUAGUCAUACAACAAACAGUUAUGCAAAGCAGGUAUAUAUCAUACAAAUCUACACACAAGCUAAGUAAGAAGUAGGAUAAUCGAGAUGAAUAUCUAGCAAGAAUAAAUGGCAUGCUCAGAGUUAAUCGAGAUAAUAUGUAACAAAGAGAAUAAACAUGUCAAGAUGAGCAACAUUGAGAAUAUACAAGUCAGGGUGAGCAGAGCAAUCACACAGUAAGGAGAGUUGAUAUGUGAACACAAACAAGAGGAUCAAAUGAUAUAAUCAAGAUGUCAAUGUCUCAAACAAAUACACAAAUCAAGCAUGCAUCAGAGAUAAACAUAUCAAAAGUUCUCAAUGUGCAAUCAACAGUCAAACAUACAAAAGCACAGAGAGAGAAGGGUACCCACUAAUCGACCAAUCAAACGUCACAUUUGCCUUAAUCUAAGUUCAAGUUUGACUGUCUAGUGAUCCCCAAUGGAGUCGCCAUUUUACGGACCCCGCAUUUCUCCACAAUGCGUUCCCACUCGAAUGGUGAUACUCACUUUUUAUUUUGAAAAAAUGACUUUUGAAAAGUUUUUGGAGUCACCACUUAUUUUUCUUUUAUUUUUAAAGGGAAAAACAAAAUAAGAAAAAAAAAACUCUAAAUGUGACUCCUGAAGGAAAAACAGGUCUGUGAAAAACCAAGUCUAGGUUCGGGAGUGAGGUUACCUAUUGAGAAAGUACGGUGAUAAGUUGUAACACCCCUCUAAGCACCUAAAAAUGGGUCUCUACUAAUCAACUAAGACAAGUGUAGCAAUUGAUUGAUUAAUUGUGGAUACCAAAUAGUGAUCAAGGGUGUGCUAGCAAGUCAUGCAUGAUAAUGGAUAAAUAAAUAAGUAUGAUUAGGUAUGAGAUGCACCUUAGCAGCGAAUAAGGAUGUGCUAUCAUGAAACGGGGUUAGCUCAAAUAUAAAGUAAUGCGUGUCACAUAUUAGAGCCAAAAAUCAAUCAAUAAACAAUCAAACAUAGCAAACAAAAUCAACAAUCGGAUGACGAAUGCCUCAUAUGUUAGGCCACACCAAUGCCCAAAUUAUUUUUGGCAUGAAUUACUUCUACAAAUUCCAUGAUUUUUGGAAUUACAGACUUGUAUUCAUGGUUAUUUAAAAACAUUUAAAAAAUCAAGAAAAAAAAAGUGAAAAAUGCUUGCCCAAGAGAAAAAUGGCAGCAAAUUUAUUAAAAAUUGGAUUUUUGGUGACCCAAAACUCUAUGGAUGAAUAAUAAUAAUAAAAAAAUUGAAUAGUUAAAAUUAUUUGAAAAUUGGAAUUAAAAAAAAAAACAAUUUUUGAAAGCGAAGGUGAAUAAUUAAGAGAACAUGGCCUAUGGGAUUGCAUGUUAAAGGUGGCUAUGCAUGGGUGUAGAAGUGGCCCAGGGUAGGUAGUGAAUUGGCCAUUGAAUCACUUUAUUGGACAUGCAACUUGCUGUAGUGGUUUGCAUCCAUGGAUAUUGACUGUACCGAAACUUGGAAUGUCGACCAUGUCGUUCAUCGGAAAUGUACCAAGUGACAUGCUUCAUGGUGGCGGGAUUCAUAUGCUGCAUCACUUUCUUCUUAUAUAAAUACUCAGCACCUUUGGCAAUGCCAUUGCACUAGAACCACUAUAAAGACCUCUAACAAUGAAUGAUGAUCUAGCCAUACACCAUUAACGAGCUUCUCACCAAACUGCUACUUGCUGAAACUGUUCUUUAUCGUGUUAUACCCAUAUCUUGCACCGUCCAUUCCAUGCAUGACUUGAUUAAGUCCUUCAAGUAAUCAGGCCAUAGCUUAGCAAAAAUAGUCCCCUGACAUCCCUUUAAGACUAGGUAUGCUGAAGUGAUUUGAGUGUCAUGAAGGAGAGGCGAAGGACGGGUAUUGCACAAUUGGAAUCGCAGCACAUGCAACCGUUCUUCUCAACCAUGGUAACAUGAAUUCUACACGUUCAUCCUUAGUUUAAGGGACAAUGGGGGUCAGUCGACAUGGCAACAAUGACAUUCAGAAAUGCAUCCCUGCAAAUCUUUCCAAUAAUCUUUCCCAGAACCACCCAACAAGCCACCUGAAGGAAAUGGAUGUCCUGGAUUAAUGUCAGAAUCCUUAUAUCUGAUAUGGACGUUACUAAUGGGAAAUCUUAAGGAUUCCAAUUAUGGUUGCAAACAGAGAACCCAACCAUGAAUUUGCAUUAGCUGGACUUCCUUCUUGCUAUUGAUGAAGUUCCAACUUCAGUUGCAGUGAAUGGUAUCCCCAACUCCGGACUACUGUCAUUUCUUGAUGGGAUUCAAGGCAUUGAACUUACAAAAUCAUCGUAGCCUUAGUCUUCAUGCACAGAAGACCUCUUUCUCUCAAACUCCUGGACACGACUUUUUCAAUAGUGGUAAGCAUCGGGAUAUCUAGCCCAUUUUCUGACCUUGUAUGAGACGCUCCCAGAAAACCCUUCAGAAUUGCUUAGGGAGUUGCAUCUUUAGGACCACCAGAAGCAUUGGGAACCUCAUACUUUUUGGUUGUCAAAGCACAAGGGUGGCAUUUGGUUUUGUCGAAUGGCACAGCUAGCUCAUCACCUAAUUUCUGACCAAUAUGAAAUGAUUGAGACACUUCAGCGAGUUCCUUGACAUCACUUCUUGUAUGAUUCAACCACUCAUUUCCUUUUUGGACAUUUGGAAUCCAUGAAUUCAAAGAACUCGUACGCAUUUUCACAGGGACCUUGAUACAUGAUUUUCCCAUAAGAGAGGAGAAUCUUAUCAUUAAAUAGGUUGCAGGUUUCUGGUACUGGUUGGAGGAGGCAGAUCAGAGCAGUUCCAUUAAGAAUGAGGAUGAACUGCCUGAGUGAACUUACAAUCUGAAAAGCUAUUGAACUAUCCAAACGAAUUACCAUUUCAUCCAUGGAAAAAAGCUCUGUUUGUUUCUCCAUCGACUAAUGCACCAAUUAUCACCCCAUCUCCUCAUUGACCAAGAGCUUUCCUGACUCCAUCUUAUCCUCAUCAAUAAUCUCCAGUAAUAGCUCUUUCCAUUCUGUCUCUAGGCAUUUCAAUGUGGUCCAUAUGGCUUACAGGUGUCUAGAAAUUUCCAACAGUAUGUAAAGUGGUUCACAUGGGGCUCUCUCAAAAGCACCCCAACCAAAAUGGCCAGCCCAAAUGGGAUACUCAACACCCCGAACUUACCAGAAUCAGGGGAAUAAGAGGAAAAAAAAAAAGAAAAGAAAAAAUAGGAGCAGAGCGAGGACUGAAGAAAUAACAAAAGGAAAUUAAGCAGAUAACGAAUAUACAAAGCCUCAUUUCAGGUGACAUCCAUGGACUAAUAACAGGUGGAAUUAACAAAGAAUGCAAGCAUGAUUCUUAUAUAUCAAGUCCAGGGAUGAAGCCAUGCAUCAACUACUUACGGGAGGAGUCAAGGAAACCAAGAUAAAAUCAAACAAAGCAUGUAUGCAAACAAACAGAUUCGGUCAAACAGACUAAUAAUCCUUCAAGUCCAAGCCAAUCAAUAAAAUAACACCCAAGAAUCUACAAAAAAAUGUAGAAGAAUAAUAUGAAAAUGAGGAAAUGUGAGGUUCAGAGAGACCUUACCUGGAAGGCUUCCUUUCGAGCAAGAUUUUUGUCCAACUUCCCAACUAUUCUUCCUCUGCUCCAACUCCCUUUAUCUCACAACUUUUCUUGCUUUCUAUGUUCCUCUAGACACUCUUUAUAGCUCCCCUUCCUUCAGCUCCCUGUUUUUCCUAUUGUUCUCCUUCUCCUCCAUUCCUCUUCUCAACGGUCUCUGAAUCCUCUCCUUACAUGUCACCUGCUGGUUUCCCACAGAAAAAAGUCCUUGCCAGCCCACUAUCUCAUACACCUGCUGCCAAAACCUCCUAAAGGGUGGUAAAAAUAUCGCCCCUAAAAUAUCCCAAAACUUCUAGAUCAAAAUGAGGGUCUACACCUUAUAUUCCACAAGCCAAACCUUUUUAGACAUACCUAUGACUUCCUAAUUGGACGAACAACAACCCUUAUUCUUAAAUGGAGAGCAAGUUACUAUCUAAACAAACUUUUAUGACCAAACAUUAAUUGGAACAAAAUUGCCAACAAUUAUAUAAGACUCAAUGUCCUAACAAUCUCCCAUUUUGGUAAUUUUAUGACAAAACAUCAUCAAUAAACCCACCUAAACUCUCAUAAUGAAGUUUACAUAAUACACAUUAAUGCUUAAUUAAAAAUAAACUAAGGGAAUGCUUUGCAAUGCUUUGUAGUACUUAUCUUCCAACCCUGUAACCUACACACAUACAAAAAAACUAUACCAAAAGUAAAGCAAUGUGAGAGAUAAAAUAAUAUUAUGAAAGCAAAAUAGGAUAGUUAGAGGUUUUUCUUGACACCUUGUGAAAGCAUGCAAAAUGAACAGAUUCCUAUAGCGACAUCAAGGUAUAAUGCAGCUUAAGAGGAAUAUAGAUGCAUGCAAAUCAACCAAAUAGAAUAUAAGCUAAAUAAGACCUAAUUAUUUAAUAGUAAAGUGAAGGGGGCGUUCAUCAACCAUAUUACUAGCAAUGAAAGCCUUAGGAAGAAGCUUCUAUGACAGAGAUUAGUUCUAGAAAGAUAGAACAUUCAAACAGUAAUAUUUUCUAGAUGAUAGGAAAAAAAAAGCUUUUAAUUCCAAAUGGUUUCUAGAUGUGAUGAACCGGGAAAGUCAAAAGAUCAAGUUAUUGGUCUGGUCAUCGUUGCUGCUGGAAUAGGUGGAGGAACGGGUACUAGUGGGGCUCCUGUGAUUGUAGCUGCAGAAUCAUUGGGGAAGGGUCCUACAUCUUGGCUGAGAAAUAGAGUUAUUGAAUCAAUAUAUAGCCUUGAGGCUCUCUUAUUGUUUCCAUUGGAAUUGUUGAUAACUAAGGAAUGGAAGAGUAUAAAGCUUGAACUUCAGCUUCUGACAUCAGGUUCACUUGACGGCUAAGCACCCAUUGCUUGAAUGGGUUGGUUAGGAAAAUCACUACCAGAAUCACCAUCACUUAGGUGGUGUUUGUUUUUUUGGCUUUUUGCUGAAAGUAAUUUAUUUUUGAAAUUUAAGUUGUUUGUUUUUCUACUUUUUUAUGACUUAUUAUAAACUUUUUACUAAAUAGAAAAAAUCAAAAUAUGUAGUUUUUUCUUAAUAGAAAAAAUAACACAUUGAUUUUUCUUUACUUUUUAAUACUUAAUAGAAAUAAAAUAUUAUAAAAACAAAUAACCUAAUAUUUAACAUUAUUAAGCAUUAAGGUUCUAUUUAGAAUUAAGUAAAAAAACAAACACCACCUAGGGUGGUGUUUGUUUUUUUACUUAGUGUUUACUAUUAUACAAACUCUGUAGCAUGGAGGUCUGAUGGAUCUAAUAAUGGUGUUUGGAGUGCUAAUAAGCCUUCUCGGUACACUGGUGCUCAUGCAAUUGCUGGAAGCAAGGCACAUGCCAGAUUUUCAAUGAAACUGAACCUCUAUUUCACUGCACUGCUUUAAGCUUAGAUCCUGGCAGUCUGUGAUAUCUCUGUUGGGGAAAGAAGUAUGAGCAAGGUGAAAUCACAACUUGGUAGAGGAGAAUAAAUGUCGAUGCAUGAAAUGGCAAACAAGAUGAUGUUUGAGCUAUAUUUUGUCAGCCUGAAGAAGCAGAGAUGCUUGGUAAAACAAUAUUGGAGACUUGCACAGAUCCCUACUCUGAUGUUAACAAACCAAAAUGAAGUUUCUGGUGAAGAACUGAAACCAUUUCCAGAGAGGCUUUAUGUGGUUCUUUCUAGAGAAACCAUUGAAGAAAUCAUUGGAACGCCAAGGGAGCUACCAUCCUUCUGAAUUUCCAUCUGGAGAGCAUCUUCUUUUGCUUAAUCCACCAAAGAAGCAAUUCAGUAGCCAAUUGCCAUCUCUCAACGGCUCACUGGAACUGCAUUGCAAAAAUUCAGCUCAGCUGAGAAGUUUGCCAUUGGAAAAUUGCAAUUUGGUUGGUCCUGUGCCAAAAUCUUCGGGGAUUGGUAAUAUUAAGACUGUCAAUGAAUAACAAGAACACAACAGCCCAGGAUCUGCUCUCUUAGCCAGCUCGUACCAAAUCAUUCUCAUUGGAAACAGCUCAGAUGGGUUUGAGCUGAAUCAUUUGGGAAAUGAAUAACUUAUGAUUGAUUGCAUAAAUGGUGGGGCCUACAAUCCAGAAGAAAACCCUCUCAGAAGACACAAGCUCCUUCCCAUUCUUUCCCAUUCUGUUUGUUUCCAGCCUUGAUACCUUCAAUACCUGGCAGUCUCCACACAACUCAUCCAAAGUCCCUCCAUCAAAUUUGAACCCAAAGCCAAACAACUCCGUGUCUAAAACCUUAGGACUAGCUCACCACCUUGUUUUUCUUCAUACCCACCACCUUCAGCUUCACUCAUCACCAAGCCAACUUCUCUCACAUCCUCCACUACUCAUUUCCUACCCAACCUAGCUCUAUCUUUCUCACUUAACAAGUGCUGGUGAUGACAGUGAAGACUGGUCACACCUCUCUUUACUCGGCUCCAGCGAUGAGACUAAUGCCUUUGAUGAUUCCGAUACUUUUGUUUCUCCAGUUCAGGGGUUUGCCUGUAUUGGAUGAAUGGCUCCAAGAGUACAUAAAGGAAAGAUUGGUGAUGUUAGUAGCCCCAAGGAUGGUGAUAAAUCUGCUGAGGAAUCCCUAUUGGUUUUACUUCAUGCACUUGAUAAGCUGCCUGUGAAUCUUCAAGCCCUUCAAAUGUGUAACAUUGGCAAAUCUGUUAAUCAUUUACGUACUCAUAAAAACUUAGAAAUUCAGAAGAAAGCAAGGAAUUUAGCUGAUACAUGGAAGAAACGAGUUGAGGCAUAAAUGAAUAUUAAUGAUGCAAAGUCUGGUUUAAGUCAGGCUGUUCCAUGGUUCUCGAGGCCACGUCUUUCUGAAGUUUCUCAUGAUGGGAACAGACACUCUGGCGGCUUCUCUGAGAUUGCCAUGGAGAGCUCAGUCAUGCAGCUUUCUUCAUCUAAAACAGCUCCAGUUAAUAAGAUUAUACUGGGGGUUGUCUUCAAUUAACUAGAUUCAAUACUAACCAUUGUUGCCUGACUUAGUGUUAGAGAUCCAUUGGACAAAGAGGAUCUUGCAGAGGCUGCAAAAGCUCAAUUUUCUCAUGACUACAGUGAUCAUCUUGCACUUGUUCGGUCUGGAAAGAUGCUGAAAAGGACCAAAUUGGAUAUGAAUAUUGAUGGAAAAAUUUUCUUUCGGCACAUUCAAUGAAAGCUAUUGAUUCUCUUCAGAAGGAGUUCUUCUCUUUGCUAAAGGAUACUGAACUGGUUGAUGACAACAUGAACACCUACAACGCAUGGAACUAUGAUGAGCAUCUCAUUUGAGCAGCUAUUUGUUGUUGUUGUAGUAUGUGGCUCAUAUUUGAGCAAAAAGACAUAUGGAGAGAAAGGGGCAAAAUGUUGGAGCGAAGUAGAGCGAUGGCAUUUUUCAUUCAGGGUUUGUACUUCUUUGUUGUGGGGCGAAUGAUAGGUUGGGGGGUGUUGCCCCCCGCAGUACAAUUCAGGGGUAUUUUUGGAAUUUCAUUCCUAAGGGUUAGUAUAAGUACCCUUUUUAUGUAACCUUAAUUUUAACAUAGUGAAAAUCCUCUUUUCCCUGUUCCCGAUGACAUAGGCUACCCGAACCACAUUAAAUCUUUGUGUUCUUCUUUCUUGCUUUUUCUAUUAUUUUUGCCAUAAAUCGUUGCACGGAUUUCAACAAUUGUGGCCCGUAUCCUGAAAUUUGCUCUGUUGUGCAAAAUGAAAUGUCAUUCUCAUUGAAAACAAUGGAGGAUGGUCAAGUGAUCUUGCAUUCGAAUUCAAUUAAUGCUCGAGAGUGUAAACUCUGUUUUCCUCUAGGAUUCAAUAGCUAUGUCUGAUUUAGUGUUUCUUCUAUUUGGGGGCGACAUCUUGAGAGAGAUUAUGAUGGGUACCUUGAAGAAUCUUGGACAUUCAGUGCUUGAAAAUAUACCAAUGACUAAGCAUUCCAGCAAGAUUUUGGAACCAAAAUGCAAUUGGAAAGGAGCAGUUUGUAAUGAGAUUGCUGGUUUGACUGCUAUUUCAGUUGAUCUUUCAUUUGUUCCUUUGGUUGAAUCUAUUGGGAUGGAAGGAAGGGACAUGGUGUUUUCUUCCAAAAGUAGCUUAUCAUCAUAAUCAAAUGCUGGAAACAUCCUCAUGGACAAUAAGGUGGGUUCACUAAUGGGGUCUCCUUUGAGAGAUAUCCAGCACAAUGAAACUGUAUAAAAUGAAGAUCUUUUGUCUCAUUCAGAAAGGUUCAAACGGUUGGAACAUAGAUGCUAUUGUGGUAAAUGAUGUCAUUGAGCAAGGAAUUGAAACCACUAGCAUCCAUAGAGUAGACACAAUUGCACCCCGACCCCCGCGUGUGCAUGGUCAUGCAUGGCCACCUUGGUGCACACUCUCCUCCACCAUAUGCUUCUUUUUGGUGACUUACACUUUUUUUGUAAUCAGAUUUUCAAACCUAUUUUCAAUUGAAUAAUCCUUGCUGUCAAAAUUUGAUUUUCGAAACUUCAGCUUUCAAAUAAUUUUAAUUCUACUCUAGUUUUCAAAUAAUUGUAAUUCCCCCAAUUUUUCUCCCUUCCUUAGAGUUUUAGGUCACCAAAAAUCCAUUUUCAAUAAACAUUUGAUGUCAUUUUUUCUUUGGCAAGCAUCUUUCACCUUUUUUCCUUGAUUUUAAAUAAAUUUAUCUAUUUUCACGUUUUUAAUGAGCAUGAAUGCAAUUUCCAUAAUUCCAAAAUAAUGAAAUUUAUGGGCUUAAUUCAUGCAAAAUCAAUUAGGCAAUGGUGGGGCCCAACAUCUGUGAUUGAUAUUGAUUAACUUAUCCACUACUCUUACAUGCAUGUGAUUAUUUUAUACAUAAGCUAACCUUUUUUUUCAUGAUAGCACAUUAUUAUUUGUUGCUAAGGUAUGCUCCCACUCCCACUUUGCUUAUUUAAUCUCUAUGAAUGACUUGCUUCCAUUAUGUGAUUAUUCCUUGGUAUCCAUUGAUCUCCUUAUCAAUUGCCACACUUACCUCACCUUAUUUAGUAUUGACCAAUUUUUAGGGGGCUUAGAGGGGUGCUACAACUUGUCGUUGUACCUUUCCAAUAGGUAACCUGACCCUCACACCUAGACUUGGUUUUCACAGACCGUCUUUUCAUAUUAGAUGUCAUAUUUAGGGUUUUUCUUUCUUAUUUUGUUUUCCCUUUAAAAAAUAAAAUAAAAUAAAAAUAAGUUGCAACUCCAAUUUUUUUUUUUCUAAAAUUCAAUUUUCUUCACAAAUAAAAAAAUGAGUCUCACCAUCGAGUGGGAACUCAUUGUGAAAAAUGUUGGUCCACAAGUAUAUUUCUCUAAAACACAAACUCGAGGUAUUACAAAUCAUGCUAAUAUAUCAAGUAAAUAAACAAUCAUAUGCCCAAAAUAAAAUAAGGCUAAAGGUAACAAAAAGAUAUAAACACUAAGCUCAACAUCUUUGAACCUAUACCUAUGAUGAGCAAUCAAUUAGGCAUAUGCCCAAGGAUUUCCUAUGGUACUUAAACCUAAGAAAUCCAGGGGUUUGGUAAGAAUAUCUGCUUAUUGAUGUUCAGUGGGGACAAACUCUAGAGAAAUUACUUUUUCUUCUACAAGAUCCCUAAUGAAAUGAUGAAGAAUUUCAAUGGGUUUACUAUAGAAAUGAAUAAUAGGAUUCUUUGAGAUAUUUGUAGUACUAGAGUUGUCAUAGUGUAUGUUUAUAGUCCCUUGUUCAAUUCCAUAGUCUUUAAGCAUUUGCUUCAUCCACAAGAGUUGUGUACAAUAGCUCUCAGUAGCGAUAUACUCAGCUUCAAAAAUAGAUAAGGAUAUAGAUUUUUGUUUCUUAUUAAGCCAAGCCACAAGACAAUCACCAAUAAAAAAACAAGCAUCAGAUGUGUUUUUUCUAUCCUCAACAUUUUCAGCCUAAUCAACAUUGGAAUAUCCAACAAUCACAAGAGAAAUUCAUACGGAUACCACAAACCAUAAUCAAGAGUAUCAUUUAUAUAAUGAAUAAUUCUUUUAACAAACAUUAAGUGUGACUCUUUGGGGUUUGCUUGAUACCUAACAUAGGCUCUAACACUAAAAGAUAUGUUAGGACGACUUGCAGUAAGGUAAACUAAGCUUCCUAUCAUACUUCUAUAAAGCUUUUGCUCAACAUCCUUUCUAGAUGCAUCCUUGUUAAGCUUAGCAGUAGUGCCCGUAGGUGUCCUAAAGGGUUUGGAGGAUUCUAGACCAAAUUUUUUAACUAAUUCCCUAGCAUACUUGGAUUGAGAAAUAAAGAUCCCAUAUUUUAGUUGCCUAAUCUGCAAUCCUAGGAAGAAUGAUAAUUCACUUACCAUGCUCAUCUCGAAUUUAGUCUUCAUCUCUUUGGCAAAACUAAGGGCAAGGCUACUAGAUGUAACUCCAAAAACUAUAUCAUCUACUUAAAUCUGAACUACUAGCAACUCACAAUUGGACCUAUUUAUAAAUAAGGUUUUAUCAACUCCCCCUAUUUCAAACUUUUUCUCCAAGAGAUAGGUUGUGAGCUUCUCAUACCAUGCUCUAAGAGCUUGCUUUAAACCAUAAAGGGCUUUCUUUAACCUAUAGACAUAAUUAAGGAAUUUCGAAUCCUCAAAUCCCUUAAGUUGCUAAACAUAAACCUCUUCACCUAGAAUCCCAUUUAGAAAUGCACUCUUAACAUCCAUUUGGUAAAGCUUUAUCCUCAAGGAGCAUGCUAUUGCCAAAAGUAUCCUAAUUGAUUCUAGUCUAUCUAUAGGUGCAAAUGUUUCUUCACAAUCAAUCCCCUCUAUCAUUGAGUAUCCUUGGGCAACUAGUCUUGUUUUGUUUCUCAUAAUAACCCCAUUCUCAUUUUGCUUGUUCUUGACUAUCCAUUUUGUACCUAUUACAUGUUUAUCUUUUGGCCUAGGGACUAAAUACCACACAUCAUUCCUAGUUAAUUGUUUUAACUUUUCCUGGAGUGUGGUACUCCAAGAUUCAUCUCCUAAAGCUUCCCCACAUUCUUUGACUCCAAUUGGGAGGUAUAGCAUACAAGACCCAUCUCAUUUAAUCUUGAUUGUCUCUUAGUAACCACUCGUUCAUUUACAUUACCUAUAACAUUUGAGAUUGGGUGGUUCUUAGGUAUCUUGGAUCUAUGUUUAUCCUUUAUUUCUUUAGGAGUGUCAUCUAAAGGUACAACUUCAUCAUUAUUAGGGUCAAUGUUUUUAUCAAGGAUGUCAUUAGGGUUUUCUUUUGUGGUCUCCAAGUCUUUAGGGUCAUUCCCAAUUGAUUCCUAGAUUAAAAUUUGAUUAUCAAUUAUAUCCUGAUCAUACCCAAUAUCAUUUAUACUACAUUAGAAGAUUCCUAGAUGAUGUGAGAAUUUUGAUUAUACACCUUAUAGGCUUAGCUAGAAGUAGAAUAGCCUAGGAAGAUACCUAAAUAAGAUUUAGCAUCAAAUUUACCAAGGUUCUCUCCAUCCCUAAGUAUAUAGCAUUCACUGCCAAAAUUCAUAAAAUAUUUAAGAUUAGGUUUUCUCCUAGUCCAUAAUUCAUAAGAUGUAUUCUUUGUUCCUAACCUGAGAAAAAUCCUAUUGGCAGAAUAACAUGUAGUAUUAAUUGCUUCUACCCAAAAUUUCAUAAGGGUAUUAUACAUAUGAAUUAUGGACUCUAUUCUCUUUUUCUACUACUUCAUUUUUUUUUAGGAGUUCUAGGGGUUGAAAACUCAUGUUUAAUUACUUUUGAUUCACAAAAGAGGUCAACAUCCAUCCACAUUGUUGAACUCUCUCUUCCCCCUAUCACUCCUAAUCCUUACAAUUGGAUGGCUAAUUUCCACUAGUAUUCUAUUAAAUAAAGACAUUAAAUGUUCUAUGGCCUCAUAUUUCUCCUUAAGAAAACUCACAUAGGAGUAUCUUGAAAAAUCAUCUACAAUCAUAAGGACAUAUCUCUUGCCACCUCUGCUUUUAGUGUGCAUUGGACCCAUAAGAUCUAUGUGAAGAAGCUCUAAAGGUCUAAUGGUCCUUAUCUCCUUAACCUUUUUGUGUGAACUCUUAGUUUGUCUUCCUUUCAUGUACUCACCACAAAUGGGUUUAGGUUCACCACUAAGUCUAGGGAUACCUCUAACCUUUUCAAUAUUCACUAAGUGCACAAAGUCCCUAUAAUUUAUAUGACCAAACCUUCUAUGCCAAAGCUCAGUAGGAUCAAGCUUAGCCUUACUACACAUAAGAGGUGUUCUAGAGUUAGGAUUUAUGGCAUAAUAGUUAUCAUCUGUCCUAUGUCUUGUGAUGACUAUUUUUCCUUCUUUAUUAACUACCUCGAAUAAGUCUUGUUGAAAAUUCACUUUAUGAUCUUUAUCCCACAUUUGACUAAUGCUUAGGAGGUUUGCUUUGAGUCCUUCAACAUAUAGAACUCCAUCUAGUUUGGGACAACCAGGGAUAACUAUACUAUCUUUGCCUUUUACUCAAGUUAGGCUUCCAUCUCCAAAAGUAACAACUCCACCAUCAUAGUUUUCUAGAGAAGUAAAGGAGGAUUUGUCUCUUGUCAUGUGUCUAAAGUACCCACUAUCAAGGUACCACUUACUAGAAGAUUUAGCUUUAAGAGCAUUGAACACAACUUGACAUUUAGACCUAUCAUUUCUCAACCAAACUUGUUAUGUCUUGGGUGGUGACUUGGAGAAACUAGAUUGACUUCUAGGUUUUUGAUUAGCUUUGUUUCCUUUCCCAUUGUUCAAGAUGUUAUUUUUAAGGGAAUUAAAUUCAUUCAUAAGUCUGUUCAUUUGAGAUUCAAACCUUUCAAGAAACCUAGUGUAGCAUCUAAAUUGAGUGUGUCCAGUUUUCUUAUAGUGUGUGCAUAGUGAUGUCUUUUUAGGAGAUUUUAUUUUUUGUUAGGGGCACCAUACUUACCUUUGACAAACAUAGUUUCUCCAUUAUAGGGAGUUUCAUCUUUAUUAGUGUACCCUAAUCCUCUUUUAUCUCCAUGGGUUUUGCAUUCAUCAAGAAUUUCAUUAAGCACUUUAGUUCCAGGGUGAAAAUUUUCAUUCGCAAAUGAAGAAGGCUUAUUAUUAUUGAUUUCUUGAGUGUGAGCAUUAUUCUUCUCAAGGAGAAAAUGAUGCUCAUAUUUAAGAAAUCUGACUUUCUCAAGAAAAUUAAACUUUUCAACAUUUAGCACAUCAAUCUUUUUUUUAUGAGCUUUAAGAACAUCAUGAUUUUUCAUAGAACUUUGGAUCAAUCUUUCAUGCUCAACAACAAGAUUACUCACAAAUUAAACCCUUUGUUCAUUAGUAAACUCAUCAUCAUCACUAUCACUAUCACUAUCACAAUCAGUAUCAUCCAUAGGUUCCAUAAACGCAACAAAAGCUAACAUGUCAUUGGAAUCAUACCUUGCAUCUUCAGAAGUUGUGGAAGCACUCUCUUUAGAGUUUGAAUCACUCCAUGUUGCCUGCAUAGACUUUUUGAUAUUUUUUUUGGGCUAGGACAAUCUUGAGCAUAGUGUCUUAGACCUCUACAAUUAAAGCAUUCAACUUUCUUACCUUUGGAGGAACAUUUUACUUUCUCAUUGGAUGAUUAUUCAUUAGGUUUUUUUCCUUCUCCAUAUUCUCGAUUAUUGUGGAACCUUUUAUUGAAUUUCAUGACCCUUUUAAUCCUUUUGGCCAUAUGGGCAAAUUCAUCCUUAGUUAUAUCAUAUGACAUUUCAAUAUAUUUUUUCUCAUCCUCAGAAGCCUUAAAAGUAGAGUCUUUAGGCUUUUGGGAACUAGGUAGGGUCAUCUCUUAUGUCUAAAAAGAGUCAACUAGUUCAUCAACUCUCAUGGAAUUGAUGUCCUUGCUCUCCUCUAUGGUAGUUAUUUUGGGUCUAAAUCUCUCUAGAAGAGAUCUCAAUAUUUUCCUAACUACAUUAGAAUAUGGAAUAGGUUCUCCAAGGUUGAAUGAAGAAUUUACAAUAUGACUUAAUUCAGAAUAAAAAGAAGAAAAAGAUUGAUUUUCAUGCAUCCUAAUAAUCUCAAACUUAGUAGCAAAUAUUUGUAACUUAGAAACCUUUAUAGCAGACGUACCUUCAUGAGUGACUUGAAGAAUAUCCCAUGUUCCUUUACACGCUUGCAAUUUGCAAUCCUAGAAAACUUGUCUAGACAAACUCCAUUAAAAAUACUAAAUAAAGCCCUAGCAUUGGCUUAACUACCUUCAUUAUCGGUUUUGUCCCAUUCAUGUUUAAGUUUAAGUUCUCCUGUUGAUCUUCCUUGAGCAUCAAGGAUCAAUGGUGGUCCCCAACUGAAUUGCAUACCCUUUUGCCUUGAAUUUUAAGGGAAAACAUCAUUCGUGCUUUCCAAUGAGAGUAAUUAUUCCCAUCAAAAUAGGGUAGACUAUUCAAAGAGGCACCACUUUUUUACUGUUCCAUAUCAGACUUACAGGAUCAAUAAAAUUUUGAUUUUUAUCCUAUAUGAUCAAUAAAAAUUUGAUUUUUAAACAAUGAAAGCUAAAUCUUUAAUCAAUAGGAUAGAGAAUCGGUUUUUUAUCUUGUUCUAAUACCAAUUGAAAAAUGGGUAUUGAUCAAAUACCUCUUAAAUAAUAAUUGAAAGUCUAAUAGGAAACACCCAAAGGGGGAGGAGAGAAUGGGUGAUUUAAAAAUUUUAAAUUAAUAUUUAUAAAUAAUAACUAACUUUUUCUUACUCUAAUAGAUAAUAGGGAUAUCCCAAAUAACUAAAUGGAUUAUACCCAAAAUAUUUAGGUUUAUAAAAAUAUGAUUUUUAACUUUUAGGGAUAUCCCGCAAUUGGUUAGGAAUAAUAUAAUUAUGAAUAUCCAAAUUAUACCUUAUGAGAUGUUAGGUAAAACAAUAAUUAGUUAUAGGUAUAACAACCAUAACCUCCAAGAUAACCAAUCCAACAAUUUCAAUAACCAAUCAAUCAUAAAGGAAUCUCAAUAACAACCUAACUAACCUAUUCAAUAUAAUCAAUAUCAUCAACUAUAAUAUAAGCAGUAAUAAAAAGAUAUGCAAUGAGGCAUAACAUUUUUACAUGGAAAACCCCCACGAAUUAUGGAAUAAAAAAACACAAGGUCUAAGACCUAUCAAUCUAAACCCAUUAUUCGAAAUCAAGUUACAUAGAUUUACAUUACAUAGAUUUACAUAGUCAUUUUACCCUAAAUACUUUCUCUCCAGCACCUGCAACUUUAUCUAUGUCUGUGAUGCAACAACUCCUUAUUUCUCCCUAGUAGAUCCUUCAGCCACUCUAAAGGGAUUAAGGUCUUCAAAAAAACAAUUGAAAUAUCCUAAUCCUUGAAUAAGAGAUUGCGAAUGGUGUGACAAUAAGGAUUUCUCUCAAUAACUCACUCCCUCAUGAAUGAAAGGUCUCAACGAUAUAUUUUCAAUCUCCCCAAAAAUCUCUACACAAUCUUUUAUCCUUAAUGGGUUAUAAGAGAUGUAUUUAUAGGCAAAAGUCAUAAGAAUUUCGAUAUCUCAAGUUUCCAAAUUUGAGUUUGAAUGAAAUUCAUCCAAAAUAUGUUUCUAAACUCGGCAAGAAUAACAUGAUUGCUUAAGUGGACUUAGACCGCUUGAGCGGUUCAUACAACUUGAGUGGGUUGACUACUUGAGCGAGAUUAACCACUUGAGCCCCUAUUUUUUGAAAAAAAAAAUAUUAUAAUUCCAAAAAUGAAACCGAACCUUUUAUACCUUAAAUAAGUCUUAUAUGCCACAACACAAACCUUUUUAGACGUAUCUGUGACUUCUUAGUUAGAUGAACAAGAACCAUUGAUCUUCAAUGGAGAGCAAGCCACUAUAUACAAAGACAUCUAUGUCCAAACAUUGAUUGGAACAAAAUUGCCAACAAUUACACAAGACUCAAUGUCCUAAUAAACAAGAUCUCUAGUUUGGGUUAAUUGAUUAAUUAGAUGAACCUAUCUAGUUAAUUAAUCAAUUAGGACCCAUUUUAGGCUAGAUUAAGUGACCCAAGCCUUGAUGAGCUUAAGUCACUUAAGCCCAAUGGGUAACCCUAUAAAUACCACUUUUAUGAGUUAGGGUCUCAUAUAACUUUUUGAUAAGAAUUGUCUUCCACCUCUAGAGAAAGAGAGAGUCAUUGCUUCCUUUCUUCCAUUAUCCACACUUUAAAGUGUUAAGAUCAUGGUUUGAGUCAUCUUCCGAAAGAUCUUGGAUGUACAAGACCUCCAGACUCUUUAGGCUUCUUCUUGAUUAGAUGGAUUUUGAUUUGGGAACAUCCAAAUCACAGGUAUGAAUACUAUAUCUCUAUAUCUAUAGUUAAUAAUAGUUUUUAUUGUCAUUUUAUUUCAUUAUGAUAGAUUUAGAGAUGCCUAGGGAUAAAGAACAGAGUACUAAGGCAUGAGAACAGAGUACUCUAGGGUUCCCAACACCAAGAUCAUCGUUUAAGUCAUCGGUCAGAAGAUCUUGGGUGUACGAGACCUUUGGUUCAUCGAGUGGAAUUGACUUAGGAACAUCUCAGUCAAAAGUAAAAUUUAGUAAUGACUUUUCUCUAGAUCGUAUAAUGUUAAAAUUUAUUUUUUACUUUCGUUACAUAAGAUCUAGAUCUAGAGGCGUAAAGAAGUUUACAUGCACCUAUACAAUCUAGGGCUUGGGAACAAAGAGAUCUAGGGUUCCUAGAAAUUGGUAUGAAUGCCCUAUGAUAAGAUUUUUCAUGUUAGAUAUGCUCUAAGGUGUGUUAACUCUAUUUUGAAAGGCUUGUUUUUCAUUUGAUGGCCCUAGGGAUGAAUAUAUGUGGGUUUUCAAUAUAAUAUGAUGGUUAUAAUUAUGAUUGGAUUGUUUUAUUUUUGCUAGAAUAGGUUGUAAGCUUCAUGUUUAGGAGCAUAGGAUUUUUCUUGGUUGUAAAAAUCUCUCCUUUAUUAGAUUGGUUGUAAACUCCAUUAAUGGAGUAUAAUAUUUUUGUGAUGUAAAAGAUCCUUUUUUUUUUUUUUAACAAUCUAAUAACUCAUGAAAGACAAGAAAGCAAUCUAAGAUGUCAUUCUUAACCAUCAUGACUCCCACACCAACCAAGGUAAGUUUUUGGUGGAGAAAACAAUCAAAAUCUACAAAAGAAAUAGUCUCAAGUGCUCAGGAAAGGUGACUUGGGUGCUCGAGCAAUCACUUAUCAUGCUCGAGCGAUAUGAUUGAUCGAGUGGUGCUUCCAAUGAUGGUAAGUUGCUUCUAGCAUCCUCAAAAAAAUUUGAGCGCUCUAGUGUAGGUGACAAUAGAUGUGCAAUAAGGAAAUACAACAACAUAAAAAUUGCAAUUCGGGAUUUUUGUAAUAGAUUAGGGUAUUUAUGUAACUAACCCUAUUUUCUGUUACAAAUAUAACUUGGGAAAAUUUGGAUUUUUUAUCCAAAUGGGUUACCAACUUUAUGUAAUAGUAUUCCCAAGGCGAUGGAAACCAGUUCAUUAAUUUAUUAUUUAUUUUAUUUCAUAUUUUUUUCUGCUUAGCAUGUGUUAAAUAAAGAAUAAAUUGGAAAAAUGAUUUUGGAUUUUUCUUAAGGAAAAUAGAUUUUCAUGAGAAACGUUUUCCAAUAUUAUUUUUCUUUUGAACUAGUCGUUGUUAAAGACAUUGUUAUUCCUUUUUGGAUUAUCCACUUGGUUAAUAGGUGGUUCUCUAAGAUCAACCCCUUAGAAAAGGAGGAAAUCAUUUUGUAUAUGGAUAGUCUAAGGAUAAAGGAAUAAGAGAGAAAUUCUUUUAUCACAAGACUCUUAAUUUAAGAAGUAAAUAACAGAAUUGGAAAAUCUCAUGAUAGAGAAUUUAUUUUAAGAAAGGUUAUCAAAAUUACUAAAAGUCACUAUUUUCAAAAUAUUAAUUAGGAGAGGGCCUUAGCAAAUACGAUAACCUCCAUUGUCAAGCCCAUCUUGAUUUGGGUUCAUCACCACCCUCACAGUGGAUUGUAAGCCCUAGGAAUCAAGGGAUAUAGACUCUCCUUAUAGACAAGGCUUUACAUGUCUGUAGUAGGAGCAACCACCCCCAUGGUGGGUUUCCUUGCUAAGUGAUAUUGAUAGCUUAAGGACAAUGGUUAUACACUUAACAUUGGAUAUUAAGUGGUUGAAUCACCCCACACAAUCCCACCUACAUAGUUCAUAGGUCAAAUAAAAAGGUAUGUUGUUCUUGCCUUUAGGUAACGUUCAUGUUUAAGGUAGGGAGAUCAAUCUGAGAGAGUCACUAACUAAUAAUAAGGUCAUGACCUAACUUAUGUAUUCCUAAACAUAACUAAGGCUAAUAAUAAGGUCACUAACUAAUAAAUCGUGUUGGAAGAAGGAAUGCCCUAAAUUCCUAAAGAGAUAGUUAGUUAUGCAUUUUUAUUUUCUAGUUGAAUCAUGUUUAGUGUUGGAUUCUACUAAUUCUUAGUGGAUAGAUUCCAGAGCUAUUGAUCAUGUUUAUAAUUCAUUACAGGGGUUUCAACUAAGCCGAAGGCUAAAUGAUUGAGAUAUGUAUCUAACAUUAGCUUCUGAAGCGAGACUUGUUGUGUAGGCAAUGGAAGAUGUUACCUUUAUAUUUUCUUAUAAUAGUCUUAUAAUAGUCUUUUAGUAUUAAAGGAUUGUCUUUAUGUUCCCGAGUUUAUGAAGAAUUUGAUUUCGAUUUCUAAUAUAUGUAAACUGAAUUAUUCAUCUUUUUUCUAUUAAACAGGUUUGUAUUAGAUUGAAUGAUUCAUUUAUAUGCUCAAGAUCAUUGAUAGAUAAUCUUUAUCGUGUUUCUCUAUUAUCUAUUUUGUGAAGUAAUGAGAGUUAUCAUAUUUCAUAGAAAAUGAAGGAACCUAGCAAUAAUCAAAUAUAACUUUAGCACUUAUACGUAGGUCAUAUAAUCUAAACAAGGCCUAAAGAUUGGUUAAGUUUAGAACUUUACCAUUCUUGAUUCAAAAGAUCUUACAGUUUGUGAAUCUUGUAUAGAACGUAAAAUGACCAAGAAGCCUUUUACUGCUAAAGAAUAUAAAGCCAAGGAAUGUUUAGAGUUAGUGCAUCUUGACAUUUGUGCAUCUUUCAAUGUCCAUGCACAAGAAGGAUAUGAGUAUUUCAUCACGUUUACAAAUGAUUACUCCAUGUUUGGAUAUGUUUACCUGAUGCAUAGGAAGUUUGAUGCCUUGAACAAAUUCAUUGAAUUUAAGACAGAAUCAGAAAACUAAUUGGGUAAAUGUAUCAAGGCACUUCAAUUUGAUAAAGGUGGUGAGUAUAUGUCUACUCAAUUUGAUUCUUUCCUUAAGGAGCACAAGAUUAUAUCCUACUUGAGUGCACUAGGAACUCCACAAUAAAAUGGAGUAAUAGAAAGAAGAAAUCGAAUGUUGAUGGACAUGAUGAGAUCUAUGAUGAGUUUCUCAUCACUCUUGUAUCCUUUUGGGGAUAUGCCUUAGAUAUUUCAUCUUACCUUCUCAUUUUCACAUUUAGGGGUGCCUAAGACAUGUGCUGAAGCUAAAGGUAGACAAAUUGAAAGCAAGGCUUGAUGUAUAUCAAUUUUUAGGUUAUACAAGAGGAAUGAGAGGCCUUUACUUUCACAUCCAGGUCGAUCAAAAGGUAUUUUUCAGUACAAAUGCCAAAUUUAUGGAAGAAGGUUAUAUGAUGAAUAAUAGGGUAAAACAUGAUAUAGAUUGGAGGACACUUGAAGACACUCCCACACUAGCACAAAGGACUAUGAGACAACAAGUUCCUACACCUACCAUUCUAGUCAAUUCUAGUACAUUCAUGGCUCAUUGUAGUGGAAGGAUUGUUAUACAACCAGACAAGUUCAUGUAUUUGAGAGAGUUUAUCAAGGCAAUUCCAAAGGAACAUGAAACCGAUCCCAUAGAUUAUAAUAACGCAAUGAGUAGUAAUGAUGUUAUUCUUUGGCAAAGAGCUAUGGAGGUAAAGUUAAAAUCUAUGUAUUCUAACAGAAUCUAGGAUCUUGUAGAAGUACCUGAACUGCUAAAACUCAUAGGCGGUCUAAAAAAGGAAGAGAAGUAAAUGGAAAGAUUGAGACAUACAAGGCUAGGCUGGUAACGAAGAGUUAUAGUCAAAAACUUGGUUUUAACUAUAAGGAGACCUUCUCACCAAUAGCCAUGCUGAAAUUCGUCUGAAUACUCCUAUCCAUUACAAUGCACCUUGAUUGUGAAAUAUGACAAAUAGAUGUCAAGACAAUGCUCUUGAAUGGUGAUCUUAAAAAGAGCAUCUAUAUGAUGUAACUAGAUGGAUUCAUAGCAAAAUGAUAAGAACAUCUUAUGUGCAAGUUGCAUAAAUCCAUUUAUAGAUUAAAUUGGGCGUCUUGCACAUGGAAUAGGCAUUUUGAUUAGGCUAUCAAGACUAUUGAUUUUGAUCAAAAUGAGGAUGAGUCUUAGGUGUACAAGAAGAUGCAGGAAAGCAUGGUUGUGUUUUUGGUCUUAUAUGUUGAUGACAUUCUAUUCAUUGGGAAUGAUGUAGGGUUAUUGUCAUCAAUUAAGAUCUGGCUAUCUACUUAAUUCUAAAUGAAAGGUCUAAGUGAGACACAAUAUAUUCUUAGAAUUAAGGUCCUUUGGGAUUGUACGAAUAGGAAGAUUGCGUUGUCUUAGGCCACCUACAUUGACAAGGUUUUGGUCAAGUAUGUGAUAAAGGACUCUAAGAAAGGUUUCUACCCUAUGCUUUUGCAAUGGGUAGCCUUAUGUAUGUGGUGCUAGGUACCAGACCAGAUGUUUUCUUUGCUAUAGGAUGGUGAGUAAAUAUUAGUCUAAUCUAGGCAUGGAGCAUUGGACAAUAAUCAAGCAUAUACUCAAGUAUCUUUGAACAACGAGGGAUUAUAUGUUAGUAUAUCAUUACGAUAAGUUGUUACUUCUUGGGUAUAUGGAUUCAUACUUUCAGUCAGAUAAAGACUCUCACAAGUUUACCUUUGAUUUUGUGUUCACUCUAGGUGGUGGGACUAUUAUUUAAAGAAGGUUGAAGCAAUCUUGUAUUGCUAACGCUACUAUGGACGAUGAGUAUAUUGCUACUUCUAAAGCAGCAAAGGAAGUUAUUUGGCUUCGAAGGUUCCUGUUAGGACUUGGGCUAGUGCUCUUGGCUAUAUCACCCCUAGUACUAUUUUGUGAUAAUAGUGGGAUGGUGGCAUAGUCUAAAGAACUAAAAAAAACCACCUGAAGAGUAUUACUUGAUACGUAAGAUAGUAAUGAAGGGAGAUGUGGUUGUGGAGAAAAUCACUUCUACUGAGAACCUGAUAGAUCCCUUCACAAAGACUUUAUUUACUAGAGUCUUUAAUGGUCAUAGGGUAGCUUUUGUGUCAAAUGUGUUCCCAACAUGCUCUAAGGCUAGUAGGAUUUUGUUGGGAUUAAGCCCUAGAAAGCAUGACAAGAUGUAAUAGAUAUAGAUUCAUUUAUAAUUUUAUUUAUUUAUGUUUCUUUAUUUUGUGUUAUUAUCCUAUUUGUAUUAAUUGGUUAUUUAAGCAUACACACCCCACAUUAAUUGCAUUGUACAUGACUUGGGUGCAUUAGGGGUUACAUAGACGAUCUAAGUCAUUGGUUUCUUAUAGAGUGAUGAGUUGUCCAUAGUCGGUUCAUAGAUUUAGGCAAUCCAUCUGAGACUAUAGUGCACUACCUCCUAAUUGGAGGAAUAACUUGUCUUAGUUGUCAAGAUGGUUUUCCCAUGGUGAGUGCACUAGUGCAUGUGAUGAACACUGCAUUAAGCCUACGGUGAAUCAUGACAUAAGGCUAUCAAUUGUCAUGAUUCACCAAGCUACUAUACUAGAUGAACUCUUAAGCUUGAGAGGAUAUUAAGCCUAUGCCAAAGUCAAUAGGAGGCUUUAACCUACAAGUGAGUUCCUAAGGUGACCAUAUAUCUCUAUGGAUUAUGUCACUAUUGAUUAAGACUGGUGACAAUAGGUAUUCUUAAUAGAGGCACCAUAAUAUCUCAUGGAUUGAGAUAGUGUGUCCCCUUCGAUGAUCCAAAGGACAUGUGAUCUAGAAGAUUUGACAUUUUCUUUAGUGGAAAUUUCACAUAUCUCCUUGGAGUUAGAGUAUGUCAAUUGAUCACAUAAUAAGUAGGAUUUGUAAUCUAAGGACUGAAGACGUAAUCUUGAUAGGUGAUAACACUAUCUUAUUAGAUUGCAGACACCAAUUCAUGGGAAGUCUACAUGUAGUGGAUAUUAGGUCACAAAUUUGAGCUUUAUAUCAUUGUUAUUUACAUAAGUAUUGGAAUGUAGUUGAUUCUCUUAAAUGAAAUGUUGAAUCAACUUCAAAAUUAGAUUUUGAGGGAUCCAUUACUCCUAUGGGUCCUAGUGAUCCCCACUCUAAGCUCAUAUAACAUGAUGACAUGAUUUUUAAGGGUUAGAUUGGCUCUAGGUUCACUCUUGUGCAUAAGGGUAUUUUGGUAAUUACGUAAGGUUGCAUAGGAGAUAGUGAACAAGGUCUCUAGAUUGGACUAAUUGAUUAAUAAGAUGGGCCUAUGUGGUUAAUUAAUUAAGACAUGUUUUAGGCUAGAUUAAGUGACUCGAGCCUUAGUAGGCUCAAGUCACUUAAGCCUAGUAGGGAGACCUUAUAAAUACCCCUUUAGGGGUCAAUGUUUCCAUCACUUUUCAAAGACAGUCGUCUUCCACUUCAGAGAGAGAGGGAGAGAGCUAGGAUUCUUCCCUUCCAAAGUCCACACUUUAGAGUACCAAGAUCGUGGUUCAAGUCAUAGGGCAAAAGAUCUUCGGUGCACGAGAUCUCCAGACUCUUCAAGCUUCAUCUUUAACUAGUGAAAUUGAUUUGGGAUGUCUAAAUCAAAUUUAAAGUUUUCUAAUGACUUUUCUUUGGAUCCUAGAAUGUUAAAAAAAAAAAAAUUCAUUUCCGUUGCAUAGGAUCUAGAGGCAUAGGGUAGUUUGCAUGCACCUAUAUGAUCCAAAGCUUGGGAACAAAGAAACCUACCCAAAAUAAAAGGUACUCGAUAUGAUGAUUUGAAAUUUUUGCAAGGAAUUACAAUUACACUGAAUGUAGCAACAACCUCAUAUGAAAUUCUCGGUGAAGUUUCUAAUUCUUCAAAGCUAGUGAAAAGGCAUUACAAAGUCUUGCAAAGCCAUGUUUGUUGAAAGGUAUUUCUACAUCCAAGUUGGAAUUUUGUGAGCACUAUAUAUUAAGCAAAAACAACAGGGUAAAGUUUGGUAUUGCAGUCCAUCGCACCAAGGAAACAUUAGAUUAUGUGUAUACAAAUGUCUAGGGACAUACAAAAACAACUUCUUUAUGAGGUAAGCAUUGGUUUGUGAAUUUUUUUUAUGAUUACUUAAGAUAUGUGUAGGUGUAUUUAAUGUGAUAUAAAAGUUAUGCUCUUAAUGUGUUUCUCAAAAGACAAUGGUAGAAAAUAAAGUUAUUAAAAAAAUAUAUAUUAAGAAGCAUAUAUUAAACAAUGAUGGGGAAUAUAAGUUAAAUCCUUUUACGCAAAUUAGAGAAAAAAAAUGAUUGUGUGACACUUACCAGUCAUGAAUAUUCUACAAGAAAACAGGGUAGUAGAGAAGACAAAUCACAAAUUGUUUGAGAAGUUGAGGUGCAUGUUGUCUAAGAGCAGAUUGAGGAAAAGAGUUUUAGGUUGAGGUUGUAACAUAUACAUGUCAUCUUAUUAAUAGAUUACCUUCUAUAAUACUUGAGAUCAAGACUCCCAUGGAGAUACGAUAUGGUACUCCAACUUCUGAUUAUGAUUCAUUACAUAUAUUCAGUUGUUCUUCUUACUACCAUAUUUAGAGAAUAAGUUAAAGCUUAGAUCCAAGAAAACAAUUUUCUUAGGUUUUAGUAGUGGUGUUAAAGGCUAUUGUUUAUGGUACUCUUUGCAAAGGAAAAUCAUUGUGAGCAUGGAUGUUGUGUUGAGUGACGAUGUUAUGUUAAAAAAGAGUUUCACAGAAGAUGGAGUUUGGAAGUCAAGUUGAAACUACUAUGAUGUCUUCUCUAGAUCAUUCAAGUAUGGAUUUAGAUGUCAUAGUAGAUGAACUAGAGUUUACUUCCCUAAGGUCCAAUGAAUAUUUUAAGUCAAUUGCAGUAAGUAGACCACAUAAAGAGAUAUUGUCACCUGCAUGACAUGUUGAAUUGGUUGCAUAUGCAUCACCCAUUGUUACUAAAGAUAUUCCAGACACUUAUAGGGAUGCAAUUCAUAGUCCUUAAAGUGAAGAUUGGAAAUUGGAAAUAUAGAAUAGAUGAACUCUCUCCACAAAAUUAAGACAUGGAAAUUAGUUCCAUUUCUUCCAUGAAGAAAGUUGUUGGAUGUAAAUGGCUAAGCAAAUAAAGAGAACUCAAUAAAAAAAAAGGUGAUAUAAGUUUCAAGGUUAUAUUAGUUGCAAAAGGGUAUGUAUAACAUAAAUAUAUUCAUGAUAAUAAAGUGUUUUAUCCUAUUGUUAAUCAUUCUUCUAUUAGAUUAUUGUUCGCUCUUAUUGCUCAAUAUGAUUUGGAGUUGUCUUAGUUAGAUGUUAAAACUGCUUUUCUCCAUGGUGAUUUAGAUGAAGAGACAUAUAUGUCUUAACUAGAAGGGUUUUAAAGAACUAAGAAAGAAUAAUUUGUUUGUAAAAUUGAACAAAUCAUUAUAUUCAUUUGAAGCAAUCCCCAUGGCAAUGGUACAAGACAUUUGAUCAAUUUAUAAUAGAAAUAAUUACAUUAGAAGUAAAUUUGAUCAUUAUGUUUAUUUUAGUAAAUUAUCUUAUGAAAAUUAUAUUUUUUUUGUUAAUAUAUGUCGAUGAUAUGUUGAUUGCUUGUAAGCCUCUGAUAGUCAUUCAUAGGUUAAAAAAUUAGUUGAGAACUAAAUUUGAAACUAAGGAUCUUAGAAUGCAUGAAAAAUUAUUGGAAUGAAGAUGACAAGGGAUAGAAGAAAGGGGAUUGAUGAAUUGUCACAACAACAAUGUUUGUAGACAUUACUUUAGCAUUGUGGUAGGACUUCCAAAAUAAAAAGUGUACUCCUUUGGCACCUCAUAUGAAACUCAAUGUAGAGAUGUCUCAUAACUUAGAUGAAGAAGUAAAGUGCAUAUGCAUAAUGUUCCAUAUGCUAGUGUCGUUUGAAGUUUGAUGCAUACCAUGGUUUGUAAUAGACUUGAUAUUCCACUUGUUGUCAUCAUGGUUAGCAGGUAUAUGCAUAAUCCAAUGGCUCUAGCAAACAGUAAAAUAAAUUUUAAGAUAUAUUCUAUGCACAACUGAUGUUGGAAUAGUAUUUCAACAAGAAUGUUCAACACAAGAUAUGGGUUAUGCAUAUUCAGACUAUACAACUAAGCUUUGUAAGUGUACGUCUAUUAUAGGUUCUGUAUUUACACUUGUAGGUAGACCUAUUUGCUAGAAAUCAACAUCUAUUGUGGCUUUGUCUGCUACAGAGCUAGAAUAUAUGAUAAUUAUAAAAGCUUUCAAGGAAGCUAUUUGGUUACAUGGUUUGGUUAAGGACUUGGGAAUCAAACAUGUCACAUCAUAACUUAUUGUGGUAGUUAAAAUGUCAUUCAUUUGGAAAAUAAUCAAAUUCAUCACUCCCAAACAAAGCAUAUUGAUGUUUGAUUUUAUUUUAUUAAAGAAAUUCUAGAAGAAGGUGAUAUCUUUCUUCAAAAGAUUGCUACUAUAGAUAAUCUAGCUCAUAUGCUGACAAAGAUAGUUUAUGGGAUCAAGUUCAAUCAUUGUGUAGACUUAAUCCAUAUUGAGAGGAUAUGAGUAUCCUCAAGUGCAUUUGGCUACAAGAUCCUUAAAAGAAUUUGUGUAGCGUUCAAUCUUGGCAAGGUGGAGAUUGUUAAAUUGGCUUCACUUAAGUUAAUCAACCAAUUGCAAGAGAAUUUUGAAGCCUUAAUAGUUGAACCAUAUAUUGUUUUUUUAGGUAAAGUCUAUAGUUACAAUGCAUGUAGUUGGAUUGAAAAGUUUCUUGGGGAACAUAGGAUAUAAUUGAUGUUCUCUACAUUGGUUUUUCUUUUUUCUUUUUUCAAUUUUGAAAUUCCAGAGAAAACUAUCUUACAAAGGAGAAAAUACCACACUUAGGACAAAGAGUACUUUGUAAUUAUUCUAUACUCUUUUGAGAUCUUUAGUGAAUGAUCUUACUAUAGGCAAAAACCUUGAAGCUUUACAACGUUAUGAUGUAGUAUUUCCAAUAAUAUAGGCACUUCAUUUUCAAAACCUUUCAAGUAUGUUGCCUCAUCUCUUUCUUGUCCAUGGAGUUUUUUUCGAGGCUACCACAUUGCCUAUACAUAAUUAAGCCUUUAAACACUACCAUAGCCUUCGAUACCUAUGUAAUUUUUUAUAUCGAAAUCUUUUGUUGCCUUGAUGAUGUCUUCAUAAGCAAUCUUACCAUCAUAGUUCCAUGCCAAAAAUAUAUAUCCUUAUGGAUGUUACUUUGGUUUGAUUUUUUCUUAUCUUCAAUGAAAGUGGGAGGGCCACAAAAGAAAGAAACAAAGUGGUAAAAAAAGAAAUAAUGAUGAUGAGUAUGAUUUUAUGUCCCUUCUUAGAAUGAGGCAAGUCUUCUAUGUCCACACAUAAACCUUUAUUGUGGUCAAAUACUGUAAAUAGAUGUUCAAACUACAUUAGAUUCUUCAAAUCCCCAAUUUCAAAAGAGCUAGCAUCGUUGAUUUGAUUGUAACAAAGAUAAAAAUGAGUCAAAUCAGUAGAUGCCCCAAAGAUGAAGGAAUAACACCAAUAAGGGAGUUAUGACUAAGAGACAAUUCCAAGAAUUCUAGGUUGGUAAAAUAUCCAAGUGAGGAAGGGAUGACUCUGGAAAAAGAGUUAGAACCCAAAUCCAAGUGAAUCAGAUUCAUUAAAUUCCCAAUCUAGUAAGGAAUAAAACCAUGGAUUUCAUUGCAACUUAGGCUUAAAUAUUUAAGCAAGUAAACAAUAAUAGCACAAAAUAAACAAGAAAAUAAUAACAUAAUUAUUUCCUCAUGGGCUUUAAGGAUCUUAUUGCAUAAUUAGUAAUAAUUUGGAUAAAAUCCAAAUAAAAAAUAUUACCAAAAAUACCUAUAACCAAAAAUAUGAUUAUAAAAUAAAAAGAAACCUUAAAAAUGAUGGGAGAAACUUGAAUCUCUUCAUUUUCCGAGCCUAGAUUAGGCUAGGAACAUGCUUAACUAUCCUAAGCUUUUCUAAAUCCCAUGCAUAGUGAAAAAAUUGCAUUUUUAAAACUUAAUAUGGAUUCAAUAAGUGCUAACGAAAACAUAAUUUGGAUUAAAAUGUUCUUAAAUCCAAUACACAUAGUGAAGAUAAAGAAGGAAGUCACAGAAGUCUCAUAUACCCGAAGUCUUCCAUUCGAUGACUUGAACCUUGAACUUAACACACUUCAGGUGGGAAUGUAAGAGAAGGUAAAGGUUAUGGCUCUCUCUCUCUCUCUCUCUAGAGGUGGAAGACAACUCUUUAAAAAAAACAAUGGAAACCCUAACCCUUAAGGGGUAUUUAUAGGGUUUCCCACUAGGCUUAAGUGACUUAAGCCCAUUAAAGGCUAGGGUCACUUAGUCUAGCAAAAAACAAGUCCUAAUUGAUUAAUUAACCUAAGAAGGCCAAUUAAUUAAUUAAUUAGUUCAAUUUAAAGAACUUGUUCACUUGCCUUGUGCAACCUUACGUAAUUACCAAAAUGUCCUAAUGCAUAAAAGUGAACCUAAAGUUAAUCCAACCUUUAUAACCCAUGCCAACAAGGUAUAUGAGCGUAGAAUAGGGACCAAUGGGGCACAUAAAAGUACUAACACCCUUAAAAUCCAAUUUUGAAGUUGAUUCAAUAUCCCACUACAGAGAAUCAACUAAACUCCAAUAUCCUAUGUGAAUAACAACAAGACACCAUGUGCUCGAGUCUAUGACCUAUUAUCCAUUACGUUCAGUCUCCCCAUAAACUUGUGUCCAUAGUCUAAUAAGGUGAAAGCUAUCAGUCUUUCAAGACUACCUCUACUAUCCUUGAGCAAUAGAUCCUUCUAUUUUGUAUUCAAUUAACAUAUCUUAGCUUUCCAAGAGCUAAUGUCAAGUUCCACUUAAAGAACUACUAUGACCAUAGUUUCCAUGAACAUACCUCCAUAGGAUCAGCCAAGGGGACACUCUAUCUCAAUCCUAUAAGAUAUCAUGGUGCCUCUAUUGAGAAUACCUAUUGCUACUAAUUUCCAUCAAUAGUGACCCAAUCCAUAGGGAAUAUAUAAUCAGCUUACGAUAUCACCUAUAGGUCAAAGUCAUUGCUAACUUGAACAUAAGCUCAAUAUUCUCUCAAGAUUGAGGGACAAUACAAUGAAGCAGCUUGGUGAAGUCAUGACUACAUGAUAGCCUUACAUCAUAACUCAUCGUAGGUCUUGUCCAAUGUGCAACCAUACACACUAAUGCACUCACCAUGGGAAACCUAUCCCAAUGGCCAAGACCAGUCAUCCCUCCAAUUAGGAGGUAGUGCACUAUAACCUCUAAUGGGUUGCCUAAGCCUAUGAACUAGUUGUGAACAAGUCAUCCAUUUGCAAGGAACCCAUGACUUAGAUCUUGAAUGCAACUCCUAAUGCACCUAAGUCACGUAUAAUGGAAAAAAUGCAUGCCAAAGUGCUUACAAGAUAUAAUGCAUAGAAAUAGGAUAACUAAAAGUAAACUAAAACUUUAUUAAAUAAAUAAUAGAAAUUCACAUGUUUAUUACAUCAUGUCAUGUUUUUAAAGGCUCUAUCCUAACAAAAAAAAUACCCUAAAAAUGUCAAAUAGCAAUCAUUUGCACUUUAGCGUCCCAAGGGUCGCUGGAAGGACUACUCUAUCACUCAUGCUGCCUAAGCACUAAUAUGAUCACUUAAGCAUUGAGGCCACUUGAGUGCUAAUCUAAGCGCUUAAGCACUACAUCCUACACAUGAGGUUGGUUCUAUAACUAUUUCAACCAUCGUUUCUAUGAAAGCCUCAUCAUUUUGGAUGACUUUUUGCACCAUAGAUGCUCGUGAAUGCUUGGAAUCUUUAAUCUUCAAGUUUUGGGUUACCAAAGACGGAUAAAAUUUCGAUUUUUACAUUAAGAAAAACCUUAUGCUUCGUUAGAUGGAGUGUACAGUCCAUCUAAGAACAAAAGACUUGAUAUUUACUUAUAAAAUUAAAAUUUUAUGCUCCUAACCAUGAAGUUUCCAACCUAGUCUAUACAAAGAACAAAUCCAAACACUUAAUCACAAUUAUAAACAUCAUAUUCAUAAAAAUAACAUCCAUACAUUCAUCCCUUUAGGUCAUGGGAUGAACAAACAUGCCUACAAAACCAAGUAAGCACACCUUAGAAUGGAUCUAAUAAGCUUUUUCGUAACCUAGGGCUUUGAUACCAAUUGUUGGGAAAACCUAGAUUGCUCCAUUAUCAUGUCUUGGAUCGUUAGGGUGCAUGAAAACCUAUUCUAGGCUCUCUAAAUCUAUCAUACAAUAGAAACAUUGCAAUUGAAACCAAAAAGAAUACCAUAGAUUUAGAGAUUAGUGCCAUACAUUUUAUUUAGAUAUUCCUAGAUCGAUUCCUAUCAUUGUAGAAAGCUCCAAAAUUGAAGAAAAUCUUAUAAACAUCAUGAUUUUCCACCCAAUGACUUCUCCUUGAGUGUAGGUGCUAAGAUGGUGGAGAUCUCAAGGGUUGGAGGCUAGGUUUCUCUCUCUAGACUAUAAGGAGAGAAUGGUAAGAUUGAACUUCACUAGAAACCCUAAUCCCCUAAAGGGGUAUUUAUGGGCUUCUUACUAGGCUCAAGUGACUUAAGCCCACUAUGGGCUUGGGUAACUUAAUUUAGCCUAAAGGGUGCUAAUUGAUUAAUUAACCCUAUAGAGCUCCAAUUAAUCCAUUAGUCUAAUCCAGAGAUAUUGCAUACUUAUCCUUAUGCAACCUUGCAUGAUUACCAAAGAGUCAUAAUAUUCAUAAGUGAACUAAAAACUCAUCCAACCCUCAUAAACUGUGUCAUCAAAGAAUAUGAGCUCAAGUGAGGACCAUUAGGACCCAUAGAAUAGUACUGGCUCUCUCAGAAUCCAAUUCUAAAGUUGACUCAAUAUCCCACUAUAGAGAGUCAAUUGCACUCCAAUACCCCAUGUAUAUUACAACGAGACACUAAGUGUUUGGGUAUGUGAGUCUCUUCAUGAACUGGUUAUUGAUAGUCUAACAAGAUGAAAGCUAUUAGCUUUUGAAGACUACCUUUACAAUCCUUAAGUUACAGAUCCUCAUCUUAUUAUGUGAACAAAUGACAUACUCUAGCUUACUAAGAGCAUGUGUCGAAUUCCACUAAAGGAAUUACUGCAAGCCCAUAAACUUCAUGAUCAUGUGUCCUUAAGAUCACCUAAGUAGACACACUAUCUCAAAGUCCAUGAGCUAUCAUGGUGUCUAUAUUGAGAAUACCUAUUACUACUAGUUCCAUCAAUAGUGACCCAAUCCAUAGGGAAUAUAUGAUCAGCUUACGAUCUCAACCAUAAGUCAAAGCCACUACUAGUUUCUACACAAAAUCAAUAUCCUCUCAAGGUGAGAGACUAUAUAGUAUAGCUACUUAGUGAUGUCAUGACUCCUUGAUAACCUUAUGUCAUGACUCAUCGUAGGUCUUGUCCAAUGUGUAAACUAUACACACUAGUGCACUUUUCAUGGGAAACUCAUCCCGACAACCAAGACUAGCCAUUUCUCUAAUUAGGAGGUGAUGAAAUACAACCCCAAAUGGAUUGCCUAAGUCCACAAACCGAUUGUGAACAAAUUAUCUACUUGCAAGGAACUCAUGACUUGUAUCUUAUGUGCAAUUGCUAAUGCACCUAAGUCAUGUACAAUGCAAGGCAAGAGAUGCUAAGCCAAAGUGGUCAUAGAGAAUAAUCCAUGGAAUAAGUAUAGAUAAGAGUGAACUUGGAAUAUCAUCAUGAAUUUCAAAUUUGUUAUAUCAUAUCAUGCUUUCAAGGAAUCUAUCCUAACACUGUGUACCUUGAGUAUAUAGUUUUCUUUAAAUUUUAUAAUAUAUUGUUGCUUUCUUAUUAAAAAAUCAUUAAAAAAAACCUCAUUUAACCCUUUGUAUAUUGUUUUUCUAUACUUGAAUGAUAGAAAUGGUGAUUUAGGUUUGGCUUUCUAGCUUAUAUGACUUUUAUGGUAAAUGCUUCAAAGCAUAUUCAUGAUACUAUCUUGCUAAUGUUGAGGAUGACGUAGCACAACUUCAAGAAGGUAUUUGCAAAGUAGAAUGUACAAUUUCUAGAUUAAAUUUUUUAGAAAUGUUUAUAAAGUUUAGAUUUGAAGAUUACUGUGGAUUAUUUUUAAUAAAAUAGAAUUUAUAGAUAUCCUAUUAUGUAAUCGCUUUAUACAAAAACAAAAAAAAAAAAAACAAAAAAACAAAAAAAAAAACAGAAACAAAAAAAACACAAAAAAAAAAAACAAAAACAAAAAAAAAGGGUUUAAUUUUGAUGUCUUCUACAAGAUGCUUUCACUUUUAUAUUAUUUAAAUAACAUUUUCCAAUAUGUUGUCAAAUAUAUGUUUUCUUAUAUUAAUUUCUUCCAAUAUUUUACUUAGGAAUAAAAAUGGAAUAUUGCUAUUAUUUUUAAUGUUGCAAUUAUUUUUCCUACACACACACAUAGAUAGAGCCUAUCUAAAAAGGGAUUGAUUAGGGUUUAAGCUUUUUCUUUGCACAAAUUUGAUCAUGAAUGAUACUUACAAUGAAUCAACUUAAUUAAUAUAAACAUCUCAUACUAAUUUAAUCAUAUAUAAUUUACUAUAAAAUAUUUCUAAUUCUUUCUUAAUUCAAACUAAAAAUUUAAUUCUUUUAAUCAAAACUUUUUGUUUUAAAAAUGAGUAAUACAAAAGGUUGACGAAAAAAUUAUAAAAAAAAUGUAGAAGAAUAAUAAAUUUAUGAUACAUGAAAUGUGUAUAUAUCUCAACUUAGAAUUAUUAUAUCCUAUAUUAAAAGGAUGUAUAAAGGGAUUGGAUCAAUAAAUUAUCUUAUUGAAUGUUUGAUUAAAUAUGAUAUAUGAUAAUUAAAGGAUGAGAUCAUUUAUCCUAUCCCAUAGCUAACCAAACAUGGGAUAUGAUAUGUUAUCUCAUCUCUUAUCUCAUCUAAUAUUAUGUAUAUUAAAUCAACUAAAUACAACCUUACUUUAGAAGGUAAUUCAAUUGAGAUGUGGGGAUGUGGACUACUAUUACUUUUAAAAGAAAUAUAGAAGUGAUAUAGACUAUUGAUAAGUUGAGUGCAUUAUGGGGGGGAUACGUUGAGUGGAUUCAAUUUGACAUCCACCUAUCUAAAUAUAUUAAUAGAUCAUCUUGGAUUAUGAAAAUUAUGAAGUUCAAAAACAAUAUGGAGCACACACUGGUAAUAUAAAAACAAAUCAAAAUUGGUAUCAUCGUUGCAUGCUAGUCACCUAAUUAUAUUUGUUGAAUAUUUAGUUGCCAAAGUGAAAUCUCAUGAAAAGAUUCAAGAAAUGGUGAUUGAGGAAGAAGCUUCGAUGAGAUGUGUUGCAUUGUUGGACGAGAUCUCGGAUUAGCAUGUAUGCAUUUCAGUGCCAACCAAACCACAAGAACUACAUCUUUAACAACUUGUUGGUCUUGAGGAGAUGAGAGAUGUGAAUCUAAUAUAUUAGUGAGCAUUAUAUUUUGAGCUGAUGAGGAAGACAAUAAAGUGACAAGUUCUCCUAGAUGUUUUCCCAUCAUUGUCUCAAGUGUAAUCACUCCAAAGUUAUAAACAUCACAUUUUUCUGUCACAAUCAUAGUAUAGGCAAGCUAUGCUAAGAAUCAAAAUAAGAAAUAAAUAUUGCACAAAUGAGAAAGUUACAUUCAUUUGAUUUUCUCAUAUUAGCCAUAACUAUAAAAUGUUAAUAAUGUUUCAUAGCAUUCCAUUGACAUUUGGCUACAUUUUAUUUCUAGGAUUGUGAUGAAAUUAAGUUAAUUUUUACAACUUAUAUGAAAUCUUUGAAAAACCAUUCUAAGGAGUUUUUAAAAAUGUUUAGGUAUUAUUAGGAAAAUGAAGACAACCAUUUGGAGAAUGCUUGAGAGACCAUUGAUAAGUAUUUUGUAUAUAAAGUUAUCUAGCUCUCUAAUAUCCUAAACCAUUUUUUUUUAUAACUUUUUAAAAUAACUAUUAAGAGUUUUCUUUUUCUUUUUCUUUUAUUUUUUUGGGAAUUUUAGAAUAAAUAAAUAAAAAAAGAGAGAAAAAUAUGUUAAAGAUAUUUCAACUUCUAUGAGGGCCCUUUGGGCAUAUAGCAAAUAAUAUUUACACAGUUGGAAGCACAUCAUUAUAAAUGAUAUAAAGUUUGUUUGGCUCUAUAAUCCCAUUGGACACAAAAAGGAUGUUAUGUUUGCAUAAGGGAUGAGUGUGAUAUCUCACAAUAGAUAUUAAAACAAACAGUUCUAAAACUACAUAUGAAUGAGCUCUUCUUAACCUUGUAAAUGCAUUUUGAAAUCGUGUGGACCCUUAAGCCUAGACCAAACAAUAUCUACGCGGUUUGGAGAUAAUAUCUAGUUUGCAUGAAAAAAUAAAGAAAAAUAAUAUAUUAAAUAUUUUAAAGAAUAUAUUUACUUUUGAGCUCUUCAUAAUUUUGAAAUAAGUAAUAAUAGUAGAAGAAGUUUUGUUUGGCUUGUAAAAAUAUUUCCUUUCACUUCAUCCAAUAUAAUAUAUCACUUCUAUGAAGUAUAUAAUGAGAGGUAUAAAAGUACUAAAUACAUCCAAUCUCAAAGAUACCAUACUAAAACGAAAAAUAGCUAGAAGUUCAAAAGAUAUAUCGGAUAAGUAAAAGUUGAAAGAAAUAUCAGUGUGUACUUACCUGGUGCUAUGUAACCAUAAGUGUCUGCAAAAAGUGUUUAAUUGGAUGAAUCAAGAUGUAGCAGUCUAGCGGUGCCAAAAUCCAAUAGAAAAGCUUCUAGUUUAAAAUCCAAAAGAAUAUUGUUGCUUGAUAUGUCCCUAUGAAUAAUGGAAGGAGUACAGUCAUGAUGCAUGUAGCAUAAGGCAUGGACUAUGCUUUUAACCACAUUCACCCUUUUAAUCCAAUCCAAUUCCAAAGCUUCAACUUCAUUGCUCAAUACACAAAAUAAGCUUCCUCUUUCCAUGUACUUUUAAAUCAAAAACAUGAAUUUUUUUUGCAGACAAUAGUCGUGAAGUUUUAUAAUAUUCUGAUGUUGUAUUUUUGACAAUAUCUGCACCUCGUUUUGAAAAGUUUUCAAGUAUGUUGCCUCAUCUAUUUCCUAUCCAUGAAACUUUUUCAGGGCUACCACAUUGCCUGUAGGCAAUUGAGCCCUAUAAACAUUGCCAUAGCCUUUGGUGCCUAUGCAAUAUUUGACAUCAAAAUCCUUUGUUGCUUCAAUGAUGUCUUCAUAAGCAAUAUUACCAUCAUAGUUCCAUAUUGAAAAUAUAUCUCCAUUUUUUGUCGAUGUUGUCUUGGUUUGAUUUUGUCUCGUAUUCUGUAAAAGCAAGAGAAACCCAAACGUCGCAAAAAGAAAUACGAUGGUAGAUAUAGCAAUAACAAUGAUGCAUAUAAUUUUAUGUCCUCUUCUACAAUGUGUUCAACCUUUGAUUUCACCACAUAAACCUUUUUUGUGGCUAAACACCUUAGGGUGAUGUUCCAACUAUAAUUCAAUGGGUAUAUGGCCCUCCAAAUCAUUAUACGACAAAUCAAUUGAUGACCACCUAUAUAUUGGAAGAGUAGGAAUGCGACCUAAGAGGUUAUUGUGAGAGAGAUUCAAGUUUUCCAAGCUCUUCAAGUUUUGGAGCUGGGAAGUUAUCUUUCCAUUGAUCAAAUUAUCACUAAGGUCUAAGAUAGCCAAAUUCUUCAAGUUCCCUAUCUCGAAAGGAAUGCAACCCUUGAUUUGAUUUCCACCAAUAUUGAACUCAGUUAAAUUAAUGAGAUAGCCCAAAAAUGAAGGAAUAACUCCCAUGAGGUUGUUAUGAUCCAAUCUGAGAUGGAUUAUAUUCUUCCAAUUCCAAAUUAUAGGAGGGAUGGAACCAUUGAUUUGAUUAUAACAAAGAUAAAAAUGUGUCAAAUUGGUAAGAAGACCAAAUGACAAGGGGAUGGACCCUGGAUUUGUUUGUUGAUGAGAUGGAAAUAAGUCAAAUUGGUAAGAUAACCCAAAGAUGAAGGAAUAACACCAACAAGGGCAUUAUGACUCAGGGACAGUUGAACCAAAAUUUUAAAAUUCCCAAUUUCAAAAGAGAUGGAACCGUUGAUUCGAUUUAAAUUAAGGUACAAGUAUUCCAAGUUGGUUAAACUUCCAAGAGAUGAAGAAAUGACAAAGGAAAGAGAGUUAGAACCCAAAUCAAAAUAAAUCAGAUUCUUUAAAUUCCCAAUUUCAUAAGGGAUGGAACCGUUGAUUCGAUUGAAAUUAAGGUAUAAGUAUUCCAGGUUGGUUAAACUUCCAAGAGAGGAAGGAAUGACACUAGAAAGAGAGUUAGAACCCAAAUUCAAAUGAAUCAAAUUCUUUAAAUAUCCAAGAGAGGAAGGGAUGGCACCAAAGAGAAAGUUAGAACCCAAAUCCAAAUGAAUCAGAUUGUUCAAAUGUCCAAGAGAGGAAGGGAUGGCACCAAAGAGAGAGUUAGAACCCAAAUCCAAAUGAAUCAGAUUCUUCAAAUAUCCAAGAGAGGAAGGGAUGACACUAGAGAGUGUAGGGAAUUAAACCGAAUUCCCAACCCGUGAGAAACAAAAAUUUAGAGAAAACACAUGCCAAAGAAAAACAAUCACACGCACAAGACAGUAUUUAUGUGGUUCGGCAAUUUGCCUACGUCCACGGAGUUGCAAGGAUAUCACUAUUAUAAGGGAAAAAUACAGAGUACAACCACAACGAUUACAAUAUUUUCUCUCUAUAUAUAACACGGCAACCACACCACACUAAAAAACCCUAAUUACAAAAGGUGGUUCCACAAUGGGCUAAAUGGGCCCAAUAGGCCUCAGUAAAUCUCCCAUUAAAAAGCCAUGCAAUAUUAUUCAGGUUGGGUAGUCAAAUCGGAUCAAAUAAAACUAGGCUCCACAAAGCCCAAAAAAUCUCCCACUUGGAGACUAGUCCAAUCACUAACAUCAAACCGCUAUCCUCCAAGAAACAAUCCCUCAUCCCUGCAACUCAUCCUCCUAUCCUCAAGCUAGAAGACCAAUUGAAGCUACGCACAACUUCAACUUCUCAAUAGUGACACCCUUAGUCAACAUGUCUGUCGGGUUCUUAAAUCCAUAAAUCUUCUCAGGUAUUACCAGUUUAUCUUCAACAAGGUAACGGAUAAAGUGGUAUUUUGUUUGUAUAUGCUUCGACUUUGAAUGAAAAGCUGAAUUUUUGGCAAGAAAAAUUGCACUCUGACUGUCACUGUGAAGAAUGUCUAUCUCCUAUUUUUUACCCAAUUCAUCUAAGAAACCAUGCAGCCAAAUCAUCUCCUUUCCAGCUUCAGUUGCUGCAACAUACUCAGCUUCUGUAGUAGACAGAGUAACAAUCUUCUGUAGAUUUGAAGCCCAUGAUAUAGCUGUACCACCUAGAGUAAAAACAAACCCAGUAGUACUCUUUCUACUAUCAAUAUCACCAGCAAAAUCAGCAUCUACAUAACCUUGUAGUUUCAAACUUGCACAUGUGAAGCAAAGACAUGUAUCUAAUGAACCCUUCAGAUAUCUUAGAAUCCACUUGACUGCCUCCCAAUGCUGCUUUCCAGGCCUACUCAUGAAUCUACUCACAACUCUCACUACAUGUGCAAUGUCUGGCUUUGUACACACCAUAGCAUACAUCAAGCUGCCAAUAGCUGAGGCAUAGGGCACCUUGCUCAUAUGGUCCCUUUCUUCUUUUGUCUUCGGUGACUGUUCUUUGCUUAGUUUGAAAUGACUGCCCAAGGGUGUGCUCACUGGUUUAGCUUCAUUCAUGUUGAACCUGCUGAGAACUUUCUUCACAUACUCUGACUGUGAAAGCUUCAAUGUACCAUUAGCUUUGUCCCUAAUAAUUCUCAUACCAAGGAUUUGUUUUGCAGCUCCCAAAUCCUUCAUUGCAAACUGUUUGGACAAUUGUUUCUUCAGAUUAUUAAUCUUUCAAUGUCAGACCCUGCAAUAAGCAUAUCAUCCACAUACAAUAGUAAUAUGAUGUAAGAAUUGUCAAAAGACUUAACAUAACAACAGUGAUCAGCUUCACAUCUCUUGAACCCAAUUCUAUGCAUAAAACUGUCAAACUUCUUGUACCACUAUCUAGAAGCUUGUUUAAGGCCAUACAAGCUUUUUCUCAGUUUGUAGACUAGAUUCUCUUGUCCUUGAGCAAUGAACCCUUCUGGUUGAAUCAUGUAAAGGUCUUCCUCCAAGUCACCAUGAAGAAAUGUUGUCUUCACAUCUAACUGCUCAAGAUGUAAGUUUUCUGCAGCUACCAUUCCCAGUACAAGUCUGAUUGUUGACAUCUUCACAACUGGAGAAAAUAUCUCUGUAUAGUCAAUGCGCUCCUUCUGCUGGAACCCUUUAACAACUAAUCUGGCCUUGUAACGUUUGCUACCAUCAUGCUCAUUCUUUAUUCUGUAUACCCACUUGUUGUGCAAAGCCUUCUUUCCUACUGGCAAUUCAGUCAGUUCCCAUGUUUAAUUCCCCAACAAGGAAUCCAUCUCAUCCUUCAUGGCUAACUCCCACUUGCUUGAAUUCUCAUCUUNNNNNNNNNNNNNNNNNNNNNNNNNNNNNNNNNNNNNNNNNNNNNNNNNNNNNNNNNNNNNNNNNNNNNNNNNNNNNNNNNNNNNNNNNNNNNNNNNNNNUCUGGCUCACCACCAUCAAUCAACAAGAGAUAAUUUAAAACAGGUGAAUAACGCUACGGAGGUCUAAUGUUCCUGGAAGAUCUGCGAACUUCAGCUACAGGUGUACUCAGAUCUACCUGUGAAUUUACAUUCUCCUUAUCUUCUUCACCCCCUUUUUGGACAGUACUUUCAGUCAAUUCAUCUAAGUUGACAAACUCAGAUUUCUUUUGAUCUAUCUCUAUAAUAUCUGACACUAUAGUUGACAUGUCCUUGUACAUAACUUGUUCAUUAAAUAUCACAUUUCUACUUCUGAUGAUUUUCCUGUUUUAUUCAUCCCAAAACCUAUAGCCAAAUUUCUCAUCACCAUAGCCAAUGAAAAAACAUAUUUUUGACUUUGCAUCAAGUUUACUACGAGCAUCAGAAUCAAUAUGAACAUAAGAAACACAACCAAAAACUUUUAAAUGUGAAAACUUCACCUCUUUGCCGCUCCAAACCUCCUCAGGAAGUCUGAACUCCAUGGGAACUGAUGGUCCUCGAUUUAUCAGGUAAGCUGCAGUGCUAAUAGCAUCAGCUCAAAAAGUUUUUGGUAGUCCAGCAUGCAACCUCAUACUUCUAGCACGCUCAUUGAGAGUUCUGUUCAUGUGCUCAGCCACACCAUUCUGUUGUGGUGUCCUAGGAAUAGUCUUCUCCAUCCUAAUUCCCUGUGCAGCACAAUACUCAUUGAACCCUCCAUCUAUGUACUCUCCUCCAUUAUUUGACCUCAAACAUUUUACUUUCAAACCUGUUUCUGUCUCAACCAUGGCCUUCCACUUCUUAAAAGUUUCAAAUUCAUCAAAUUUAUUUUUCAGAAAAUAAACUCAUACUUUUCUGCUUGAGUCAUCAAUAAAAGUGAUGUAGUACCUCGAACCUCCAAGGGAUACAACCGGAGAAGGCCCCCAUAAAUCAGUGUGUACUAGUUCCAAUUUUUCAGCCUUCAGUGUCCUGCCAGUUUUCAAGAAGCUCACAUUUUUUUACUUUCCUAAGAUGCAACUUUCACACAUGUCAAAAUCAAUGGACUUCAAUUCUGGUAGUUUUCCUUUUGACAACAGCAUCUUCAUCCCUUUCUCACUCAUGUGACCAAGUCUACGGUGCCAUAGGAUUGUAUCAGUACUUGCAUCAGCAACUGCAAUUGUGUCUCUUGGACAUGAGGUCAUAUACAAAGUACCAGUCUUCUUUCCACGAGCCAAUACCCUAGCUCCCUUUGUAACCUUCCAAGUACCACCAACAAAUAGUAUUGCAUGUCCUUCAUCAUCAAGUUGUCCAACAGAAAUCAGAUUCCUCCUCAGGUCAGGAAUAUGUCGAACCUUCUCCAGUAACCAAACAGACCCAUUGGGCAACGAUAUCUGAACGUCUCCCAGACCCACAACAUCCAAGGCUGAACCAUCAGCCAAAUACACCUUACCAAAAUCACCUGCAACAUAAUUCUGUAUGAUUUCUCGGUGUGGAGUGGUAUGAAACAAAGCUCCUGAAUCCAAAACCCAAUCAUCAAGUGGACUGUCUACUGCAAGAAGUAAUGCAUCCUAUACCUCUUCUGUUACAGCAUUAGUAGAAUCAUCCUCAUUCUUCUUCUUUGGACUUUUGCAUUGCCUUUUAAAGUGACCUGUUUUCCCACAGUUCCAGCAUUGUACUUGUUGGCCUGAUCUAGAUUUACUUCUGUUCCGAUUAGAAUUUCUAGAUUUUGAUCUACCCUGGUUUGAAUUUGUGUCAUUACCUCUGCCUCUUGUCUCAAGGUUUAGGGCAGAACCAGAUCUUGAGGUUUCGCCUACAUCUUUUUGGCGAAUCUCCUCAGCCAGAAUUAAAUCUCGUAUAUCAUUGUACUUGAGCUUUUUCUUUCCCGUAGAAUUGCUUACUGUCAUCCUCAUUGCCUCCCAACUAUUUGGCAAAGAAGCCAAGACGAUCAAAACACGAAUCUCAUCAUCAAAAUCAAUUUCUACAGAUGACAAUUGAUUUGUGAUUGUAUUAAAUUCAUUCAGAUGUUGUGCUACUGAUGCAUUCUCCGCCAUCUUCAAAUUGAACAAUUUCUUCAUUAGAUGCACCUUAUUGUUUGCGGACGACUUUUCAUACAUACCAGACAAAGCCUUCAUCAAAUCUGUUGUGGUCUUCUCCUUUACAACAUUGUGUGCAACAGACCUAGACAGAGUUAACCUAAUAACUCCUAUAACCUGUCUGUCAAGAAGCGCCCAUUCCUCAGCCUUCAUACUCUCAGGUUUCGUCCCCAAAAGAGGCAGAUGCAAUUUCCUCCCAUAGAGAUAAUCUUCAAUCUGCAUCCCCAAUACGCAAAGUUUGUGCCAUCAAACUUUUCUAUUCUAGACGCCUUUCCUGCUUCCUCUGCCAUUGCUCCCACUUAAACCUAACCCUAGGUUCUGAUACCAAUUGUAGGGAAUUAAACCGAAUUCCCAACCCGUGAGAAACAAAAAAUUAGAGAAAACACACGCCAAAGAAAAACAAUCACACGCACAAGACAGUAUUUACAUGGUUCGGCAAUUUGCCUACGUCUACGGAGUUGCAAGGAUAUCACUAUUAUCAGGGAAAAAUACAAAGUACAACCAUAGCGGCUACAAUGUUUUCUCUUUAUAUAUAACACGGCAACCACACCACACUAAAAAAUCCUAAUUACAAAAGGUGGUUCCACAAUGGGCUAACUGGGCCCAACAGGCCUCAAUAAAUCUCCCGUUAAAAAGCCAUGCAAUAUUAUUCGGGUCGGGUCAUUAAAUCGGAUCAAACAAAACUAGGCUCCACAAAGCCCAACAGAGAGCAAAUAGUUAUAACUCAAAUCCAAUUCCUCUAAAAUAGUGAGGUUACCCAGUGAAAUAGGUAGCUCACCAUCAAGUCUACAACCAAAGAUAUGAAGGUGAGUGAGUUUUGUAAGCUUACUUAUCUCAUAUGGGAUGCUACCAUAGAUGAAAGAAUGGCUAAGAUUGAGAUAGAGGAGGCUGGGAAAUGAUGAAAACUUCAACUGGCUAAGCUUACACCGUGGGCAAUAGUGAUGUGAAUAGGUAAUCUGAAUAACAUGUCCCUCCCUGUUGUAGGUGAUGUCAUCCCAUGUGCAAUGAUGAGAAGUAGUGUUUUCCAUGUACCACCACCGAGUAGAGUUGCGGAGAGCCUCGGCCUCGGCCUCCACUUGUGCGUCAGUUGUAGCAGUGAUUCGUCCCUAGCAGCGGCAGUGGCAAUGGCACCAUUUGAUUCGAGGUUCGAUCCCCGGCAACGGCGCCAUUUGAUUCAUGCCCAAUUGGUGUCUCAGCUGAUUCGUGUCCAGCUGGUGCUCCUUGAUUGAGGGAUUGAUCAACAAAAUUUAUAACCUAUUACACCAUAUACUAGGGUAGCAAAGACAAAGCUACUAUAGUAUAGUGGCUCUAGGAUCGUUCACUGGGAUGGGUUUUCAUUUCACAAAUGAUAUCAAUUCAAAGCUGAAUUGGUGCCUUUUCAUUUCAAGGUUAGCUUUAAAAGAAAACAUAAACUUGAGUUGGAAAAGGUUUGGUUUUAAACUAACCAAAAAUAGUAACUGAUUUUACUUAUAAAGAAAAGUUGUUUCUUGGAGUUCAGAUCACUAGGCUCAGAUUCCUCAUACAAAAAGGGAGUUCCGGUCACUUGUUUCUUUUCCUCGCAUUAGAGAAUUAACAUAUAGUUCCUUCUCCAACCGGUGUUGUACAGAUGCUUCCCAUUAAUGGGUUCAAACACUAAAUCCCUCUCACUGAUGCAACUUGCAAUGGUUCAUGCCUCUCACGAGCACUUACCAUUCAAGAUGAUCGUUAACCUUGGACUACCCGUCAAAAGCUCGCAAGAGAUAACUAAUGGAUGUCUUCUUGGAGUCCAAAAGCUUACCAAGUGUUGGCUAUUCUAGAAAAUCCUACCUUCAAACCACCUCUCAAAGGCUCGCAAGGGGUAAACUAGUGCAUUUCCAUGGUUGGAAAUCACUUGCCUUACCAAGUGUUGGCCCAGGUGAUUUAAAGGCGUUUUAAGUUAACUAAAAAGAUAAAAACCAUUAACGGGUCACACUUUCUCUUCAUUAAAAACUAAAACAACAAAACUUCCAAAUUAUGCAUGUGGAAACUUACCCGGCUUUCCUUACUCCAAUAGAAAAAAAGCUUAGCCUCUCAUCCUUUGAGGAAAAAUCCUCAAAGUUUGGUUGGCUAGAAAUAAAAAGAAAUGAAAAAUAAAAGAGAAGGAAAAACAGAGCAAGGCUCUGUAUAUUCUAUAUAUUGAUUGAUAUUACAUAUAUGAUGAUUUUACAGUGGAUGCAAGGGAGUUUAUAUAGGAAGAUAAUUUACCCUUCCUUGGAUAUUUUCUAGCUAAGGAAUUACAUGAGUGGUUGAAUACAAGGAGAAAAUGGAAAUUAUACAAAAAUAUCUGAAGAAAAGAUCUAAAAGAGUCGGUGCAAAAAUAUCGGGAAGCUCCAGGAACAUUUCGCAGGUGAAAAAUGGUGUCUGCGAGGAUAAACCAUCUUGCUUCAUUGGCUAUCUCUCUUGCUCUUCCUUACAUCUUUAUACACACCACUUCUAGUCCUUACAAACUCGUAUCUCUUUCAUAACUUUUUCACACUCAAGAGGGCUGCGAAAUAUUUUCGCAUCAACAAGCUGAACUCGCCCCGCUGCGAAGUUGGCUUUCAUCUUGUGGUGUUUGGCUUCCAUCGCGGCGUGAAACUUCAAGGGAAAUCCAAAGCACUGUGCAAAAAGGCUGCGAAAUUCUCGCAACAAAAGGCUGAUUCCGCAACACUUUAAAGUGAUUGACUUGCAGUGGCUGUAACUUCUUCGUUUCAACUCCGAAUCGUGCACCGUUUGAAGAAUUGGAUUCUUGACUUCCUGAGCUUUGAAAUGGUAUAUAGAAUGUACAAAAUGGACUUCGGGAAGUGCUCCAAAAGUGCACAAGAAGACUGCAGCUAGCUUUCCUCUGUUUUCUUCACUCUGUUUUUCCUCUCUCCUUGCUUCUCUCCUUGCAUACUUUGAACGACUUUGGCAAAGGGCUAUGGAGCUCCAAAGCUUUGUUCUUCAUGAAUUUAAGCUUCCAAAAGCUUUUCCAUGAACUAUAUACAGCUCUCCCUCAUUCUUGGAUUGCUUUGGUGAUCAAAAAGCUAUCAAAACACCAAAACUUAACACAAUUUGAUUAGAAUUGAUUGCAAGGGUCCUUAACAUGUUAAUUGGGUUAAAAGGCAAUAACUACUACUCAAAAGUGUUUAAAAGAGUUAAUUACAAGUUAUGAAAUAGCACUUUUUGAGUAGUAAUCAAGCAGCAGCAAGAGGUGAUGAGAUCAAGAGCAUGUUAUAUUAUAACAAUACCACUGAAACCACCAACACCCUACAAGAAUUAAUGGAACACCUCUCCAUUUUUUCUUAUUUUCGAUUAAUAUUGCUAUAUAUGCCCUAGUUGAUGGUUUUGAAAAUGUGAAUCUCAAUAAUGAACUACACCUAGAGGGGGGUGAAUAGGUGUUGUAGAACAAUUUAAAAAUUCUCCCAACAAAGAUUACCUAACCUUAGACUAUCUUAAUGUCAAGAAUUUUUUCUUCCAAUAACUUUCCAACAAAGCAAAACAUCCACAAGCAAUAAUGUAUGCAUCAACACCCUCCCAACAAUUUAUAAAUGCAAAACACAUGCAAAUGCUUCAACACCCCUCAAAAAUAAAUCAAAAUAUAGAGUGAGAGAAAGAGACAAUGAACACCGGAUUUUUAAUGUGGAAAACCUCCGAAGAUAUCAAAAACCACAAUCCUGUCACCGAUUGAAAACUCCACUAUGAAGAAUAAAAACUAAGUACAAGGUUUUACCUAGCUCAAGCCAACCAAUCCUUCCCGGAAUACUUGACUAGUACCUUCAUUUUCAGUUUCUCCUUUUGGAGCACACUUGGAGUCCACACCAAGUUCAAUCUCGGCCUCUUCUUGAAUCCACACAAGAAGAAAAUGGGUUUUUGCACAAACCCAAAUAGAAUGAGAGAUUGAGAUGUGAAUGAAGUAAUGAAUCAACCCAUUUAUUGCUCAAGAAAAUCCAUUGAAAACUAGUUUGGAAAACAUUAAGAGAAGUGGAUUUUCUUUGCAAUCAAAAACCCCAAAUUAGGAAAGCAAAAAUGAGAAAAUGAAGAACACUUGGAGUGUGGCUGCUCUCCCCACGUUUUUAGUAGUCUCUCUACACAGAAAAUGAGAGAAGAUUGGUUUUUAAAGUGUAAAAAGAAACCCUUAAUCUAAUGGCUGAGAUUUGAUAAAAAAAAACAUUAGUUGGAUAGAUCCACCCCUACACCUGGAUCGAUCCAGAAACAGAGAAAUGAAAGCCUUGCACCAAAAACCAUUUUUCCCAACUUUCUAACACAUUUAAAGAUUAAAAACCGGGUUGAUUCACAUCCAAUCACCACAAACUCGACUACAUACCUCGGUCUCUUAGCAAAGUCUUAGUCUUCAAAGUCAAGUAGUCCGAAUAGGAAUAGGAAAGCCGAGUUAGGGAGCACUUAGGAAUUUUGUCCGGAAUUGCCAACUUAGCUAAACACUCACAGGUUUUAUAGAAGUGGUGUCGGUGUUGAUCCGACAACUCUCUUCUUUCACCCACACAGCAUCUCAAGCAAGUCAAACAAGUCUUCUCCUGACUCUCCACUAGACAUUAAUUUGUUGGGAAACGAGGACGUUUAUAUAUCACCCAUAGUGAUAUAUAAAUCUUGUAUUCACAAAUUUUUUAAAAUAAAUUUUAUGAUGGGAAAUUAGUGAUCAUGAUCAAACCAUAUUUAAUUUGCUCUACCAAGACAACCACAUGAUCAAAUCGUGCAUUUUGUUUUUAUUUUGAACCAAAAAAAAAAAAGAAAAAUUUAGUAUAUAGAAACAUGCUUAAUGUUAAUGUAGACUAAAAAUACAACCCCAUAAGUACUUAUCCAAACAACAUAUUAGCUGACUAUAAUUCUUGGGUACCUGUCAGAUGGUUGCACAUGUAAUCUCUAUAUAUUAAAAAUUAAUAAAAAUAUUGAUACACAAAACAUGUAUUAAUAUUUUGUUUUUGUACUUAAAUUUUAUUUUCUACUUGUUAUAGUUAUCAAGCAUUUAUUUAUUUUUUAUUUUUUAUUAUUUAAUAGUAAUGAAUAAUGAUAAAAUUAAAAUCACAAAGCAUGUUUUAUUAAUAGCAUUUUUAUAAUUUUAUUGUUAUUCUACUUCAUGAUUAGCUUGUCUAACACUUCAUUUGAUUUUUCUUUCAAGCAAAUCAACUCAACCAAGUCUUCUUAGGCCCACUUAUUAGACUUUCGAUUAUUUUCUAUUAUGCUGCUAAUUAACUUAGAAAUUUUCCUAUCAUAGUAAUUUGAUAAAAAAAAAUUAUCAAUUUCACUAAUUUUAAACAGGAAUCAAUAAAUAAAUAAAAACAUUUGAAAAAGUUUUUCUAUUUAUUAGGCAAUCAUAAUUUUUUUUCUUUUUUGCUAAUAAAAAAAUAAAAUUAGCUCCUAUAAGCACUCCAUUUUUUUUCUCUCUUAAACAAAACAAGUCCAGUCAAGCAACCACCCUCAAAUCAUUUCUAAAACGCCAUAUUGAAAAUUUCCUAUAUGAUGACAUGUAAGACCACACAAAAAGAACACAAAAUAAUAAUAAUAAUAAUAAAUAAAUAAAUAAAUGCAAAGUAGUCCUCCCAAUUUGCAAAGUUUACUAUAUAAGGAGUCAAUGAUUUCAAAUGUUAAAAGUUGAAAAUUUUUAAUUUCUUUUUUCUUUUCUUGCUCACUUUCUAGAAUUAAUGAUGCCUUCAUAACUCUUGUUUCAGCCACGCAACAAGUCAAGCAAGUUGUCUUCCACUCUUGAUUGGGAAUUUAGUGGGAAAUGGCCAUAAUUAUUUUUGAAAUUUUUAAAUAAAAACUCAAACUAUAAUGAUAUAACAAAAUAAUUAUUCACAAUUUUUUUUUUAAAUGAAGUGUGGGAAAUACUCAUACCUCACAUGUAUUUGGAAUAUAUAUAUAUAUAUAUAUUCCAAAUAAUAAAGAUAUUAAAAAUUUUAACAUUAUCUCAAUCAUUGCAAAAUAAAUGUUUUAUUUGUCUUAUUAAUUUCACUAAUUUUAAAAAAGAAAUCAAAAUAAUUUUUUAAAUGUUUUUCUAUUUGCUACAUAACUAUUAAAUACCUAUUUUUAUUUUAAUCAUAAUAAAACAUAAAAUUACAAAUAUUAAAUACUUUAAUAUUAAUAUAAACUAAAAAUAUGUUUUAGCCAAUAUUUUAUUUGGUUCUUUUCUAAGUAAUAGGAGGUCUUUUCAAUCCCACCACCAAUGAUUUUUAAUUUCAUUUUAUGUAAAAUUCCACAAUGGUCGUGUCAUGUCCGUCAUGAUGUUUGAAAAAGUUGUUCAAAAAGGAUAAGGGUACUCUAAUUUAUUUAUUUUUUAAAGAAUUAAGACUUAAUUUUACUGACUUUCCUUCGAGUUAUUUGAUGAAAUUUCAAACAAAUGAGAACGAAGUAUAUUAAUACUUUUAUAAUCUUGGGUUUAUUUCUCUACAAAUAUUCUCAAUUUCAUGUUUUAUUCAGCACUUAAUGAUUCUAUUGAGAACUUGCAUUUUGUUACUCUUUUUUUUCACCAUUUAAAGAUUUCAUUUCACAGACUUCCUUUUUUUCAUAUUUAAAAAAGAAUUUUGUUAAUUAUAACUCCAAGGAGAGAUUGGUGUUGUUCCUUGCUUCUAAAAUGUUAUCUUUAUUAAUUUAUAUUAUAACUUUUUUUAUCAAAUAUUAUCAACAUGGUAUCAUCUUUUUUACUUCAAUUCUUUUCUAGAGCGAGGAGUUCUUAUGUGCGAUAUAUUUUCCAAUAUUGCAAUAUCAAAGAUAAUAUUUAAGAUUUAAGGAAAAAAAAACUAUAUGUAGUUCCGAUUUGAGUUUUGUUCUUCAAGAUCAAAAUUUCAAAGAUAACAUUUAAGAUUUAAAAAGAAAAAGAAAAAAAAAUGAACAUCUAAUCAACUAUAUGCACUAAUAACUCUUCAUCCUCAAAUGUAAUAAUUAUUAUAACUAGUUUAUUAAUUGUUUACUGUAAAUAAGUUAUUAAAGUCUCAUUUGGAUAUAUUUUACAUUAUUUUUAAAAAAAUAUUAUUUAAUAUUAAUGACUAUUAUAUAAAACUUGGAAACUCUUAUAAAAAAAAAUAUACAAUUACCUUAUGUUUCCCAAAAAAAAAUUUUAAAUUUUGAGAUAGUAAUUUUAAAAAAUAAAUAAAUCAAUUUUUUUUUAACCAGUUUUAAAACUUUUAAAGAGCUCUUAGAAAUUACCAAUAUUUUUUAUUUUUAAAAAUAGAAAAUAGAAAAUAGAUCUAAACAACUAUUAGUUAAUUCAUUUGUACAAUUAGUAAAAUAUAUUUCACAAGUGCAAUAAAACCCAAUAAUCUUUGUAAAACUUUCUAUUAGAUAAGACAUCUAUAAAUGAAAAAACCAAAAAGUUGAUAGGAAUGUACCCACUCCUCAUACGGUUGAAGAGAGCAUAAAUGUAGAGUCAUAGUGUGUGAUAUUAAUCCAUUUACAUUAAUAUAUAGAGUCCAUCUAAAAAGAGACUAAUUGGGAUUCAAGUUUUUUCUUUGCACAAAUUCAAUCGUGAAUGAAAAUAUUCUAUUAAAAUAUUUAUAGUGAAUUAACCCAAUUGGUAUUAACAUAUUCUAUUAAUUUAAUCAUGUAUAGUUCGCUUUAAAUAAUCUUUUUUUAAAUAGUACAUGAACUUGUUUAUGGUAUAUAUAUUUAAUUCCACCUUUUUUUGUAAUUAAAUUUUUCUCUACUUGUCAUAUAAUCACCAAAUAUUUUUUAUUUUCUAUUUUUUAAUAAUAGUGAUAAAAUUAAAAUCACUAAUAUGUUUAGCAUUGAUAUAAAUUAAAAAAAUAUUCUAUGACAAUAAAAGUCAAAAGAUUGCAUUUUUACUAUUUGGUUGUCAUCCACCUUACAUGAUUAGUUUGUUUAAGACUUUAUUUGAUUUUUCUUCCAAGCAAAGUAUGUCAACCAAGUCUUCUUAUGUCCACUUCUUAGACUACCCACUAUUUUCUAGUCAUGCUUCUAAUUAACUUGGAAAUUUCCCCGAUUUGAAAGCUUGAAAGCCCAGAUUUGAUCAUAUAUGCAUGGAUGAAGAUAUAACAUUAAAUAUUUUAAAAUUUUAUUAAAAAAUAUACAUAUGAAUCACUCUAAUUAAUACUGCCACAUUCUUCCCAUUCAAUAAACAAUAAUAGCAUAAAAUAAAUAAAGGAAUAAUAACAUAAAUAUUUCCCCAUGGCCAUUAGGGAUCUUGUUGCAUAAUGGUAAUAAUUUGGAUAAAAUCCAAGUAACUAAUAUUACCAAAAAAUCUUGCAACCAAAAAUAGGGUUAUAAAAUUUUAAAAAAAUACCCCCAAAACGUCAAAUAGGCAUCAUUUGCGCUUGAAUGUUCGAAAAGCUGCUGGAAGGACUACUUGAUCAAUUAAGCCGCUCAAGCACUAAUAUGGUCGUUUGAGCGUUUAGGCUACGCAAGCACUAAUCUAAGUGCUCGAGCACCACAUCCUACACUUGUGGAUACAAGGUUGUUUCUACCACCGUUUCUCCGAAAGUGUCACCUUUUUAGAUGCCUUUUUGCACCAUGGAUGCUUGUGAAUGCUUGGAAUCUUCAAUCUUUGCUUUUGGGUCACCAAAGAUGGAUAAAAAUCUAAUUUUUACAUUAAGAAAAAUCUUAUGCUCCAUCAAGCGAAGUGUACAAUCUAUCUAAAAACAAAAAAAAACAAAAAUAUUUUUACAUGUAAAAUAAAAAUCCUAUGCUCCUAACCAUGAAGCUUACAACCUAAUUUGUACAAAUAACAAAUCCAAACAUUCAAUCACAAUUAUAAACAUCAUAUUCAUAAAAAUAACAUCCAUAUAUUCAUCCCUUUGGGUCAUAGGAUGAAUAAACAUAUUUGCAAAACCAAGUAUGCACACCCUAAAAUGAAUCUAACAAGCUUUUCCCUAACCUAAGGCUCUAAUACCAAUUAUUGGGAAAACCUGGAUUGCUCCAUUCUCAUGCCUUAGAUUGUUAGGACGCAUGAAAACCUAUUCUAGGCUCUCUAGAUCUAUCAUACAAUGGAAACAUGGCAAUUGAAACAAAAAAUAAUACCAUAGAUUUAGAGAUUAGUGUCAUAUAUACUUGUGAUUUGGAUGUUCUUGGUCAAUUCUUAUCAUUGUAGAAAUCUCUAAAACUAAAAAAAGAUCUCGUGAACACCAUGAUCUUCCACCUAAUGAUAACUUCUCCUUGAGUCUAGGUGCAAAGAUAGUGAGAUCUCAAGGGUUGGAGGUUAGGGUUCUCUUAUUGAUUGUAGUGAGAGAAUGGCAAGACAAAACUUCACUAGAAACCAUAACCCCUAAAGGAUUAUUUAUAGGCUCCUUACUAGGCUUAAAUGACUUAAAUGACUUAAGCUCACAAUGGGCUUAGGUUAGUACUAAAUCUAGCCCAAAAAGGGCACUAAUUGAUUAAUUAACCCUAUAGGCCUCCAAUUAAUCAAUUAGCCCAGUCUAGAGAUAUUGCUCACUUACCCCUAUGCAACCUUAUAUAAUUAUCAAAAUGCCCUUAUGCAUAUAAGUGAACUAAUAACUCAUUCAACCCUUAUAAACGAUGUCAUCAAAGGAUAUCAUGAGCUCGAGUAGGGACCAUUGAACCCAUAAGACAGUAUUGUCUCUCUUAGAAUCCAAUUUUGAAGUUGACUCAACGUCCCACUAGAGAGAGCCAACUACACUCCAAUGCCCUAUAUAUAUUACAAUGAGAUACCAAGUGUUCGGGUCUAUAACCUACUAUCCACUAUAUAUAAUCUCAUUUUGAACUGGUCGUCCAUAGUCUAACAAGCUAAAAGUUAUCAACCUUUCAAGACUACCUCCAUAAUCCUUGAGUUACAGAUCUUUUUAUUAUGUAAUCAAAUGACAUACUCUAGCUCACUAAGAGCAUAUGGUGAAUUCUACUAUAGGAAUUACUACAGGCAUAUAAAUUUCAUGAUCACACAUCCUUAAGAUCACCUAAAGGAACACACUAUCUUAAAGUCCAUGAGAUAUCGUGGUAGCUAUAUUGAGAAUAACUCUUGCUAUUAGCUUCCGUCAAUAGUGGCCCAAUCCAUAAGGAAUAUAUAUGAUCAACUUAAGAUCUCACCCAUAGGUCGAAGUCAUUGUUAACUUUUGCACAAGUUCAAUAUUCUCUCAAGGUUGAAAGGCAAUACAGUAUAAUAACUAGGUGAUGUCAUAACUACCUGAUAGUCUAUAUCAUGACUCACUAUAGGUCCUAUCCAAUGUUUACACAUUAGUGCACUCUUCAUGGAAACCUCAUCCUGACAACUAAAACUAUUUAUCCCUCUAAUUAGGAGGUGGUGCACUACAAUCUCAAAUGGAUUGAGUAAGUCCACAAACCGACUAUGGACAAAUCAUUUAUUUGUAAGGAACCCAUGACUUAGAUCUUUUGUGCAACUGUUGAUACACUCAAGUCAUGUACAAUGUAAGAAUGGUAAGCUAGAAUGCCCAUAGAGAAUAAUGCAUGGAAUAAGGAUAGAUAAAAAUGAACCUAGAAUAUCAUCAAAUAAAUAAUGAAUUUCAAAUCCGUUACAUCAUGUCAUGCUUUUAAAGACUCUAUCCUAACAAUGUGUUCAUUGGUAUAUAGUUCACUUUAAAUUUUAUAAGAUACUAUUGAAUGCUUAUCAGCAAAUUACAAAAAGGACCCAUUCAGCCUUUUUUGUAUUGUUUUUCUAUACUUGAAUGAUAAAAAUGGUGAUUUAGGUGUAACUUUCUUGCUUACAUGUACUUUUACAAUAAAUGCUUCAAAACAUAUUCAUGAUACUGUCAUGUUAAUCUCAAGGAUGAGGUAAAAGAACUUUAAGAAGGUAUUUGCGAAGAAGAAUGUACAAUUUCUAGAUUAAAUUUUUUUAGAAAUGUUUAUAAAGUUUGGAUUUAAAUAUUAUUGUGGAUUAUUAUUAAUAAAAUAGAAUUUAUUAGAUAUCCUAUCAUGUAAUCUCUUUAUUUUAAAAAAAAUGUUUAAUUUUGAUUCAUUCUAGAAUAUGCUUUCACUUCUAUAUUGUCUAAUUAACAUUUUCUAAUAUGUUGUCAUAUAUAUGUUUUCUAAUAUUAAUUUCUUCCAAUAUUUUACUUAGGAAUGAAAAUGGAAUAUUGCAACAACAACAUUCAAUUUGAACUAAAUUUAAUGUUUCAACUAUUUUUCCUACACACACACACAUAUAUAGGGACCAAAAAAGGACUAAUUGGGGUUAAGCUUUUUCUUUGCACAAAUUUGAUCAUGAAUGAUAGUUACAAUGAAUCAAUUUAAUUAGUAUAAACAUAUUCUACUAAUUUAGUCAUGUAUAGUUUACUGUAAAAUAUUUCUAAUUCUUUCUUGUUUCAAACUAAAAAUUUAUUUAUUUUUAAUCAAAAGCUUUUGUUUUAAAACUGAGUAAUACAAAAGGUUGAUAAAAAAAUUGAAAAAAAUGUAGAAGAAGAAUAAAUUUAUGAUACAUGAGAUAUUUAUAUAUCUCAGCUUAGAAUUAUUAUAUCCUAUGUAAAAAGGAUAUAUAAAGAGAUUGGAUUGAUAAAUUAUCUUAUUAAAUGUUUGAUUGAACAUGAUAUAUGAUAAUUAAAUGAUAAGAUCAUUUACCUUACCCCAAAGCUAACCAAACAUGGGAUAUGAUAUGUUAUCUCAUAUCUUAUCUCAUCCAAUAUUAUGUAUAUCAAAUCAAUUAAAUAUAGCCUUACUUUAGUAGGUAAUUCACUUGAGAUGUGGGGGAUGUGAACUACUAUUACUUUUAAAAGAAAUAUAGAAGUGAUAUGGACUAUUGAUAAGUACCAUGUGGGGGAUAAGCUGAGUGGAUUCAAUUUAACAUCCACCUAUCUAAAUAUAUUAAUAGAUCAUCUUGUCUUAUAAAAAUUAUGAAGUUGAAAAACAAUAUGGAACACAUAUUGGUAAUAUCAAAGCAAAUCAAAAUUGGUAUCAUCAUUGGAUGCCAGUUACCUAAUUAUAUUUCUUGAAUAUUCAGUUGCCAAAGUGAAAUCCCAUGAAAAGGUUCAAGAAAUGGUGAUUGAAUAAGAAGCUUCGAUGAGAUGUGUUGCAUUGUUGGACGAGAUCUCGGAUUAGAAUGUAUGCAUUUAAGUGCCAACCACACAACAAGAACUACAUCUCUAGCAACUUGUCGAUCUUGAGGAGAUGGUAGACGUGAAUCUAAUAUGUCGGUGAGCAUUAUGUUUUGAGCUGAUGAGGAAGACAAUAAGGUGAAAACUUCUCUCGGAUGCUUUCCCAUCAUUGUCUCAAGCGCUACCACUCCAAAGCUGUAAACAUCACAUUUUUCCGUCACAGCCAUAGUGUAGGCAAGCUCUGUUAAGAAUCAAAACAAGAAAUAAAUAUUGCACAAAUGAGAAAGUAACAUUCAUUUAAUUUUUUUUCAUACUAGCUAUACCUAUAAAAUGUUGAGAAUGUUUCAUAGCAUUGCAUUCACAUUUGGCUACAUUUUAUUUCUAGAUUGUGAUGAAAUUAAGUUAAUUUUUACAACUUAUAUGAAACCUUUGAAAAACUAUUCUAAAGAGUUUUUAAAAAUGUUUGGGACUUAUUGGGAGAAUGAAGACAUCUAUUUGGAGAAUGCUUGAGAGACCAUUGAUAAGUAUUUUGUAUAUAAAGUUCUCUUACUCUCUAAUAUCUCAAACCAUUUUUUUACAACAUUUUUUAAAUAACUAUUAUGAGUUUCCUUUUUUUUUUUUUUCUGUUUGUUUGGACUUUAGAAGAAAUAACCAAUAUAUAUAUAUAUAUAUAUAUAUAUCAAGGCCCUUUGAGCCCAUAACAGAUAAUAUCUACACGAUCAGGAGCAGGUUAUUACAAAUGGUAUUAGGGCUUAUCUGUAACCAUAGUAUGGAAGUUUGUUUGGCUCCGCAAUCUUAUGGGAUAAGUGUGAUAUUCCAUGAUAGAUAUGGAAAAAAAAAUAAAAAUUCUAACAUUAUUUAUAAAUCAACUUCCCUUAACCUUAUAGACAUAUUUUAAAUUCAUGUAGGCUCCUUGGACCCAAAGUGAAAAAUAUUUACACAGUUGAGAGUUAUUAUCUAGUUUGCAUGAAAAAUAUAAAGAAAAAUAAUAUAUUAAAAAUUUAGAAGAAUUUAUUUACUUUCAAGCUCUUCAUAAUUUUGAAAUAAGUAAUAAUAGUAAAAAAAGUUUUGUUUGGUUGGCAAUAAUAUUUCCUUUCCCUUCAUCCAAUAGAAUUUGUGACUACUAUGAAGUAUAUAAUAAGAGGUGUAAAAGUUCUAAAUAUAUUGAAUCUCGAAGAUACCAAACUUAUUAAAACGAAAACAACCAAAAGUUCAAAAGACAUAUCGGAAGAGUAAAAGCUGAAAGAAAAACUGGUUUGUACUUACCUGGUGCUAUGUAACCAUAAGUGCCUGCAAGAAGAGUUUGAUUGGAUGAAUCAGGAUGUAGCAGUCUAGCAGUGCCAAAAUCAGAUAGAAAAGCGUCCAGUUUAAAGUCCAAAAGAAUAUUGUUACUUGAUACAUCCCUAUGAAUAAUGGGUGGAGUAGAGUCAUGAUGCAUGUAACAUAAAGCAUGGACUAUGCUUUUGAUUNNNNNNNNNNNNNNNNNNNNNNNNNNNNNNNNNNNNNNNNNNNNNNNNNNNNNNNNNNNNNNNNNNNNNNNNNNNNNNNNNNNNNNNNNNNNNNNNNNNNAUUCGAUUUCUACGAAUGUUGAACACAUUUAAAUGAAUGAGAUAGCCCAAAGAAGGAAUAACACCGGUAAGGUUGUUGUGAUCCAAUCUGAGAUGAAUUAAAUUCUUCAGAUUCCAAAUUACAGGAGGGAUGGAACCAUUGAUUUGAUUAUAACGAAGAUACAAAUGAGUCAAAUUGGUAAGAUUACCAAAUGACAAGGGGAUGAGACCCUGGAUUUGAUUGUCGAUGAGAUGGAAAUAAGUCAAAUUGAUAAGAUUACCCAAAGAUGAAGGAAUAGUACCAAGAAGGGCAUUAUGACUCAAGGACAAUUGAACCAAAUUUUUUAAAUUCCCAAUUUCAGAAGGGAUGGAACCGUUGAUUCGAUUGAAAUUAAGGUACAAGUAUUCCAGGUUGGUUAAACUUCCAAGAGAGGAAGGAAUGACACUGGAAAGAGAGUUAGAACCCAAAUCCAAAUGAAUCAGAUUCUUCAAAUAUCCAAUAGAGGAAGGGAUGGCACCAGAGAGGUAAUUAUAACUCAAAUCCAAAUGAAUAAGAUUCUUCAAAUAUCCAAGAGAGGAAGGGAUGGCACCAGAGAGGUAAUUAUAACUCAAAUGCAAAUGAAUAAGAUUCUUCAAAUAUCCAAGAGAGGAAGGGAUGGCACCAGAGAGACCGUUAAGACUCAAAUCCAAUUCCUCUAAUAGAGUGAGGUUACCCAGUGAAACAGGUAGCUCACCAUCAAGUGCACAAUAAGAGAUACGGAGGUAAGUGAGUUUUGUAAGCGUACCUAUAUCAUCUGGGAUGUGACCAUAGAUGUAAGAAUGGCUAAGGUUGAGAUGGAGGAGGCUGGGAAAUGAAGAAAACUUCAACUGGCUAAGCUUAUACCGUGGGUUAUAGUAAUCUAAAUAGGUAAUCUGAAUAACACGUCCUUCCCUGUUGCAGGUGAUGCCGUCCCAUGUGCAAUGAUGAGAAGUAGUGUUUUCCAUGUACCACCACCAAGUGGAGUUGCGGAGAGCCUCGGCCUCAGCCUCCACCUGUGCGUCAGUUGUAGCAGCAGCAGCAGCAGGAGGUGAUGAGAUCAAGAGCAUGUUAUAUGAUAACAAUACCACUGAAACCACCAACACCCUACAAGGAUUAAUGGAACACCACUCCAUUUUUUCUUAGUUUCGAUUAAUAUUGCUAUAUAUGCCCCAGUUGAUGGUUUUAUAGAAGUGGUGUUGGUGUUGAUCCAACAACUCUCUUUCUUUCACCCACACAGCAUCUCUAUCUAUUAAAAAUUAAUAAAAAUAUUGAUACCUAAAACAUGUAUUAAUAUUUUGUUUUUGUACUUAAAUUUUAUUUUCUACUUGUUAUAGUCAUCAAGCAUUUAUUUAUUUUUUAUUUUUUAUUAUUUAAUAGUAAUAAAUAAUGAUAAAAUAAAAUCACAAAACAUGUUUAAUAUUGAUACUAACUAAAAAAUAUUAUAUAAAAGUAAUAGUCAAAAGACUGCAUUUUUAUUAUGUGAUUGUUAUUCCACUUCAUGAUUAGCUUGUCUAACACUUCUUUGAAGUUUCUUCCAAGCAAAGCAAGUCAACUAAGUCUUCUUAGGCCCACUUUUUAGACUUUUGAUUGUUAGAAGGUUAUGCUGCUAAUUAACUGAGAAAUUUCCUAAUGAUAGUAACAUGUAAGGACCACAAAGAAAACUUAAAUUUGACCAUACAUGGAUCAGGAUAUACUAUUAAAUAUUUUAAAAUUUGAUUAAAAAUUAUUAAUUUCACUAAUUUUAAACAGGAAUCAAUUUUUUUUUAUUUAAAAAAGCCUUUUGAAAAAGUUUUUCUAUUUGUUAUGCAAUCAUCAUUUUUUUUUUUUUGCUUUUUUUUAACUAAUAAAAAAUAAAAUUAGCUCCUAUAAGCAGUACUCUGUUUUUUUUUUUCUCUCCUAAACAAAGCAAGUCAAGCCAAACAACCAUCCUCAAAUCAUUUCUAAAACGCGAUAUUGAAAAUUUCCUAUAUGACACGUGACAUGUGAGACCACACAAAAAGAACACAAAAUAAUAAUAAUAAAUAAAUAAAUGCAAAGAAGUCCUUCCCAAUUUGCAAAGUUUAUUAUAUAAGGAAUUAAUGAUUUGAGAUGUUAAAAGUUUAUGAUAUUUUAUUUUUUUUGCUAUACAUUUUUUACCAUGCAUCAAGGAGGAAAAAUUUUAAAUUCUUUUUUCUUUUCUUGCUCACUUUCUAGAAUUAAUAAUGCCUUCAUAACUCUUGUUUUAGCCGCGCAACAAGUCAAGCAAGUCGUCUUCCACUCUUGAUUGGAAAUUUAGUGGGAAUUGAACAUAAUUAUUUUUAAAAUUUUUAAAUAAAAACUCAAAUGAUAAUGAUAUAACAAAAUAAUUAUUCACAAUUUUUUUUUAAACAUGAAUUGUGGGAAACAAUCAUACCUCACCUGUAUUUGGAAAAUGAUAUGUUAGUUUUUUUAUGUAUAUAUAUAAUUCCAAAUAAUAAAGAUAUUAAAAUUUUUAACAUUAUAUUGUAACUAAAUGUUUUAUUUGUCUUAUUAAUUUCACUAAUUUUAAAAAGGAAAACAAAAUAAUUUUUUAAAAAGGUUUUUCUAUUUGCUACAUAAUUAGUAAAUACAUAUUUUUUAUUUUAAUAAUAAUAAAACAUAAAAUUAAAAUUAGUAAAUAUUUUAAUAUUAAUAUAAACUAAAAAUAUACUUUAGCCAAUAAUUUAUUUGGUUCUUUUCCAAGUAAUAGGGAGACAAGAAAGUCUUUUCAGUCUCAUUAUCAAUGAUUUUUAAUUUUAUUCUAUGUAAAAUUCCACAAUGAUUCGUGUCGUGUCUGUCACGAUGUUUGGAAAAGUCGUUCAAAAAGUGUACCAUCCAUAAAUUAUGUUAAUAUUUUUUCAUUUUUUAUUUUACUUUAAAUCACACCUACUUUUUCCUUGUGCAAGUCAAAGCAAGUCUUCUUAGACGCUCAGAAGCAUAAGCAUAUACCUAACAAAAUAAAAAGCUCUAAUAGGAAAAUUAUAGAAAUCCUGUAUUCCAACCAUACUCAAUCAACAACCCAAAAUAAAAAUAUUUUAAUUAACUUUUAAAAAUUAAAUCAAAUUUUAAUUUUGAAAAACUCUCAAUCCAGGUUUACAACCAAUCAACAACAUUUGGUGUCAUAUCGUAUGAUUCUACCAAAUAGAUAUCAUGUAGGUAUAUAUUAAAAAAAUAAUUAAAAAAUAACAAAAAUAUAAAAUCGAUUGAGGGGGAAUAUAAUUGAAAGUGAGAGUUUGCAUGCACAAAAUACAAACUUUUCAAUUCUUUUUUAAUUUUUAUUUAUUAUUUUAGAAAGAGUUUUUUAAAUGUAAUGUGUAACUUGAUAAAUAAGAGAAUAAGAAAUAAAAAUCAGUCGGAUACAUUCCACCAUUUUACUCAUCAUUCUCUAAAAGAGGAAUGUAAUGUUGAAGAUUUUUGUAACUUGACAUGUUGAAGAUGAAUUUCUAUUUUGUGAUGAAAGAAUAUAAAUAAAUUGAAAAAUAAAAUUAAUGACAUUGUUCACCAUAAUAUAAUAACCGUUAUUGGCAAAUACUAACAAGAAGGUAGCACAUUAUAUUAUUUAAUCUAAAUUGAUAAUUUUGUUUCAUUAUCCGCAUGUAGGGCAUUUUACAUUACUAUAUUAUACGUUUUAUUGAAGCCUUAAGGUUGCUACAUAAUUAACCAAGAUGUAAUACAUGUAAAUAUUCUAAUUAACAUUUUUAUAUAAUACAUGUAACACUUCUCAAAAAGAUGAGAAUAGAAGGUUGAAGAUUUUUAUAACUCGACGUAUUCAAGAUGAAUUUCCUUUUUGCAACAAAAAAAGAAAUAAAUAAGUUCAAAAUUGUUUAUAUAUAAAAUAAAACUAGAUCCUAUAGGCUCUCUAUAUAUUUCUCUACUAGACAAAGCAAUUUAAGUCAAGUCAAGCAACCCUUCUCAAACACUUCUAAAACACUAGGUUGGAAAUGCUUCAUUUGUUUAUUAGAUAAAGCAAUUUAAGUCAAGUCAAGCAACCCUUCUCAAACACUUCCAAAACGCUAGGUUGGAAACGCUCCAUUUGUUUCUCUCCUAGAAAAAGCAACUUGAGUCAAGUCAAGCAACCCUUCUAAAUCAACUUCCAUAAGGCUAGGCUUGAAAUUUCUUAUAUGAUAUGUGACAUGUAAGACCACAUAGAAAGAGCACAAAAUAAUAAUAAAUAAGUUCCAAGAGGUCUUCCCAAAUUUGACCCCAUGUAUAUAUAUUAAUAAAUAUUCUAAAAUUUGAUAAAUAAUUUUUAUAAACAUUAUUAUUCCUUAUUUUUCAUAGCACAUGUGAAACAAAGCUAAUUUUGAUUAAAAAAAAACACUCAUGAGGAGAUGAGUGAAAAUAACUAAUGAAAAUGAUAAGAUAUUUAUUUAAUAAAAUUUUAAACUAAUGAGAACUAGAUGUAUUUAAUCAAAACAUUAAAUGAGAAAAACGGACCAAUGGGUGGCUUUCCCGUCACUUUAUGUUGUUGGUGUUCAAGUGCUCUUUGUAAUCUUGGGUUUAUUUCUUUACAAAUGUCCUAAAUUCAAUUUUUUUUUCUUUUAAUUUAAAACAACUUGAAAAUACCCUAAAUUAUGUGUGACCUACUAGUACAUGAAAGAUACAAAUAUAUAUAUAUAUAUAUAUAUAUAUAUAUAUAUAUAUAUAUAUUUUUUUUUUUUUAAACUUGCAUUAAAAAAAAAGGCCAGUUAAUGAUUUCAUUGGACAACUUGCAUAUUGGUACUCUCUUUUUUUCACCAUUUAAAGAUUCCAUUUCACGGACUGCCCUUUUUUUAAUUAAAAAGAAAAAAGGACUUUUGUUAAUUAUAACAAGAAGUAGAGAUUGAUGUUAUUCCUUGGUUCUAAAAUGUUAUCUUUAUUAAUUUAUAUUAUUAUUAUUAUCAUUAUUUAUCAAAUAACAUCAAAACUAUGGUAUCAUCUUUCUUAUUUCAAUUCUUUUCUAGAGUAGUUCAGGUGUGCAAUAUGUUUUUGAAUAUUAUAAUUUAAAAAAUAACAUUUAAGAUUUAAGCAAAAAAAAAUGUAUUUAUUAGUUGAAUUUUUGUUCUUCAAGAUAAAAUUUAAUAUUUAAGCGAAAAAAUGUUGAACAUCAUCCGUUUAACCAUAUCCACUAAAAAGUACAUGCAUCCCCAAAUGUAAUCCUUGUUAUAAAUAACUUAUUAAUUGUUUCUUUAGGUAGGUGUGGACCCCGCAUUUCGGCUUAUGCGUUUUCCACUCGAUGGCAAGCUCGAUUUUUAUUUAAAAAAUGAUUUUAUUUUUUCAAAUGAUUUUGAGUCGCCACUUAUUUUUGUUUAAUUUUAAAAUGGUAAACAAAAUAAGAAAAAAACCCUAAAUGCGACUCCUAUUUUUGGAAAAGGUGAUUUACGAAAAACUGGAUCGGACUCGGGGAUCAGGUUACUUAUCGGGAAGGUACGGUAAAGACCGUAACAACCCUCUAAGUCCAUAAAAUUGGGUCUCUACUAAUAAAAUGAAGCUAACAUAGGAAUCAAUGAGAAAAUUAAUGACUACUCGAAUUGAUCAUACACAUAUGAGUAUCAGAACAUGCAUAGACACUGAUCAGAGUGAAAGUGGGUACGUACCUGGACAAUAAGCCAUCAUGCGCUAUCAAGAGAGAGAGUUAGUGCACAGUGAUGAAUAUAAAAUAUGUCACUCAUAUCACCAAACAAGAUGAAGAACCAUCAAUAGCAUGCAUGACAUUUCAUUUAAAUCCCUUUUUAUUUUAAAGGAAGUUUAUUUGAUGUUGGGCCCCACCAUAGCCCGAUUUAUUUUUGCAUGAAUCAAUUUUGUAAAUUUCAUUAAUUGGAAUUACAAAAUUGAAUCCUUGCUUAUUUCAAAACCUUGUAAGGAUAGAGAAAAUGUGAAAGUUGCUUGCCAUGAAGAAAAAUGGUGGCAAAAUUUUAUAUAAAAAUGGGAUUCUUGGGUGAUCCUAAAAAUUCUAAGGAUGAAAGAGGGGAAAAUUGGAAUUAUUUGAAAAUCAGAAUUUGAGAAAGAUUUUUACAAAAUGAGAUUUGAGAAAUCAUUUUCAAGAUCAGAUAAGAAGAAAUCCCAGAAUAUUACAUGGAGCAGCUUCUUGACGGGUAGAGUUUCUCUUCACAACUUUGAGAAUACGUGACAUAAAGGAGGUGCCAUCAAGAGAAAGAGCAUGUCCUGCAGCCUCUUUUGGCAUGAACUCUACAUAGUCAGACCCCUUUGGUUGCCUUGUAGCAGCAUCAGUUACUAUAAUCACUUUUACCACUUCCCCAAACUUAUUAAAAUGCCGAGAAAGACUAUCCUUGGUUGCAGUAAAAUGAACAUUGUUAACAAAGAUGGUCCGAGAAUCAGCACCCUCUAAAGGACGACCAGUAGGAUAUGAACCAGGAGCAGAUAGCUACAUCUUCUGAGACUCUCCCUGAGUAUCUACAGCAGGUUUUGCAUUUCCAUUGCCAACCGAGACAGGGUUUCCAUUUGCCUUCAUUAACUGCACACCAGAUUUGCCAGUGCCUGUUUCAUUUCCCCGCACAGGUUUCUGACCAUCCUCUUCCUCAACCUCCCUUAGUCCCUGAUAAUGAGCUGGUUUCCAUGUAUUCACAUUCACAGAGAUAUUCACAAUCUUACGAGAGGUGUUUGCUAAAGCACUAAGCUGACCCUGAUCUUUACUUCGCAUUGUUCGCAUACCUUCAUCAGCAUUCUUAGCCACACUGUACUGCACCAUUCAUCUUCCCAUGGAGAUUCACUGACCAUGAUGCAGUCAAGUCUUUCUGUACAACAAUAUCAUCAUCAAGAAACAGUAUCUUAUCUGACUUGGGAUAAACCUCAGGGAGAUAAAACCUCAGGUGGUUAAGCAUUGAGAGAUACUUGGGAUUCCUGUACUUUAGAUUAGAAGAGCCUGAUGACAGAGUACUGGGAUACCUCUGAUUGAAAUAUAAUGCUUUCAUAGCAGCAGACUCGAGCUGCCUCAGAACUGGGCAGUAGAAUGAAUUAAGCCACUUAAAUUCAUCAACGUUUUCCACAUGGAUGGUUACUUUUCCUGGGGGUUCAACAGAAACCACAUAUUCAUGGCUUCAAAAUUCAGCUCAUCAGUAACCAGAUAGAAUACAUGUUUUUCUGGUUCCUUGGCGUUCAAGAUGGUUGAGUUGACAACAACCAAUGGUCAAGCACAUAGACAAGCAGUGGAUUCCAUUAGGAAUUGUCUUGGCUGCUAAUUGACUCAGGAAUGUGCUCUGCUUUUUUCAAGCUCCUGACUUGUUCCUCUGCUGACUGAAGCAUUGCUCUCAGCUUCCCAGUGGCUUGUCUGAGGGCUCUUUGGGCUCAUUGAUCAUAUCUAGUAUCUCAGGAAAAGUCAAGCCCUUGCACUGGUCCAGACUGGUGAGUUCUUCAAUCAUAUUGGCAUUUUCAAAGUUUAUCUUGUGACUCAUUCCAUGCAAACUUUAUCAGUGGGUCAGAUUCAACUCUUCCAUUGACUUCACUUGCCACAUCUACAUGGACUACCCGUGCGUGGCCUCUGCAUGAACCCUUAGCUGAAAGAUCUUAUCUCCGCCACUGCCACCUUCGAUGCAGCCAGAAAGUUAAAACCCGAUGAAGUUGACUGUUGCUUAUUUUCUAACUGAAGCACCCGAAAACCUCCAUUGUCAGGAUCAAACCUUGCAGUAGAUCUUCCAUCUUUCUCAUGCCAGAGAUCAUGAUCAGCCUCCCCUUGAGGAAAUUGCAUAUUUGAGGCCCCUCCAGGCAGGCUCGAUCAAGGGACCAUUUGUAGGAACCAUGGCAGUCAAAUUUACCUGAGGAUAUCCCACUGAAGCUAGAAUGGAAGGUAAGAAUGGAAGAGGUAGGUGAGUGAGAAAUGGGUAUGGUAAUAUGCAUGGGGAUGCGGGUAUGAAGAGUAAUGAAUGGAGUUGUGGGUAGUAAGAAAAUUGGGUGAAUCAGGUAUUAGAGAAGGGUGACUGCAUAGAGAUAUGGAGAAUGACCUUGUAUACGUGGUAUCCAUGCAUGCGGGUAGGUGUAUUUGGGUAUGGGAUGCCGUGCUCACUAACAUCAGGUGAGAUGACAACCCUUACAUUACUGCCAGAUUGUAAAAUCUCUCUGACCUUGCUUAUAUGGUUCACAUAUGCUUCAACCAAUCCAAGCUCAUGACGUGUCCCUUCACCCGCUUGCCUUAUUUCAAGUUCACUUGUGAUAACCCCAAGUUAAGUUCCUGUAACUAGCAAAUCUCAUAUUUGCUCAUUAUAAGCUUCUAGAACACAACCAGAUGUAUCACAUCAGAGUUGCUGCAAGAGGCUUCAUUAAUUCUACCUCGGGAUUCGCUACAGUUGUAGGGGGGACGGGACUGGCAGUAUGGAACACUCCAUCAUAUCCUUCAAAGGCAGAACAAAGAGCUCCGUACUUCAGCAAAUCUGCCCUAAAAGAGUUUCAGGUUCUCAGAUGCUUUCUCAAGUUUCUUCAAAUCAGCAUCCUUUCCAUCACUGGGAUCUCUAACAGUUCCAUGGACAAUGUAGCCCUUGGAGAGAAGAAGCUUGACGACCUAUGUAGCAAUGUACCCAUCGGCGCCUGUCACACACACUCUGCCCUUCUCUGCCAUUAUCAAAUCAAUCCACAGUUUUUCUUGUUUUUAGCUCCUGACUUCCGUCCUUCAGUGUAAAGCCAUUCAAAUGUUGAAGACUUCGAGAUGAAGAAUAAACCUGCAUGCGGGCUUAGCAAUAACCCGAUUUCAUCUUCAGUAAAUGAAACUAACAGGCAGUAACCUUUAAGGGAUUGGCAAUGAGCAUCAUAUCCCAAUAUCCUAAACUUUGAGCCAAUCAUGUCAACUAGUGCACAGAUUACAUGCAUCGUUUCCUCUAGCAAAUGCCGAAAUCCUGUAGUGGUGUACCUGGAAGUGCUGAAUGGGAGGAAUGAGCAUGAAGUCGGCCAUGCGCGUGAGAUUGGUGCAAAGCAUAGCCAUGGGUGGUGUGUGAAAUUGGUCUUAGGAGUUCGGUGGGUACGAGGCGAUGGAUUUGAUGGCCAUAGGAGCAUGCAUGAUGACUACGUGCACAUGGGAUUUGAGAAAUUGGAAGGAGUGGAAUGAUGAGAGAAAUGGGUGGUGCGGUGUGUUCAAGACUAAUGAAGAAGGAAUGCAACGUGGGCAUGGUGAUUGUGAGGAUGUGGCUAACAAAUUCAGCUGGGUAUGAAAGAAGGUUUAGGUUAUUGGAAGUGAGUAAUGGCAAGGCAUGGGAAGGUUUAGAGAGAAGUGGGUAUGAGGGUGCAGAGAGAAUGAAGGCUAUGACGGCCAUGGCUUUGCUUGAGUUGUGAUUGAUAAUGGGAUGCUGCUGCCUUCAUAUGAUGCAUGGAUAGAGGAGCUUUCACGUCAAGAAACGACAAAGAAAGAACUUGGGUGCGCACCGAUGACUACUCAAGUGGUGAUGUAGCUCCUGCAAACUGAAGUCGUUAUUGUCCAACAGUGCCAACUGUGGGCCUUGAGCUUACAACUCAUUAGAAACCCAAAACUUGAUUCCCCAGCAUGAGAAAAGCACCAACGCCGUUUGCCAUCUUCCUCACUCGAGGAUAAUCAAAAUCUCAAGGAUAAACACUGCCAUCAACAAUAAGAAGUUUUGGUCUCAAUAGAUUAGUUUCUUCUCAAGCAUGUCAUAAACAGCAAGACCAAGACCUGUAGAUUCAUCGAGUCGUUGGGGCCUAGACUCACAAUAAAUUGAGGUGCCUGAUAUCCGUCUUUUAGGAGCUAUGAAACUAUGAGACAAGUGGCCUUACGAGGUAAGUCCAAGCCUAUGAUCAUGCCAUGUAGAUUGAGAAGGACAGUGCAUACUUCAAAGGUAGCUGGAGAAACUGACAAUGGUUGAACAUUGACGCCUCACGUCUUUCCCUUUAGGUGGAAUACUGCCAAAGCCCUCUUCUGACAGAGGAUUUCUAGCUCAUCAAAGAAUUCAUUGCCGCCAUAGUAUCCUCUACCAGACAAUCCCUAAGAAUAUUUGUUUGUGAGGCAAGAGCUAACAACUUCCAUCACUGCUCGGGAUAUGAAAUUCUCUGAAGCAAAUGAGUUCUAAUAUCUUCAUUUAUCGUUGUUUUUCUUUGUAAAUAAUUACACACACUUCAUGACCAGCUGCAUUCAGGCCAUAGUCAAUACAACUGACUUCGCUUCCUCCAUUUUCAGGCACAAUGAUAGACACAAAGGAAAGUAACUUCCCAGUAAUCAAGCUUCUUUCGAUAUAAGAUCUGCAUGGCUUAGCCGAGUUCAGUUUAAUUGGAUGUCGAAUCCCAUGGUCAGUAGACCCACUUGGAGCGAAACUGAACCCUUUAAUCCAAAUGGACCGUUACAGAGAGCACAAAGCAGCAGUAGUAUUCACGAAACCCAGAGCAUGAGGGCGGGCUGUGACCAUGGCAGAGAUUCCAAACUAGAAAGCAAGCACAAAACCGUCCAUGGAAGAGGUUAUCCAAGGUUUUGGAUGCUUAUGAAGUUUUCCUGCAAGUUGAACGAAUCUGUGACAUAGCCCUUUCUGAUCUAACCUGCAUCGUUUCAACAUGUACCACACCAUCCUCAUUCACGGUACCUCCAAUCACUAUGUCACCCUUCUUUCUUCACCAUGGGCAUAGCAUCCUCUGUGAGCAUGUUCUUGAACCCACACUUAUUCUCCAGCUUUACCUCAUGGAAACACGUCAACCAAAAUACCCCACCCAUCAAGUGACCAAUUCAACUCUGAUACCCAACAUCUCAAACGCACCAGCCAUAGAGGCACAAAAGGGAAGGAAAGGGGGCCAAAACAGAAAAGAAACGAGGGAAGGAUAAACGAGGAAUAAAGUAAAACAUAAGUGUAUAGAGCCUCAUUUCGGGUGACAUCCAUGGGCUAAUAUAAGUGAGGAGAUCUCAAGCUAGAGUUACAAAAUAUAUGAGGAACAGAGUUCCAUUAACUCCAAGCCAAACCACAAGAACAACAGUAAGAUCAACAACAAUAGAGUACAAAAACGAUCCAGAAAUCAACAAAAUUCAGCACGUAUGAUCCAAUCCAAAUUGACGAGCAAUGCAGAGCAAACCAAAAUAAGAAAAGGACGAGAAGAAUAUGAAUCAAAGUAAGCAAGAGAGUCACCUCAAACUCACCUGCAGACGCUCCUUUCCUCUGUUAUCUCCUCCUCCAACUGAAUAAAAUCCUCUGUAAGUCCUUCCCAAGCCACGCAGCCUGCUACAUUCCUCAGCUGAAAGGAUCUUCUCUCAUUUCCCUCAAAAAUCAAUAUCUUCUCCCACCCUCAGCCGAAUAGCCUCCUCAUCCCCCAGAAAACCUCCGUUUUCUCCCUCUAGUCUUUUUCUUCUUCUCCCAAAUAUCCCUCUGUCACAGCUGAAAAGCACCCCUUCACUCUGCAGAAGACGCUCCCCCUAACAAACUCUGAACGUCCCCUUUCCAGGUGUCCAUCUUUCAUUGGCUCUCUUAAGCACCACUGUGAUUCCUUGGCAGCCAAUCAGGAGGCAACACAUGGCUCUUGAAAAAGCCCUCCACCUGGCAAAGAAAAUAACCUGCAAGAAAAAAGUGAAUAAGCCCCAAAUGGGGGUCUACAGCAGGCUAUUGAAGUCUUGUUUGAAUACAAUAUAUAUAUAUAUAUUCUUAAAAUAUAUUUUUUUAAUAUUUGAGAUAGUUAAUUUUUUUAUAUUUAAAUUGUAUUUAAAACCUUUACUUUUUUAAUAUAAGUCUUUAUAGAAUUCUUAUAUUUUAUAUAAAAAUUACUAUUAGUUCAAUUUUUUUUAAAAAAUAAAAAUAAAAAAUGUACCAAUUUAUACAAAUUUUAAAAUAUAUUUUUGAUAAGUCAAAUAAAGCCCAAUAAUCUUUAUAAAAUUUUUCUAUUAGAUGAGACAUCUAUAAAUAAAAAAAAAAAAACGAAAUGUUGAAAGGAAUGUCCCCAACUUUCACCAUAAAUGAUACAAUAACCAAAUUAUUGAGGCAAAUAUUCGGACAAGAUUUCUUGUCAAACAAGCCUUCUCUUCUGUUGAUUGGGAAUUGAGUUGGAAAUGAAAGGAGCAUAAAUAUAGAGAGCCCAUCUAAAGAGAGACUAAUUGGGAGUCAAGCCUUUUCUAUGCACAAAUUGGAUAGUUUUGAGAAGACAAAUCAUGUUUACAUCUUCUCCCUUCUUCUUUCCCAUCUAGCAUGCUGUGCUUCCCACUAUUUCAAUUAUCAAGAUGGAAUCUCCACUCCAAAAAAGUGGAAAAUUAAAAUGAGAGGCAUAACCGGAUGAUAAUCAUAAGUAAUAUUGUUUUUUCUUUUUUUCUGAAAAAAAUUUGAUUUGUUAUCCCAAUUGACGGGUAAGCUCUCAAGUAAGUCUUCUUUGGUGACUUCUCCAACUCUUGAUUGGAAAUUAGGUGAUAAAUGAAGAAAAUAUCCAUUUUAAAAGCGGCUAAUUGUGGAAAAACAAUUUAUCUUAUUAAAUUAAUAUUUUUAAUAUAGACAUGUUAAUAUGGAUUUAUAAUAAUUUAUUUAUAAAACACUCCAAAAAUACAUGAUAAUCAUGGAAACUAAUUUGACAAAAAGUUAUAGAAUCUUUAUAAAAUUUUAAAUUAUGCUACAUGGCAUAUGGAAAGAAAAUAUGCAAGUCAAAGAAAGAAUUUAUAAGGAAUCCACCUCAAUUGGUAGAGGGAUAUUCUACCAAUGUAGAUUUGCCUAUAAUUCACUUAUGAUUAUGGAUUUUCAAAUAGUAGAUAGACUUGUUUCAAAAAUUCUUGAAGUGAUAGAAAGUGAAAAAAUACCUAAGCUUCUUUAAAGGCCACUAAAUGUGGAAAACAAUUUAGUUGUUUUGUUUUUGUUGAUUUCCGUGUGAAUAUCCCUAAUUUGUUGGGAUUUUGAUUUUGAAUUCAAAUCGGGAUUUGUUUCCCACUUUCUAUAUUGAGUUUUUUUCCUUUUCUUAGGCAUGUAUCUCCUAGAUUGUAGAUAGAUUUUUAUUUGGUAGAUUAGAUUCUUAGCUUAUAUAAUGUUGAUGUUGUACAUGCUCUAUAGAAAAAUAUAGAAAUAUAUCAAGUUUUUUGCAUGGUACCAGAGCGGUUUCCCACUAGGACAGACUCCUACUCUCCAGCAUUUGUUUUUUUUGGCAACAAGCAACUUGAAGCCCCUACUGCUAUCUCACUGUGAAUUGUCUUCUCCAACCUAGUCACAAUUUGUCCUUGGUUCAUCAGUCCAGCCAUGAUUUAGUCCAGAUGUGAUUUGAUCGUGUUACGAAUUGAUCUAGUCCAGACAAAUCUUUUGGAAUGACUAUUGAUAGUCAAAAAUCAGUCUCUAAAGUCAACUCUAGGUUGAAGACUAUCACUUCCAAUGACCAUGGAGGAUCCGAUGGCUCUUUUCUUCCCAUUGUAGGUCACAAGUUGAAUGGGAAUAACUAUCUACAAUGAUCUCAGUUCGUCCUUAUGUUUAUCAGUGGCAAGGAUAAGGAUGGCUACCUCACUGGAGAAAUUGUUCAACCCAAAAAUGAUGAUCCUAGAUUCGGAAGUUAGAAGAUAGAGAAUAAUAUGGUCAAAUCAUGGCUUAUCAAUUUCAUGACCAAUGUGAUUGGUGAAAACUUUCUUCUCUAUAAGACCGCAAAAGAGAUGUGGGAUGCAAUUAAAGAAACAUAUUCCACCAAAGAAAAAACAGCAUAACAGGUUGAUAUCGAGAUUGUUCGUCAUGAUUUCCAUCAAGAGGAUUUAACCGUCACUAAUUACUACAAUAUUCUUGGUCACCACUGGCAACAAUUGGAUGUUUGUGAGGAGUAUGAUUGGAAUUGCCCAAAGAUGCUGCCAUGUAUAAAAAGAUUGUGGAGAAAAGACAGCUUUUCAUGUUCUUAUUAGGCCUCAACAAGCACCUUAAUGAGCUCCAUGGGAGGAUCCUUGGUACCAAACCCCUUCCAACAAUCCGUGAAGCCUUUGCCACUAAAUACCUAAGCUUCUUUAAAGGCCACUAAAUGUGGAAAACAAUUUAGCUGUUUUGUUUUUGUUGAUUUCCACGUGAAUAUCCCUAAUUUGUUGGGAUUUUGAUUUUGUAUUCAAACCGGGAUUUGUUUCCCACUUUAUGUUUUGAUUUUUUUCCUUUCCUUUCAUUUUCUUAGGCAUGUAUCUUCUAAAUUGUAGCUAGAUUUUUAUUUGGUAGAUUCGAUUCUUAGCUUAUAUAAUGUCGAUGUUAUACAUGCUCUAUAGAAAAAUAUAGAAAUAUAUCAAGUUUUCUGCAUGGUAUCAGAGUGGUUUCCCACUAGGACCGACUCCUAUUCUCCAACAUCUAUUUUUUCUGGCAAUAGGCAACCUGAAACCCCUACUGCUAUCUCAUUGUGAAUUGUCUUCUCCAACUUAGUCACAAUUUGUCCUAGGUUCAUCAGUCCAACCACGAUUCAAUUAAGACGUGAUUCGAUCUUGUUACAAAUUGAUAUAGUCUAGACGAAUCUUCCAGAAUGACUACCAAUAGUAAAAAAUUAGUCUCUAAAGUCAACUCUAGGUUGGAGAUUGUCACUUCCAAUGACCAUGGAGGAUUCGAUGUCUUUUUUUUCCCCAUCAUAGGUCACAAGUUGAAUGGGAAUAACUAUCUCCAAUGGUCUCAGUUCAUUCUUAUGUUUAUCGGUGACAAAGAUAAGGAUGGCUAUCUCACAGGAGACAUUGUUCAACCCAAAAGUGAUUAUCCUAAAUUCCAAACAUAGAAAAUAGAGAAUAAUAUGGUCAAAUCAUGGCUUAUCAAUUCCAUGACCAACGAGGUCGAUGAAAACUUUCUUCUCUACAAGACCGCAGAAGAGAUAUGGGAUGUAGUUAAAGAAACAUAUUCCACCAAAGAAAAUACAAUAGAACAGGUUGAUAUCAAGACUAUUCUUCAUGAUCUCCAUCAAGGGGAUUUAACCAUCACCAAUUACUACAAUAUUCUUGGUCGCCACUGGUAACAAUUGGAUGUUUAUGAGGAGUAUGAUUGGAAGUGCCCCGAAAACGUUGCCAAGUAUCAAAAGAUUGUGGAGAAGAGACAACUUUUCAAUUUUUUAUUGGGCCUCAACAAGCACCUUGAUGAGGUCCAUGGGAGGAUCCUUGGUACCAAACCCCUUCCAAUAAUUUGUGAAGCCUUCGCAGAGGUAAAGAGAGAGGAGACCUGGAAGAAACUCAUGUUAGGCAAGCAAACUGCUAUAGCUACUACUGAAAGCUCUACUCUUACAACUCGAGGUUAGUCUAGCAACAAUUGAGGAAAUCAACAGCAACGAAAGGGAAGACUUUGGUGUGACUAUUGCAAGAAACAUGAACAUACAAAGGAUACAUGUUGGGAUAUCUAUGGUAAACUUGCAGAUUGGAAAUCAAGGUCAAAUAGACGUGAUAGUCAAACGAACAAUGCCACCACCGAUUCCACCUCCCAACCCAAAUCAAACUCGCUUAGCAAAAAGCAAUUAGAUCUUUUAUAGAAACUACUCUAACAGUCACAACAACCUAAACCACCUCAACCCACUUCCAUAAUUGGUACUAGUUUUAUUGCACAAAAAGUUAAUUUCUUGAGUGCUCUAAAUGCUAAACAGAAAGGACAAGACCAUGGAUUGUUGACUCUGGUGCAUCUGACCACAUGACGGGAGAUGCAAAUGUUUUUGACACAUAUGAUCCUUGCUCUUCGAAUUAUUUUGUCCACAUUGCUGAUGGAUCAUUGUCCAAGGUUGUUGGUUCCGGUUCAGUGACUAUUUCAAAGGACUUAACUCUUCACUCUAUCUUGUUCCAAAUCUAGAUUGCAGUUUGUUGUCCAUUAGUAAACUAACAAAAGACCUUAAGUGCGUUACUAAAUUUUUUCCUAACCACUGUGAAUUUCAGGUUAUGGAUUUGGGGAUGAUGAUUUAUUUCAAGUUAUGGAUUCAGGGAUGAUGAUUGGAAAUGCUAAGGUGCAUGAGGGGCUCUACCUACUUCAAGCUAAUGAGUAUCCUAAUCCCAGUCAUUCUCAAGCUCAUUCUAUUCAGUCCUCCAAUUCUGUUCUUUCCAUUCGUAGUGAUAAUAAAAAUGAUGCCAUAUUGUUGUGGAAUUAUAGAUUAGGCCAUCCAAAUUUUGUUUUACCUUGAGAAAAUGUUUCCAUCAUUAUUUAAUAAAAAUUCCUAGUCUUUUUAGUGUGAAAUUUGUCAAAUGUCUAAACAUGUGCAUAAUUCUUAUCCUAACCAAGUUUACAAGACUUUUCAUCAUUUUUUAAUGAUACACAGUGACCAUUUAAGAUCAAGAACAUUUAUGGAUGAAGAUGGUUUGUCACCUUUAUUGAUGAUCACACUAGAUUCACUUGGAUAUUUCUCAUGAUAGAUAAAUCUAAGGUUGGCCAAAUCUUUAUAAACUUUCAUAAAAUGAUCCAAAGUCAAUUCUAAGCCCAAAUUCAAAUUCUCAAGACCAAUAAUGGAAGAUAAUACUUCCAUUAUGCUUUGGGUACUUAUUUGAUGAAUAAUGGAAUUAUACACCAAAGUUCAUGUGCUGAUACUCCUCAACAAAAUGGACUAUCAAAGUCCUUGUCAAGUCCUUCUCUAAUCUUAUCCUAAUUCUCGGCUAAUCUCCUCCAUUCCCAUCAAAGUGUUUGGUUGCAUUGUCUUCGUCCAUAUUCAUUCCCAACAUUACUCCAAACUUGAUCCAAAAGUUGUCAAAUGUCUCUUCCUUGGGUAUUCUCUUAACCAAAAAGGGUAUAAAUGCUACUCUCCUACUCAAUGGAAAAUUUACAUAUCCAUGGAUGUAACAUUCUUUAUUAUUCAACUCGUUUACCCCAAAACUAAUAUUUAGGGGGAGAAUGGACUUAGUGAAUAUUAGUUUUUGAACAUAAAUACUGAUUUUCUUGAUACAAAUUUUGAUUCUUCCUGCCUUUCUUCAUCUUUUCUUCCACUUGAGGUUGAGACAUCUUCCAAUCUUCAAUCAAAAUCCAUUUCUGAGACCAUAUAGUCUGCACAAUCUUCAAGUGCUGACCUUCCUCUCAACCAAACUCAACAUCCAACCUCAUCUAUUGUCUAUACCAGAAAAAAAAAGGCUUAGAAGGACGAAAAAAUCCAAGUGCAUCCAAUGCAAAACUAAGAGUUUGAAUUAGAUUCAAAAGAUUCUAAAAAUUGACUAGGUAACACCACUAUUGAACCUCUUUUGGAUGAAAUUUCUAAUGAUUUAGAUUUGCCUAUUACUCUAAGAAAAAGGGUGAGGUCUUGCACUAAACAUCCUAUUCAGAACUUUGUGUCCUAUAAUGAGCUAUCUCCAUCAUAUAGGGCAUUUUCCAUGAACAUAACUGAAGUGCAAGUUCCUAGAACUAUUCAGCCAAUCAGAUUGGAGAAAAACUAUUUUUGAUGAGAUGAGUGCUUUGGAAAAGACGGGUACAUGGGAGAUUAUUGAUCUACUGAAAGAUAAAAAUACGAUGGGAUAUAAGUGGAUCUUUACAGUCAAACAUAGAGUUGAUGGAAAUGUUGAUAGGUUGAAGACACGACUUGUUCCAAAAGGAUUCACUCAAGCUUAUGGAGUUGAUUACUAAGAGACAUUUGACCUAGUUGCAAAACUCAAUACUGUUAGAGUCUUACUGUCUCUUGUUGCUAAUCUGGAUUGGUCACUAAACCAGUUAGUUGUGAAGAAUGCCUUCCUCAAUGGUGACUUGGAGGAGGAAGUGUAUAUGGAGAUUCCCCUUGGCUUUGAAAGAAACAAUGACUUUAAGAAGGUAUGUAAACUCCGAAAAGCAUUAUAUGGCCUUAAAGAAUCUACUCGUGCUCGGUUUGACAUAUUCACAAAGGUCAUCAAGAAAAAUGGUUAUAUUCAGUGCCAAUUUGAUCACACCUUGUUUGUUAAAUUCUCUAAAGGAGGAAAAAUAACUAUUCUUAUUGUGUAUGUCGAUGACAUAAUUCUUACUGGAGAUUAUGAUGAAGAGAAAGUUAGUUUGGAAAAUUUCCUCACCAAGGAAUUUGAGAUAAAAGAUUUGGAUGAUCUCAAGUAUUUCCUAUGAAUGGAAGUGGCUUGAUCUAAGAAAGGAAUUUGUAUUUCCCAAAGAAAAUACAUCCUUGAUCUUCUAGAGGAGACUGGUAUGCUUGGGUGUAAACCCUUAGACAUCCCUAUAGACUCUAAUGUCAAGCUUGGCUUAGAUCAAGAGGGUCCUUCAGUUGACAAAGGGCGAUAUCAACAACUCGUAGGGAAGUUGAUAUAUCUUACCCACACAAGACCAGAUAUUAGAUUCUCUAUUAGUUUGGUUAGCAAAUUUAUGAAUAAUCCUACCAAAGAACACUUAGAUGUUGUCUAUAAGAUCCUUCAAUAUCUUAAAUAGGCUCCUAGAGUAGGGUUAUUUUUCAAAAAGAACUCUAACAAAGAAAUUAUGAUCUACACUAACAUAGAUUGGGUUGGCUCUCCUAUAGACCAUAGAUCUACAUCUUAUUAUUGUUCAUAUGUUUGGGGCAAUCUUGUUACAUGGUGAAGCAAAAAACAAACUGUUGUUGCUAGGAGUAGUACUGAAGUUGAAUUCAGAGCUUUAGAAAAUGAAAUUUGUGAGGGCAUGUGGAUUAAAAGACUAUUGGAAGAACUCAAGUUUCCUAUUGAUAGUCCUAUGAGAAUUUUUUGUGAUAAUCAAGCAACAAUUAGCAUUGCUAAAAAUCUUGUUCAUCACGACACGAUUAAACAAGUGGAGAUUGACUGUCAUUUCACUAAAUAGAAGAUUGAUGAGGGGAUUAUCACUCUUGGAUACAUACUAACAACUCUUCAAACAAUCUACAUCCUUGCCAAAGCACUUCCUAGAGUCAACUUUGAAGAAAUGAAGUCCAAGUCGGGCAUGCUAAACAUCUAUAGCCUAGCUUGAGGGGGAGUGUUGAUUUUCGUGUGAAUAUCCCUAAUUUGUUGGGAUUUUGAUUUUGUAUUCCAACCGGGAUUUGUUUCCCACUUUCUGUUUUGAGUUUUUUUGUUUUUUUUCAUUUUCUUAGGCACGUAUCUCCUAUAUUAUAGCUAGAUUUUUAUUUCGCAAAUCCGAUUCUUAGCCUAUAUAAUGUCAAUGUUGUACAUGUUCUAUAGAGAAAUAUAGAAAUAUACCAAAUUUUCUCUAGUUUUAAAUCAUAUCAAAUUUUUUACUUCAAAAUGAUUACAUUGAAAAACUCCUAAAUUUUGACUUUGAAAUGAUUAACCUUCCAAAGAUUAUUAAAAUUGUUAUCCAUUAUUUCCAUUUACAUAGAAUUUGAGAAGGACUAUAUAAUGCUUGAAAAUUUAAACAGUAUAGAAUAAAAAUAUGAUCUAUAUUGAAUUAGAAUUUUUUUUAAAAAUAAAAUUGGGACAAGCUACCUACUUAAGGAAUCCUCAUAUAUAUAUAUAUAUACGACUAAGAAAAAUGAUAAAAAAGGGUGUACAAAUAUCACAUGUUAGAAAUUUUCAAAUAAAAUUGUAAUUUUAUUGAAUUGUAGAAAAAUCUACUUCAAAUCUCCAGUUUAAUUUCAAAUUAUUCUUUCAAUAAUUGUUGACUAAGUGCUUGCAAAAUUUUGAUCUCAAGUUCUAUUGAAGAUUUGAUGUUGCUUGCUUGAACUUCAUUUAGACUUUAACUUGCUUAUGGUUUGAGUUUGGAUUGGCUUAUUUUUUACUUACAUUUUAGAAAUGAACAACAUCUUAGUCUUUGAGAUUUGAAGCUUGAUUUUAUUCUUGGCUAGACUUGUUAGGCUUUGACUUCAUUUUAGCUUUGGCUUAAACAAUCCUAACCAAGUGCUUGAGUAAUAAUCUUAGACAACAAAAUUUAGAAGAUUUGGCUAUUAAAGUUUGAUUCUUGAUUUUUUGAAAGAUAUUCAUGAUUUGAAAAUAUUUUGAAGAAAUUAAAAACUCAUCAAAGAAAUUUUGAAGAUUUGAGUAAACUUUGAAAUCUCUUUUGAAGAUUGAAAAAGCAAUGAAUACUUUCAAAGAAGCCUUCAAUUUCACAUAAAAAUGUUUGGGAAGCUUUAAAGGAGACCAAAUUUUUUUGAAGAAGUUUGAAGGCCAUCAUAGAAGCUUUUUGAACUUAUAACAAAGCUUUCCUUCUACCUUCUUACUUAUGUAUUUUUUACUUAUUGUGUGAAAUAUACCUUCAAGGUGGUUUCCUUUAUUUAUAAAGAUAGGAAUAACAAUACUUAAACAAUUUUCUAGCUCUUGAAAUAUGUUUUUAAUUAUUUAACUAAACUUAAUUUUUAAGGAGAUAUAAAAGAACAUAUUUAGAUGGUCUUUAACCCCUUGAAAACUAUUCUUUAAGGAGAAUCGGUGAUUAACCAUUUUUUUUAAAUCAAGUCCAUUAUUGUCUUAAUUUAUUGUAAUAAUAUUCUUUUUGUUGUCAAUAUUUAUCUUUUCUUUUAUUUAAUCUAUAGAUAACUUUUUGAGGACCCAUUAAUUUGUACUUAAAUAUUGGUAUAGAUAGUUAAAAUUAUGUUUUUAAGCAUAAAAAGGAGUAAAAAUCAUUGUUUUUACCUUCAAUAUGUUAACACCCUAUUUUGGUAACUAAUGUGCUAUAUUGUGGGAACUAUAGCAAAGAGAAGAUAAACACAUGUUUUUGUUAGGAUAGAACCCUUAAAAACAUGAUAUGAAGUAACAAAUUUGGAAUUCAUUAUUUAAUGAUAUUCCCAUUUCAUUUUUAUCUAUUCUUGUUCCAUGCAUUACACUUUAUAAACAUUCUUGCCUAGCAUCUUUUGCAUUGCACGUGAUUUGGGUGCAUUAGGAAUUGCCCAAAAGAUCCAAAUCUCGAGUUCCUUGCAAAUAGAUAACUUUUUCAUAAUCGAUUCAGGUCUAGGCAUCAUGAUAUCUCAUGGUGAAAGACCACCGAAAGUCUAAUAGGGAACAUCCAAAAAGGGAAAGAGGAGUGAAUGGGUGAUAUGAAAAUUCAAAUAAAGAGUUAUAUAUAUUAUAUUCAAUUUUUCUUACCCUAAAAAAUUUUAGGGAAGUCCUAAUUUGCACUUUGGGCAAAUUUCAAACAUAUAAUCUAGUAUCUUCGGAGAAUAAGGGAUUAUAUGUUUGUGAGUCUUUGUGAUGAGUUGCUACUCUUUUCAUAUCGAGAAAUUGGACUUCAAUAUGAUAAGGACUCUUGUAGGUCUACCUUUGGGUGUGUGUGCACUGUAAGUGGUUUUUAUUUUAUUUAUUUUAUAGAAACAAAGGAAGCCUUUUGGCUUAUGGGUAGUUCCCUUGACCAUAAUGUCUAAGAUCCUAUUAUGUAAUAAUAAUGGGUUGGUGGCAUGAUCUAAAAAACUAAAGUACCACUAGGAGAGGAAACACAUAUGGAGGAAGUGUAACCUUAUUGUGAGAUAGUAUGGAGAGUUGAUGAUACAAUGGAGUAGAAUUCUUUCUACGGUUCCCAAUCUAUUUUUUGGGCUAGUGGGAUUUUGUUGGGAUUAUGCCCCUAAAAACAAGGCAUGAUGUAACAAAGUUAGACUUAACCAUCCCCUUGCUAUCCCUUUUGGUGUAUUGACAUUGCCUUGAGCAUUUAGCCCGUGUCUCAUACAUUGUACAUGACUUUUGUGUAUUAGGAGUUAUACAAAAGAUACAAGUCAUGGGUUCCUUGUAAGUAGAUAAGUUGUCCACAAUCGGUUCAUGGAUAUAAGAAAUCCAAUAGAGACUAUAGUGCAUCACCUUCUAAUUAGAGGGAUGACUUAUCUUGGCCAUCAAGAUGGGUUUCCCAUGGUGAGUGCACUAGUGUAUGUGAUGCAAAUUGGACAGGACCUAGGGUGAAUCAUGACACAAAGCUAUCAAUUAUCAUGAUUCACUAAGCUACUACACUGCAUAGACUUUCAAACAUGAGAAGAUAUUGAGUUUCUGCAAAAAUCAAUAGGAGGCUUUGACUUAUGGGUAAGACUUUAAAGUGGUCAUAUAUCCCUAUGGAUUUGGUCACUAUUGAUGGAGGUUGGUGGCAAUGGGUAUUCUCAAUAGAGACACCAUGAUAUCUCAUAAGAUUAAGACAGUGUGUCCCCUUGGGUGAUCUAAAGACAUGUGAUUGUGAAAUCUGUGGCCAUAGUAAUUACUUAAGUGGAAUUUGACAUAUUCUCUUCAAAGCUAGAGUAUGUUAUUUGAUCACAUAAUAAGUGGGAUCUAUAACUCAAGGAUUUGAGAGGUAAUCUUGAUAGGUGAAAACACUAUAUUGUUAGAUUAUGAACACUAGUUCAUGGGGAGUCUACAUGCAGUGGAUAGUAGGUCACAAACUCAAAUACUUGGUGUCUCAUUUUAAUAAAUAUAAGGUACUGGAGUGUAGUUGACUCUCUAUAGUGAGAUGCUAAGUUAAUUUCAUAAUUGAUUAUGAGAGAGCCAAUACUCCUAUGGGUCCCAAUGGUCCCCGAUCUGGGCUUAUAUUCCUUGAUGGCAUGGUUUAUGAUGGUUAGGUGGAUUUUGAAGGGAAAAACUCUGAUCACUCCACUUCCCAAGCCCAGAUUUGGGUAGCAACAUGCAUAACUAUCCUAGGCCUUUUCUAAAUCCUAUGCUCAAUGAAAAAAAUAACAUUUUUAAACCUUAAAAGGAUUCAUAAAGAGCUAACGAAAACUGAUUACUACUCAAAAAGUGCUAUUUCAUAGCUUGUAAAUAACUCUUUUAAACACUUUUGAGUAGUAGUUAUUGCCUUUUAACCCAAUUAACAUGUUAAGGACCCUUGCAAUCAAUUCUAAUCAAAUUGUGUUAAGUUUUGGUGUUUUGAUAGCUUUUUGAUCACCGAAGCAAUAUGAGAUUGAGGAGAGUUAUUUGGAAUCCAUGGCAAAGCAAUGGAAAGCUCAGAAACAUGAAGAACCAAAGCUUUGAAGUCCUUUGCCAUAAGCAAAUCCGGAAUGCAAGGAGGGGAAGCAAAGAGAAAUCUGCCAUGAAACAUUCUUGAUGUCAGUCAUGUCAGCCACUUUUGGAGCACUUCUUGGAGUUCAAUUUAUUCAUGCUAUAUGUCGUUUCGAAGCUCAGGAAGUCAGAAAUCCAAUUCUUCAAACGGUGUGUGAUUCAGAGUUGAAAUGAAGGAUUUACAGCCAUUGGAAGCCAAUCACUCCAAGCUGAAGGAAGAAUUUUGCACGGCUGCGAAAUCACCCUUUUGCUGCGAAAUGAUUUCGCAUCCAUUUUGCACAGUGCUGUGGAAUUCCUCCUGAAGUUUCCCCAUAUUUGCGACACGUUGGAAGCCGAACACUGCAAGCUGAAAGCCAACUUUGCAGCACUGCGAAAUCAGCCUUUUGCUGCGAAGUGAUUUCGCAGCCCUUUUUGUGCAUCUGCGAAAUCUCGCAAACCUCUUUUUCACCUGCGAAAUGGUCGUUAGUGCUUCUUGAUAUUUGCGACCGACAUUUUGAGAUAUUUUUCUUCAGAUAUUUUUGUAUAAAUUUUCAUUCUUCUCCUUGUAAUCCACCAACCAUAAGAUUUCUUAGCUAGGAAGGUUGGAAAAACUUCUCUAUAUAUAUUCCCUUGCAUCCAUUGUAAUAAAGAUACAUAUCAUAUAUAGAAUCAACGAACAGAGCACUUGCUCUGUUUUUCAUAUAUAUUCUUGUUUUCUCAUUAGUUUUCUUUCUAGCAAAACAUUCUCUGAGAUAUUUUCUCAGAGGAUGAGAGGCUAGGCUCUUCGUCUCUUGGAGUGAAGAAAUCCGGGUAAGCUUCCACAUGCAUAAUUUGGAAGUUUUGUUGUUUUAGUUUUUAAUGAAGAGAAAGUGUGACCCGUUAAUGGUUUUUAUCUUUUUAGUUAACUUAAAACACCUUUAAUUCACCUGAGCCAACACUUGGUAAGGCAAGUGAUCUCCGUCUAUGGAGAUGCACUAGUUUAUCUCUUGCGAGCUUUUGGUAGGUGGUUUGAAGGUAUGAUUUUCUAGAAUAGCCAACACUUGGUAAGCUUUUAGACUCCAAGGAGACAUCCAUUAGUUAUCUCUUGCGAGCUUUUGACGGGUAAUCCAAGGUUAAAGAUCACCUUGAAUGGCAAGUGCUAGGUGAGAGGUAUGAGCCAUUGCAAGGUGCAUCAAUGAGAGGGAUUUAGUGUUUGAACCCAUUAAUGGGAAGCAUCUGUACAACACCGGUUGGAGAAGGGACUAUAUGUUAAUUCUCUAAUGCGAGGAAAAGAAACAAGUGACCGGAACUCUCCUUUUUGUAUGAGGAACCUGAGCCUAGUGAUCUAAACUCCAAGAAACACUUUUCUUUGUAAGUAAAAUCAGUUACUAUUUUUGGUUAGUUUAAAACCGAACCUUUUUCAUUCAAAUAUCUUUAUGUUUUCUUUUAAAGCUAACCUUGAAAUGAAAAGGCACCAAUUCAGCUUUGAAUUAAUAUCAUUGGCAAAGUGAAAACCCAUCCCAGUGAACGAUCCUAAAGUCACUAUGCUAUAGUAGCUUUGUCUUUUCUACCCUAGUAUAUGGUGUAAUAGGUUAUAAAUUUUGUUGAUUACUCCCUCAAUCAAGGAGCACCAACUGGACACGAAUCAGCUGAGACACCAAUUGGGCAUGAAUCAAAAACCAUACCUCAGAUUCCGAUGUUCCUAAAUCAAAUCCAGGUGGUGAAAAUGAAGAAUGAAAUCACAAAAGUCUCAUAAACCUGAAGUUUUCCGUGCAAUGAAUCGAAUUGAUCUUGACACACCUCCAGUGGGGAUGGAAAGGAAUGUGGAGGCUAUAACUCUUUAUUUUUCUCUUUGGAGAUGGAAGAUGGCUCUCUAGAAAAACUAUAUGAACUUUAAGCCCUAAGAUGAGAUUUAUAGGGUUUUCUACUAGGCUUAAGUAACUUGAGCUCACUAAGUGCUUGGGUCACUUAAUCUAGCCCAAAAUGGGUCCUAAUUGAUUAAUUAACUCAAUAGGGCAUGCUAAUUAAUCAAUUAGCCCAAUCUAGAGACCUUGCUCACUUACCCUUGUGCAAUUUUUGUGUAAUUACCAAGAUGCCCUUAUGCACAAAAGUGAACCUAGAGCUAAUUCGACUCUCAUUACCCAUGCCAACAAGGUAUAUGAUUACUACCCAAAAAGUGCUAUUUUACACCUUUAAUGCAUUAUGUUUUAAGCACUUUUGUGUAGUAGUUCUCCAUCUUUAGUCCAAUUGGCAUGUUAAGGACCUAGCAAUGUCUUCUAAUCAUAUUUGUGGCUAGUUUUAGUGUUUUGACAUCUUUUUGGAUCAUUAAGACAAGCCAAUCAAAGGAGAAAAGCAAAGAGAAGCAAGGAGGAAAACAGAGGACAGCAGCUGCAGUCUUCGUUAGCACUUUUGGAGAACUUCCCGAAGUCCAUUUUCUACAUUCUAUAUACCAUUUCAAAGCUCAGGAAGUCAAGAAUCCAACGCUUCAAACCGUGUAUGAUUUGGAGCUGAAACGAGGAAGAUAUGGCUUUCGGAAGACAACUGCUCCAGGUGUGCGAAAAUUUCGCACACCCCCUUAGCUGUGCGAAUGGUGUGCGAAAUUCGCACACCCCUUGCGUGGUGCAAAUUUUGCUCUGUUUUUGCCGACUCCACUUUAGAUAUUUUCCUAUGUAUUUUUUGAUGUAAUUUCCUUUCUUAUCCUUGUAACUAACCAGUCACAAGCUUUUGCUUUUGUAAAGACUAUAUAAGGGGUGGAAAUUACCUCUUGGAUAUGAAAUAUACGUAUUACGUUUGACACUUAGAAAUUUUUACAGAGCUCUCUCGUUUUCCAUUUUCUCUCUACUAUUUUCUUUUUCUUGGAAGCCAAACAACCUCUGAGGAUGUUUUCUCAGAGGAUGAGAGGCUAAACUUUUGGUUUCUUGGAGUGAUGGAAGCUAGGUGAAAAGUCCAGAUGCAAGGUGGAAAACGCUCGUGCAUUAAAUUCAGGUAGUUGGAAUUCAUAAAUGGCUUUUAAAUCCAAAGUUUUGCUUUAAAUCCCUUAGAAUCACUUUGAAUGACCAAUACAUGGUAAGCUUUAGGUCUUUAUGGAUGCUUAUUGCUAGAUCCAUAUUAGUCCAUUAGUUAUCAUGUACGAGUCAUUGGAAAGCGGUUCAAGGUGAAGACCUAUAGUGUCUAAAGCCAUUAAUGGACUUUGACUACCAUUUAUAUUGAUUAUUAUGGAUUAAAUCUUCAUUGUUAAGCCUACACCGGUUCGGGAAAUAACUAUAGGUUAAAUUCCCAAUGCGAGGAGAAAAAUCCGGAAUUUUCCACUUUGCACUCUAAACUUGAUCCUAGCAAUCCUGAGCUCCGGGAGACUUUCCUUCUUCCAUUUUUAAUUAGUUUAUGUUAAUUUAGUUUCAAACACUUUCAAAACAAAUUUUAUUUUCUUUUAAACUCUAAGUUUUUUUUUUUUAUAAAGGAAAUCAUUAAAUUCAAUUCAUAAUCAUGAGUAUAUCACUGGUAGAAUGAAAACCCAUCCCAGAGUUCGACCCUAGAGCCACUAUACUAUAGUAGCUUUGCUACACUAGUAUGAGGUCAUAGGUUUUAUAAAUGUUUUUGAUUAAAUGACCCAUUUGGAGUUACAUGCGAAUCAGUAUAUGAGCUCAGAGCAAGGACUAUUAGGACCCAUAUGAAUAUUAGCUCCCUCACAAUCCAAUUCUAAAGUUGAUUCAACAUCCCACUAGAAAGAAUCAACUGAACUCCAGUAUCCUAUGUAAAUAGCAAUGAGACAUUAUGUGCUCAGGUUCUUGACCUGCUAUCCAUUACAUUCAGUCUCCCGAUGAACUAGUGUUCUUAGUCUAACAAGAUGAAAGCUAUCAACCUUUCAAGACUAUCUCUACUAUCUUUAAGUUAUAGAUCCUCCUAUUGUAUAUUCAACUGACACGUCUUAGCUCUCAAAGAGCCUAUGUCAAGUUUCACUUAAGGAAUUACUAUGACCAUAGUUUCUAUUAACACACCUCCUUAGGAUCACCUAAGGGGAUACACUGUCUCAAUCCCAUGAGAUAUCAUGGUGCCUAUAUUGAGAAUACUUUUUGCUACCAACUUCUAUCAACAAUGACCUGAUCCAUAAGGAAUAUAUGAUCAACUUACGAUCUCACCCGUAGGUUAAAACCAUUGCUAACUUUAGCAUACGCUUAAUAUUCUCUCAAGGUUAAGAGACAACACAAUGAAGCAAUUUGGUGAGGUCAUGACUACUUGAUAGCCUUAAGUCAUGACUCACCAUAGGUCUUAUCCAAUGUGUAACCAUACACACUAAUGCACUCACCAUGGGAAACCUCUCCCCAUAGCUAAGACAAGUCAUCACUCCAAUUAGGAAGUAGUGCACUACAACCUCUAAUGGGUUGCCUAGACCCAUGAACUAGUUGUGAACAAGUAAUCUAUUUGCAAGAAACCCAUGACUUGGAUCUUCUGUGCAACUACUAAUGCACCUAAGUCACAUACAAUGCAAAAUAUGCAAGUAGGAAUGCUCAUAAAAUAUAAUACAUGGAAUAAGGAUAGACAAAAGUGAAAUUGGAACAUCAUUUAAUAAAUAAUGAAUUCCAAAUUUAUUACAUCAUGUCAUGCUUUUAAGGGCUCUAUCCUAGCAUUCUCCUACUAGCCCUCAAAGCGUCAUGCUUAUAAAGCAUGCUAAAUACUCAUUUGAAACCUAUGCUAUCCUUGUGACUAACAAAGACUCUCCUUGUCAAUGUCUUGGUGAAGGGAUCCACCAGGUUCUCCAUAUAAGGUAUCUUGUCCCAUAUCAUGUCACCUUCUAAACUAUUUCAACACUUUGGAGCACAAGCACAUAAUCCCUCGUUCUCCUAAGAUACUUCAGUAUAUGCUUGAUAGCAGUUUAGUGUUCUGGACCUGGAUUAAACUAAUAUCUACUUACCAUACCCAUUACAACAUAAAUAUUUAGCCUAGUACAUAGCAUCGCAUGCAUAAGGCUACCCACUAUAGAGACAUAGGGUACUGAUUGGAUGCGUUUUUUCUCCUAGGUGUUUUAGGACACUGAUCCCAAGAAAGAAGAAUUCCAUGCCUAAAAUGUAACAAACCUUUCUUGGAAUCUUGCAUCACAUACUUGACCAAAAGCUUAUCUAUGUAGGUAGCUUGAGAUAGCACUAGUUUCUUAUUCUUACGGUCCCUAAGGACCUUAAUCCCAAGAAUAUACUACACUUCUCCCAAAUCCUUAAUCUGGAAUUGAGUAGAUAAACAGAACUUUACUGAUGACAAUAACCCUACAUCAUUACCAAUGAGUAAAAUGUUGUCAACAUACAAGAUCAUAAAGACCAUCAUGCUUCCGUGCUCCUUCUUUUUACACACAAGGUUCAUCCUCAUUUUGAUCAAAGUCAAAGGUCUUGACUGCCUGAUUGAAACAUUUAUUCUAUGAGUGGGAUGCUUGUUUUAGUCCAUAAAUGGAUUUAUGCAAUUUGUAUACCAUAUGCUCUUAACCCUUUGCUACAAUACCUUUUGGUUACACCAUAUAGAUGCUCUCAUCAAGAUUUCCAUUUAAGAAUACAAUCUUGACAUCCAUUUUCCAUAUCUCGUAGUCAAGAUGUGCUGCAAUGGAUAGGAGUAUUCUAAUGGACUUGAGCAUGGCUAUCGACGAGAAGGUCUCAUCAUAGUCAAAACCAAGUUUCUGACUAUAACCCUUCACUACAAGCCUAGCCUUAAAAGUCUCAACCUUUCCAUCUACUCCUCUCUUUCUCUUAUAGACCCACUUACACCUUAUGGGUUUUAUACCUUCAAGUGCUUCUACAAGCUCCUAGACUUGGUUAGAAUGCAUAGAUUCUAACUAUACUUCCAUAGUCUUUUACCAAAAAUGUGCAUCCACAUCGCUCAUUACUUCAUCGUAAUAUGUGGGAUCGAUCUCAUGUUCCUUUAGAAUGACCUCAAAAGACUCUCCCAAAACAUGAAUUGGUCUAGUUGUUUAACAACCCUCCCACUACAAUGAAGCAUCAGUGUACUAGAAAUGAGAAUGGUUGGUACUAGAUCCAUAGUAUCUAGUGUAUAGUGAAACUAUCUUCUAGAUUGUUUGCCUUAUUACAUGUCAUAGAGUCUUCAUAAAAAAUCUAGUAUUUGUAGCAAGCAACACCUUAUGAUAAUCCUGACUAUAACGUAGUAAUCCUGAAAUCCUCUUGGAUAUCCUAUAAACUAAUACACCUCUUUAGAAAAAGAAGAGGUAUUACAUAGUCUUUAAGAUAUAUCCCCAAAGAAUAUGGGAAGUAAUGAGAAACCAAUCACCGAUCUCACUUUGUCUACCAAAGUUUAAUAUAUUCUUUCCAUUACUCCAUUUUGCAAUGGAGUCCUUGGGGCACACAAUUGUGAUAUGAUCUCAUGCUUCAUUUGGAAAGAAUCAAACCUACUAGACUAACCACCUCAAUCUAAUCGAAGUGCCUUGAUAUGUUUACCCAUUAGGUUAUCCAAUUCUGCCUUAAAUUCAAUGAGUUUAUUCAAGGCAUCAUAUCUCCUAUCUAUAUAUCCAAAACUAAAGUAUUUAUCAAUAAAAUGAUCAAAGACUCACACUUUCAAUAUAUAAACACAAAAAGGUUCACAUACAUUAGUAUGCACUAACUCCAAACAUUCCUUGGUUCCAAGUCUUUUAAAAAUAAAAGGGUCUCUUAGUCAUUUUACCAUCUAUAUAAGAUUUAUAGACUAAAAGAUCUUCUAGAUUAAGAAGGUCCAAACUUAAUUAGUAUUUGGAUCAAUAUGACUUAGGUGUUAGAAGCCAAAUGUUUGAUUCGUUCUAGGUUCUUUCUUUUGGUGAGAUUUAACUAUUCUCAUUACUUGGCAAAGUGAUAAUGGAGUCUCACAUAGAAAAGGUAAUACCUCCCACUAACAUGCACAACUAAUCUUACAACUGAAGCUAAGGUAAGUACAAUCCCAUUAUGUGACCUUCUCACUUGUUGAAAACCUUGUAAAGAACUACAGAUAGUGGGCCUGGAAUCUAUCCACCACUAUGUAUUCAACAACAAGAACAUGAUGUGUACUUGUCUAUUCUUAAACACUCCAAGCAUUCCAUGUUUAAGUGUCCUAAAAGGCCAUAAAGGAAUCAUUGCCCAUGAGCUUGUUCUCUCAUUAUUUUUCUUGAACUUUCCUUAUUUGGUGUUGUUCUUUUCCUUCUUGGUAGAAGAACCUAAAGAACCUUGACUUCCAUAUGAACACCUUUCAACUCUUUGAGAAUCUUCUUAACCAUACUAAAAGAAUCCGGUAAGAUCUUUAGGAUAACAUGAAUCUUGGUGUUCAUAAUAGUCCUAAGGGCAACUUGUUUAGUUGACUUACUCUUAUUACCAAAUAACCCUUUCAACUUUAAAGAGAAUAUCAUAGACUAUGGAAAUAGACAUAUGUUGUUUUUGCAACACUUUAUCUAAAGACCCAAGUAUGAGAGACUUGGCCUUUUGAUUUGUCUUAUGCCAUAUUUGAUAUGUUUCUCUUACUUCAUGAUAGGUUUGUUCAAUGGAAAUAACAAACUCUACCAAAAUCAGCUUCUAUGCAAUUAAUACUAUACCCAGAUUAUUCAUAGUCUAUCAUUAGGUCCAAUUUAAACAAAAGAUAAUAGGCAACAAGUUAAAGACAUGAUAUCUAUAAAAAAUAUAAUAAUUCCAUGCAUUAAUAAAAAGAAAUUGAGCAUUCAAGGCAAGUUGGUAAUUAAUUUAGUAAAAAAGUAGUUCUCUCAAACUACAUAUCCUUUUGUAAGGUAUCCUAGUAUCAUAAGAAUCAAGCCAACUUUAUGUAGGUCACGACUCUUAUUACUAGGGUAGAGACCCUCUCUAAUUGAUCAACUUGCCUUAAACUUUAAAAGUUAUCAUAAGGCAUUGAUCAACAUAGCUUUAUGUUUAGCCCUUAGUCCAUGCAAGUGGGACCACUUUAGGUGAUUUUACCACUUCAUGUCUAAGUUAAGUAUGUAACCAAGAUCCUUGACAUCAAUGUUACCAAGUGAAGAGUUCCAUCUUUAGGGUUGACUAGUCUCACUAUAAACAUAUAUAGUCUUGUCCAUAAAGGAUAGUCUUUAUUCCUUGAUUCCUUGGGCCACCCUAUCUUUAAGAUGGUGAUGCACCCAAAAUCAAGAUGGGCUUGGUCUUGGAGGUUAUGGGCUUGCCUAUGGCCUACUCCUACUUAAUAUUUUGGAAAAGAGGCUUUAAGAUAAUUUUGGUAACUAUCUUAAAAUAAAUUAUCUAUCAUGAGAAUUUCCAAAACUUUUAUUUAUCACUUGAAUUGGGACUCUUGUACCAAAUAGGGAUAUAUUUCAUAUUCCUUAUCCUUGAACUUUCCUUUUCAAACUAAACAUAUUCCUCAUUCUCUUAGAGGAGAAGAUGUUGGAAGACCAAUUUAAUUGUCAUUCUCCUUCUCUCUAGGGAGGAAGGCUUGGAAAACCACUUAAGCCAAAUAAAGAAAAGUCCCAAAAGGAAUUUGAAAUUCCAAAUGAAAACAACCAAUUCCUUAAAUAAAUAAUAAUGGAAAUAAAACUCAUGAAAAUGUAUUCUUUUAAGAAAAUCCAAAAUUACCAUUUUAAUUUAUUUUAUUUGAAACAAUAUCUUGGUAAGCUAUAUUAAUAAUGAAUCAUCUAUCAUAUAUUUUUCUAAAAAUAAUUUAUUUCUUUAAAUUAGAAUCUUGUGCUAAAUAGGAAAGAUUUUAUUUCACAAAGGCUUGGAAAACUAAAACUUCUUCCUUAUAAUAAAAAAAUUCUUAGAGAUCUAAAAUCUAAAAAAAAUUAUUUUGGAAAAGAAAAUCUCUAAGAGUUUAAUUUUGAAAUGGAAGUAGGUUCCUUAUUACUUUCCAACUUAGCUUUUCUUAAAAUAAAAAUUUCUUAAUCCCUAUCACAUUCCAAUUUAAUAAAUUAUCUAAAACAAGAAAAAAAAAAUAUGAAAAUUCAUUUACUUAAGAAUGCCAAAAUAUAUUCUAUGUCAAGAAUAAAAAGGCAUAAAAGAUAUAAAAGGAAAUUAAAUAAAUAAUUUUCAUGGUCUUAUGGAUCUUGCUGCAAAUUUGGAUAAAAUCCAAAUUAUCAAAAUAGUCCUGCAACCAAAGAUAGGGUUAAUGAAAAAAGAAAAACCCAACAAGCCCAAUUGCCACAAAAAAAAAGCCUAAAAAAAAGCCCAAAAAAUUGAGCUCAAACAACCAAAAACAAUUUGGCCCAAACUCAAUCCUGUAAUUGCAUGCCCUUUGAGCAGCCUUGCUUCAAUCAACCGUAUCUCCCUCGUUUCAACUCUGAAUUGUGAUAUUUUUGAAGCAUUAAAUUCCUGUAUUCCUAAGCUUGAAAACCAUAUAUGGUUUUCCCCAAAAAUCUCAUGGGAGGUAGCCCCGAUUUUGAGUUAAAUUCAGCAUCAUUGUGCUGCCAUGGUCUUUGCGCAACCUUACUUCAAUUGAUUAUAACUCCCUUGUUUCAACUCCAAAUUGUGAUCCAUUUUAAGCCUUGGAUUCUUGACUUCCUAAGAUUGAAAACCACAUGUGGUUUGACCUAAAAAAACUCAUGGGAAGUUAUCCCGAUUUUAAUCUUAAGAUGACAAAAUUGUGCUGCCAAGGAUCUCAAAUCAAGAAUUUCCAAGAAUCUUUCUUUUCCCUUAAAUCACCAUAGGAACUUAUGAAAGAAACUUCAAGAAGCCUUAUUUUCUCUUUUCCAAAAAGGGAAUGUGAGGAAAAAUUUUGUGAUGCUUCAGACUGCUUCCAUAAUCUCCAUACGUUGCAAAAAAUGAUAAAAAAAAAAAGGAUUUGGAGUUUACAUAUCAUUCUAAGAUAAAAAUGGGAUUUUUACAAAAGAACAAAAAUCCUAUGCCUGUUUUGAGGCUUACAACCCAUCUAGAAAAAGUAAACAACAAUCCCAGUAAUUAUUACAUCCCUAAUAAAAAAAAUCACAAUAAUAAAGAAUCCACAUUAAUUAUCCCUAGUGUCAUGGGAUAAACACAUACCCUACAAAAUAAAGUUAGCACACCCUAUAAUGGUUCUAGCACGAUUACUAACCUAUGGCUCUAAUACUAGUUGAUGGGAAAAACCUGGAUAUUUCCAUUUCCCAAGCUCGAAUCAGGUUAGGAAUAUGUAUAACUAUCUUAGGCUUUUUCUAAAUCCUAUGCAUAGCGGAAAAAUAACAUUUUUAAACUUUAAAGAGAUUCAAAAGGCGUUAACAAAAACCAUACCUCAAAUUUGGAUGUUCUUGAAUCAAAUCCAUGUGGUAAAGAUGAAGAACGAAAUCGCAGAAGUCUUGUAAACCCGAAGUCUUCUGUUCGAUGACUCAAAUCUUAAUCUUGACACUUCCGGUGGGGAUGGAAGAGAGGUGAAGGCUACUGUUAGGAUAGAGCCCUUAAAAGCAUGAUAUCAUGUAAUAAACUUAAAAUUAAUUAUUUAUUUCAUGAUGUUCUAGUUUCACUUUUAUCUAUCCUUAUUCCAUGUAUUAUACUUUAUGAGCAUUCUUAUCUGCAUCUUUUGCAUUUUAUGUGACUUAGGUGCAUUAGGAGUUGCAUAGAAGAUCUAAGUCAUGGGUUCUUUGCAAAUAAAUGACUUGUUCACAACCAGUUCAUGGGUCUAGGCAACCCAUUAGAGGUUGUAGUGCACCACCUCCAAAUUGGAGGGAUGAUUAGUCUUGAAUACUGGGAUAGGUUUUCCAUGGUGAGUGCACUAGUGUGUAUGGUUACACAUUGGACAGGACCAAUGGUGAGUCAUGACUUAAGGCUAUUGAUUCGAUGCCCAGCCGGGUCUUUUAAUCAAAAACAUUUAUAAAACCUAUGACCUUAUACUGGCGUAGCAAAGCUACUAUAGUAUAGCAGUUCUAGGGUCGAACUCAGGGAUGGGUUUUCACUCUAUCAGUGACAGACUCUAAAUUAGAAAUUGAUUCUGAUGAUUUCCUUUAGCACAAACUUGAAAUUUAAAAGAAAAUAAAAUUGUUUUGAAAGUGGUGAUUUAAACUAAACUCACAUAGAACUAAGUAAAAAGUGGAAGAAAGAAAGUCUCCUGGAGUUAAAGGUUGCUAGGUUCAAGUUCCAGAUGCAAAGUGGAAAAUUCCGGAUUUUUCUCCUCGCAUUGGGGAUUUAACCUAUAGUUAUUUCCCGAACCGGUAUAGGUUUGACAAUGAAGUUUUAAUCCAUAAAAAGUCACUAGAGAUGGUAGUCAAGGUCCAUUAAUGGCUUAAGACACUAUGGGCUAUCACCUUGAAUCACUUUCCAAUGGCUCGUACAUGAUAACUAAUGGACUGAUAUGGAUCUAGCAAUAAGCAUCCACAGAGACCUUAAGCUUACCAUGUAUUGGCCAGUCAAAGUGAUUCUAAGGGAUUUAAGGCAAAACCUUGGCUUUAUAAACCAUUUAUGGACUCCAACUACCUGAAUUUAAUGCACGGAAACUUUCCAUGUUUUAAUCUGGACUUUUCACCUAGCUUCCUUUACUCCAAGAAACUAAAUGUUUAGCCUCUCAUCCUCUGGGAAAACAUCCUCAGAGGGUGUUUGGCUUGCAAGAAAAUAGAAAAUAGAAGAGAGAAAAAGAAAGCAAAAGAGAUCUCUGUAUUUCACUAAGUAUCAAAUUUACAUCAUUUGGUCUCCUGGAGAAAGCUCCCCGAAAGAUUCAUUUUCAGUGAUUACAAGAGAAUUUAUAUAGGAAGGUAAUUUUACCCUUCCUUGGAUACUUCCUAGCUAAGGAAUUACAUGAGUGGUUGAAUACAAGGAGAAAAUGGAAAUUUAGACACAAAAAUAUCAGAAGAAAAAGAGUCGGCAAAAAUAUCCAAUUUUCGCACGCUGGAGUUCCAAUUUCGCACUUUGAUUUGAGGUGUGCGAACUUUUCGCACAGUGGACUGAGGAAUUCGCACCUUGAUUUCCAUCGUGCGAAAUUGUCCCUCAACUUGAUGCAAUUGUCUUCCGAAGGCCAUAUCUUUCUCAUUUCAGCUCCAAAUCGUACAUGGUUUGAACCGUUGGAUUUUUGACUUUCUGAGCUUUGAAAUGGUAUAUAGAAUGUAAAAAAUGGACUUCGGGAAUUGCUCCAAAAGUGCAAUGAAAGACUGCAGCUGUGUCCCCUGUUUUCAUCCCCUGUUUUCCUCUUCUCCAUUGUUUCUUCCUUGUAUACUUUGAACGACUAAGGCAAAGGAUUAUGAGGCUCCAUAGCUUGAUUUCUUCAUAAAUUUAAGCUUUCAAAAGCUUUGCCAUGAACUAUAAAUAGCUCUCCCUCAUUCUUAAAUUGCUUUGGUGAGCAUAAAGCUAUCAAAAAGCACCAAAACUUAACAUAAUUGUUAGAAACGAUUGCAAGGGUCCCUAACAUGUUAAUUGGGUUAAAAGGUAAUAAUUACUACUCAAGGGUGUUUAAAAGAGCUAAUUACAAGCUACAAAAUAGCAUGUUUUGAGUAGUAAUCACUCCCCCCAACCGACAUAUUGCUAGUCCCUUAGCAAUUAAGGAGAGAAAAACUAAGCAAACGUAAUAAUAUACAUAAAAGAGGUCAUGCAAUUCAUUCCAAAAAAUAAUUGAGAGGCAUGACUGAUAUCCAAACACAUCUCCCCUGGUGAACUAAAGAUAUGAAGAUUCAAAAUGCAAUAGGAGUUGUCAAAGCUUAAAACUUAAACAAAAAGUACAAAGAGUGGAGAUUAUGCAAUUAAGUAUCAAAAGAAUCUCUACUCUCAAGGUUCCAAAUCAAACUCUUCCAUAAUAAGCUAAGUGUUAAUGAGAUUAGCUUCCGGAUAUAGUAUAUACAACUAUCCUCACCUUCCAACCUAAGCUUUUCUCGAACAUUGGCAAAAUUAAUCAACUCUUAAUAGGUUAGGAACGCACCUUCUUAUUCACAAUUCUUUUUACUCACUAAUCUUAACCAAUUCACCUAUGUAGCAAGCAGAGGAUCGAUGACUCCCAACCAAUCAAGGUUUAGGGCAUCGGGUUUUAAAGGCUUUCGCCACCCCUUCGGAUCAUGCUUAGGUUUCAAGGAAAGAAUAGAAGCUUAUUCUUUUUUUUUUUUUUUUUUUCAAAGACUCAUUGGUCUUUAUGAGGUGUCCCAACACUAUUAAAGAGAGGUUAAGUAAUGAACCAAGUCAAAAUUUUCCUAAGCUUAGAAGGUGAGAAAGUUUUACAUCAUAUAUCCGGGAUCUAAUGUGCACAGUGGUGUAAAGCUUGAAAUGGAAGAAGAAAGUUCGAAAUCAAAGAGGCUUCAAUAGAUUAUCAACUUUGAAAGCAUAAAACAAACUCUAAGACUUAAAUAAUUAAGUUAAAACUCGACUUAUCCUAUUUUAUUUUUGAGAAAUUAUCUUUAACAACCAUAGAGAAUGAUUCAAAAAACUUUUAAAAAUUUUAAAUUUUAAGCAAAAAUCAACUAAAAUACCAAAAUAACUUAGUAUUAACAACAAAACUUCCUUUCUCAACUCUCCCCCCAACCAAGUUGAACAUUGUCCUCAAUGUUUCAAAAGCGAUUAAAAAUAAAGGGAGGAAGUGGUACCUCCUGAGUGAGACAAAGUCUGAGUGUAAAGGAGGUAUGGAGUACCUUAAACCACAUGUUCCAAGGACAAAAGAGUAAUGAGAAAAGGGAAUAUAAUCAAAAAGGAUAUAUAUAUAUAUAUAUAUAUAUAUAUUACUUGUAAAAGAAAUAUACAAUGUAUGAUUUCAAGUAAUACUUCCAAUCCCAGUUUAUAACACAUGCAAAAGAUGGGAUUUACAAGUCUAAAAUAAAAAACAAGUAAAAUAUAAAAAUAUCAAAUAUGAGGGGUGUCAUGUGAUGGCUCUGCUCUGAUCUCCUCCUCUGGUAUGGGCUGCUCAGCUGGUAAGCUCUCCUUAUCUGGCACUAGAGGCUCGGAUGGUGCAGACCUAUCAUGCCCAAAAGGUGUCUGCAUACUCAAAUGCUGCUGAAUCUGAUGAAGGAUCGUGGUAUGUUGGGCCUGAGUAGCAAUGAUCUGAUCCUGGUGUGCCCGAAUAGUGGUCAUCUGGUGGAUAAUAGAAUCCUGAGCAGUGCUCAGUGUCCGCAAUGAACGCUCUAAGCCUCUGAAUUCCGUAAGAGAAACGGUGACAGUGGGCUCAGAUGAAAGAGGAGGUGCUGGGGUAGCUGGCAUGACUGGUGGAGCACCCGAAGUGAUAGAAGAAAUAGGAUGUAUAGGCUCAGGAAUAUGCUCUGAGGGGUGUUCUGCAGGGGCAGGAGGUGUGGUCUCUAUGAGAAUCUCAUCCUGCUGGGCCUGAGGCAUCUGCUCAUCUUGGGGUAGCUCUGGAGGUGCAGGCACAGCUGGGGCUCCCUGGGGUGCAAAGUAGGCUACCAAGUGAUGCCAUUUGUCGAGAGAGAAGUCCUCUCGGCAAUGGCGGCGCCUCUCAAGACGGGGCUGUUCAGGAUAGCCCAGGUGCUCUAAAAUCUGGCAGAGGAGCCUCGAAAAUAGUAAUGGGAUGCCAUCUGCCUUUUGAAGCUUCUUCUGAUGGACUUUCUCUUCAAAAUGAAGAAGAGAAGUCAUAAUCAAAUGAUGAGGGCCGAAAAAAUAGCCCUCAGAAAUCCUAAAUAACGCCUCAAGUAUAGCUCCUCGCCUCUGAACUUUGUGCUGAAGGGGGAAAAGGUUGGCACGCAGGAGCACAUCAAUAAGGAGCAUCCCAGAUGGAAGCUCUCUCCUAGUCAACACUGAGGCUGUAGAAGUCCCCCUGGACAAAAUGCGGACCAUGUCACUCUGAGAGAAUGAGGACCACUCCCUGAAGUCUGCCUGAAUCACAGGCUCAUAAGGUAUACGGAGGGCCUCAACAAUGUGACGAGCUCCAAUGGCACCCUGGCGUCCAUCUAUGGUAAAUUGGAUGAGGGUAGGAUUACGGAGGCCUCGAGUAGUCAUAGAUUGAUAAAAAUCUAUAACUACUCUGGGAUAGUAGAAUUGCCUAGGAGUGAGAAGAUCCUCCAUGUGAUACCUCUGUAGUAGUCGGAAUGAAUCUCUGAGCUCUGGCUGCUGUCUGAGGGCCUCUAUAUCAAAGUAGGUCUCGGAAUGGAAGGAUCGAUCUCUGCAAUCCAAGUUGCCCUCUAUCGGUGGUCCGGCUAUCAUGGGACGCCUGAUAACAGUCUCAGGAGUAAUCCCCACAGGAAUCCGAGAGUCCUCUGUAGGUGGCUCUGACUGAGGUGCGUGGGAUGGUUCUCCAGGACCCGAGAACUUGGUUCUCUUCGCUGGUGGCCGAGAAACAGAGUUCGUGGCUUGAUCGGCUGGUGGCACAGGGUCCGUGGGUGGUCUCCUGGUGGGGUAUCGGCGCUGAGAAGGGGCUUCCCCCUCAGAUGGGGGAAUGGCCGGGGCCUGAACAGGUGGCGAAGCUGCGGCUCCCAUGGCGGCUCGAUGUGGUCGAGGUGUCGGUGAGGAUGGGGAGCCGGAAAGGCCUCCUCUGGUCUUCGCCAUGGCCGAAAUGGAGGUGGGUGACUGUUUGGGAUUCCAGAGGCUUCUCAGCUGGUUCGUGGGGGAGUCCUUUGAGCUUCUGGACUUCAAGGGAUUAUAUAGGAAUGAGGUUUAGGGGGUUUUUUAUGUUUUAAAAUUUUCCAAGGCAACCGAAAAGUCGUUUUUGGACGUUAGGCACAAUUUCGGGGGUAAAAUUUUAAUUUAAAAGUCCGUUGAAAAUUUUUUUGGAACUUAAAAUUUUACCGUGCGAAAUUUUCGCACCUUGGUCUGCAAAUUUCGCACCUUGAAAUUAGGUGUGCGAAAAUGGCACCCCUUUAACUGAGGAUUUCGCACCUUAAAAUGAGGUGUGCGAAAUUUUCGCACCUUGAAAUCAGGUGUGCGAAAUUUUCGCACCUUGUUUCGCACGGUGCGAAAAGUGGCUUGAGGUGUGCGAAAAUGGCACUCGUGUGCCAGGAGGGGAUUUCGCACAGUGAGAAAAUUUUCGCACCUUGCACAGUGGUGUGCGAAAUUGGUUUUUAGGGAAUUCGCACCUUGAAAUCAUUUUUCGCACCUUGAAAUAAAUUUCGCACCUUGGUUUUGGGGUGUGCGAAAAUGGCUCCCUUUGGACCGAGGAUUUCGCACCUUGGUUUUGGGGUUUGCGAAAUUUUUGCACCUUGGAAUCAGGUGUGCGAAAUUUUCACACCUUGAAAUCAGGUGCUCUGUUUCCUUGGUUUUACUCCCCUUUCUUGCUUUUGAAGAGUUCUCCCCAUCUUUCAUGAUUUUUUUCUGAAAUUUAUCAUCAAAAUUGACUUGAAUUAAGACAAAAUAAACUAAGAUUGAGGAAAAAUUAUAAUAAAAAGAAAUAAAAAUAAUGAUAUAACUAUAAAAUUAUAAAAAAAUUCAUGGACUUAUUUAGCCCAUGAUACCCUGCUUUCCCUCAGAGUUGUGGUGGUUCAAGGAGGUUGAUCUCCUCCUUGUCUGUACUGUAAGGCUCUAUGAAUGGCUUGAGACGAUGGCCAUUAACUUUGAAGGUUUGAUUGCCUGUGGGAUUGAAUACUUCCACCACUCCAUUGGGGUGUACUUCAUGAAUUAUGAAAGGACCCGUCCACCUGGAUUUCAAUUUUCCUGGAAAGAGAUGAAGUUUAGAGUCAUAAAGCAAAACUUUUUGUCCUUUGGUAAAAUUUUUCUGAUUUACCAACUGAUCAUGCCAUUUUUUCAAUCUUGCUUUUGCAAUUUUUGAAUUGAGGUAUGCAUCAUUCCUCAUUUCCUCUAAUUCAUUCAAAUCCAAACAUCUCUUUAACCCGGCUUUUGUCAAAUCCAUGUUAAGCUUUUUGAUUGCCCACCAUGCUUUAUACUCAAUCUCUACUGGAAGAUGACACGCUUUGCCAUAAACAAGGCGAUAGGGAGACAUUCCUAGAAUGGUCUUGUAAGCGGUCCUAUAAGCCCAUAAGGAAUCCAGGAGCUUGAUAGACCAAUCCUUCCUAUUCACAUUGACCACCUUCAUCAAUAUAUUCUUGAUCUCUCGGUUGGCUAACUCAACUUGGCCACUUGUUUGGGGGUGAUAAGGUGUAGCUACCUUGUGCUUAACCUCAUACUUGGCUAGAAGAGUCUCAAAAGGUUUAUUGCAAAAGUGGGUUCCCCCGUCACUUAUAAUGGCUUUUGGCACUCCAAAUCUUGCAAAGAUGUGGUCCUUGAGGAAUUUAAGUACCACUUUAUGAUCAUUGCUCCUACAUGGGAUUGCUUCUACCCACUUAGAGACAUAAUCCACUCCUACCAAGAUGUAGGAAUGUCCAAAUGACAUUGGAAAUGGUCCCAUGAAGUUUAUACCCCAGACAUCAAAGAUAUCCACUAUUAAGAUGGGGUUCAAGGGCAUCAUAUUUCGGCGUGUUAGCUUACCAAGCCUUUGACACCGAUCACAUCCCUUGCACAUAGAAUGGGCAUCCUUGAAAAGAGAGGGCCACCAGAAGCCUGAUUGGAUCACUUUCAUAGCUGUUUUCUGGGAGGCAAAAUGACAUCCACAUGCACUAUCAUGGCAAUGGGAGAGAAUUCCCGAUUGCUCUUGCUCAGGAACACAUUUCCUUAUAAUUUGAUCUGCACAAUAUUUGAAAAGGAAAGGUUCCUCCCAAUAAUAGGCAUGGAUCUUAGCCAAGAAAUGCCUCUUGUCUUGAGCACUCCACUCACUUGGUACUUCUCCAGUAACCAAAAAGUUUGCAAUGUGAGAAUACCAUGGAGCUACAUCUACUGACAUGAGAGACUCCUCAGGGAAGUCAUCAUUGAUAGGCAGACCAUGUGAGUCAUGUGCUAUCACAAGUCUGGACAAGUGGUCAGCUACCACAUUUUCUACCCCCUUUUUAUCCCUGAUUUGGAGAUUGAAUUCUUGGAGCAAAAGAAUCCAUCUUAUCAAUCUUGCCUUGGCAUCCUGCUUGGUUAGCAAGUACUUCAAAGCAGAAUGGUCAGUGAACACCACUAUAGAGGACCCUACCAAAUAAGCACGAAACUUAUCCAAGGCAAAAACUACUGCCAACAGCUCCUUCUCAGUAGUUGUGUAGUUCUUUUGAGCCUCAUUCAAAGUUUUGCUUGCAUAAUAGAUCACAUAGGGCUUUCCAUUCUCUCUUUGCCCCAAAACAGCCCCCAUAGCAAGAUCACUUGAAUCACACAUUACCUCAAAAGGUAAUUUCCAAUUUGGGGCUCUCACUAUUGGUGCAGUUGUGAGGAAUUGUUUCAAUUCCUCAAAACUUCUCUGACACUUCUCAUCCCACACAAAUUUGGCAUCCUUUACCAAAAGGUCACACAGAGGUUUUGAGAUUUUUGAGAAAUCCUUAAUGAACCUCCUAUAGAACCCGGCAUGUCCAAGGAAUUGCCUAAUUCCUUUAACAUUUGUGGGAGGUGGCAACUUAACAAUCAGCUCCACCUUUGCCUUAUCUACCUCAAUGCCAUUUUUGGAGAUGAUAUGUCCUAAGACAAUUUCUUUUUGUACCAUAAAAUGACACUUCUCCCAAUUUAGCACUAGGUCUUUCUCAAUACAUCUAUGGAGAACAGCUUCUAAAUGCAUCAAACACUCCUCAUAAGAACUUCCAUAUACAGUGAUGUCAUCCAUGAAAACUUCCAUGAUGCGUUCCACCAUAUCACUGAAGAUGCUUAGCAUGCAUAUUUGGAAAGUUGCAGGAGCAUUACAUAGACCAAAGGGCAUUCUCCUAUAUGCAAAAGUACCAAAGGGACAAGUGAAGGUCGUCUUUUCUUGAUCUUCCAAAUCAAUUUCUAUUUGGAAGUACCCUGAAUAACCAUCUAGAAAACAAUAGAAAGGAUGUCCUGAGAUUCUCUCAAGGACUUGGUCCAUGAAAGGCAAUGGAAAAUGGUCCUUCCUAGUCACUGAAUUCAACCUCCUAUAGUCUAUAGACACCCUCCAUCCUGAGGUAGGACGUGUAGAGACUUCUUCCCCUUUCUCAUUCUGGAUCACAGUAAUUCCAGAUUUCUUUGGGACUACUUGGGUGGGACUCACCCACAAGCUGUCUGAAAUGGGAUAUAUGAUCCCAGCUUGAAGUAGCUUCAAAACUUCAUUCCUCACCACUUCUUGCAUGUGAGGAUUCAGUCUCCUUUGGGGUUGCCUCACUGGUUUUGCAUCUUCCUCCAUAUAAAUAUGGUGGGUGCACACCAAAGGGCUAAUCCCUUUCAGAUCAGAAAUUUGCCAUCCAAUGGCUUUCUUACAUUUUCUGAGGACUCCUAAAAGACUAUCCUCUUGAUCACUAGUGAGGGUUGAGGAAACUACCACUGGACAUUUCUCAUCAUCCUCCAAGUAUGCAUACUUCAAAUCCACAGGAAGUGGCUUUAAAAUAAGCUUUGGAGGGUCCUCCACAGUAACUCCUUGUGAGUCUUCCUGGUUGAACAGUGGUAAGAUCUCUUCCCGUCUCCUCCAAGGAGACAUUAUGGCUAGCACAUCAAAGGGUUCAGGGAACCCAUCUUCAAGGACUUCCAGGUUUUCAUUCAAGCUCUCCUCUAAACUCUUGUCACAGUGCUCUUCAACCAAAGUGUUGAUCAAGCACAUCUCCUCGAAUCCUUCCUCCUCUUCAGGGUAAAGAUGCCUCUUACAUAAAUGGAAUAUGUUUAAUUCCAAUGUCAUGUUUCCAAAUGUGAGCUGCAUCACCCCAUUCCUACAAUUAACAAUAGCAUUGGAGGUAGCUAGGAAAGGUCUCCCUAGGAUGAUUGGUACAUAAUUUUCUUCCUUGACAGUGGAAUCAGUAUCAAGCACCACAAAAUCCACAGGAUAGUAGAAUUUGUCCACUUGAACUAGAACAUCCUCUAUCACUCCCCUUGGGAUUUUGACAGACCUAUCAGCUAAAGAGAGGGUCAUGGUUGUGGGCUUUAAUCCUCCUAGUCCCAAUUGUUUAUACACAGAGUAUGGGAGCAAAUUCACACUUGCUCCCAAAUCUAAUAAAGCUUUUUCCACAUGUGUCCCUCCAAUGUUGACUGAUAUGGUGGGACAUCCCGGAUCUUUAUACUUAACUGGGGACUUACUCUAGAUGAUAGCACUCACUUGCUCAGUGAGGAAUGCAUUCUUUGUCACCUGUAAACCUCUCUUGACUGUGCACAAGUCCUUUAGAAACUUUGCAUAUGUGGGGACUUGCUUGAUCAUAUCAAGUAAAGGUAUAUUCACCUUCACUUGUCUCAGAACUUCAAGAAUUUCUGAUGAAUUCUUGAUUUCUUUCUUUCCAUGUAAAGCUUGAGGAAAAGGGGGAGGCAUAUGUUUCUUCAUCAUAUCCUCCUUAAUCACUAUCCUUGGUUCUUCUUCAAUGCUUGAUUUGGAUGCACUUUUCUUCCCACUCUGCUCUUCUUGGUUAUUGCCCUCUUUGAUCAAGGGUCUCUUUGAUCUGAGUUCUUCAUUAGGCCCCACGUUAGGCAAGGGUUGAUCAACCUCCUUCCCACUUCUCAAAGUGAUCACAGCUUUGACCUCUCUCAAAUUUGAAGACUCACCAUCUUGGGUUUCAAUUUCAUGAACACCCUUGGGAUUUUGGCUUGGUUGAGAGGGGAACUUUCCCUUCUCAAUCACUGUGUUUAGGUUGGUAAGCCUAGAGAUGGAGUACUGAAUAUUAUCUAUCUUCUGAGAUAGAUCAUUUUGCAUCCCCUCCAUUCUCUUUAUUUGAGAACUCUCAACAUUUUCAAUCUUUUGAUGCAAUUGGGAGUUAAUUGUCUUUUGUUUACCCACAAAGUCACCCAUGACUUUACUCAGGUUUACAAUGGCUUGCUCCACUGAAGAUGGUUGUUGAGGUACUUGGGUUUGGCCUUGUGGUUGGUAUGGAGGUGGCCUUGGUUUCCAAGAAAAAUUUGGGUGGUUUCUCCAGCUUGAAUUAUAGGUGUUUCCAUAAGAUGCACUGUUGUUGGGCCUAAAUUGCCCCACAACAUUUACUUGAUCACCUAACAUCUCUCUCACAGCUGGCAUGGUUGGACACUCAUCUACNNNNNNNNNNNNNNNNNNNNNNNNNNNNNNNNNNNNNNNNNNNNNNNNNNNNNNNNNNNNNNNNNNNNNNNNNNNNNNNNNNNNNNNNNNNNNNNNNNNNCAAAGUGAAAAGAUAGCUGAGUCUCAUCAAGUCUAUGAAGCUCUCCCUCUCUAAAGGUAUUACACACCUCCUCAAACUCCUUGAUGUGAGAAUAUGGAUUCUCACUCUCCAUUCCAUGGAAAGUUGGUAGGAGGGGCACAAUAUGGGGCCUUAUAACCAACUGCUCAAGUGGGGGCAGGAUGCAUGAGGGUGCACUCAUCCUUGGGGGAUGCAUUCUAUCCCUCAUGGAUAGGUAUGCAUUGGGAUUACCCCCUUGACCUUGUUGAGAAUUCUGAUCCUCUGGUGGAGGGUCCAUGAUAUUUACACAGAUAUCCAACUCUGUGUCUUGAGGAUUCUCAAUCCUUACUAAUCUUCCCUCUUGGUCCCUAAUCCAAUAGGGCAUGCACAAAUUCCUGUAAUAGUAAAAACAAAAGGAAACUAAAGAAAAGGAUAAAGUUAGGAAGAAAAUGAAAAUAAAAUUAACAAAAGGAAAAUGAAAGAAAAUGAAAUUAGUGAAAAAGAAAUUCACCCUGGUUGUGAUGAAAAUCACAAGUAGCCUCUAAAAGGUUGUAUCACUGUAUUGUGGCACCAUCCCCGGCAACGACGCCAUUUGAUUCGAUGCCCAGCCGGGUCUUUUAAUCAAAAACAUUUAUAAAACCUAUGACCUUAUACUGGCGUAGCAAAGCUACUAUAGUAUAGCAGUUCUAGGGUCGAACUCAGGGAUGAGUUUUCACUCUAUCAGUGACAGACUCUAAAUUAGAAAUUGAUUCUGAUGAUUUCCUUUAGCACAAACUUGAAAUUUAAAAGAAAAUAAAAUUGUUUUGAAAGUGGUGAUUUAAACUAAACUCACAUAGAACUAAGUAAAAAGUGGAAGAAAGAAAGUCUCCUGGAGUUAAAGGUUGCUAGGUUCAAGUUCCAGAUGCAAAGUGGAAAAUUCCGGAUUUUUCUCCUCGCAUUGGGGAUUUAACCUAUAGUUAUUUCCCGAACCGGUAUAGGUUUGACAAUGAAGUUUUAAUCCAUAAAAAGUCACUAGAGAUGGUAGUCAAGGUCCAUUAAUGGCUUAAGACACUAUGGGCUAUCACCUUGAAUCACUUUCCAAUGGCUCGUACAUGAUAACUAAUGGACUGAUAUNNNNNNNNNNNNNNNNNNNNNNNNNNNNNNNNNNNNNNNNNNNNNNNNNNNNNNNNNNNNNNNNNNNNNNNNNNNNNNNNNNNNNNNNNNNNNNNNNNNNAUCUUUCUCAUUUCAGCUCCAAAUCGUACAUGGUUUGAACCGUUGGAUUCUUGACUUUCUGAGCUUUGAAAUGGUAUAUAGAAUGUAAAAAAUGGACUUCGGGAAUUGCUCCAAAAGUGCAAUGAAAGACUGCAGCUGUGUCCCCUGUUUUCAUCCCCUGUUUUCCUCUUCUCCAUUGUUUCUUCCUUGUAUACUUUGAACGACUAAGGCAAAGGAUUAUGAGGCUCCAUAGCUUGAUUUCUUCAUAAAUUUAAGCUUUCAAAAGCUUUGCCAUGAACUAUAAAUAGCUCUCCCUCAUUCUUAAAUUGCUUUGGUGAGCAUAAAGCUAUCAAAAAGCACCAAAACUUAACAUAAUUGUUAGAAACGAUUGCAAGGGUCCCUAACAUGUUAAUUGGGUUAAAAGGUAAUAAUUACUACUCAAGGGUGUUUAAAAGAGCUAAUUACAAGCUACAAAAUAGCAUGUUUUGAGUAGUAAUCAGCUAUCAAGUAGUCAUGAUCUCGCCAAGUUGCUUCACUGUGUUGUCUCUCAACCUUGAGAGAAUAUUAAGCUUGUGCUAAAGUUAGUGGUGGUUUUGACCUAUGGGUGAGAUCGUAAGCUGAUCAUAUAUUCCCUAUUGAUUAGGUCAUUAUUGAUGAAAGUUGGUAGCAAUAGGUAUUUCCAAUAGAGGUACUAUGAUAUCUCUUGGAAACUAUGGGCAUAGUAGUUCCUUAAGUGGAGCUUAACGUAAGCUCUUUGAGAGUUAAAACAUGUCAGUUGAAUACACAAUAGGAGAAUCUGUAACUUAAGGAUGGUAGAGGUAGUCUUGAAAGGAUGAUAGCUUUCACCUUGUUAGACUAUGGACACCAAUUCAUGAGGAAACUAAACAUUAUAGAUGGCAGGUCAUAGACCUGAGCACGUAAUGUUUCAUUGUUAACAUAGGAUACUAGAGUUUAGUUGAUUCUUUAUAGUGGGAUGUUAAAUCAACUUCAGAAUUAGAUUAUGAGGAAGCUAGUAUUCUAUGAGCCCUAAUGGUUCCCGCUUUGAGCUCAUAUACCUUUUUGGCAUGGAUCAUGAGGGUCGGACUAGCUCUAAGUUCACUUUUGUGCAUAAGGGCACUUUGGUAAUUAUAUAGGUUGCACAAGGGUAAGUGAACAAGGUCUCUAGAUUGGGCUAAUUGAUUAAUUAGUAGGUCUUGUUGGGUUAAUUAAUCAAUUAGGACUUAUUUGGGCUAGAUUAAGUAACCCAAGCCCAUGUGGGCUCAAGUCACUUAAGCCCACUUAGGAACCAUAUAAAUACCCUUUAGGGGUUAGGGUUUCUAUAGUUUUUGUCUUCCACCAUCCAGAAAGAUAGAGAGUCAUAGCCUUCACCAUUUUUUCCUUCCCAUCGGAAGUGUGUCAAGAUCAAGGUUCGAGUCAUCGGGUGGAAAACUUCAGGUUUAUGAGACUUUUGGUAUUUCUUUCUUCAUCUUCACUACAUGGAUUUGAUUUGGGAACAUCCGAAUCUGAGGUAUGGUUUUCUUAGCAUUUUUUUAAUCCCUUAGAAUUUUAAAAAUAAAAAUUUUCUGUUGUAUAUAUCCUUUAGAAAAGGCUUAGGAUAGUUAUGCAUGUUCCUAACUUGAUCUGGGCUUGGGAAACAGAGAGAUUCGGGCUUUUCCCAUCAGCUAUGGCUUUCUAUCUUUCUAGAUGGUGGAAGACAAAAGCUAAUGAAACCCUAACCCUUGGGGUAUUUAUAAGGUUCCUAAGUCAGCUUAAGUGACUUGAACCUACAUGGGCUUGAGUCACUUAAUCUAGCCCAAAAUGGGUCUUAAUCGAUUAAUUAACCCAAUGAGGUCUACUAAUUAAUCAAUUAGCCAAAUCCAGAGACCUUGUUCAGUUAUCCCUAUGUAAUCUUGCGUAAUUACAAAAAUGCCCUUAUCACAAAAGUGAACUUAAAGUGGAUCCGAUCCUCAUAAUCCAUGCCAACAAAAUAUAUGAGCUCAAAGCGAGGACCACUAGGACCCAUAGGAAUACCGGCUCACUCAGAAUACAAUUAUAAAGUUAAUUCAACAUCCCAUUGUAGAAAAUUAAUUGAGCUCCAAUAUCCUAUGUAAAUAAAAAUGAGACAACAAGUCCUCGGGUUUGUGACUUGCCAUCCAUUAUGUUCAGUCUCCUUAUGAACUAGUGUUCGUAGUCUAUCAAGGUGAAAGCUAUCAACCUUUCAAGACUACCACUAUCAUCCUUGAGUUAAAAACCUCCUAUUGUGUGUUCAAUUAACAUAUCUUAGCUCUCAAAGAGCCUAUGUCAAGUUCCACUUAAGGAACUACUAUGCUAUAGUUUCCAUGAAUACACCUCCUUAGGAUCACCCAAGGGGACACACUAUCUCAAUCCCAAGAGAUAUCAUGGUCCCUCUAUUGAGAAUAUCUAUUGCUACCGACUUCCAUCAAUAGUGAUCCAAUCCAUAGGGAAUAUAUAAUCAGCUUAUGAUCUCACACGUAGGUCAAAGCCACUGCUAACUUCAAUACAAGCUCAAUAUUCUCUCAUGGCUGAGAAACAACAUAAUGAGGUAGCUUGGUGAAGUCAUAAAUACUUGAUAGCCUUAAGUCAUAACUCGCCAUAGGUCUUAUCUAAUGUGCAACCAUACACACUAGUGCACUGACCAUGAGAAACCCAUCCCAAUAGCGAAGACCAACCAUCCCUCUAAUUAGGAAGUGGUGCACUAUAACCUCUAAUGGGUUGCAUAGACUGAUGAAUUGGUUGUGAACAAGUCAUCUAUUUGUAAGGAACACAUGACUUAGAUAUUUUGUGAAACUCCUAAUGCAUCUAAGUCAGUUACAAUGCAAAAGAAGCAGACAAGAAUGCUCAUAAAGUAUAAUACAUGAAAUAAGGAUAGAUAAAAGUGAAAUUAAAAUAUCUUUAAAUAAAUAAUGAAUUCCAAAUUCAUUACAUCAUGUCAUACUUGUAAGGGCUCUAUCCUAACAGUUGUCUCUCAACCUUGAGAGAAUAUUGAGCUUGUGUUGAAGUUAGCAGUGACUUUGACCUACAAGUGAGAUCGUAAGUUGAUCAUAUAUUCCCUAUGGAUUGGGUCAUUGUUGAUGGAAGCCAAUAGUAAUAGGUAUUUUCAAUAGAGACACCAUGAUACCUCUUGGGAUUGAGAUAGUGUUUUCCUUUGGGUGAUCAUAAGAAGGUGUGUUCAUGGAAACUAUGAUCAUUGAAGUUUCUUAAGUGAAACUUGAAAGACUGAUAGGUUUCACCUUGUUAGACUAUGAACACUAGUUCAUAGGGAGACUGAACACAAUGGAUAGUAGGUCAUGGACCCGAGCACUUGGUGUCUUGUUGUUAUUUACAUAGGAUACUGAAGUUCAAUCGAUUCUCUGUAGUAGGAUGUUGAAUCAAAUUUAGAAUUGGAUUGUGAAGGAGCUCAUAUUCCUAUGGGUACCAAUGGUCCUUGCUUUGAGCUCACAUACCUUAUUGUCAUGGGUUAUAAGGAUGGGAUUAGCUCUAGGUUCACUUUUGUGAGUAAGGGUGUUUUGGUAAUUAUGUAAGGUUGCACAAGGAUAAUUGAAGAAGGUCUUUAGAUUGGGUUAGUUGAUUAAUUAGUAAGCCUUGUUAGGUUAAUUAAUCAAUUAAGACCCCAUUUUGGGCUAGAUUGAGUGACCCAAGCCCUCAGUGGGCUCAAGUCACUUAAUCCUAGUAGGAAACACUAUAAAUACUCCCUUAAGGGUUAGGGUUCCCGUAGUUUUUUCUAGAGAGCCGUUUUCCAUUUCUAGAAAAAGAGAAAGAGAGAGAGAGAGUCAUAGCUUCCACCCUUCCUUUCAUCUCCAUUGGAAGUGUGUCAAGAUCAAGGUUCGAGUCAUUGGGCAGAAGACUUUGGGUUUACAAGACUUAUACGAUUUUGUUCUUCAUCUUCACCAUGUGGAUUUGAUUCGGGAACAUCUGAAUCUAAGAUAUGGUUUUUGUUAUUACUUUCUGAAUCCCUUUAAAGUUUAAAAAUGUUAUUUUUCCAUUGAGCAUAGGAUUUAGAAAAAGCCUAAGAUAGUCAUGCAUGUUCCUAACCUAAUCUAGGCUUGGGAAAUGGAGAGAUUCAUGUUUUUCCAAUCACACAUAGCAUCACAUACUUAAGACUAUCCAUUUUAGAGUCAUAGGAUACCGCUUUAAUGUGAUUUUUUUCCUAUGAUGUCCAAGGACAUUGAUCUUGAGAAAGAUAGCCCUAAACCCAAAGGGUAACAAACCCUUCUUGGAGUUUUACAUUAUGUCCUUAACCAAAUACUCAUCAAUGUAGGUGACAUGACAUAAGUUUCCUAUUCUUAUAGUCCUAAAGGACCUUAACCCAAGAAUAUAUUAUGUCUUUCUCUAGAUUUUCAUCUAGAAUUGAGUAGGCUAGUAGGUCUUUACUAAUGACAAUAUCCCUACAUCAUAUCCAAUGAGUAGAGUGUCAUCUACUUGUGCUCUAACCAUGCAUCCCUACACCUUAUUGUACACAUAAGGCCCUUUGCUAUGAAAAUAUUUGGUUGUUAUAUCUUAUAAACGAGACACACUACAAUAGAUAGGAGUAACGUAAUGGAUUUAAAUAUGUGUUGAAAAGGUUUUCCAUAGUUGAAACAAAGUUUCAAACUAUAACCUUUAGCGACAGUCUUAGCCACAUAAAACUCAAGUUUUCCAUUUACUCCUAUGUUCCUCUUGUAGACCAACUUACACCUAUAGGUUUUAUCCCUUUAGAUGCUUUUAUAGGAACUCAAACUAUAUUAGAAUAUAAAGAUUCUAACUACCUCUUCAUAGCUCCUUGCCUUAAUGUGAGCAAAACACUGUUCAUUGCUUCAUCAUAAUCUAUGAGAUAUAAAACUCCCACUAUGAUGAGGCAGUAGUAUACUAGAAAUCAUAGGAAAUGUAUGCCUUUAAUCCUUUGGCUCUGUAUUAUCCUAUAUAAUGUGGGACUAUCUUCUAAUAUAUCCUCCAAUCUGUCUCACUUUUUACCUUAUUCUUUAUCAUAUAAUCUUCAUAAAAAAUCUUAUAUUUGUGUUAACAAAUAUCUUCUAAUGAUCUUAACUAUAAAUGUAACAACCAAAAAAUCUUCUUAUAUAUCCUAUAAAUUGAUAUACCCCUUUAGAAAAAAAAAAUUAUACAGUCUAUAAGAAAUAUCUUGAAAAAAAUCUGGGAAAAUAUGAGAAACCUAAUCCACGAUCUCACUAUUUCCAUCAAAGUUUGAUAUCUUCCUUUCACCUCUCUAUUUUAUAAUAGAGACACUAGUGUAUGUUGUUGGGAACAUUGGAUUACUCUGUUCCCAUGCCUAGGAUCAUGUAGGGUGCAUUCAAAUAUAUCAUAGGCUCUCUAAAUCUAUUGCGAUGAAUAAACAAGUAUUAAAAAAAAUAAGGAUACCAUAGAAAAUAUAGAAAUAUAUAAUAAAACAACAUACCUUUGAUCCGGAUGUUCCUGAAUCAAUUCUAAUCGAUGUAGAUAACUCCAAAGUCAUAAUGAAUCUCAUAAACACCAUGAUUUUCUACUCAAUGACUCUUCCUUGUGUCUAGGCACUGAGAUGGUGGAUAUCUCAAGUGUGGAGGUUAGGGUUCUCUCUCUAAAUUGAAGAGGAGAAUAACAAGAAUUAGAAACCCUAACCCCAAAAGGGGUAUUUAUAGGCUUCAUAUUAGGCUGAAGUGACUUAAGCCCACCAUGGGCUUGGGUCACUUAAUCUAGCACAAAAAGGUUACUAAUUGAUUAAUUAACCAUACAAGACCAGAUUAAUCAAUUAGCCCAAUUAAAGGAUAGCACUCACUUAUCCCUGUGCAACCUUAUAUAAUUACCAAAACACCUUUAUGCACAAAAGUGAAUAAAAAACCCAUCCAACCCUUAUAAGUCAUGCCAACAAGGAAUAUGAGCUUAGAGUGGGGACCAUUGAGACCCAUAAGAGCACUAGCUUUCUCAAAAUCAAAUUCUGAAAUUGACUCAACAUCCCACUACAAAGAGUCAACUGCAUUCCAAUACACUAUGUAUAUUACAAUGAGACACCAAGUGCUCAGGUCCAUGACUUACUAUCCACUGCACGUAGACUCCCUAUGAACUAGUGUCCAUAAUCUAACAAGGUAGUGCUAUUACCUAUCAAGAUUACCUCUCAAAUCCUUGAGUUACACAUCCCACUUGUUAUUGGAUCAACUAAUAUAUCCUAACUCCAAGAAGCAUAUGUUAAAUUCCACUAAAGAAAUUACUAUGGCCACAGAUUUCAUGAUCACAUGUCCUUUAGAUCACCCAAGAGGACACACUGUCUCAAUCCCAUGAAAUAUCAUGGUGCCUCUAUUGAGAAUACCUAUUGCUAACAAUCUUCGUCAACAAUGACCCAAUCCAUAGGGAUAUAUGACCACUUUAAGGUCUCACCCAUAGGUUAAAUCCUCCAGUUGAUUUUGGCACAGACUCAAUAUCCUCUAAAGGUUGAGAGUCCAUGCAAUAUAGUAGCUUGGUGAAUCAUGAAAAUUGAUAGUCUUGUGUUAUAAUUCAUCGUAGGUCCUACCUAGUGUGCAUCACAUACACUAGUACACUCAUCAUGGAAAACUCAUCCUGACAACCAAGGCAAUUUAUCUUUCUAAUUAAGAGGUGGUAAACUAUAGUCUCUACUAGAUUGCUCAAAUCUAUGAACCAAUUGUGGACAAUUUAUCUACUUAAAAGAAACCCAUGGCUUGUAUCUUCUGUGCAACUCUUAAUACACCUAAGUCAUGUACAAUGUAAGAGACAUGGGUUGAAUGCUCAAAUCAAUGUCAAUACACCAAAGAGAUAACAUGGGGAUAGUUAAGUCUAACUUUGUUAAAUCAUGUCUUGAUUUUAGGGGCUCAAUCCCAACUAACUUCCACUAGCCCCGAAAGCAGAUUGGGUACUAUAGAAAGAUUCUGCUUCACAAUCAUAUCACUUCUCUGUACUAUCUCACAAUAAGGCUACACUUCUUCUUUGUGAGGUUCUUUUUCUAGUGGUAUUUCAGUUCUUUAGACCAUGCAAUUGUCUCACUGUUAUCACUUAAUAAGAUCUUAGACGAUAUAGCCAAGGAAACUACCUAUAAGCCAAAAGGUUUCCUUUGUUGCUAUAGAAACAACAAAAAACCAUUUAGAGUGUACACAUACCCAGAAGUAGACUUGUGAGAGUCUUUGUCAAACUGAAGUCCAAUUUUCUGGUACAAAAGGAGUACUAACUCAUUACAAAGACUUACAAACAUAUAAUCCCUCAUUCUCAAAGACAUUAGAGUAUAUGUUUGACAUCGAACCAAAGUUCUAAGCAGGAAAUGGACUAAUAUCCACUUAUUAUUCCUAUAACAAAGCUAAUAUUUGGUUUAGCACAUAAUAUUGCAUACUUAAGGCCAUCUAUAGCAGAGGCCUUAGAUACUGCCUUGAUGCGAUCUCUUUUCAUAAAUGUUUAAGGACGUUGAUCCUAAGAAAAAAAACUCCAAAUCCAAAGAGUAACAAACCCUUCUGGGAGUUUUACAUCAUGUAGUUGACCAAAUGCUCAUCUAUGUAGAUGACAUUACACAAUUUUCCUAUUCUUAUAGUUCUAAAGGACCUUAACCCCAAGAAUAUAUUGUGUCUUCCUCUAGAUUUCAUCUAGAACUAAGUAGACUACCAGAUCUUGACUGAUGACAAUAUCCCUACAUCCUAUCCAAUGAGUAGAUUGUCAUCUACCUGCAAGAUCUUAGAGCAUCACCACGCUUCCCUUUGGCUUCUUGUACACACAAGGCCCUUUGCUAUGAAAAUGUUUGGUUGUUAUAUCUCAUAAAUGAGACACACUACAAUAGAUAGGAGUAAUAUGAUGGAUUUGAGUAUGACCACUAUUGAAAAGGUUUUCUUUCGUUGAAACAAAGUUUCAAACUAUAAUCUUUAGCUACAGUCUCAGCAACAUAAACCUCAAGCUUUCCAUCUACUCCUAUGUUCAUAGGUCUUAUCACUUUAGGUGCUUCUAUAGGAACCUAAACUAUGUUAGAAUAUAAAGAUUCUAACUACCUCUUCAUAGCUCCUUGCCUUGAGUGAGCAUAAACAUUGCUUAUUACUUUAUCACAAUCUAUGGGAUAUGAACCUCCCACUAUGAUGAGGCACUAGUGUACUAGAAAUCAUAGGAAUGGUAUGUCUUUAACCCUCUGGAUCCAUAGUAUCCUAUUCAAUAUGAGACAAUCUUCUAAUAUAUCCUUCAAUUUGUAUCACUCUUUGCCAUAUUCCUCAUCAUAUAGUCUCAUAAAAAAAAUCUAACAUUUAUGUCAACAAAUAUAUUUUGAUGAUCCUAACUAUAAAGGUAAUAACCCAAAAAUCCUCUUAGAUAUCCUAUAAACGGAUAUAUCUUUUAGGAAAAAGAGGUAUUACAUAGUCUAUAAGACAUAUCCCUAAAAGAAUCCAGGAAAAGAUGAGAAAUCUAUCCAUGAUCUCACUAUGUCCAACCAAAUUUGAUAUUUCCACCUUUUUGUUUUGCAACGGAGACCCUGGUGCACAUGACUAGGAAAUAAUCUCAUGCUUCAAAGGAAAGAAUCAAACUUACUAGACAUAUCACCUUGAUCUAAUCGAAGUGACUUGGUAUGUAUGUCCAAUAGGUUAUUCAAUCCCGCCUUAAAUUUAAUGAAUGUAUCCAAGGCAUCAAAUCUUCUAUGGACAUAUCCAAACCUAGAGUAAUCAUCACUAAAAGUGAUGAAAUACCCAUACCCUCCCCAUGCAUAGACACUAAAAGUUUCAUACAUGUUAGUAUGCACUAACUCCAAACAUUCCUUGGCUUUAAUCCUCUUAGUCAUUUUACCGUCUAUACAGGAUUCGUAAACUAAAAGAUCUUUUCAAAUUAAAGAGUCUAGACAUUACCAAUCUUUGGAUCCUAUUUAGAUUAAUAUGACCUAGGUCUAGAAACCAAAUAUUUAAUUAAUGCUAGGUUUAAUCCUGAGAUUUGACUAUUCUCAUCACUUGGCAAAGUAAUAAUGGAAUACAUAUAAAGGAAGAGGAUAUUACCUCCCACUAACAUGCAUAAAUAACCUUGCAUUUGAAGUUAAGGUAACUAUAAUCCCAUCAUUUAACCUUCUCAUUUGUUGAAUAUCCUAUAAGGACUUACAGACAGUGGACCUGGAAUCUAUCCACCAUAAAUGGUGAAAUCCACCACUAAAUAUUCAACAGUGAGAAAAUGAUGUAUACUUUCCGUUUUCUUUAGGUAAAUUGGCCAUUUCUUUUCUAAUGCCUAAAAGGUCACAAAGGAAUCACUUGCCCUUGACCUUGCUCUCUUAUUCCUUAUCUUGAACUUUCCUUAUUUGGUAUUGUUCUUCUUCUUCUUGAGAGAAGAACCCGAAGAACCUUUGACUACCAUAUGAACACCCUAUAAUCUUUGAGAGUUAGCCAUCUCAAAGGAAAAUGGUGAGGUCUCUAAGAUCAUAUGUAUACUUGGUGUUCAUAAUAGUCCUAAGAGUAGCUUUUCAAGGCUGAUCUACUCUUAUUACCAAAUAACCAUUGCAAGCUAGAAAGAGAAUAUCAAAGUCUCUAAUAAUAGAAAUGUGUUGCUAUUGCAACACAUUAUCCAAAGUUCCAAGUAUUAGACGCUUGGUCUUUUGAUCCAUCUAAUACCGCUUUGAUAUUCCACUCUUUCCUCUUGCUAGGUUAGUUCAUAAGGAAUAGCUAGCUCUACCUAAACUAGCUUCUGUGCAAUUACUUACUAUAUCUAGAAUACAAUUAGUCCAAUUGAUUAGUUAGGUUUGGCCUAUUAUGAGAAAAAGAGUGAUAAUAAAACCAACAUGAUAUCCAUAACAAAGAAUAUGACCAAGCAUAUGACAUAAUUGAGCAUUCAAGGCAUUUGGUAAUUAAUUUAGCAAAAAUGUAGUGUUCCCAAACUAUAUAUCCUUUUGCAAGGUAUCCUAGUAUUAUAAGAAUCAAGCCUAGGUGGGACAGGUCAUGACCUUAUUACUAGUAAGAGACCCUCUUAGAUUGAUCUCCCCACCUUAUCCAUAAAAGUAUCUUAAGGCAAGAUUAACAUACCUUUUAUUUAGCCCAUAGACUAUGAAAGUGGGACCACGUGGGGCAAUUCUAUCACUUCAUAUCCAAUGUCAAGUGUAUAACCAUUGUCCUUGAAUUAUCAAUGUCACCAAGUAAAGAACUCCACCUAGGGGUAGUCGCUCCCACUACAGACAUAUCUAGUCUCGUCCAUGCAGAGAGUCCAUAUCUCUUGAUUCUUAAGGCUAACCCACCGUAAGGGUGGUGAUGAACCCAAAUCAAGAUGGGCUCAACAAUGGAUGUCUUGGGCAUGCCUAAGGCCUUCUCCCACUUAAUGUUUUGAGAUAAAUAAGAGCAUUUUAAAACCAUUAGUAAUUUCCCUGAUGAAUAAAUUAUCUACUUUGAAAAUUUUCAAAAAUAUUUAUUUUCUAAUUGAAACCUAGUGUAAUAGGAGAAGACCAACAUGAAAAAUUUUAAAUUUCCAUGACAGUAAUUUUCAAAAAGAAUUUUUAUAAAAUAUCCACUUUCAAAAUUUUAAAAUCUAUUUUCAUUACAUUAUCCUUCUAUAUAUAAUUCCAAUUAAUAAAUAUUUUAUCUAGGAAAUGUUUCAAAUAAAUUUAUUUCCAUCAAAUUACUAAGCCUUUUGCUAAUAAUCUUGUAAUGAUAAAUUAUCUUUAAUGAAAAUUUUCAAAAUAUUUUUUUUCCAAAUUGGAAACUCUAGUGUAAUAAGAAAAUUACUAAUUCAUGAUAUUUUGAAUAAUCUUGAGAGCAACUUAUCCAAGAAAGGAACUUUUGCUUCUCAUAUUAAAAAAUCCUCAUAAGAUUUACUUUCCUUAUUCCUUACACUUUUCCAACUUAAUAAAUAUUUCCAUGAAAAUUUCAUAAUAAUUUAUGUCAUUAAAUACUACCAAAAGUAGGACCUUUUAAUAAUUUCUUAAUAGAUAAAAUAUUCUCCAUGAAAAACUCCUAAAAAUGCUUAUUUCUAAAAAGGAAUUAAACAAUCCAUUGUGGAAAGUAUUUUUAAAAUAUUUUGUAUCUUCAUUAAAUUACUAAAACUUUCCAAAGUUAUUUUGGUAACCCUUCUUAUCAUAAAAUCUUUAUCAUGAGAUUUUCAAAACCUUAAUUACUUCUAAACCAGGAUUCCUGUGCUAAAAGAAUUGCUUUCUUAUUCCUUAUCAUUGAAUUAUUCAAACAGAAUGGUUUCCUCCCUUUCUUUGAGGAAGAGAGCCUAGAGGACAAACUGUAGGUAUAGUUUAAAAAAUAGAUAGUUCUAAAGAAAUAACAAUCUUCUUAGCAACAACAAAUUUAAAAAGAUAAUCUUAGAAAAUAUAUUCUCAUGAAAAUUUACUAAGAAUACCAAAAAACUUUUCUUUAGGUUCUAAAACUUAUUUUGGUAACCACUCUUAAUUAUAAGUUAUUUAUCAUGAAUUUUCAAAAUUAACUUUUUUUCUUUCAAUUAGAAAUCCUAUGCAAAAUAGGAAAAAUACUAUUUUAUAAAGAUUUGGAAAAAUAAGAGCUUUUCCUUAAGAGAAAGAUUUUAUUCUUAGAGAUCUCAAAGAUUUGAGAAGAUUUUAAGUAAAGUUUAAAUCUCUAAGAAUUAAUUUUAAAAGGGAAGAAAGCUCUUAGUCCUUUGCCAACUUAUCUUUUUCUUUAAAAUAUAAUUUCCUAACUAUGCACAUUCCAAUUUAAAUAAGUUUUCCAAUUUUGAAAAAAACACGAAAAUUUAUUUUCAAUUAAGAAUACCAAAUCUUGAGGCCACAUAUACAAUCUAUCAAUAUAUAUAUAAGGGAAUAACUAAAUAGAAAAUUUCUCAUGGCUUUCAAGGAUCCAAUUGCAUAUUUGGUAAUUAAAAUUUGGAUAAAAUCCAAAUUACCAAAAAUAGUCCUACAACCAAAAAUAGGGUUAGUAAAAAUAGAAAACUCAAAUGGCCUAAUUGCCACAAAAAAUUGAGCCCAAGAAGAGGCCCAAAAUUCAGCCCAAACAACGAAAAGAAUCGGGCAUGUAUGCAAUCUCGUAACAGCAUGCUCUUUGAGCAGUAUUGCUUCAAUUGGUCAUAUCUUCCUCAUUUAAACUCCAAAUUAUUAUUCGGUUAAAGUAUUGGAUUCCUAACCUCCUAAGCUUCAAAACCAUAUGUGAUUUGCCUCAACAAAAUUAUUGGAAAUGGCUGUGAUUUUGACUCAAAUUUGACAUCACUGUGCUGCCAUGCACUUUGCACAACCUUGCUUCUUUUGACCAUAUCUCCCUCAUUUCAACUCCGAAUUGCAAUCUACUUGAUCCAUUGGAUUCAUGACUUCCCAAGCUUCAAAUCUAUAUAUGGAUUGCCUCAAGAAACUUUUAUGAGGUAGUCCCAAUUUUGAGUUCAAUUCAACAUCAUUGUGUUGCCAUGGAUCUCAAACCAAGAACUUCCAAGAUUGCUUCUUUCUUCUUUAACCACCAUAGAAUCACAAAAAGAACUUUCAAGAUUCCUUCUACAAUAGAAGGAUGUAAAAAAUUAAAAUUUUUACACUAAUAAAAAUUCCUAUGCUCCUUUAAUGGAGCUUAUAGCCCAUCUAUUGAAAAGAAAAUAUUUUUACAUUCAAAUAAAAAUCUUAUACCCCUUAUGUGGUGUACAACCCAAUCUAGAAAACAAAAGGUAAAGAAGAUAUCCAUUCAUAUUCAUUCAUUCAAAUGAAUCAAUAACAAUAAACCAAUCCAAAUAUAUUAAUACAUUAAAAUGAUUCUUCAUUCAUUCAUCCAUUAGGGUCAUGGAAUGAAUAAAACAACCCUGCAAACUAGAGUUAGCACAUCCUAAACAGAUCUAACAAGAUAGAAUCUACCCUAGGGCUCUGAUACCAAUUGUUGGAAACCCUAGGUUACUUCGUUCCCAUGCCUUGGAUCGUGUAGGGUGCAUACAAAUCUAUCAUAAACUCUUUAAAUCUAUCACAACGGAUAAAUAGGUAUUAAAAAAAAAUAAGAAUACCAUAGAAAACAUAGAAAUAGAAAAUAAAGCCACGUAGCUUUGAUCUAGAUGUUCCUAGAUCAAUUCUAAUCAAUGUAGUUAACUCCAAAGUCAUAAUGGAUCUCAUAAACACCAUGAUCUUCCACCCGAUGAUUUUUCCUUAUGUUUAGGCACUGAGAUAGUGGAGAUCUCAAGGAUGGACGCUAAUGUUCUCUUUCUAUACUAAAGGGGAGAAUAGUAAGACUUAGAAACCCUAACCCCAAAAUGGGUAUUUAUAGGUUACCUGUUAGGCUUAAGUGACUUAAGCCCAUCAUGGGCUUGGGUCACUUAAUCUAGCACAAAAAGGUUGCUAAUUAAUUAAUUAACCAUAUAAGGCCUAAUUAAUUAAUUAGCCUAGUCAAGAGAUAUUACUCAUCCAUGUGCAACCUUACGUAAUUACCAAAAUGCCCUUAUGCACAAAAGUGAACGAAAAACCCAUCCAACCCUCAUAAGCCAUGCCAACAAGGAAUAUGAGCUCAGAACGAGGACACUAGGACCCAUAAGAGUACUGGCCACUCAAAACUAAAUUAUGAAAUUGACUUAACAUCCCACUACAAAGAGUCAACUACACUCCAGUACCCUAUGUAUAUUACAAUGAGACACUAAGUGCUCAAGUCUGUGACCUACUAUCCACUGCAUGUAGACUUCCCAUGAAUUGGUGUUUGUAAUCUAACAAGGUAGUGUUAUCACCUAUCAAGAUUAUCUCCCAAAUCCUUGAGUUACAGAUCCCACUUACUAUAUGAUCAAAUGACAUAUCCUAGCUCUAAUAAGCAUAUGUCAAAUUUCACUAAAAGAAUUACUAUGGCCACAGAUUUCAUGAUCACAUGUUCUUUGGAUUACCCAAGGGGAUACACUAUCUCAAUCCCAUAAGGUAUCAUGGUGUCUCUAUUAAGAAUACCUGUUGCCACCAACCUUCAUCAACAGUGACCUAAUCCAUAGGGAUAUAUGACCAUUUUAGGUUCUCACCCAUAGGUUAAAGCCUCUAGUUGAUUUUGGCACAUGCUUAAUAUCCUCUCAAGGUUGAGAGUCUAUGCAGUAUAGUAGCUUGGUGAAUCAUGACAAUGGAUAACCUUGCAUCACGAUUCGUCAUAGGUCCUAUCUAGUGUGCAUUACAUACACUAUUACACUCACCAUAGGUAACCCAUCCCGAUGAUGAAGACAAGUUAUCCCUCCAAUUAAGAGGUGGUGCACUACUGUCUUUACUGGAUUGCCCAAAUCCAUGAACCAAAUAUAGACAACUUAUCUACUUACAAGGAACCCAUGACUUAUAUCUUCUGUGCAACUCCUAAUGCACCCAAGCUAUGUACCAUGCAAGAGAUAUAGAUUGAAUGCUCAAAUCAAUGUUAAUACACCAAAGAGAUAGCAAGGGGAUAGUUAAGUCUAACUUUGUUACAUCAUGUCUUGCUUUUAGGGGCUCAAUCCCAACAUACAUAACUGGGAAAUAAUUCCAUGCUCUAAUAGAAAGAAUCAAACUUAUUAGACAUAUCACCUUAAUCUAAUCGAAGUGACUUGGCAUGUAUACUCGAUAGGUUAUCCAAUCAUGCCUUAAAUUCAAUGAAUGUAUCCAAAACAUCAAAUUUCCUAUGUACAUAUCCAAACCUAGAGUAAUCAUCACUAAAAGUGAUGAAAUACCCAUACUCUUCCCAUGCAUGGACACUAAAAGUCUCAUACAUGUUAGUAUGCACUAACUCCAAACAUUCCUUGACUUUAUUCCUUUUAGUCAUUUUACCAUCUAUACAGAAUUUGUAAGCUGGAUGGUUUUUUGGAAUCAAAUAGUUCAAACUUUAUCAGUCUUUAGAUCUUAUUUAGAUUAUUAUGACCUAAGUUUAGAUACCAAAUGUUUAAUUAGUGCUAGGUUCAAUCCUGAGAUCUGACUAUCUUUCUCACUUGACAAAGUGAUAAUGGAAUACAUAUAAAAGAAGAGGAUAUUACCUCCCACUCACCUGCAUAACUAACCUUACAUUUGAAGCUAAGAUAAGUAUAAUCCCAUCACUUAACCUUCUCACUUGUUGAAUAUCCUAUAAGGACUUACAAACAGUGGGCCUAGAAUUUAUUCACCAUAAAUGGUGAAAUCUACCACAAAUGGUGAAAUUCACCACUAAAUAUUCUACAAUGAGAAAAUGAUGUAUACUUUCCUUUUUUCUUUAGGUAACUAAGCAUUCAUUUUCUAAUGUCCUAAAAGGUCAUAAUGGAAUCACUUGCUUCUGAGCUUGUUCUCUUAUUCCUUCCCUUAAACUUUCCUUAUUUGGUGUUGUUGUUCUUCUUCUUGAUAGAAGAACCUGAAGAACUUUUGACUUCCAUAUGAACACCUUAUAAUCUUUGAGAAUCCCCUUAGCCAUCUCGAAGAAAAAUGGCAAAGUCUCUAAGAUAAUAUGAAUACUGGUGUUUAUAACAGUCCUAAGAGUAGUUUUUCAAAGCUAACCUACCCUUAUCACCAAAUAACCAUUGCAAACUAGAAAGAGAAUAUCAAAGUCUCUAGUAAUAGACAUGUGUUGCUAUUGCAACACAUUAUCCAAAGAUCCAAGUAUUAGAAACUUGGUCAUCUGAUCCAUCUAAUACCACCUCGGCAUACCACUCUUUCUUUUUUCCAAGUUAGUUCAUAAGGAAUAGCCUGUUUUUCCUAAACUAUCUUCUAUGCCAUUAAUUACUAUAUCCAGAAUAAAAUCAAGUCCAAAUGAUUAGUUAGGCUUGGUUCAAAGUGAGAAAGAGAGUGAUUAUAAAUAACAUGAUAUUUGUAACAAAGAAUAUAACCAAACAUAUGACAUAAUUGAGCAUUCAAGACAAUUGGACUUAAUUUAACAAAAAUGUAGCCCUCUCAAACUACAUGUCCUUUUGCAAGAUAUCCUAGUAUCAUAAGAAUCAAGCUUAUGUGGGUAGGUCAUGACCUUAUAACUAGUUAGAGACCCUCUCAGAUUGAUCUCCUUGCCUUAACCAUAAAGGUAUCUAAAAGCAAGAUCAACAUACCUUUUAUUUGGCCCAUAGACUAUGCAAAUGGGACCGCGUGGGGGAAAUUCUAUCACUUCAUAUCCAAUGUCAAUUGUAUAACCAUUGUCCUUGAACUAUCAAUGUCACUAAGUAAAGAACCCACCGUAGAGUGGUCACUUUUAGUACAAACAUAUUUAGUCUUAUCCAUGUGGAGAAUCCAUAUCUCUUGAUUCUUAAGCCUAACCCACUGUGGGGUGGUAAUGAACCCAAAUCAAGAUGGGCUCGACAAUGGAGGUCGUGGGCAUGUCUAAGGCCCUCUCUCACUAAGUCUUUUUAGAUAAAUAGAUGCAUUUUAAAACAUUAGUAAUUACCUUAGUGAAUAAAUUAUCUUCUUUGAGAAUUUCCAAAAAUAUUUAUUUCCUAAUUGGAAACCUAGUGUUAUAGAAGAAUGUCCAUAUGCAAAAUUUAAAAUUUCUAUGAGAGUAUUUUAUCCAAAAAGGAAUUUUGAUAAAAUGUCUACUCUCAAAUUUUAAAAUCUAAUUGCAUAAAAAAUUCUCUUUCUUCACAUAAUUUCAAUUAAUAAAUAUUUUGUCUAAGAAAUAUUUUCAAAGAAAUUUAUUUCCAUCAAAUUACUAAAUAUCUUCUUCGUAAUAACCUUUAAUGAUAAAUUAUUUCUAAUGAAAAUUUCCAUAAGAUAUUUAUUAUCAAAAUUGAAAACUUAGCGUAAUAAGGAAACCUCUGAUUUAUAAAAUUUUGAAAAUUUGAGAGCACCUAAUCCAAUUAGGAAAAAUGUAAUUCUUCAAGGAUUCUCAUAAUUUUUUUUUAAAAAUAUUUUAAAUCCUUAAGAAUAAAUUUAGAAAUGAACUUUAGCUCUCAUACUCAAGAUUCCUUAUAAAUUUAAUUUCCUUAUUCCUACAUCUUUCCAAUUUAAUAAAUAUUCUUAAAUAUGAAAUCUAAUUUUCAUAAUAAUCUAUUCCAUUAAAAUUACUAAAAAUAAAACUUUUAAUAAUUCCCUUAAUGAUGAAUUAUCCAUCUUGAAAAUUUCCAAAAACAAAUAUUUACUCUCCAAAUUAAGGAUUAGUGUAAUAAGAAAGUUUCCAAAAACUUGAAAAAUAAAAACUAGAGAGCUCUUUAUCCAAAAGGGAAACUUUUAUUCUACAAGAAUUCUUACAAAAAAAAUUAAAGAAAAUAAUUUAGAAUCCUUUGAAAUAAUCUAGAAAAGGAAACUUUGCUCUCUAAUUUAUUUCCACAAGUUUUUUUUCUUAAUCUACACUAUUCCAAAAUUAAGUAAACAACAAGCUUUGGAAUUUAAUUUUCAAGAAAAUUUAUAUCCAUUAAGAUUACUAAGAGUUUCAUGGAACUUUCAUAAGAAGCUUUCAAUAAUUUUGGUGACCUUCUUAAAAUAAAUUAUCUAUCAUGAGAAUUUUCAAAAGCUUUGUUUAUUCACUAAAUUGGAAUACUUGUGCUUAUAAGGAAUAUCCAAUUUUAUAAAAAUUUUAAAAUAAAAGUGUAUUCCCUUAAUAUAGAAACUCAAGUCCUUGAAGAUCUCAAAAUUAGAAACUUUGAAAAAAAGAUCUUCUAAGUAUUUUUUGAAAAGGAAACUAGAUUCUCUCACAAAUUUUAAAAUAUCUUUCCAUAUAAAAAUUCCUUAAUAGUGACAUCAUUCUAAUUUUGAAUCAAACUUUCAUUUGUAAAUAGCUUUCUCAUAAAAACUUUUUUUCCAUAAGAAAAUCCAAAAUUAGUAACUUUCAAAGCACUUCUCAUCACAUGCAAUAUAACAAUAUGCAUAAAAAAUAAAAUAAAAAAAGAAAUAUUCAAAAAGAGAUCCCAUGGCCAAGGGAUAUUUUUUACGACUUUCCAAUUGUGAACCAAAGCCAUUUGUCUUCAACUUGGCACCAAUAUUUGGCAUCAAAACUUGCCAAAAGAAGCUCUUGCAUAGCUGCCACAAUUCAAUAACUUUCAAGCCCAACAAGUGGCCUAAGAAAUGAGUCCAAACAAGCAAAAAGAAUCAGACUCGUAUGCAAUCCCGUAAUAGAAUAACCUCUAUGCAACUUUGCGUCAAAUGACUAUAUCUCCCUCGUUUCAACAAUGAAUCACAAGUCGUUUACACCAUUGGAUUCCUGACUUCAUAAGCUUCAAAACCAUAUGCAACUUGCCUAAAGAAAAUCAUAAGAGGCAGCCCCGAUUUGGAGUCAAAUUGAAUGUUGCUAUGCAAUCAUGGAUCUCACAAAAACAAAACUUUUUUAUUAUUAUUAUUCAAUCAAAAGAAGGAUUCAACCUUUCUUCCACAUCCAUUAAAAUCCUUGAAUCUUCAUAAAUGAUGCUUUAAUAAAGAUCCAAUCUUUAUUGACAUCAUUAAGGAAUUCUUCUCUUGUAGCUCUCCAUAGAUAAUAAAAAACAUGACUUUAUAUCAUAAAAGAAAUCAUAUGCUCAUAUAAUGGAGCUAAUAACCCAAUCUCUAGAAAAGAUUAAAACUUUACAAGAGUGUAGACCCUCAAUUUUGUCCCUUUAGCACAUGUCUUUAAAUUCGUUUUCAAUGCCCCAUAGUAACUCUUUGGUGGCCCAUUACUACUCGUACGACUUACCUUUUUCUGAGUCACCCUGGAGAUUUUAGCUGAGGGAUUAUCUGACCUCUUAUUGCAACCUUUGGAAGCCCUAUUUUAGAGUUAGGCUUUUCAUUCAUUUUUAAGAUAGCUUUUAGGGUAGUCUACUUAGGUCUACUUAGGCACCCUAAGCCCACUUAGGCACUUAGGCCCAUUUAUGCACCCUAGGUCCAUUUAGGCACUCUUGGCCCAUUAGGCAACACCCUAGACCCCCUAGAUUCACCUUGACCCCUUUAGAUCCACCUAGACACCUUCUAACUUUCAUACAUUCACCUUAUGUCACUUAGGUCACUUAGACACCUUUUCAGAAUAGGUCCAUUUAGACACUCCAUUAGGCUUAACUUUUUAUAUAAUCUUUUUAUUACUAUUGCAUGAAUUCGAUAAUUACAUUUAUUCUGUUUAUUCAUUUUCAUUUUUACUUUUUAUUUGUUUAUUAUUAUUUUUAUUAUUAUAUUUAUUUAUUUAUUUAUCUAAUGGAAAAUUGCUUAAAUUGCUUAGACUUCAAAUGCGCAUACGACCCCUUAUUAAAUUAUGGAAUUAUAUAAUACGGUCUCUUUUGUUUCCUUUUCUUUUAAUCAUCUUUUAUUUUAUUACCAAUCUCGUAAUUUUCAUGAGUUACUUUUCUUUUAAUUUUUUAACCUUAUUUUAUUCUGUUUUGCAUGAGGAAACAAGCUGUCAUCUAUUUGGAAGGAAGAUCACCAGAAUUUUAGAGAUAAGAAAGUGACAACUACAUUAUUCUAUAAAGUUACCUCCACCAUGCAUAGAAGGAAGACACGACCACAAGGAAGAGGAAGAAGUUGCUGCCCAUAGAAAAAUAUAUGGAAACUUCCAUACAAAAGGGAAUUAUUGGAGAGACGCAAUCUCCAUAGAUGGGCAGAUACAUGGGAAGAAAGAUGAGAUUUUAUUAUUUUCUAAUUAGAGGCACAAAUAGCAAGGAGAUUCGAUACUAAGAUCAGGCACUAAAAGGAAGGCAUGCAUUGUAUCCUUUAAAAGCAUCUCCACGUCUACAGAGGAAGGGGCUCUCUUGGUCGUUUUUGGGGUUUUUUUUUCAAGAAAGAGACUGGCACCAUUCGGAGGGGGAAGGGAGAAGUACCAGAAUUUCAGAGGGAGGAUAAGGGAACACGCAUUCAUGGGGAAUGACGGCUGCCAAUGCGUGCAUUGCUAGGGGUCCUGCAUCAUUGAUAACAGGAACAUGCUGUCACUUUGAGGAUCCACCACGCACAGAUGGGAAAGACGCAUAAGAAGCGGGGAUGAUAAGGGUGAGAGCAGGAGACUUUUGGAGAGGGAACGGGUGCACAGUUUGGGGUAUGAGAAUGAGGUGAUCUUGUUUAUGGAGAGAGAAUCAGUGCAUGGUUCAAGAAAGAAGAAGACAAAAGGAAACUAGAUUUUUUAUUAAUCUCCAUGGGGCGCACUAUGAGUUUGAUGAAAAGACAAGUGACAGCAUUCAAUUUUUUUUGGAACACAACCGUACAGUGGGGAUUCUCCAAGGCUGCCACUUUAGGGUGAAGUUUUUUUUUUGAAAGAAAAGUGGCAGCAGGCUGCUACUUUAAGGUGAGUUUUUCUUGAAAGGAAAGUGGCAGUAGGCUGCCACUUUAGGGUGAAUUUUUUUUGAAAGGAAAGUGGCAGCAAACUGCUACUUUAUGAUGAGAUUUUUUUAAAGAAAAGUGGCAGCAGAUUACCACUUUAGGGUGAGAUUUGUUUUUAAAAAAAGUGGCAGCAAGUUGCAUUUUGAGGGGGGGAGAUUUUUUUGAAAGAAAAAUGGCAGCAAGUUGCACUUUUAGAUGGUGAGAUUUUUUGAAGGAAAAAUGGCAGCAGGUUGCAUUUAAGGGGUCCAUACCUCAAUUUCCAUAAAGAUCUUCAUGGUAUCUUCAAGAGAACCAUGAACGCCAUUGAUCCCCAAAACGAGUAGGCUGCAUCUUCCAAAGGUAAGUGAGUUUCCUUGUUCUUGAGUUUUUGAGAAAAUUGGAGCUUUGUUUGCUAAUUUUUUACUCUAUUAAGUUUUCGAGUCUCUCAAGUUUUAGUCGAUUAAUUUAUUUGGUUUUAUGUCAUCAUCAUCUUGUUUUAUUUAAUUUUAGUUCAUGGGUUCAUCCUAAUUAAUUCGUGUGAUGCUUUAAAAUUUUAAUGGAUUAAUUUAUUUGAUUCUAUGUCAUUAUCAUCAUGUUAUUUUAUUCUUUUUUUUUUUUUUUUUUUUAUCUUAGCUGAUUCAUGUGAUGCUUUAUGUUUUUAGGUGAUUAAUUCAUUUGGUUCUAUAUCAUUAUCACUAUGUUUAUUAAUUUCAGUUAUUUUUAUUUUUACUUAUUUAUUUAUUUUUUGAUUCAUCAUAUUUGGUUUAUGAGUCUUUAGAAUUUUAAUUAUUUAAUUUAUUUGACCCCCUGUCAUUAUAUCCAUGUUUUAAGUGUGUUAAGCUCUAGUUCCUGAUUGAUCCUUACUCAGUUCAAGUGUUUUAGAAUUGUAAGUUCUUAUGGUAUUAUAUUUAACAUUACCUUAAUCAUAGGUUUGUGUGUUCGACUAAUCUAAUUUAAUUAUUGAUUAUAUCCUCAAUUUAUACGCUUGACUAAUCUUCGUUAGCUUUUGAUUGAUAUCUAGUUGACUUUAUUUGAUCUAAGGCCAUUUAGUUAUUUUCUUUGACAUUUGUUCGUUUAUAUUUGAUUCAUGGGGGCCAUCGGAAAAUUGUGAAGAUUGGCCUCCAUUCACACCAUUUUAGUUUGCUUGGUUGCCAAAAAUUUUAUUUUAUGAUUUUGUUUCUAUUUGUUUUGUUUGGUACAAUUUUUCUCAUACGUUUUAUUGUUCUCAAAUUAAUUUCUCUUAUUUUAAAAUAAAAUACUUUUCUCAAAAUGUUCCUCAUAAAAACCUAUUUUAAAAAUUCAUUUAGAGUCCUUAGAAUCAAAAACCCCAUUUUCUUAAAAUAAUAUGCAACCAUUUUUUGAUUAGUUUGCAUCUUUCUCGGUUUUUAACGAAAAUUUUGGUUUGAAAUCAGACACGAAUCAAAGCUUGUGGUCCCACAUAAAUGGGAUAAUUUUGAGCUAAAUUCGUGUAUAUCAAUUGGGGAAUUGGUGAAACCCCUACAUAAGAAAAUCUUUUCAAAAAUUAUUUUUGUUGCCACUUUUGUCACUUGUUGAAAUUAUGUCUAUCUUUUUUUAGAAAUUGUAUACCAGAUGAGUGUGAUAAUUAUUGUUUUCAUAUACUGUGAUCGCUUUUACUAUGCUAAUUAGAUAAUGAGCAUGUUAGGAUUUCUAUAUUUUAUUAUUUAUUAUCUAACCCCUUACAACUUGAGGAAGCACGCUACAAAUUAUCUAUGCUAUCCAGGUAUGUCCUCUAUCAUCUACUUUCUGAAUUCUGUGAAUAUGCUUGUCAUUGUGAAAUAAUACUUAUGUCUAAUAAUGCUUGAGUGUCUUGAUAUGCAUGUUUCAUUGUUUGAUUAUUUCCAAUAAAAUACAUGUUGGAUGAUAUAUUGUUUAAAUUAACCGUUUAUGUUUUAUGAUAGCGCUUGAAGAGCGGUUCAGGUACGCACCCUAACUCUCCUUUAUUGUGAUUUGAUCUUGUUUAGCAUGCAACUUUUUUUGAAAUCACCUAGCCUACUUAGGUAUCCAUGAUCGACCAUUUAAUUGCCAUGCUUCCCUUAACUUAGUCAGUAGAGACCUUUUUAGGGCUUAGAGGGGUGCUACCUUUUAAAGGUACCUUCCCAAUAGGUAACCUGAUCCCCGGACUUAGACUCGGGUUUUUCAAAGACAUACUUUUUCCAAAAAUUAUGGAGUCACAUUUUAGGGUUUUUCUUUCUUGUUUUAUUUUCCCUUUAAAAUAAAAAUAAAAUAAGUGGCGGCUCCAACCUUUUUCCCAAAAAUUAAUUUUUCACAAAUAAAAAGCGAGUCUCGCCGAUCGAGUGGGGACGCACGUGAAAAAUGCGGGUCCACAAAGAGAAGAAGAAAACUUAUGCUCCUUUAAUGGAACUUACAACCAAAUCUAUGAAGAAACGAAGAAAACAAAUUAUCCCAUUUAAUCACCACAAACAAUAAUAAAAAGAAACAUACAUGCUUCUCUUGUCCAUGGGAUAACAUCAAGGUUGCAAAAAAGAUAUUAGCACGCCCUAAAUAGAGAUCUAAGCAUGUUUAUAACAUUAUGCUCUAAUACCAAUUGUUAGUAUCUUAGAUCUAAGCAAUACUAAUUUUUAUAAAAUUGAUCUUUUAGGGUUAAAGUACUAACCUUUAGGUUUGGAUGUUCCCAAACCUUAAAUUCCACUUAUUGAAGACAACCUUGAAGUUGUUGAAAGUCUCAUAAACUUAUGACUCAUUCUAUACUUGAUCAAAGAGGUAGACUUCUUAAGUUGAACUCAUAAAGUUGACUUUGAUUACUUUCAAAGGAUUUUUUGUCAUGCUCAAACCUUAUUAUCCACAUACCUUGUUUGACUAUGAUUAUUAUUUGUUUCCCGGGGUGAGUUAGUACAAAAUAUUGAAUCUUUGGUUAAGCAAAACUCUUUUACUUUUAUCUAAGAUUUAUGCUCUUAAAUGCAUACUGCUCACUUAUAACAUUUGGAAACACCAUCAAAGUGGACACAAAGGCAACCAUGAAUGAAAACAAAAAGAAAAAUCAAUUGACCAUGGUGUACAAUGCCUCCACUUUCAAAAAGAAAAAGAAAAAGAAAAAGAAAAGAAUAGGAGGAUGAUAUCAUACUAAGGGGGAGUCAAGUUAUGUUGUAUGUAGAUCAACGAGGCCAUGUUAAAUAUAAAUCUGAUGAUCUUAGUUCAAAUUGACUGGAUGUGUUCUUUAAUUUGACCAAAGGCAUGAGUAGAUCUCUUCUAAGUAAUUAAUUUUGAAAUAUUGAACUAGACAGUAAGUCAUAUUUCCUUGAAAAUCAAUAUUGAUGUUUCUAUGUUGACUCUCUUAUACAUUUAUAGUUAUGCAUUAGGUUUUCAAAUCUGAAAUUAUGAUUAACUCUGAUCAUUCAUCUUGAAAUUUCAUUCUUGAUGGAUCAACAUAUACUAUAUGAAGUAACAUACUUCAUCUAUUCCUAAUUCAGCUAAUGUUGAAAGUUUAUGACCUUAACUAUCUACUCUUUAUCGUUAAAAUUUGUUUCAAUUGGUGUCAAUUCUUGUUUAUAUGUUAGUUAGUUGAGUAUUCUAUCCAUUGUUAGAACUUUUUUUGGCUUUGGUUGCUCAAGCGCUAUAUUUAGCGUCCUUCAUGCUCAAGCACUCAAGCCUCAUCAAACGUCUCUACUGCUCAAGCGCUCUAAGUUGCAUCUAGUGGCGCAUCCAUUGAGCGUCUUGCUCGAGUGUUAAUCUGUAUCGGUAUGUCUGAGUAUAAAAAUCCAUUCAACGUGUCUUUUUUCUUUUCAAACAUUUUCCUAUUCUCUCAAGAGCUCUGGGACUUUUUUUAUUUUUUAUUUUUUUUUAUCAUUUGAGGUCAAGUUUCCUUGUUUUUCACAUUUUCGACUUCAUGGUAUUGUUCUACACAUUGUUUAGGGCAUUUCUAGCGGUUUAGAUUUUUUCUGAAAUCUUCUUGGUUUUCGAAUCCUUUGGUAUUCUCUUGGAUAUGGCUAAGAUGACCCCAUCUGGGACACCCAAACCCCUUAAAGGAUUUUCACUUCAUUUUUCUUUCGAUUUUGUGGCUCUACCAAUGAAUUUUUACUUUAUCAAAAGCCCCUAGUUCAAUAUUAUUUUUUUAUCCAUUGCUGUCACAUUGUGUUUGUGGGUUCAUUUCCUCAUUUGACCCUAGAACCUCAUAGAAUCAUAUUAUAUAGAGAUGGCGUCAGUGAAGUUCAACUCAUUCCAGUUUUGAUGCAUAAGAUGAAUUCAAUAAGAAAGGCUUGUGCAUCACUAGAGGAUGAGUGUUACUAACUCUUCCCAUACAUAUACUUUAGUACCGCCUUAUCCUUAGUAUUUCCCAUCUUCACAUGCAAAAUUUUUUUGUUGAUCUUAUAAUGGCUAUGUGCGUCAAGUUUUGCUCUGCCGCCACUGAACCUUUAGUGAAUUUGUUUUUUUGUUUUUUUUUUAUUUGGAUGUUUUUUCAUUACUUAUCUUAUGUAUCAAGAAUCAUAUUUUUAAUAUACAUAUUUUGUUCAUCUUUCUUCUUAUCUCUUAUGUGCUUUGGUAGUUAUAUUUCUAAUACUUUGUCAUUUUGUGACAAAAAAAAGAGAUAAUUGCAUAUUUAAUAUUUAACUCUGUUAAAUUAAUAUAAAAGAGAGAUAACAUUAAAUAUUUAGUUCACCUAAAAAUGAGGAGUUAAAAAAUGGUGAAAAUAAAAAGCUCCUUGAUUUAAGGGAAGUUAGUUUUUGAAUUAUUUGAUUCAUUAAUUUAGGUAAUUUAAUUGAAAUAUUGGAAGAAACUAAACAUAAGACAUUGAAGUAAAUCAAAUCAGCCUUAGGAAAUAUGACUUUACGAUUCAAGAGAGAUACCUAACACGGAUGUUUCCUGCAAAUUACUUUUGUUAGAAUUGUCGAUCUCUCUCUAGAACUAAUCCUAGUUGUAGAAGCUUUUUCCCAAGGCUUUCACUACUUACCUUAUUGCUGGAGAAUGCCCCCUGCUCUUUACUAAUAAAUUAUUAGGUCUCAUCUAUCUUCGAAUAUGUUUGGUUGAUUUGCAUACAUUCAAAUUCCUCUCGACCUUUUCUUUGUACCUUGGUGUCAUUAAAGGACUCUGUUUUUUUCAUGCUUUCAUAAGACAUCAAACAAAGUCUCCAACUAUCCUGUUUUGUUUUCAUAAUAUUAUUUUAUCCUUCACACUACUUUGCCUUUGGUAUAAUUUCUUGUAUGUGUUCAGGUUACAAGGUUGGAAGAUAAGUACUUCAAAGCAUUACAAAGUUUUCCCUUAAUUCAAUUUUAGUUGAGUGUUAAUGUGUGUUAUGUGAACUCUAUUAUGAGGAUCGAUAUUGAAAGGCUUAUGGCAUUGUAAAGUGCUUCAUAGGUACAUCUAAAAAAGUUUGGCUUAUGGCAUUGAAAGACUUAUUUGAGGUAUAAAAGGAUCGGUAUCAUUUUUUAACUGGUUAAUCUGCUCAGGCAGUCAACCCAUUCAAGCAGAGAGCUCUCAAGCGGUCUAAGUUUGGUCAAGCGGUCAUGACAACCCUAUCGAGUUUAAAAAUGUAUUUUCAAUGAAUUUCAACCCAACUAUAAUUUGGAAACUUAAGAUAUUGAUAUCCUUAUAGCUUUUGCCUAUAAUUUUUUAAAUCACCCAUUCACUCCUCUCAUCUCCCCCUUUCUAGGUGUUCCCUAUUGGACUUUCAAUUAUUCCAUUUUUUUUUUAUAAUUGUAAGAUUUACUUAUGUGAUAAAAAUUGAGAAAAUAAAAAAUUGAUAAAAUCUAAGGAAAACCAAGGAAAGUGCAUGUCAAAGGAAAAUGACAACAACAAGUAUUUAAAAAACAAAAUUUUAUCAACCUAGGAUGUCUAAGUGGGAAUGUACAAAAGUAGAAAAUUAAAUCAUGUGAAGAAAAACAUUGAAAAUCAUUUUAAAAUCAUGGAAAAUCACAAAGAGAACAUAAGUUAUGCAACCAGAGAGGAAGACAAUAUCUAUGUUUAAGAAAGAGUGUGCAUUAAGGAGAAAAUUGUGCAUUAAGGAUGAAGACACAUGCAAAAGGAAAAUAUGUGCUAAAAGAGUACACAAGAGGAAUUGUGCAUCGAGGGAAACGCCAAGUGUGCAUUAGAAAAUAAAAGAGGAGCACGCACAAAAAGAUAGUGCACUAAAGUAGCUUGCAUGCUUGGGAAUCACAUGCCUAAGAAGCACUACUAUGCGAAUGAAAGUGCGUGUGAAAAUUAUGCACUGAAGAGCUACACUAAUGUGCGCAAUAAUGCACUAAAGAAAGUUAGACUAUGCAUUGAAAAGUGCACACUACAAGACACCAGUGUGUGCACUAGAUUAUGCAUUAGAUGAAAAAGUGCACAUAAUUGCUUGUGUACUGAAGAACAAGUUGUGCACUAAAGGACUUGCACAUAUGAAAUGUGCACCUAAAUGAAGGCUAAGGAGCACAUAAAGAUUGUGCAUUAAAGAGGAGCUAUUGUGACAUGGGAAAAUCCUAAACCUCUCUGGUCCCCAAGCCCGAAUCAAGUUAGGAACAUAUGAAAAUAUCUUAGGCUUUUCUAAAUACUAUGCACAACAAAAAAAAAAAUUACAUUUUAAAACUUUAAAGGGAUUCAAAAAGUGCUAACAAAAGACUUACUUUAGAUUCAAAUGUUCCUAAAUCAAAUCCAUGUGAUGAAAAACGAAGUUGUAGAAGUCCCAUAAACCUAGAGUCUUCCACUCGAAGACUCGAACUUUGAUUUUGACACACUUAUGAUAGUAAUCAAUUAGGGUGGAGGCUAUAGCUCUCUCUCUAAAGGAGAAAGAUGAAUCUUUAGAAAAAGCUAUGAAAACUCUAACCCCUAAAGGGGUAUUUAUGGGGUUCCCCAUUGGGUUAAUUAACUUAAGCCCACUAAGGGCUUGGGUCACUUAAAUUAGCACAAAAUAGGUCAUAAUUGAUUAAUUAACCUAACAGAACCUACUAAGUAAUCAAUUAGAUGUGUAAUCCUGCUUAAUUACCAAAGUGCCCUUAUGCAAAAAAGUGAACCUAGAGCUAAUCUAACCCUCUUAACUCAUGCCAACAAGGUAUAUUAGCUUAGAGUGGGGACCAUUAUGACCCAUAGGACUACUGGCUCCAUUAAAAUCCAAUUCUGAAGUUGAUUUAAUAUCCUACUAUAGCGAAUCAACUAAACUCUAGUAUCCCAUGUAAAUAACAAUGAGUUGGGUCUGUGAUUUGUCAUUAAUUAUGUUCAAUUUCCCAAUGAACUGGUGUUCGUAGUCUAACAAGGUGAAAACUAUCAGCCUUUCAAGACUACCCUACUAUCCUUAAGUUGCAAUCCUUCUAUUAUGUGUAUAACUAACAUGUCUUAGCUUUCUAAGAACUUAUGUCAAGUUCUACUUAAGGAACUACUAUGGUCAUAGUUUCCAUGAACACGUGUCCUUAGAAUGAUCCAAGGGGAUACACUAUCUCAAUACCAAGAGAUAUCAUGGUACCUUUAUUAAGAAUACCUAUUACUACCAACUUUCAUUAAUAGUGACCCAAACCAUAGGGAACAUAUGAUCAGCUUAUGAUCUCACCCAUUAAUCAAAAGUCAUUGUGUGGACCCGCAUUUUUCACGUGCGUCCCCACUCGAUCGGCGAGACUCGCUUUUUUAUUUGUGAAAAAUUGAUUUUUGAAAAAAAGUUGGAGUCGCCACUUAUUUUAUUUUUAUUUUUGAAGGGAAAAUAAAACAAGAAAUAAAACCCUAAAAAAAUGACUCCAUAAUUUUUGGAAAAAACGUGUCUUUGAAAAACCCGAGUCUAAGUCCGGGGAUCAGGUUACUUAUUGGGAAGGUACCUCUAGGAGGUAGCACCCCUCUAAGCCCUAAAGAGGUCUCUACUGACUAAGUUAAGGGAAGCAUGACAAUUAAAUGGUUGAUCAUGGAUACCUAAGUAGGCUAGGUGAUUCCAAAAACAUAACAUAUCAAACAAGGUCAAAUCACAAUUAAGGAGAGUUAAAAGUGCGUACCUGGACGGCUUCCCAAGCGCUAUCAUAAAACAUAAGAGAUUAGUUUGGAGAUACAUCACACAACAUUUGUUUUAUUCAAGCAAAUCAGGCAUAUAUCAAGACAUUCAAGCAUCACGUCAAAUAUGGAUAUGGUCAUCAAUGACAUACAAGUCCAUAGAGUUCUAAAAAAAUAGAUGAGAAGAGACCGUACCUGGAUAGCAAGCUAGUACUCCUCUAUGGGAAACAAGAGCAUCUCAACAAUAAAUAUUAAGUGAAUUCAAGUAUUUCAUCAAGAAGAAUAAAAAAAUCAACAUAUCAAGUAAACGGUAUUGAAGUGAGUGUUAUGAAUGUCGGGCCCCCACCAAAGCCCUAAUUAAUUUUGCAUGAAUUGAUUCCAUAAAUUCCAUGAUUUGGAAUUAUGAAUUUUAUUCAUGCUUGUUGAAAAAUCAAGAAAACCAUGAAAAAUAGUUGAAAAUGGUGAAAAUGCAUGCCGGAAGGGAAAAUGGCAGCAAAUAGUAUGUUAAAAAAAAUCUGGAUUUUAGUGACUAAAAGGGCUCUAAAGAUUGAUUUUUCAAAGCUGGAAAUAUUUAAUUGAGAAAAAGAUUCAAAGAUUCAAUUUAAAAUAGGGAAUUCCUAAUCAAAGAAGCAAAAGGAGGAGGUGUGUGUAGCAAGGUAGGUAUGAUGGAGGGGAGUUGGGAGGUUUGGCUAUGACCGCAUUGCUGGUAAUUGCAGGUGCUGCUGUUAUUCUCUCUAAAUUUUCUCUUUCUACUCUGGUUGCAUGCAUUCAAGCACCAUACAUCGCUGCAUUCCCGGGCCUUUUCCGAUUCCUUGAAGUUCCCUAUAUGCGGACUUACUUCCAAGAGCUUUGGCAUUAAUUCCCCAUAUGAAUCUCUGAAAUUUGCUGAGAAAUUUAGUCUUUCUGGAUUGCCAUUUAUGAUAACUAGAGCAUUGAAAGUUGGGGAAUCACAUCCAAUUGGUUUUAGCUUUAGAGGGUGACCAUCGGUCAUGGUAAAAAAAUGAAAUCAAUUUCUGUUUCCUCAUGCCUGUUUCAAACUAUCCCGUUGUUGCACCAAGGACUUCCCUUUUCUAACUGCAACAUUUAACUUCUUUCUCAAAGAAGCUGACUUCUGCUCCUCUUGAUCAAGUGGAACUUGCGUCUCCUCCCUUUUCUGAUCCAAUGCUUCAACUUCACAUAACAAAGAUUGCAUCUUCCCCAUAUACCUAUCUCUCUCCCCCUUUGCUUCAGUCAGAUCACCCAAAGCCUCCUCUAAUUCUUUCUUCAAAACCACCACAUCUAGAUCCUUGGUAUCUGGUGCAUCUAUGGCUCUUGGUUCAUCACUAGAUGUAUCAGCAUUUUCGGUAUGGCACUCAUCAAUCCCUUCCCUAAGCACAGUUUUUCCCAAGGAAAGUCUAGUGUGAUUCUCUAUAAACUUCCUUAGCAUUGCAGACAGCGUGUAUAGCUGUAGAAGGGUCUCUUAGUGCGUAAGUUACAUCUCCAAUGCAACCAUGUGUGGUAUUGAAAGGUGGCAGCCUUCAAGUUCUGAAUGUUGCGGCUGUCUUCGAAUUUGAGAUGGUGCGUGGUGUAGAUGGAUGCAGCCCAUGAAGAAACCUGUGCAUAGAGUCCUUUGGUGCUCACAACUUCUUAAAAAAAAUUCUGGGGGUUCCUCUAGAAAGUGGACUAUGCAUGUACGUGUGUUCUCUGAAAAUCAAAACUGUGCGUGGGCUUCUUCAUGCGGCUGUGAAGACUUCCCGAGGUGGCGUGUUUCUGUUAGUGCGUGGUCCCCAUGGGAGUGCAGGCUGCCCCUCAAUCCGUGCUCUUGGAUUUCAAGUGUCCAUCCAAAGUGGCAACAUGAGAUGUUUGUUUCUCUCAAAGUGGGUUCAAAUUUUUGUUUCUCUAUAUUGAUGAUGCGACUGUUUCUCAGAAAAUCCUCACUUGGUACCCUCUCCUCCAUAUUCAGGUACGGAGCAAUGAACCCUCAAAGACUCCUUGGGAUCAAAUUUAAGAGACUGAACGUGAAUACCAGAAAUUCUGAUAAGCUAUGACAUUGUGUUUAAGUCUUUUGGAAAGUGACUUUAGAAAAGACUUCAAGGCAGAAUUCUGAACUGCAAUGUAAUGUGCAUGACAACCUUGGAAGUCUCAUCAGAAAAAGUUCAAAUUUCUUCCAUUGGAGGCCUCAAAUUCAACAACUUCUUGAUUCGUCAAAGAGGGUACCCUCAUCACUAGAGUUUUCCAUUACACUUCGAGAAUUUUCUGGUCUGUAUUAACUUUGAAAUUUUUCUGGCCCAUGUUCAGUUGAAUGAAUAUAUCCCCAAGGAGGUAUUCCAUGACUGCCCACAAUGAGAAACACCAAAGAGUAUAUGUGCAUUAAUCCAUAUGAAAUGUACAAAUGACCCAAAUGUUGUUUCAGAAGAGGAGGCAUCAACACUUAAUUCUUUCUCUUCCAGUUCUUCCUAAGUCUAUGUAGACUUCCUCAGAUACUAUAUUUAAUUCACAAACCUCAGACAUCAAUUGAUACUGAUCCAGAAUUCCAUGACACCCUUUCAGUACCUUUUGAAAUGCCCCUUCACCUGUUAGAUUCAAAUAGCUCAUUCGACAAACUUGGCUGCCACACAAACAAACAGAUACCUCAUACUCUUUCUUACUCUCUGUGACUGAGUUAUAAUCAAAGAUGAUCUCCUCACCACAUUGAAUUUGACGUACGGUGUAGAUUCCAAUCUGGUACUGACCUUCUACAGCAGUAAUUUUGGCUUCACGGUUAGGUCUACAUAAAUGACAAAUUCGGCUUGCAUAGUUAGCCUUGUGUAUUGCAUCAACAACUAAAUUCCACGGAUUCGGCUCUUGAUCCAAUUUUAGGUUCAAUAAAAGUUACUUUAUUCUGUGGUUGAAUUUUAACAGCAGCAUCAGGAACAUCUGCAGCAAAGGUAAUUGGAAUCCAAAUUUUAUUAAUUUUUCCUAAAACACUACUAUGCUUCUGAAUUGAAUCUUGAUCAACUAAAGAUUGGAGCUCUGAAAAUGAUGAGGGCCAUUGCUCAUGUCCAGCGCCAUCAAGAUAAUACCAGUCACUAAAAUCACCAAAGGCAAAGGCAUAAUCCUUGUCAGAGAAUGUGCUCAACCUAGAAUCCAAAGCUUCUUUUGACGUGAUUUCUGGGUAUCUGAAAAAUCUAUCUAUUCUUUGAUCAGGCUGUCCUCCAAUACGAAGUUGAUGCCAGGAUAAACCUUCAGCUCCCAAUUUCUCCCACUGUGCAUGCUCAAACGACGCCUGCAAAACUUCCCCCAGAGUCUCCAGCUCCCUGCCAGGAAUGAAGGUAAAACUCUUUAAUAAAGCUCUAACCCUUUCAUCAAUCUGAAGACCCUCUAAUGGCUCGGAUGCAAUGGAAUUGUCAUUGUUGCAAGACAUCGAUUGCAGCAAAAGUGGUAGGUGUUUCCUCUUCUAGCAGUUUGUUGGACUCUGUGGUAUCUCCAGCCCCGGCCAAUGGAUUACCAGGAGCCUCUGGAGGACUCACCAGUUGAGUUACAGUGUCUGAAACAAAGGGUGGGAAGUUCACAGGCACUAACAGAGAAGCUGCGUUUUUAAUAGUUAACCAUCUGUAGUAAACCUUUCUCUAUGAAAUUUCUUUCUCUCACCGAAGAACACAGAUAUUAACAAAACAUCAUUAAGAUCAAACAGAUCCUUGGGUUUGGGAAGAUCUAUGGAGAAUUCAUCAAAAUUCCUUACAAAUCUAGUCUCCUUCAAAAACUUCAACUACCGAAGAAUCUACCUGUAGGUCUUGCCAAUUCAUGUAAAGAUAUAUUAGGAUAUCCUCCUGUUCAGCCUGAGGCUUGCCUUCAAACCCAGGGGAUCCCAAUUUGACCAAGAUCUGUUGAUCUUGCAGCUCAGGGACUACAAGGGCUCUAAAUAAUGAACUUUCCACAGAAUCUGUAGGAUAUGAAAGGCAACACUCACCACAUGGCUUGAGGAAUGAACCAGACGGGAUCAUACACAGAUCUUGAUUUCGCAAUUGAAUGUAUGACUCUGUAACCAUUUUGUAUAUAGGCAGAGCACGUAAAACUUCAAGCUCUUCCCUUCUAUACUUAGAGCCAUUAGAAGAGAAAUCAGAAGCAAAAAGUGUACAGAGUUCCAUACGCUCUGAAGUUAGAAAAGAAUUAAGUUCAGGGAAAAUAGACAACCUGUUUAGCAACAAGCUUUCAAGCAAUAAUCUGCCCUAAUGACUGAUCAAGUGUAGAGAGGUAAUUACAUUAAGCCGCGCAUUCUAUGAAACAGCGUUUCUUUUUGACAUACUCUCAAACAAUUGCCUCGCAAUACCCAUGCAUCCAGAUUUUGAGUACACGUCAACCAAAGCCGUCUCCACAAACACAUUACCUUCAAAACCACCCCGAGCCCAAAAGAAUAGUGCACUGAUUUCGCAAUCUGGGUCAAGCCUAGAAACACUGCCUUCCGACAAGAGGAUCUCCUUUGGUUUUGUAUUCUCUGAUUUUUCCCACUAAUUUUCCUGUGCUUCCUUCCUCUUCUCACCAAAAUGAUCCCCACCCCCUUUUUUUCUUUCUUUUCUUUUCAAUGUCGUUUUCUCCCGUGCUCCCCAAUAUAUUCUCAGUGUAGAUACCCUGGAAUAAUCGAAUUCCAAGGAGCCACAUCUCUAAUCCCCAUAUGAACUCACAAAUUUACGUUAUGGUAACCAAACUUAGCAAGUGCAAUAAACAGCCGACAUACCUUUCGGACAAUCUUCUCUAGAUCCCAUAUUGUGAUAGCAGUUCCAGAAUUUUGAAGUGUUUGACCUCUUUGCUGAAUCUCAUGACUAUAUUCCCAAGCCUUGGAGUCACCCCCAUAUCAACAAUUGAUGGCUAUAUGACGGGUAGGAAGAAAGGCAAAACAGAUAUGGUAGAGAGUAGAGGAAACGAUGGGAAAACAGACAUGGGAGAUUAAAAGAAAAUAAAACCACAUCUCAUGAUUUUUCAAUAGGCUCAAGUUAGUGGGAACAGGCAUGGAGUUAUAUGCUUCCGAAGACAUUAAUGACAUCCAAAAUCAAAACAAGGCAAACAGGCAAGUAGCCAAUCUCAACAAAGCCAAUUGUGGCCCUUUUCGUCUACACAAAAAUCAACAAAACAAUUAAAUAUUCAGGAAUCGAACACACGGAAAAAUCAAAUAUAGGUAAGAAUUCCAAAAGGAACGAGGUGCAUACCUGGACAGCUUUGGUUGCAAUGGCUCGGCUUUUGGCUAUCUUUCCUCUUCCUUCUGAAGACAAUUCCCAGAUAAAAAUCCUCUUUUUGCUUGUUCUUUCUUCUUCCUCCUCCCUCUCUAGACUCCAAUACGUGUUGCUCACCCCCUAUUCUUUUCCUUUUCUCACCUAUAUAUAUCACCUAUUCUCUUCAAGACCUAAAUUUUCUUCCAAAAAGGAAAAUUUUCCUAUUUCCUUUCUUCUUCUCUUCUUUUUUUAAAUCCUCCAAUCAAAAGCAAUCUUCCCAAUUUCAAAUUCUCCUCCAAAACCUUCCAAGGAGAGUCCCACUUUCCUUAAACUCCAAUGGUAAGUUUCCUUGCAAAAACAUGAAAUUUUAGAAGUUAAAUAAUUGCAUGAAUAGAUAAAUAAGUAAAUAAAUUAGAAAAUGGUAAAAAUAAUAAAUAAAUAAAUAAGUUAAGGAAAAUAAUAUAAAGAGGAAAAUAAAAUAAAAUAAAAUAAAAAUAAACAAAUUAACAAAAAAUGGGCCCUAUGAGCCAUGCAAACACGCAAGUCAUAUAAGUCACGCUAAAAAAUGUCCAAAUGGGCCAAGUGUGCCUAAAUGGCCUAUGAUGAGACUAAGUGGGCCUAGGGUGGUGCCUAAUGGGCCAAGUGUAUCUAAAAGCUAUCCUAAAAAAAACAAGAAAAGCCUAAGUCUAAGUUAGGGCUGCCAAGGGUCACAAUAAGGGAUCAAAUAAUCCCUCAACCAAAGUCUCCAAGGUGACUCAAAAAAAGGUAAGUGGUAUGAGUAGCCAUGGGCCACCAAGGAACUAUUGUGGAGCAUUGAAAACGAAUUUUAAAGACAUGUGCUAAAGGGACAAAAUUGAGGGUCUACACAUUGCUAACUUCAACAUAAGUUCAAUAUUCUCUCAAGGUUGAGAGAUAACACAAUGAAGCAGUCUAGUAGGGUGAUGACUACUUGAUAGCAUUAAGUCAUAACUUACCAUAGAUCCUAUCCAGUGUGUAACCAUACAGACUAGUGUUCUCAUCGUGGGAAACCCAUUCGAUAACUAAGACUAGUCAUCCCUCCAAUUAGGAAGUGGUGCACUACAACCUCCAAUAGGUUGCCUAGACCCACAAACCAACAUGAACUAAUCAUUUAUUUACAAGGAACCCAUGACUUAAAUCUUUUAUACAACUCCUAAUAUACCCAAGUCACAUAUAAUGCAAAAGAUGAAACCAAAGUGCUUACAAAGUAUAAUGCAUGGAAGUAAGAUAGAUAAAAGUGAAAUGCAACUUUAUUAAAUAAAUAAUAAAAUCCAAAAGUCUAUUACAUCAUGUCAUGCUUUUAAGGGUUCUAUCAUAACAGCAUGCACAUAAGAACUAUGCAUUGAGAAGAGAUGGUCUAGGUACUAGGUAGCAUGUGGAGGGAAAUGUGCACUAAGAAUAAGAAUGGCAUACCAAGAAGCAUGCACACGUAAGAUAAAAUCACACUAAGAGGACAUAGAAUGUGUGCAAAUAUAUGAAAUUUGCACUUAAAGAACUGCCAAUGUUUGUAUGCAAAGACAUUGUGGACCGAAAAUCGCAUACUAAAGAAAAGUGUGCUCACAUAAGAGAAAAAGAGAGACAUGCAUGCAAGUGUACAAAUUGGAAAACAAUUCAAGAUGUACAUACUAAGAUAAGGAUGCACAAAAUACAACCUAAAUGAAGAGAUGCACACGUGUAAUGCACACCAAGAAGUUAUGUGCAUGAGAAAGACGCACAAAUAUUUCAUCUAAAGAGGAAAGUUGUGCACUAUUCAAUGCACCAAAACAAGACAUGAAGUGGGCAUAAAAAAAUACGCAAAACAAAGCAAGACACCAAGUGCAAGCCUACUACUCAAGAGAAAGAACAAAGUAUGCAAACCAAAAAUGCAAAAUAAGAGGAUGCACUAAUAGGGCAAAUGACUUGUGCAAUUUGACAUGCAAUACAAAACGAACACUAGAAAAAAAACAGACGUGCGCAACCCAAUUCACAAACAUAGUCAAACAUCGGUUGAAUGUACAACUUAGUGCAUAAAAACAAAAUAGAAUGUGUAAUCCUCAGCACAACAUGAAUAGAAUAUAGGGAGCAUGCAAUCUAGGUUCACAGUCAUGAACAUCAAAUACACUAACAAAAACGUGCAAAUCCUAAUAUGUGAACACAAUGAAACAAAGCCUAAGAUAUGCAGUCUUGAUGCACAAUCUUGAGCACUACAGAAGACCAAAGCAAAUAGGUAGCCACAGAGAACCAACUACAAAUGAGUGGCUUCAAAAUGCACACUAACCAAUUCACAAAACAAACAAUAAUCACAAGAAAAUCAAAUGAGCAAAGAAAAAACUCAAAAUACAAUAGGUAAAAAAUAAGAAAAGCCUCAUAUCAUGCGUUAUCAGUGGGCUUAAAAAACAAGUGAGAUAUCCAAACUAGAUUUAAAACAAGAACAAAAACAAGAUUUCAAGAUGUUAUAUGGAAAGAACGAACUAAAUUCAGGUUAAUCUCAAAUAAACUAAAGAAAAAUAGGGUGAACAGAACAAUGACAAGCCUAUAAACAUCCCAGAAUUGAAAAAUUAAUGUGUGGCCUCUAAUAUCCAUAUCCAAUCAACAAGCAACUUUUAACGAUAUCUAAUGAAAGAAAAACAUAACCAAAUAUGGGUCUCAUAAUGAAAAGAGCUUAACUGAGAAGAGAUGUAUUAGUUAACCUUUUCUUCUCUUUGUUUGGUUCUUUACUUUCCUUCUCUUUCAUUUUCUUCUUUCUCUAGUCCUUUUCUUUUUUUCCCUAAGCUCUUUCUCUCUAUCUCUCUUUUUACCCAACAAAUCCCUAAUGACUAGAAUAUUUUUGUGCAUCUCUCUCUCUCACACACAACAAUGUAGAAUGUGCUCUCAUACCUCUUAAAAAUGAGAGAAAAAUCCCCUACAAAAUGCCAAAAGGACCUUCCGAGCAAGGAUCCUACGUUAAGGCUCAUAACCAAAUUAAUGAACGUAGGUUAAACCUAAG
rnacentral:lncRNA from 1 species